AAAUAUGUGUUCAUUUAAAUGCCCCGCUAUUUUUCCCCAUGAGCUCUCUUUCUUCUGCAUAUUUGCAAGAAUGGAAGAUAUCGUAAUGACUGACAGAGGUACACCACGACAUUUUGCGGCAAUAUGCUUACCAAUCUCUAGAAAUUCUGGAGGGCAAGGUUCUCCUUGGAACACUUUCCGCCGUAAUAAUUCCCAACAUUCAGCAUCUGAUAGGAAAGGAAGUUCAUUAACAACAUCACUGAAGCCUAAUUCUCUGUUUCGAGAUGUGAAUAAGAUUCUACUUCCUGUUCUAUCAUCUGGAAAAUAUCUUUUCAAAUCGUCCCAUGGUUUCAUGUCCCAUACAUCAUCCAUGACAAGGAGGUAUCUCAUUCCUUUUAAACUUUUGUAAAGCAUUUCAGCCAAAUUUUCUUCCUCCAUUUCUGUGAUUGUUUCUCUAUUAUGGUUUCUUGUCGAUGUCAAAAUGUCAAUCAAUACAUUUUUCUUCUUAUAUGUUUGAGAAACCACACACCACGCACAUUUGUCGAAAUAAUAGACAAUGGAAGGAUCAUUGAACAAUUUCUUUGCUAAAGUAUUCUUACCAAGUCCAGGCAUUCCAACAAUGGAAAUAAUUUGUUGCUUUAGUGGUCCACUGGUGAGUUGAUCAGCAAUUUUGGUUUUCUCAUCCUUGAAACCGACAAAAUCGUCGUCCAAAUUGUCAAGUUCUUUAGCUUGAGGCUGUACUUGCUCACAUGGAUAUCGUUCUUCGGGUAUUCCAGCGUCAAUAUUACUGCUCCUCGUUUUUGUAUUGCCAUCUUAACAAGAUGAAUCUUCUCCAGGAGUUGAGAAAGCCUGGGGGUGAGAUACCAGACAGGAGUAAUUGAGUUGAUAACAUAUGAAAUUUCAUAUAAUAUAAGUCUCUGGUUUUCAUCGCAAGUUCCUCAAGUUGUAAGUGCCGUGCCACAACUAUAUAAUUGAGGGUGGAUCUCAACAACGAUAGCUCCUCGUAGAGCAUUAUGAUUUGAUCCUUCACUGGGACAAUCCUUUCAGCCUUAUAAUUGAUCAAGUACUCGAGAUCAUCUAGGAGAGAAUCCACAGUGAAGAACGAAACCACACUACGCUUUGUAGCGACACAACCUAGCAACUUUGAGACUGUGAUGCAGUGCUCCUUGAUCUUUGUUUUCAAGAGCUCAAACUUUUGUGAGAAAUCAGAAAGAGAAAGACUCAAUCGUCCAGUCGUCAGGACUCUAUCAUCACUUGCUGAGAAUAUUGAAUAUAAGAAAUUUCCAGCCUCGUUGACAACAACUUCGAUAUCUGACAAUAUAUUCUUGGUUGCGUCCAACUCAAUGGGUAACGGUGCAUCUCCAAGAAAGCUGAUUAGAAAUCCAAGUUCUGUCUGGAGGUUUUUGAUUGAACCCUUGACUGGAACAAUGAAAUCUGGUUCAAGGGGCAUUAUUUCUUCUAAAAGUUGGAGUGUUGGAUGAAUUUUGUGAAUAGUGACGCCGAAAUAAGUAUAAUGAUGGUGAAAAAGCCGAGACAAGAGUUGGACUCUUUGUCCUUAAGUCGAAUUUGCCCCGCAAUGGUGCCUACGGAUUUUGGCAAUCGACUCCCAAGAUACAACGGCUACACUUGUGUUUGUAGCACUCCAAAACACAAGUACAACGAACCAAAUUUAGGAUUAUGUACUCCAAGGAUGAAAUGAAAGAAAAUUAAAAUAAAUGAAAUGAUUUUGAUUUUGGAUAGAAGAGAGGAUGAGAGACGUUUUGCAUAUCAAAUUGUGUGGAAUAGGACAUCCAAAGGGUCCUAUUUAUAGACCAUGAAAGGGUGUGGACGAAAUGGUUGAGGCCAAACCAUGCACCCUUUCCAAACAAUGCACCUUUAUGAAAAGGUGUCUAUUCACUAAUGGUUGAGGCCAAACCAUGCACCCUUUUCAAAUAAUGCACCUUUAUGAAAAGGUGUCUAUUCACUGAUUUUCGUCCUUUUUCGUAAUUUCUCAUUCAUCCGAUAUUGGUUUUCGAAAUGUCAAAUAUACCCUUCAAUACAUGCAGAGAAAUCAAAAUUCUCUUUCGGGGGCGUUGCCCCCGACCCCCACGGGGGCGCUGCCCCCUCGACCCCCACGACCUGACCGGGUAGGUCGAUCCCCGUUUGUGCGCCCCGAAGUGGCGAAGUGGCAAACAAUUUUGUCUAAACGGAUUGAGUCGAGCUUUUGAGUAUUUGGCCGAAGUCGAUACGAACUUUAAUCGAUUUUCAAUUCUCGAUUUAUUUAACCAAUAUCCAACAAUGAGAAAGUCGAUAAACUCCACAACAAGUUCAUUAGGAUGGGGAGUAGGAGUAAUCUUGGACAUUUGCUGCUUUGGGAUUGUGAAGACUACCCUCAGAUCCUUCACAGAUGAUAUCAGUAACUUAAAGAAUUCUCUGUCUGCUUGAGGUUCAGAAGCCCCAAAAUACAUGCAACGGUAUGCUGAAUCCUCGAGAUGAUCUAGUAAAUCAGUUUCAAAACGGGAAGCCCCAAAAAGCAUGCAACAGAAUUUUCUGUAUGUUUUGUCAUAACGGAAGCACAGUUUUUGCUUUUUCAUAUACGCAACGGCAACUGGAACAAGUAAUCUCUGUCCAACAAAUGUUUCAAAUUUUUCAUCUCCUUCAAGUGAAUUUUUUAGGAGAUUUCUGACUUUUGUAUUUUCCGGAAUACGUCUAAGAAAUAAAGGGAGACCCAUCUUUUCUUCAAUUUCUUAGUAUGAAUCAGUGUCUAUUUAUGGAAAAUUCUGGGGAUGGACGAAUUCCAGGGGAAGAUAUAUGUAUGAUUGUAUUCUACUCCAGAAAAUAUAUUUAUAACAAAAGUCCAAUCUUCAUCACAAACUCUAAACAACUAAAUAUUGAAUUCACGGUUUCUCAUAAGAUUAAUAAUUAUAGAAUUUAAAUAUAAAAUUGCCGAUAACUGGAGACAGCGAUGAUUGUAUUAAAGUAAAAUGAAAGAAAAGGAGGUUUCAAAUGAGAGAAUCUUCCAAUGUUCACACCAUGCGGUAUAUAUAGGUGUAAUUAAGUAAUUUCUGUUAGCCAUUUUUCCCAAAUAAUAGAAAUAAAUAAACUAUAUGAAGGAGAAAAAACAUAAAACAAAAAUUUAUGUGAACACAUGGUUUUCAACUUUCACAUUCAAUAAUUAGGUUUAAACUUAUUAAUUCAAAAGUCAUGUCAUAAUUCAAUUUUUUAAUAUUAAUUUAGGCCUAUUUUUAGACAAUUUUGGAUUGUUGCUCGGUAAUUUUUUUAUUCAAUUUCUACUGUUUCUGGCAAAGAAAUGACUACAGCCUGUCAAAAAAAUUCUUUUGACUUUUAGCUUUCCCUCGUGUUGCGCCUAACACUCCCAACUAGUAAAUCAAGUAAACAAUCCCGCAGGCACAUUCAAGUUGGUAGAACAAUUACAUUGGCGGGCUCACAAACCUAGCGUGGAAAGUUCGAUUCCUGGAAGGCAGCAUCUUAGAAGGGAAAUUUAUCUCGAAGGCAAGGUGCUGGAAGGCAGUGAGGAGAGCUCUUUUAGGGGAAGGAGUAUAAGCCAUGCAGGAACCUGGGAGCCAAUAAGGACAUAACCCGCGAUUAACUUCCUCAAGCUAAUGAGGAGCCGAAGACUUGAGGUCCAAGAAUUAGUUUGGCGAAGUUGGGAAACCUGGGUAUCAAAAAAUGUAAACAAGGAAAUGAGGGUAAAAUUGGAAAUUUUGAUUUUUAUAUACCAAGAAAAUAUCUACAACGUGUGGACCCUCUUGAUUUGACAUGAAAAUGCAUUCUGAUUCUCCAUAAUUAAUGGCUCCCAAACAUGUAUGUCUACAGCGUGUGGACCCUCUCUCUCUCUCUCUCCACAUGACCACAUCCGUCCGACGACCGUCAUUGGAAGCCUCCCAGUACCUUUUAUAUAUAUAAAAAGUUGAACCCCAACCUUAAGAGCCCCCACCGUCCGACCAGUAGAGUUUUGUGAUCGAGGUAAAUCGUUGGAUGUGUCCCAAUAGGGUAGGGAACAAAAGCUACCUAUGCACUGCGCCUAUAAGGAGUCUAAUUUCAUGUCUCAGGAAUCGAACCCGCACACUACGACUGUCAGUAAAACGUGAGAUAACCUCAUCCUAUCCUUUGUACCACUAAACAAUGUCCCAAGGGGCUACCUUAUAUUCUCAUACUUGGUGCAAAUCGGUCAACAAGGGCUCCUUAUUGUGGAUAUAUCUCCUAGAUAUAACACCUGUUCCAAAAGUAAUACAUUACAGUAUUCAUUUUGUUGGGCAAACCUAUACUUGUCUGUAUUCUUCUAAAAUGAAAGAUAUUGAAUAUUAAAUACUAAACACAAGACUCAAAUAUAAUUAAAAAUUUAUUUUGAUAGAAUUUAGAGAGCGAAUGAAUUAAAAAUCAAUUAUUUGAAACUAAUUUGAAAUGAAGAAAAUGGAAUUAAGGUGUCAUUUCGUAUGGUCGAAUCUUUCGAGGAGAUCACUCAAUUUUCUAUCUUCGGAAAUUUCUCUGAGAAUUUCUUGACGGGGAUCCAUCUUUCUUCCUCAAUUUCCACCUUUUCUUCAAUUUUUGAGGUUGCUUUCAAUUUCUUAGUAUGAAUCAGUGUCUCCUUAUGGAAAAUUCAGAGGAUGGAUGAAUUGUAGGGGAAACUUUCUUGGUCAUUACAAACUCUAAACUACUAAGACGUCAUUUGGGAGAAAUUUUGAAAAUUGAUUUUUUGACCGUUAGGAGAAAAGUGAGGGCCACCCGUGAAAGAAUAAGUCAAAAUUUACGGUUGAAAUAAUGAAAUAACUGUCAAAAAAUCAAUUUUUUGGGGUGAAAAAUCUCUCCCAAAUGGCCCCUAAAUAUUGAAAUAGGAUUAAUAAUUAUAGAAUUUAAAUAUAGAAUUGCAGACAACUGGAGACAGCGAUGAUUGUAUUAAAAUGAAAUUAAAGAAAAGCAUAGUUCAAAUGAGGGAAUCUUCCAAUGUCACACCAUGCAGUAGGUGUAAUAAGUGAUUUCUGUAAGCCCUUUUUUUUUUAAAUAAUAAAAAUAAAUCAAUAAACUCAUUGAAGGAGAAAAAACAUAAAACAAAAAUUUAUGUGAACACAUGGUUUUCAACUUUCACAUUCAAUAAUUAGGUUUAAAGUUAUUUAUUCAAAAAUAUUAACAAUAAUAUUCACUCUUUCUACUCCUCUCUACAUAACAAACCAUCUUUUCUCUAUUUAACUUCGAGCCCACUCUCUCCAAUCUCUCUGUCUCUCUCUCUCUCUCUAGAUUUGUCUGACCACCGUCACCAGAAGCCUCCCACGACCUUCCCUUCUCAUACCACGUGUAGAUCGGGCAACGAGGGCUCCUCAUUGUGGAUCAAUAAAAAUCAUGCAUGGGCUCUCUCACCUCUCAUAUCACCUCUAAUGUAUGUAGCGGUUUGUUAUUUGAUACAUGAGACAGUAAAAAGCUACUACAUUAAUACAUCAAAUAACAAAUUGUCAUAUAUAUGUCACUUAGAACGACUAGUCCUUUUUAUAAAUAGCAUUACUCUGGUUUCACACACAAAUGUAUGCAAAUGAAAAGGCACGAACCAAGUUAAACCCCUCUUUGAAGUCAUAUUCCAUGGACAUAUGUACAAAUUAUUUAAAUCCAACAUACAACACUUGAAAUAAGUUUUGAGCAUUAAUGAAUGCAAAUGGAGACCCAAUAAAUGAAGAAACAUGAAUAAAAUUCGUUUUACUACAAAGCACAAUAUUUUAUGCAGUAGAAAAUUUUUAUACCAUCUGAAAACUAACCUCCUAUAUAUGCAAUACGUGCAUUUGAUUCCUGAAAUAAACUCACAAAAGCAAUCUGAUUAUUGAUCACCACAUAUUCAUGUUUCACUUUCUGCGAGUUAAACCGUCAUACUUAUUGUAGGCUCAGUUUAAUUUUAACACUUUGUGAUGGAAGAAAUAAAUAUGUCGAAUUAAGAAUGCAAGCAUUAUUAGAGGUUCAUCGAAUGUUUCUAAGUAGAAUGUUAACAGUGAUUCGUGCACAAAAAUGAAGUAUAAAAUGAAGGAAAAAAGAAAAGAAAUCCAGCUUUAGAUUGUUAGAUAAUUUGGCGAAUAACUUGCAUUUUGGCAUUUCGCUAAUAAAAAACACUAGCACGCAAUGACGAUAAAACUGACACUUAAGGAAAUGAAAUAAAACGAGGUAUGCAAUUGCAAAUCACCUUAAGAUGGAUUUAGUCUCCUACACUGGUGCUAACGGGAUAAACUAGACGUAUAUCUCCUAAGUUAUAACGCUUCUUUCAAAAUUAAUAGAGCAUAAUAUUCAUUUUGUUGGGCGAACCAACACUUGACCGUACUCUUCUAGAAUGGAAAGUACUGAGUACUAAAUAUUAAACAUAAAAUUCAAAUACAAUUUAAAAAUUAUUUUGAUAGAAUUUAGAGAGAGAAUGAAUUAAAAAUCAAUUAUUUGAAAUUAAUUUGAAGCGAAGAAAAUGGAAUUAGUAGGUUCCUAUUUAUAAAUUUUCACGCGUCUUUUUGUAUGGUCGCAUCUUUCAACAGAAAUUAAUUUUAACGAUUAGAUAUCACCAAAUCAAAUUUACUAAUCUAGAUAGCAUCCUAUCAAAAGGUCAUACUCAUUCCGAAACAAUGUGAUUAUUUGAUAUGAGUCCUUUAGAAUUAGAGUAUGAUGUCUAGUAAUCACGCUCAUUGAGGACUAUAAUUCACACAUUUAAAUCAUAUAUAUAUAUAUAUAUAUGAAACCAUUAAUUCCAAUAGGACCAUCUCCACAUUUAGCAUCCACAAUGCAUUCAAUUCAAACAUCACGGGCACUCUUGCAUCACCAUCCAAUCAACUAAUGAGAAUAGACUUUGUCAACCUAGCACACCAACUUCCAAUGAUGAUUGAUGUGGACCUAAAUCUUGUCCAACUUAAUGUGUCAAAUUUUGAACUUGAGGACACCUUAGAGUAAAUCAUGAGGGAAAACUCUAAAUAAGUGAUUCAUUGUAAUGAAAAUGUUUUAGCCAACGUUGUAACAACACAAUUUUUAAAGAUUUGAAUUGCUACCAAAAUUUAUAAAAUAUAUAUAUAUUUUUUUUUUUAUGCAAAGCCAAAAAUUUAUAUAGCAUCGUAAAAAUUAUUAUUAUUAUUAUUAUUUUUAUUUAUUUAUUUUUUUUUUGGGUAAUUUUAUGCGGAUUGCAAUGUGACCAGCACGCUGAGUCCUCUUUUUUGUAUGUUAACUUUAUAUUGGAGUUGUCAUCUUUCUGACAAAAUCCGUGUGAUGGUGGAGGGGUUCGUUCUUAUUUUUUAAGAAUUUUUUUUUUCUUCAAUGCAAAAGCCCUUACUUUUGACUCCAAGAAUCAUUGUACAGAUUCAUGCACCCCUCAAAAGUACCCUAUACCGUAUAAUAUUGCAUAAGUGCACAUCAAUCUAGCAUUUCCGUGAAUAGUGAAAAAAAUACUGUUCGCGUCUUUUUUUUUUUUUAAUAGACCGUUCACACCGUGAACAGUAACAUGGGGUACUUGGUCAAUCGAUUCACAGUAGACUGCUAUUCCUACAUUUUUUUUAGAAGGUUUUUGAUCUAUAACCGACCGAUUUUAUACCAAUUCAAGAUUUGUUGGACUGAAUUGGUCGGUUCGAUCUGAUUUUCAAAACAUUAAUUAUUACACCCUAAAUAUUUAAUCAAAAUAAAUAUUAUAAUCAAUCAUAAAACCCAAAAAAAUAAAAAAAAUUAAAAAAAAUUGCGGUAGAGUGCCAACCCUAUGCGGUUUAGAUAAUUUUUAUUUUCUAGAAUUUUGGACUAAUCCACUAUCGGUUCAGAUAUUAUCAAUAAGGAAAUACUAUGUUUUGACAUUAAACUUUUGUCCUUUGCGAGAGAUCUUUUUGUUAUCCCUUUAAUAUUCCUAUACUUCAGUAUGCCCAUUGGACAUAACUGAUGUACCAGAUUUAUACAUGAAAACUCACUAGCAAUUCUCUUAUUUCUCAAAAUUGAGUAUAACAAAUUUCCUAUCCAAGUUUCUAAUAUUUAAUUCACUAGCGCAAAUAUAAUCCAUAUAUAACUUGUGAGAAGAAGAGAAGCUGAGAAGAGAAAAGAAGAAGAGAAGGGAGCAAGCAGCGCCUAGGCGCUGGAGUGGGCGCUGCCCAGUUUCUGCCGAAGCAGAAACUGGGCGCCUAGGCGCCUGUUGGGAAAAGUCCUCCCAAAGAUAGCCCAAUGAUCAAACAAAGUUGACAAUGUGAAAAUUUUCAAUCCACUUGAAGAACAAGAAAAUGAGGAAAAAAUGAUUUCAAUGGAAUAUAUAAAAAUCAAUGUGUUUGGAUUACUUGAACAAGCCUCAAGUUAAUCCCCAAGAAAGAAAAUAACUUAGAAUUUGUACCCAAGAUGAACAAUCUUCAACUUGUAAAAUUCUCACCAAGUUUUCUCUCUUCUUUCUCUCUAAAAACCGAGCCUAGGUCUUGUGUUAUAUGAGAAGGAGGAAAAAUUGGCUAUAUAUAUAGCCUAUCGGGGCGCCUAGGCGCUAUGUUUCUGUCAAUAGGCGCCCAGUUUCUGCUUCGGCAGAAACUGGGCGCUGUCCACUCCAGCGCCUAGGUGCUGCUUGCUCCCUUCUCAACUUCUCUUCUUCUUUUCUCUUCUCAGCUCUCUUCUUCUCACAAUUCUCCACCUCAUACAUCAUUUGAUAGACUUCAAAUUUUGGACGAACAGAAGAAGAAGAAAUAAGCACCAAAAGAACUCGGCUGCACCAUUCAAAUCAUGAUUGCCUACGUACCCAAAACUCGGGAUCAAGCCUCCGUAGUUCACCUCCACCUUCAUAUACUCUCCACCUCAUUCCAACCUCGCCCCGAAGGGCCAUGCCCUCUCGGGCAUAUCAACAUGGACUAAUGUGAAGCAAGUCCAAGCAAUGUUGAAAUUUGCUACCCGUUACUACUUUGGUUAACAUGUCAGCUGGGUUCUCAUUUGUGUGUACCUUCAAGAGUGAAAUAUCACCUUCGUCUAUAACAUCACGCACAAAAUGAUACCUGACGUCAAUAUGCUUAGUUCGAGCAUGAUGAACCUGAUUCUUAGCCAAGUGAAUGGCACUCUGACUAUCACACCACAAGUCCACACAAUCGUGCUCAAUCCCCAAAUCAUCUAGAAGACCCCACAACCACAAUGCUUCCUUCACUCCCUCUGCCAUGGCCAUAUACUCGGCCUCUGUAGUAGAAAGAGCAACUGUAGCCUGUAACAUCGAUCGCCAACUAACUGGGGCACCAUGUAUGCAAAACACAUAUCCAGUGGUAGAUCGUCGUCUAUCUAGAUCACCUGCAUAAUCCGAGUCCACAAACCCACUUAUAUGACAUGCAUCUCUACCAAAACAUAGACCCGUAUCUGCGGUACCUUUUAAGUACCUCAGGAUCCACUUCACAGCUUCCCAGUGUGCCUUCCUCUGAUUCGCCAUGAAUCUACUGACCACACUCACCACCUGGGAAAUAUCUGGGCAUGUACACACCAUGGCAUACAUCAAACUGCCAACUGCACUAGCAUAAGGCACACGAUCCAUGCGUACCUUGUCUUCCGCUGUAGUAGGAGACUGUUUACCAGAGAGCCUAAAAUGUGGAGCCAAUGGAGUAACCACCGACUUUGCACCUUGCAACCCGAACCUAGCAAUAACCCGCUCAAUGUAGCCUUUCUGACUCAAGAACAUUCGCCGGUUCGUCCUCUCUCUUCUGAUCUCCAUACCCAGUAUUUUCUUAGCAGCCCCCAUAUCCUUCAUCUCAAACUCUUUACCAAGUUGGGAUUUCAACUUAUCUAUCUCCACCUUGCUUUUCGAAUCGAUAAGCAUGUCAUCCACAUAUAGAAGAAGAUAGAUAUAGUCACCUCCCCGAAGUUUCCGAAUAUAAACACAACAGUCAUACUCACUUCUGGAGAAACCAUGCUUUAGCAUGAAGGAGUCAAAUCGCUUGUACCACUGCCGAGGAGAUUGCUUCAAUCCAUAUAGUGAUUUUCUCAAACGACAUACCUGACGUUCCUUAUCCUCAACCUUGUAGCCAUCAGGUUGAUGCAUAUAGAUCUCCUCAUCCAAGUCCCCGUGCAAGAAGGCGGUUUUGACAUCGAGUUGUUCCAGCUCAAGAUCAUGAUGAGCAACAAUACUCAAUAGCACUCGAAUGGAAGUGUGCUUGACCACAGGAGAAAAGAUCUCAUUGUAGUCAACUCCCUUUCUUUGUGCAAACCCCUUAGCCACUAACCUCGCUUUGAAUUUUGUACCACCGAGCUUGGUAGGAUCCUCCUUCUUUUUGUACAACCACUUGCAACCAAUAGCUUUCUUACCUAUGGGCAAUGGGACAACCUCCCAUGUUUGGUUCUUGUGAAGUGAUUCCAUCUCUUCUUCCAUUGUCGCCAACCAACUCUCGCUAUUAUUGUUUAAAAUAGCUUCCUUGAAAGUGGUAGGCUCAUCAUCCUCCACCGAGAGUGCAUAUUCAACCAAAUUUGUCUGCCCAUAAUGCCUCAAAGGCUAGUCUGACCCCAACUUUAGAACUUGCUUGUAAGUACGGCGUGGCCUAGAGGAAGCCAAGUUAUCUGUAAGCUGCUGUUGUUGCUGUACCUGUACAUUUUCUUGCUGAACCGCCUCUUGUUCAAGGGCAUCAUCACUCUCAUCUUGAGUGUCUGUAUGAUGCUCCUCUUGAACAUGCCUAGAAUCAGGUUGAUCUCUAGGUUCUAUGUCAACAACUUGAGACAUUGUAGUCUCAAGAUCAUCACCACCGGGCAUUAUAGCUUUCAACGAAGCUACCAUGGAGUUCUCAUCAAAAGUAACAUCUCUGCUGAUUAUGAACUUAGAAUCCUCUAAACACUAAAGGCGAUAGCCUUUAACACCUGCCGCAUACCCCAAAAAUAUAGCCUUAUUGGCCCUCGCAUCAAGCUUUCUCUCAUUGACAUGAUAGUAGGCUGUGCAUCCAAAUGUUCUGAGUUUCUCAUAAUCUGCAUGUUCUCCUGUCAAUAUCCUAUAAGGUACAUCUCCAUCUAACCUUGAAUGUGGAGAUCGGUUCACUAUGUAGCAAGUAUUUGCAACCGACUCUGCCCACCAUUCUUUGCCCAAACCAGCAUAGGAUCGCAUACACAUCGAUUUCUCUCGAAAUGUGUGAUUCAGUCUUUCCGCGACCCCAUUCUGUUGCGGUGUAUUUCUUACUGUCCAAUGUCUCACAAUGCCUUCCUUACCACAGAACUCCUUGAAAGCACCAUCUGUAUACUCAAUACCGUUAUCAGAUCUCAGUGUCUUCAAUUUCUUUCCUGUUCUAUUUUCAACCAUUGCUUUCCACUUCUUGAAGGUGUCGAAUAUCUCAUUCUUAUGCUUCAAAAAAUAAAUCCAAGCAUAUCUAGAAUAAUCAUCAACAAAUGUAACAAAAUACCUGGAACCGCCUUUGGAAGUGACAGAAGCCGGGCCCCAUACAUCCGUGUGCACAUAGUCAAGAAUGCCUCUGCUUCUAUGUUUGCUUGGCUGGAACUGAACUCGGUGUGCUUUAGCGUACACGCAAUGCUCGCAAAAGUCCAUGCAAGGCUUCUUCAAAUUCUUUAGCAAGCCUUUCUUGACUAGCAAAUCUAGCCCCUUUUCAGACAUAUGCCCAAGCCUCCUAUGCCAUAGCCGAGUACACUCACAUGGGUCUCCACCACUUCCACUUGUUCCAACUGCUACAUCUUCAGUAACUGUAGUACCCUGAAGUGCAUAGAGAUUGCCUUCACGAAUACCCUUCAUCACAAUCAAAGAACCACGAACAACCUUCUUUACUCCAUUCCAUGUUACAAUCUUGCAACCACCGGAGGAGUCUAAGGCACCAACAGAGAUAAGGUUCUUUCACAAAUCAGGAACAUGUCUAACAUCCAUCAAUGUUCUAACCACUCCAUCAUGCAUCUUGAUUCUAAUUGAACCAAGCCCCACCGUUUUACAUGAAUGGUUAUUACCCAUCAACACGGUUCCACCCUCAGUGCUUCUAUAGGUAGUAAACCACUUCCUAUUUGGACACAUAUGGUAAGAGCAUCCGGAGUCAAGAAUCCACUUACCGGAGUUCUCUUCAUCACAAGAGAUGGUGUAGCACUCAUCGCUUUCCCCUCCUUCCUAGGCAUAGCUUACCUCUUGCUUGACUUGCACCUUCCCACUGUUGUUGUUCUUAUUGUUCUUCUUCCAACCCCUUUUGUGUUGGACAAUUCGCCUUGAAAUGCCCAAGCUCGCCACAUUUGAAACAAGACCUUUCCGCAAGAAGUCUAGAACUCGAUCUAGAUUUUUCUCCCUUGCCCUUUGGUCGCACAUUGCUUCUACCCCUUACAAACAAUCCUUGAGCUUGCUCCUUGUUACCAAUGGUAGACAUGCCAUUAGUUGCAAUCUUUCGAAGAUCAUCUGCUAGAAGUGACGUUCUAGUGUCUUCCAUCACAAGUUUAUCACCCACAAGCAUCAAUGUUUGUACUAGGUUCUCGUAAGACUUUGGCAAUGAAAGAAGUAGUAGAAGUGCUUGAUCCUCAUCAUCUACAUCCACAUCAAUGUCCUUCAAGUCCGAUAUGAUCCUAUCAAACUUGUUGACGUACUCCCGGAUUGGUGUACCUUCAUCCAUCUUGCAAGUAUACAAUUUGGACUUCAAGUAGAUCCGAUUUGUUAGAGUCUUCGUCAUGAAGUUCGCCUCCAACUUUGUCCACACCUCCGCCGCCGUUACCUCACUAUCAACCAAGAAAGCAACAUCUCUUUCAAGGCAAAGAAUGAUAGACGCUCGUGCCUCAAGAUCUAGCUCUUCCCAAUCCUCGUCCGACAUAUCAACGUGCUUCUUCUCCUUUCCCGCCAAUGCCUUGUGCACCUUUUGAGAAAUCAACAAAUUUUUCAUUUGCAUUCUCCAAUAUGAAAAAUCAUUCUUCCCAUUGAAUUUUUCUAUCUUAUACUUUCCAAUCUUCACCAUUCCUCUAGUAGACAUGAUUUAUUCACUUGUUUACCGAAAAUAAACCACAAAAGUUCACUUGGGAAUUUUCACAAACACCUUGUGCACAACAAAGUUCAAGCAACUCACCACAAAAUCGAAGCUUAACCACCUUGAUUUAGGAUGUAGCUCUGAUACCAAAUUGUUGGGAAAAGUCCUCCCAAAGAUAGCCCAAUGAUCAAACAAAGUUGACAAUGUGAAAAUUUCCAAUCCACUUGAAGAACAAGAAAAUGAGGAAGAAAUGAUUUCAAUGGAAUAUAUGAAAAUCAAUGUGUUUGGAUUACUUAAACAAGCCUCAAGUUAGUCCCAAAGAAAGAAAAUAACUUAGAAUUUGUACCCAAGAUGAACAACCUUCAACUUGUAAAAUUCUCGCCAAGUUUUCUCUCUUCUUUCUCUCUAAAAACCGAGCCUAGGUCUUGUGUUAUAUGAGAAGGAGGAAAAAUUGGCUAUAUAUAUAGCCUAUCGGGGAGCCUAGGUGCCAUGUUUCUGUCAAGAAACAUACUCGGGACGCCUAGGCGCCUGGACGAAACUAGGCAGCGCCUCCAGCGCCUAGGCACUGCUUGCUCCCUUCUCAACUUCUCUUCUUCUUUUCUCUUCUCAGCUUCUCUUCUUCUCACAUAACUCUUGAAUUCUUUCAUCUGAGACUAGGGUGAAUGGUUCGUUUCGAUACAAUCUGGCCUGAUGCGCCACGACAAUUUCAGAUCUCUUCUCAUCUGCCACUUCUUCAAAUGACUUCAACUAUGGUUGAAUUGGUACUUUAAUUUUCUAUAUUUGUUGUAAUUUAAUGGUUUAAAUAGAAGUGAGUCAAUGGUUUUAAUAGGUAUGAAUUGAAAAGGCUUUCAAUUGGUGCAAUGAUUAGUUGAGAUAUUUCAAAUGCAAAUGGUACAUAUUAAAAUGUAAUGAUUUUUCGAUUUGAAUGUGAUUAUUCAAAGAGGUGCAUAAUGAAAAGUCAUAAACCUUAAAAAAGGGGGCGAUUUAGCUUGUCACAUCAUGUCAAAAUGUAAUUAUUCACAUUGAUUUAUGCCAAAAGGUGUACCUAUUCAAAAAAGACGAGUCGAAUGUAUAAAUUGAAUCCAUUUCAUUCCGUUUUCUUCAUUCGAAGUUUUCCAUUCUUUACCCAUUAAAAUGAAAAAUAUAAUCGUUAUCCAUUACAUCAAGUUAUCAAAUUUGAAUUUCUAUCUCUUGUGUGGAGUUCAUAAUGACUAUAUUUUUCAUUCUCAUUCUUACGAAAAUGAGAAACAAAUGCCUCCUAAAUUGAUUUCUAAUUCCAUUUUUCUCCAUAUUAUGCGGGGAUUGGGAGUUUGUUGCCCCGACCUUGACCUUGAACAAGCAGGAACAGGGACAUGGACGGAUGGGCCCCAACAUUUAUUUAUUUAUUUUUCCGUUUUUCGCUCUAUUAUUCAGAACAAAGCAGCUUGGACAGUGUUGUGUAUUCUACCUUUGUAAACUUUCUAGUUUCUUUGAAAUGAAAAGAAAUAAUUUCAAGCAUUAUGGGAUAAAAUGAGUUCAGUUACAGUAGUGUUGAAGGCUGAUCUAAUAAAGUUAUCAAUAUGGGGCUAAAAUUCUAAAAUUCAAUUAGCCAUUCUGUUCUGGAUCGAGGAAUCCCAAAAAAAAAAAAAAAAAGGAUGUGUGAAAUUUAAUGCAAAUGGCAUGCCGAAGAAAGAUAUGCAAGCAGCACAAUGACAAUAAACAAAAACCCCCUCGCCGUAAAUUUAAUCCUAUGAUAUAAAUAAAGUUUAUCAAAUCGAAAAUUCAUAUAUUUAUUUAUUUUCUUAUAUAUUUAAUGUGUUAUAGAAUCAUUAUCUAGCAUGCAUUACAUUAUUUUAACAGGCCAACUAAGUUAAAAUUGAAUCUCAAAAAUUGAUCGGUAUAAGGUAUACACGACAAAAUCAUUUUACAAAUAGAUUAAUUGAUACUUAAUUUAAUGUUACGUGCUUUUAGCAAGUGGAUUAACUGAUUUAUGGAUUUAAAAUUUUUUUGCAACUUGUCCUUAAAAUAUAAAACUAAUACUUCAACUUGAUAUAAUAUAUUAUUAAGGGAGUAUAUACUAUACCCUUCACUUUUCUAAUGACUAAGCAAUUAUACACUUGAUAUAAUUAAUUCAAUAGAUAUUGAUUAAAUAUCAUAUUAUAAUAUUUAGCAAUAAUUUGAAUGGUAGGUUUGACUUUAAUUCUAAACUGUCUGAAUAAUACAAGUAAAUUCCAUCAUCCUACUUUGUGAAUCGAAUAAUUGGUACAAAGCGUCUCUGUCAUUUAUAUAUUUUGUGCAAAUUAAUCUUAUCCUUUAAUUUUGUGGUAUAAACGCUUAAAAAAUGAAAGUAAUAGAAGUGAUUUGUGCCAUUACCCGAUAAAAGAAGCCAAAAUGUUAAUAUUUUGUAUUUUUAGCUCGUAAAUGAAGUAUUAGUUCUUAAGCUUUUAUGUGUUUUUAUUUUUUUAAAUGAAGAUGACAUGGAACAAUUAAAAGAGAAAAUCUUAAACGAGGUUCAAGCAAGGAGAAAUAAGAAUGGCCUAUAAAAAAUUGAGUAACUUUCAACGUGAGUAUUAGAUUUAUGUGAACGAGUACAUUCCAGAAGUGUCUUAUAAUUCUUUACAAUUUUCCUGGGAGUGAUGAAAAAAGGCCAGCAUGGUGAAACUUUCACUGUCAAAUUCCAUUAUUUUGAGGUCUAUUGUAGUGCUUUUAUGUUUCCGAGUUUAUUUUUGUUAUUUUUGCAAUUUCUUAGUUUUAUUUGCACUGGCUACCAAAUUAGGGUUUCUUUUUCACGAUAUAAAUAUGUGUUUAGGGUUUACAAACCCUAUAGUCGUCUUUGAACAAUAAUAUUUUAAACUGUCUCUGGUGCAUUCCAGUAUUUCUCACAUCGGUUCGAGUGAAAUUCGAGCAACACCCAUUCGUGUGUUACAAAUACCCUUUUAUUAUUAUUUACGUUUCCAUCACGCAACUAAGUUUAUAUUAGAAAUGAAUCUAUAUUUGAUGUAUAAAUGUCAUUUUUUGAAAAUCUGUAAUUAACAUUUCAUUUUUGUUGCUGAUCAUAUUGGAGGGUAUCAGCAACACAUUUUGUAAUGAAAAAUUUUGGCAGCUAAUGUGUCCAAUGUUUAGUGGGGACAGUUGAAAUGCAAAUCAGAAGUCGAGUAAUUUGUGCAAUGAACGAAGUACUCCAAAUCUUUGAUUAGUAAGAACUAUCGAAGAAGUUUAAUCCAAUGAUAUCGAUAAGAUUUAGGAUCCGUAUUACAUAAAUCAACCAAAUUUAAAUUAUAUAUAAUUACAGAAUCUUUACCUAACAUGCAUCAUAUACUCACAACAAACCAACGAAAUUAAUAAUGUACAUUAAAAUUGAUCACCACAAGGUAUAUUUGAUUUAUUUCAGCCUAAAAUAUAAGAACAAAACAAAAUAUAUAUGUAGAUCAUUUCUACAUAUUCAGCCAGACGAAUUUGCCCCUUUAAUGAUGCUACUCAUGACAAAACGAAUUUCUUCUUCGACAAGAAUAAAAGAACAUCAAUCUAUAGGAGUUCCAACGAACUCAAUGAAGUGUUUAAACUUUGAAGAACACUUUCAGAAUGCUAGACAGAGGGAAUAUGAUUAAAGCAGAAAAUGGUUAUGAAGAGAUUGUUAAACUAGAAAAUAUACAAAAAUAAGCCAAUGAAAAAAAUUAAUUUCAUUAAGUAUUAAACAAGAAAAUACAUGGAAAUAAGCCAAUGAAAAAAUUAAUUUCAUUAAGUACCCAAUAAUUUGAUUAAUUGCAAUUUGGACCAAAAACAAAUCCAAUAGAAAACUUCCAUUAUGUAAACCAAACAAAUGUUUUCCAACUUUUCUAUGUGGGAUAAGAGCUUAGCAACUUCCAAUUAACUCAAAUGCUCACUGGUUUAUAGCUUCAAGUGGAUCGCUUUGAUAUAAAAUAUUUCAUUCAGUUCUAAAUAGAUUUUGAUAAAUAAAUGUAUCGUAUUAUUUACCUUGUAGAGUAGAAUGUGAAUAUGCUUGGUUCUACUAAAAUUGAAAUAUAGGUCCCACUGAAAUUGGAGCAGAAAUUUGACCCAUUUCACUUAAUAUUAAAACCAUCCGAACACUAAGAAAUUACCGUUCUUUUUACUUGUCAAGGGACAGCGAUUUAUAAAUAGAUCUCGAUAAUUACUUGAUUUGAGUUUGUAUUGUGCUGGAGCAAUAAUCGAAAGUAGAGAUAUUAGGUUAGAUACUUUGUUGCCUAAUAAUUGAAUUGGUAGCUGUGCAUUGUGGAUUUUGCAUAAAGUUCUUGAAUUCUUGAAGUAUAUAGAUGUGGAAAUGUUGGAAUUUAAUUAAUUUUUGAUGCCCAUUAGAUGGCAUCAAUAUCGCCUUCCCCAAAUUCACCGCUAGUCGCCGUAGCCGUCCUCUCUGCCUCCUGAUCCUCUAAAUUCAUCACUGCCUGAUCCUCUUGAAGGACCACAAUCUCGACGCAAUUCAACUACAAUAUCCCUUCUCUCUUGUUCCUUACUAGUAAAAAUUAAAUUGUAUGGAUUAUGUGGAAGAAGAUCAAUCUUUGAGGGUGGGGUGGAUUGGAAAAGAAAAUAAAGUUUUAAAGGUUUAGGAUUGCGGGUUGUACAAAACGUUAGAAGUGUUUUGUGUCGUUACCCAACACAUGAAUGCACGAUAUUAAUAUUUUGCAUUUUAGCUAUUAUUAGUUCUUGACCUAUUAUUUAUUUCAUUUGAAAUAAUGCUAUAUAAGCGAUGAAUCUUUGUUUGUUACAUUAAGUUUUAGUUUUUAAAAAAUUGCAAUUAACAUUUCAUUUCGGAUGCUGAUCAUAUUCGAGGAUCAGCAAUACACUUCUUAACGAAAAUUUUGGCCUCUAAUACGUAAAAAAUUUAUUGGAGGAUAAUUGAAAAGAAAUUCAAAACUCGAGCAAUAUUGUGCAACGAACAAAGCUCUACAAAUCUUUAUUUUACUAAAAAGUAUAAUAUAUUAGUUUAAAUGCAUAAACAAAUCAUAUUUAAAGUAAAUAUACUUAUAGAAUCUUGACCUAACAUCCAGAAUAUGCUUCCAACAAAUUGAUUAAAUUAAUAAUGUCUUUCAAAAUUGAUCAACGCCAAAAGGACCAUAUAUUAUUUGAUUUAUUUCAACUUGUCCCUAAAAUAUAAGAACAAAACAAAAUAUAUAUACGUGAUUCAUUUCUACAUAUUCAACUUGGCAUAAUAUACAAUAUUAUUAUUUCGUCUCUUACAAUCAUCACUUUUGUCGUGAGUCGGCAAUUCUAUAUUAUGAAGUUUUGUUCAGCGAUUAUAAAUCCAAGACUGAUCCAGUGACAGAAAUGUCCCUGCUUCUUUAUCUUGCAGACAACCUUGAAUAACAAACUCAAGGCGUAGUUUACUUCAAAUGUAAAAGAAUGAUGUAGAAUAAUGCACAACUUAAUCCCACUGCAACUGGCAUUCUAUUUAGUUUUAGGAGAAAUGUAUCCCUAAUUUGUUUGACAAUGUUGUAGUGACUCUGUAACAACCUUAAAUCAGUUUUCAUCACUACUAAUCAGUUAUCGACACUAGGGCUGUGCAAAUCUCCCGAACCGAACCAAUCGAACCGAACCCGACGGUUCUUGUCAAAUUAAAUACCCGAACGGGUAUCUAAAUUGAGAACCGAUGGGUACGGUUCGGUUCUUGGUUCUAGACCAAGAACCGAAGAACCGAAUAAGAACCGAAUCUUUCUAAUUUUUUUUUAUAUUGAGUAAAUCAUUUUAUUUUAAUCUUAAUUUUUUCUAAACAAAUUAACAAAUUAACGAUUUCUAAAUCCAAAUUUUUGGCCCAUAAUUUGUUUCAUUUCUAAUUUUUUAAUUUUUGGCCCGAUUACCCAUUUUAUUGUUUCAUUUUUUAGCCAAACAAGAUCAAAUCCACUAAAUAAUCCUAAACACCUACACUAAAGUGCAUAACAUUGUCUCGACUCUCGCACUCACUCUUGCAGCCUCGCUAAUAUUCCAAAACCUAUACGAUCGUCGGCCGACACUGUGACCUCCGAUCGAAGCUGUGACCUCCACCGACCGAAGCUUUGAUCGUAGCAAUCAUUUGAACAAGGUAGUUUACUAGUCUCUAAUAUUCCAAAAUCAUUGAAUGUAUCAUUAGUUGUAUUUAUAUUAUGUUGUUAUAAAUGUUAAAAAAUUUAAUUAUAAUACAGAACCGAACGGAAUCGAACCGAACCGAACCCGAACGGUUCCAUAAUUAUAUUUGGACCUGACGAUUCCAUUUACUAGAUACCCGAAAAUUUUGGUUCGGUUCGGUUCUAAAGAGAAUCGAACCGAACCGACCCGCGUCCACCCCUAAUCGUCACUACUAACGAAAAAUCCAGACGGCCCAGAAGCAAUUGAAAUAAAUAAUAAAAGUUAAGCAUUCAAUAAACAAUUAAAAUAAAUGUUAAAUAAACAAGUAAACAAUUAAAAUAAAUAAUUAAAUAAAUAAUUGAAAUAAAUAAUGAACAUUUAAAAAAUAAAUAAAUAUUUUAAAUAACAAAUAAAUAUAAAAAUCAAAAUAAGUAAUUUAAAUAAACAAUUGAAAUAAAUAUCUAACAUUUAAAAUAAAUAUUAAAUAAACAACUAAACAAAUAAGAUAAAUAAUUAAAUAUUUACGUUCAAAUGUUCAAUAAAUAAUUUAAAUAACCAAUAAAUUUAAAUAAUUUAAAUAAAAUAUUGAAGCAAAUAAUAAAAAAUUAAGCAUUCAAUAAACAAUUAAAAUAAAUGUUAAAUAAACAACUAAACAAUUAAAAAAUAAUUUAAAUAAAUGUUUAAAUGUUCAAUAAAUAAUUUAAAUAAACAAUUGAAACAAAUUAAAUGAACAAUUAAAAUAAAUAAUAAAGAAUUAAACAUUCAAUAAACAAUUAAAUUAAAUAUUAAAUAAACUAUUAAACAAUUAAAAUAAAUUAUUUUACAAAAAUUAUUUUUUCACUUUUUAUAAUUUGUUGUUUAAUUUUUAAUUACGUUCAUUUUCUUUAUUCCAUGAUUUGUUCUUUCUUGCAUAUAUUAGUUAUAGUUCAAUUAGUUUAAUUUUGUAAUAUUAUGCCUUAUCCAUUUUCAAUUAGCAAUGUUCUAACAUUUGAAAUUUUUCAGGAUAGAUUACCAUUUGGACGCCGUCAUAAGACAGAUUCCUGGCAAAGUUACGUCGAUCUGUAACUUUGCCAACUUCACAUCACUAUUGGAUUUAUUGAACGAGGAGCACGCGGAGAUAUUAUGUCGAUCCUGCUUAUGGGCCCUAUAUUCGCUACUUUUUGUACAGCUUUUCUGGGCAGUUGCUUGAUUCAUUACUAUAUCGACUGCUUAAGCCAGUAGACGAAGAUGCCCUUUACUUUGAUCUUGGGGGCAAGGUUGCUAUAUUUUCCAUAUUCAAGUAUGCCCUCAUCAUCGAAUUGAGAUUUAUGGGUGAAGAGCAGUAAGGACCCAUAUUCUGACAAACAAGAGGCUACUGAAUGAUUAUUUUAAUAGGCGCACGAUAGUGAUACUGGCGUAGUUAGGAGAUGCAUUCAGGGAAUGCGACCAGAUGUCUGACGAGUUGAAGUUGGGAAUAGUGUUUAUAAUCGAGAGCGUACCGAGGUAUCAUCAUAGGAAGACAUCGAUUAACGUUUUUUAUUUAAAAGUUAUUGAUGACAUCGAUACGCUCAACAACUAUCCAUGAGGGCAGAGAUACUUUGGUGAUACUUUACGUGUCUUUAGGAGGGGGCAUGAAAUGCUUAGGGGGGAUAAGCCCGAGUGAAAAUACGAUGCAUAUGGCCUAUCGUUAGCUUUGCCAGUAAAUAUUUAACGUAAUGAAUUAUCUGCCUUUUUAUUAAAUUUUACAUAUAAUAAUUGUAAUUGUUGCAGAUUUGAGCCUACGAGACUGUCAUCAUCCUGGCUGGUCAAUAUGCAAUGAGAGGGAAUACAUGUUGGCCUCGGAUACACUGCUGGCGAGCACAAGACAAGCCCUUGCAAAAUAAAUAUUAGCUCUCCUCAACAAUCAUGAUGUACGUAUUAUAUAUUUACGAUUUGUGUUGUAUGUCCUUUUCGAAAUCUCGAUACAUGGUCAUUAAUUCGAUAAAAUGUUAAUAUGUUAGCUUAAAGUCCUCAUUGAGUUGACACUGUUGAUCUAGGAGGAUGGUCAGAUUUAUAUCUGUGAUCUGCUGACAGUUCGUGCUACUCGAGAGAGGCCUGAGUCCACAGUGGAUCGAGCAAGGGUAUGUUAAUUGAAUAUAAUUUGUUGAUUAUCGUUAUAAUUUUUUAAUUAAGUUAUAAAUUUGUAAUGCUCAUUUUUUUAGGAGCGUCGUCCAUUAUCACCUUCGUCGAGGGUGUCACUGUAAUACUCCAAAAUUUUAUGCUCGUUUAUUUUGCUCGUUUAAAUUUUUUAGGAUAGCAAUUUAACUUUCAAUAUUCUAUUGGCCAAAAGAAAAGGGGGACGCCACCUUUGUAGUGAUUAAUGCUAGAGGUAGUUAAUGAAUGCAUGCAUGAAGUUCUAAAUGUUGUGUAUGCAUGAAGUGAUUAUUAGUUAGUCAAAGUCUAAGUCAAAUUUGGAUUUAAAUGAAGUAGAUUAUUUUAUUAGGACUUCAAUUGACCAAAUUAUUAAAUUAUUUUGUUAGGAUUUAUUUUACAAUCUACAAUAUUUGAAUAUGUAAGUUGGAUACAAAUUUAAUUUUGGGAUACACUUUGCUAAUAAUGAAAGUUAGAGGGAUUAUGUUAUAUUAUUUGGAAAAUGAGAGACUUCCUUUGUAAAUCUAGAAUUUGUGGCCACUUAUUAUCCUAUAAUCAAACCACUUGUCAUUUAUCAUUAUCAAACACUCAUGCACUAAGCUAAAAACGUGUUGAAGCAAGAAAAAAUGAGAAAAAAAAAAGGAAAAAAAAUGGAAGUUAGCAAAAGUGAGGCGGUGGGAUCAAAUUCAAUCCAUUAUCCUUAUUAUAUAUAUAUACACAUAUCCAUUGCCAUAGCAUAAUUACUUUCACUUUGAAAAACACUUGCACACACAAAUAGAGAGAAAAUCGACAGGAAGAAAAAAAAAGAAAGGGAAAGGAAGAAAAAGGAAGCAAAGCCUAGCAUUCUCAAUUCAUCUCUCAACUGAAAUUUCUUCAAGUUUUACUGCAAGAUACUUUCUAUGCUUAAAUGCUAUGAUUUCAUGGUAAUAUUUAUGCUUAAACUAUGCAUGAAAAACCAUAAUAUGAAUGUGGUGGACAAGUCCACAAAGUUGGAUAUCUAUUUAUGCCUUAGGACAAGUUCGAAGGGCACCGACAAGCCGGAAUGUGCAAGUAUGUGUUUGAUUGCAUUCUUUUGUAUAGUAUUAACAUGUUAAAAUCCAAGCCUGGUAUCUUACUGAGUAUUCCUUAUACUCAUAGUAUUCUAUACUAAAUUUUCAGAUCCAUAAUUGCGAAGUUGGUGGAAGUCAGUCGGCAUAAUCAAUGAUGGGUUAGGGACAAGGUUGUUUUGCAUCGAAGUUUUGUUUUUGCAUGUUUUGUUCGACUGCUUUCCAUAUGUUUUCUUAUGGUAUUGUAUAAAAACAUGUAUAAGACAUGAUGUAAUAUGGUACCGGAAGUAAAUUAUGCAAUUAUAUCUUCUAUGUUGUGUUAAGAGACAUUUUUUUAAAAACUUCUCUUUGCAAGUGACAAAAGGCAGAAACGGAACAGUUUUUGGGUCAACUUCAAAACGAUAUUUCCAACUCUAUAAACAUCCAUUUGAGACUCUAAAAAUAUUGCUGCGUUCCUCUUUGAGUUGUCUAAAUAUGGACGAGGAAUCAUUCAAUUUGAAUAACUACGGCCUGAGAUAUAAAUUUUUAAACGUCGAGGGGUCAAUCUGGAUUUCCUGUGCAAUACUUCACUGUUUUCAGUAAAGCGCCCAUAUCAUAUGAUCUUGAAAAAUUUUCAUAUUUUAACCUAAAAAACUACUUGAAUUAUCUUUCUAAUGCCUCAAAUUUCAUAGAAAAUGGAGUUGGGAUGAAUUUUAUAAAAAUAGUCGAACUUGCUGCCCCAACUAACCGUGGCAAUGCCGAGUCCGUAUAUGUAAAGUAUAAUUUCAUGUCGACAUGCACUUCUACCGGCCAUUAAAUUUUAUAAGAGAUAUUUUACCAAAUUGAAAAUAAAUUUCUAACAUGUAAUACUUCUAUUUAAGAGUAUUUACAUGUACCAAAGGCAAAAGCUAUUAUGUUUAGUACGUGACCCUCGAAACUUCAGUUCGGGGCGUCACAGUCACAUUCCCUGAGGAGGUCACCUGCCUACAUGAAAUCACUGUCUCUCGCAUCCAGACACCUUCCACGUGGAUCUCUUGCACGUAGUCACAGUGCUUCCAUCGAUGAUAUGUUCCGACUUAUGAUGGAGAUCAGAGGCGAAGUAGCUGAGUUACGAUGUGAGGUACAAGUCGGUUUAGGAGACCUUCAUGUUGAGGUCAUAACGAUACGGGGCGACAUAGCAGGCCUGUGUGGGACUUGCGGCUAUCAAGAUGGAGGGGGUAGUGGAGGGACUGGUGACUAUCUGGACAGAGGGACCGGUGGUUAUCAGGGGCGAGGGGGUCAGAUGGGGUGUGUUGACUCGUUCUGCCCAUCGGUUGAUGCAUUCGUUUCAUUUUUCGGAGGCACAAUGGAAAUGGAGGAUCAGGCCCUAAUGCAGAUGGAUGCAGAGGGGGUACCCGAAACAGAAGGGGUACCAGGAAGAGUUGGUGAGGGUGUCAGAGGUGGAGUGCAUACCGAAGUAGAAGGUGGUACCUGAGAGGACCCCAGACUCGCUGGACGUAGUUUUUGUGUCGAAGGGGGUGGGAAAGGGUAAGAAGCGUGCUAUUGACAUGCCGGAGCUGGUGGUCAGUAAGAGGCAAAGACAACCAUCACAGUACAUUGUUUCCCUAUUCACGACCAAGGCGAAGAGAAGAACGUCUGUAGACGAAAUGGUUCCCAAUCUCUUUCGUGAGGUCAACUAUGUCACGCAUAAAGCAUUCGAUACAUGGUUCAAAUCGCUUAAGUCCUGUAAGUAUUUUAUGAUUUCGCUAAAGUACAUAUGAGAUCAUCUAUGAUUUUCGUAACAUUUCAUUUUUUUCAUUUUUUAAGAGAUAGCUACAAGAUUAGAGAUAAGACCAUUUCGAACGCUAAGACGUGGUUUGAAGAUAUUUUGACACCGUCAGCUUGGCUCACCGAUGAUGUGAGUGUAAUCUCGAUGUUAUUUAUUAUGUUAUGAUUACAUAAUUUGUUGUUUUAUUUAAUUAAAUGGCCCUUUUUUAUGGAGUUUUUGUUUUAGCACGUCGACAUGGCCAUGGAGAUGCUGCGUGAUCGGGCUCAUAGACACUCUAGAUCUUUUGACAUUCCUGGCCGAGUCAUCCUAGGCUCCGGGUUUGCUCGUGACAUUGAUAUCGAGCACAUUAUGCUCCUGGACCAGGAGAAUGGAUAUGUGUUGCUAAUUACAUGGUCGAAUAGGUCAUUGGGAUAGAGCCAACAUGUAGAAAACCAUGGACGGAUUGUACACAUAUAUACGUGUCUAUGAUCGCGAACUUACACUGCUUUGCAGUUGAGAUCGCAAUAGUCGAUUUCACUAUCUAUGUGAGUCAACUGUAGCAAAUACUGGAGCCGAUGACCGUGAUUGUUCCCAUGAUGGAUAAAUAUACCGACGUUUCAGUAAAUUACAGAUUAGUCGUAAUGUGAGACAUGAAAAGAUUAGCCGUAAUGCGAGACAUGACGACAGCGAGAUAAGGAGUAUCGUAAAUAUUUACAAGUUUUUUAUUUGAAAACUUAGUUUUUAACUAUAUGUUAUUGAGCUAAUAUAUUAUUAUUUACUUGUAGAGGCAAUUGUGCUAUAUUCGUAAUAAAGUAUAUAGAAUUUUUGAAUAUUGAGCACAAUGUUGAUAAAAUAACCCAAUCUUGUAUAGAUAUGUGGAGGUUGAAGUUAGCAUGCGAUUUGUAUGAAUACAAUUGUGAUCCUUAGUACAUUGUAUAUUAUUUUAUUUAAAAAUGUAAAUAUUGAAUCGUGUUCCAAUACAACAGUUGUAUAAUAUUUGUUUUAUUUUAUUUAUUUAUUUAAAUAUUUCAUGAAUUAUGUUAAUUAUUUAUGUUUAUUGUUUAUUUAAGAAAAUAAAAAUAAUUAAAAUAAAUCAUUAAUAUAACCAAUGAAAAUAAUUAAUGGAAUAUUUGAAUAAAAAAUUAAAUCUAAUAUUUAACAUAAAUAAUAUACAUAACCAAUGAAAAUAAUUAGUGAAAUAUUAGAAUAAAAAACCAAAUCUAGUAAUUAAAAUAAAUAAUUAACAAAAAUAAUAUGCAUAACAAAUGAAAAUAAUUAAUGAAAUAUUUUAAUAAAAAAUUAAAUCUAGUAAUUAAAAUAAAUAAUUAACACAAAUAAUAUGCAUAACCAAUGAAAAUAAUUAAUGAAAUAUUUAAGUAAAAAACUAAAUUUAAUAAUUUGAAUAAAUAAUUAACAUAACCAAUGAAAAUAAUUAAUGAAAUAUUUAAAUAAAAAACUAAAGGGUUGUCCUCAAUUGAAAUUGUGAUAGAUUUUAAAAGUAAUUCUAAAUUUAGGUUUUAUUGAAUUUUAAUGGAAUCCAUGAAAAUUUGAGAAAAUUACAGUUGAGGCCCCAAACUUUUGAAAUAUUAGCAGACUUUCCCCAAACCUUUCAUUUGUGGCAACUGUCACCCCUAACUUUUACAAACAUUGUAGAUGAGGCCCCUUUGGACUGUUUUCGUCAAAAAUUUCGUUAGUUGACCGAAAAUUUGGACUUUGACCAUCUUUAAUCAAUUAUAAAGGGACAAUAGGGUAACUUUCUAUUUUCCACUUUAAAAAACUUAAAUAAAAAACAACAACAAAAUAAAAAAGAAAAAAGAAAAAAACAAAUAAAAAGGAAAAAAAUCUUCUUCUCCUUCGCCCCAACCCCAACCCCUAACAAUAUCAGUCUCUCUCUCUCUCUCUCUCUCUCUCUCCCUCUCUCUCUCUCACCCCUCUGCACUAAGGAAAUCCCAAAUCCAAAUGUGACGACGACGGCCUCAAAAACCCUAUGCAAUCUCCAUUCUUUCUCUAUAAAAAUGGCUUUUGAAGAACCAUCCCAAAACCCAACAAACCCUGAAGAUCAAUUGCAAAAUGAAGAAGGAAUGUCAGUUAUUUUUAUGCUGCUCUCAGCUGGAAUUAUAUUCCAAUGUCUCCCACCUGAACGGACGAAACACGUAUAGAACUUCAGGCAAGCUUUUGAAAAGAAGGGCUAUACACACAUACGGCUGCUAUGGCCACCAUUGAGAGUAUUGCAUGCUUAUAAAGCAAAGUUUGACGGCUGCUUCUGUAAACCAAUUUAUGAUUACAAAUACCAUAGGGACGCGAAACACUUCCUUCGAACAUUCCAAUUUCAAAACCAGUCGUCGUCCCUUCAUUUUUCUUCUAGUUCUUGUUCAAAAAUGUCAACAGUGGUUACUNNNNNNNNNNNNNNNNNNNNNNNNNNNNNNNNNNNNNNNNNNNNNNNNNNNNNNNNNNNNNNNNNNNNNNNNNNNNNNNNNNNNNNNNNNNNNNNNNNNNNNNNNNNNNNNNNNNNNNNNNNNNCUUUAUUAUUUUUGGUUUUGGGUGGGUGGGUGGGUGGGGAAGAAGAUCCAUUUUUCUUUUCAUUUCCUUUUUUUGGGUUUUUGAUUUAGGGUUUUUAAGUUUUUUAAAGUGGAAAAUAGAAAAUUACCAUAUUGUCCCUUUAUAAUUGAUUAAAGAUGGUCAAAGUCCAAAUUUUCGAUCAAGUAACGAAAUUUUUGACGAAAACCAUCCAAAGGGGCCUCAUCUACAACGUUUGUAAAGGUUAGGGACGACGGCUGCCACAAAUAAAAGGUUUGGGGAAAGUCUGCUAAUAUUUCAAAAGUUUGGGGCCUCAACUGCAAUUUUCCCUUAAAAUUUAGGUACCCCCAAUUGAAAUUUUAAUAAAAUCCUUUAAGAUUUAGGUAUCCCCUAUAAUUAAUGGAUUUAUAAAGAUUUCAUUAAUAGAAGGAUUUUAAAAAUUUUAGAUGGAUUUCAAGCUUAAAAAUUCAUAUAAGUAAAUCUUUUUAAAUUUCACCAUAUUUGAUGAUAUUCUUAUGAAAUUUGUAAAAAUCUAUUCAAAUUCACAAAAUUCAUUAGAAUUUAUAAUCCAUUAAAAUUUUAGUUGAAAACACCCUUGUAAAUCUAAUAAUUAAAAUAAACAAUUAACAUAACCAAUGAAAAUAAUUAAUGAAAUAUUUAAAUAAAUAAAUUAAAUCUAAUAAUUAAAAUAAAUAAUUAAAAAUGUUAAAAUAAUGUUAUAAAUAAUUACAUUGUCAAUAUUUUAUUAACAGAUGUUAACUUUUAUUAAAGUAGGCAAUAAAAAUCAAUGUUACAUUGUCAAUAAUUUCACAUUUAUUACAUUGUCAUGCAGAGGAAUCUGACUUGUACAAAAUCUUCUAGUGUGUCCUGUUGCACCGCACCUACUGCACUUAUGAAGUCGAACAAAUUCUUCAGUAGAUGAUAUUCUAGACGUAUGUGUACGUCCAGGACUACGUGGUCUGACUGUUGGUGGCAACAAGUUAUUAGUGAGAGAAUAUGGCCGGGAGCUUCCCACUCGACUUCAUUUGGUACCUGAAAUAUUGUUUCGACAUACGCUGCUCUCCAAUAAUCAGUCAUGUAAUAAGUACUGCAUAAGGUGUGUGAUAGAAAUCCUCUAUGCCUAGCCAUUGCAUGUGUACAUGGAAAAUUCUCCAAUUGAAAUUAUCUACAUGUGCACGUGUUAUCAUUCAAGUCUACGAUGUAUCCAAAAUUACGUGCACAUCUCAUGCAGAAGUGAAACUGAUCCAAUGGUUCUACAUAUACAUUUCUCAUCACCUUUAGAGUCUUGAAGAGUUUAUUAUUCUGAGCCGGGGUUUGUACACUUGUGCAAUUCCAUGAUUUAUCACGUCGAUCAUGAAACCACUGUUGUUGCUUGUCACGAAUGUUCUCAGUCAUUGCGAGAUUGGUAACUUUCGAUCCUUCUUGAAUAAGGCAUUGAGCGACUUCACAUUUUUCGAUGUCAUCAUAUUGUAUCUACGUCUUGAAAAAUAUGAUCGUGCCCAAUGUUCGAUCCUCAUCUCUGUUAGAUACUCCUAUGCAGCACACAAUUUACUUUCUAUUUCAACCAUGAACUUCUUAAACUCUUGGAAACUGUAAGCAUCCGUAACUCUCCUAAACAAUGUAAUGAUGCCACUGCCUCGAUACAUGGUCUUCAGGUUUCCCCGUAUAUGGUACAUACAAUAACCAUGAUGUACCUCGAAAAAGACUUCGGCAAUACCAUUUAUUAUUGGCUGCCCUCGAUCGGUUACGAUUGCAAGGUUCUCGACAUCCCCAAUUACUUCCCUCAACUUCGUGAAAAAUCAACAUAUCGCUAAAUCAUUUUCUCCGUCGAUUAUACCGAAUGCAAGAGGGUAAAGUUGGAUGUUGACAUCUUGACAUAUUGCAAUAAUCAACUUGUCCCCGUUUCUAACCUUAAAAUUUGUAUUGUCGACAAGGAGUAGGGGUUGCUUUGCGUUUCGAAAUCCUCGAACAUAUUGUCUAAGGGCCAUAAAAAAUACUUGAAGCGAUUCUCGUCAUCCUUCUCAAUAAAAAAUGCCCAUCCAAUAUUAGCUUUUUUCAUGUUAUAGCAAUACUUGGCCUAUUUAAAUAAACAAUAAUCAUAUUUAAAUUAUCAAUUAAAUAUUAAAUAAACAGAAAAAUAGACAAUUAAAUUAAAUAAUUAAUUAGAUAUGAAAAUAAACAAAUGAAUUAAAUAAUUAACAAUUAAAAUAAAUAUUAAAUAAACAUCUAAAUAAUGAAUAACUUGAUUAAUUUAGCAUAACUCUCCCCGUCGAACCCAUCAAGUCCUCCAAUGUGCAUUCUUUGGCUUUCCAAGCCUUCUAAUAGCUCAUGACUAUCCCGUCCUCUCGACGAACGUCAUUAAUGAGGUUCGAAAGUCUAUAGAUCGUUCGUGGGUCCUGAAAUUUGUGCAUUAUUUCUCAACCAAUGAACCAUGAUCGGGCUUGCCUAUGAUUAUUUCAACGAAUACCCACUUCGCUAGUAUAUUUCCAUGCAUACUUACGAACUACAAAGAACUCAUUCGUGUCAAUAUUCGUCGCUCACAAACAUCAAUGGUAAAUGUCGUCAACCUAGACAAUAGUGUAAGUCGACUUGUUUGAUUUCUUCACUUUAAACUCAAAAUUAUGUUUCAAAGCAAUCUGAUAAAUAGCUUCUUGCAAAUCUUUCUUCGUGCCAAACAGUUACUCGACAUACAAAUCUUCAUCAUUGGAAACUAUACACGAAUAAUUAGAGGACCACUCACUCAGUCCAGCCUGUGCGCUCCCACUCAACUCAUGUCUCAGACGAAAUAAAGCAAUCAAAUUCUCAUUUGUAAAGUCAUUGUCUUUUUCAUUGUCUUGAACUACCGAGGAAAUUUUGUGCUUAACAGUGAGAUCAUGAUGAGGAGCAACAAUCUCUAGAAUAGUGAUAUCAUCCUCACGAACUAUCUUUACUGUAUCCCAAAACUCAUUCACUUUACAAUCCCCACCAUCGAAAUCUUCGUGUUUACCCUCAGGGACAUCUUCUUCAUCAAAGUUACGCAAAUGGGAAUCGUAUGUUUCUGGUUCAUUUCAGUUUUAGAAGUAACCAUUAUAGAUGGAAUUGAAAUGAAUGUAUGCUCGCCCAUUAAAAAUCCAAAUUCCAUGUCGUACUGAGAUGGAUCGACUUUGAGCAAGUUCUAUAACUUAUUGUACAUUUCUGCAUACGAUGUACUUGAUGUUAUCACAAUUACAGUAAAAUCAUGUCUUUCACUCAUCCAUUUUCACACCCACCGAUCGUUUUCAUUCUUUUUAAAUUCACCAAAGUAACAAAUCAGAACUCCAGCAGAUCCUAUAUCUGCGUUAGGAAACAUUAUUUAUUAAAAAUUUUGUAAUUACGAGGAUAAAAAGAGGGAAAAAAUAUGCUAGGCCUGACUAAAAUAGAGAAAAAUGGUAUAAAAAAGGGCCCAGGUAGCCUGUGCUGGCUGUUGGCUCAGAUGACUGUCAAUAGCCAACCCGGACGUUCGAGCUAGAUGGCCCGGACUGUCUGUCUGAUUUUUCGAUUUUGCGUCAAUUUUUUUCGAAAUAAUAUACAUAUAGAUGAAUCUUUUUCCUCGCUUUUGCUAAAAAAUUAUAUAUCCGUUUAAGACUGUAAUAAUUUAUUGGCCUACAUCGAAAUAAGAUUUAAAGAUUCAAACAAUAUACUAAUUGUAUUUAUACUUAUCAAUUUCGAGUAAUGGCUAUACAUAAUAUUUUCUUAUUGAGUCUCUGAUAAUUUUAUAAGAUUUUAAUAUUCGAGCAGAUGGAAGAGGAAAUUUCUUUUUAACUGUGCUGGAGAAUCUAAAAAGGAAAGUGAUUUGAUUUUAAAAAGUGAAAAGUGUUUGGGUUUAUUUAUUUUUUAAACAAGGGUAUUAUUGUCUUUGGAACAAAUGAUAUAUUUUUGUAUUUACGAAAUAUAAUAAGGGCAAAAAUGACAUUUACUUUUCAAAAGGUCCUUUUGGUGAAUGGCAAAAAAAUAUUGAUCAAUGUGACAAAGUUGUUCUUUGACUUGGUGCUUUUGAAAAGUACCCCAUCCAAAAUAUGCUUCCAAAAAAUUGACUAAAUUAAUAAUAACUUUCAAAAUUGAUCAACCCAUAUAACCACUGGCGGACCCACAUGGGGUCAAAUGACCUCAUAGUUUUUUUCUUUUUUCUUUUUUUUACCUUGCUUAAAAUGUAAUUUUCUGUCAAAGUAGUGAGCCAAUCCAAUUAAUUUCCCUAACCCAAUGCCCAAAAAGCCCAAACCCAAAUCCUAUUGUAGUAGCAUAUGAUCUUAUUUUCGUUAAUAAUACGUUGUUCGAAAAAAAAUCAUUUUUGACCCCACAGUUUGAACUAUCUGAGUUCGUCCCUGCAUAUAACGACCAUAUAUUAUUUGAUUUAUUUCAACUUGUCCCUAGACUAUAAGAACAAAACAAAAUCUAUAUGUGAUUCAUUUCUACAUAUUCAACUUGGAAUAAUAUACAAUAUUAUUAUUACGUGUCUUGCAAUCAUCACUUUUGAUAUAUAUGUGAUUCAUUUCUACAUAUUAAACUUGGCAUAAUAUACAAUAUUAUUAUUACGUGUCUUGCAAUCAUCACUUUUGUCUUGAGUCGACAACUCUAUAUUAUGAAGUUUUGUUCAGCCAUUAUUAAUCCAAGACUGAUCCAGGCAUCUUUGACAAUGUCAUAGUGACUCUGUAACAACGUUAAAUUAGUUUUCAUUAGUCUAGGGGCGGAUCUAGGUGGUGGCCAUAGCCCUAGCUGGAUUCACUCGGGAGAUUUUUUUUAUUUUUGCGGAUAAUAGAUAUAAUUUUUAGAUUAUAUACUUGAUAAUUCAUGUUAAAAAUUAAUAUUUCUAGUAGCUUAGUUGGUUAACCAUUCCAUUAUUGAAUUGAAGGUCAGGUGUUUGAGACUCUUCAAAGCAAUGUUUUUUACAAUUUUUGUAUCUCAACAAUUUUUACCAAAACAAAUGCAAGGAAAGUGAUCCAAACUUGCUACCUUUCUUAAACAUAUUGACCACUUCACCAUCAUAGUACUUAUUGAUUUUUAGCACAUAAUGUAAUAAAAUAACAUAUGUUCAAUUUUACUGGGUUAGUGCAAGUAGAAACAUAUUAACCGGUGCUUUGUCCCUCUUCUUGAUUUUCUUUUUCUUUUCUUUUCUUUUUUUCCCCUCUAAUCAAUUGAUUUGAGAGUUUGGUUAAUUAAUGAUGGAUGAAUUUGUAGGAAAAUCGGCCUUAGUAUCAUAAGGAAUCUUUCAACAAAACUUAUUUAAUUAAUAAAAGAUUCCACUUUUCGUUCACAAAAAAUGGACUGCGAAAAAGUGGAAUCAUACACGCACAUAAAAUUGAUAUAAACACAUAAAUAAUUUUAAUAUUGUUAAUAUAAUAAUGCUUAUUUAAUUAACUUUAAUUGUAAACUGAAUAUUGACAUUUUGUUAAUAUAUAUUAUCUAUUUAAUUGAAAAAUAAGUUAGGGCAUUUUGCAGAUUAUGAAACGAUUUUUCCAUCCAAAAUGAAAGUUCGUACAUAGUUCUAAUUUUUCUAGUUCUAAUUCGUACGAUUUUUUGAAUAUUAUUUAAAUAAAAAUUAAUAAACAAUCCCGCUAUUAAGGAUGUUGGCCAUUGAUAGGGAGCUUUCAACGCUCGUGGUUCAUCAUAGCCGAACUUGACCCCUAAAUUCGCCCCUGAUCACUACUAAUGGUAAUUUUAUUUCAUAUUUAAUUCUAUCUUAGUUUUAGUUCUUCAUCAAGUGCAGCGAUACUUGGGUUAUUUAAUUAGACUAAUUAUUUCUCGUUGAGAUGUAUACUUUACACAACAUAGACACAGAUAAGCAAGAAAAAUAGCAUCCAAUGACGAUGCAUCACUAGAACACCUAAUAAUUAGGAAAAAACUCCAACUAGUUUAUUUAAUAUUAAAAAACAACCAACUUACUGAUGUGGUGCAGAAGGGAUUAAACUUUAUGGCAAAAUGGAAUCGAAGCAAAUAAAAAUAGGCAAUUUCCUAAUUUUUGGAGAAAUAUCCCCCGACGCAUGACCAAUUUCGGGCAAAUUCUUUUGUUUAGGCAUUCGUUUGUGUUUUUUUUUUCCUUUUUUGGUAAUUUCUGUUUUAUUUAUCUCAUUCAAAUAAAUUAGGAUUUAAAUUCUAUUUGCUAGAGGAUAAUCCUGAAUUAGUCACUAUCUCAAAUUUUUCUAUUAUCAUCAUCAUCAUCAUCAUCAUCAUCAUCAUCAUCAUCAUCAUCAUUGUUAUUUUUAAUUUUUCCAAAAUUUCCUAGGAUUUUCACUAUAUAAAGCAUUGUAAACUCUUUGAGGGCGUAUUAAUUGAAAGAAAUAAAAUUUUGGUGAGUUUUUUAUUUUUGUGAAAUUUGUUCAUCUUUUCUAUAAGUUUCCGCUACGUCACUUAAAAUGAACCUAACUCUAAAUAAACCUUAGCAACUAAAAAUGACCAAAUGUUCCCGAACUAAAAUAUUUCAUUAAGAAAUAAACUAAAAGUAGAUUUAAAAAUGAAAUAAACCAAAUUAAAUAUAUAAUAUCAGUAUCUAUCACGACUUUUCAUUUGUGUCAAAGGAACUUGUUUGCUAAAAUUGCAAGCUAACAAUAUAAAGGCAAGUUAGCUAGUGAUAAAUAUAAUUGUCCCAACAAAUUGACCCAUCAGCAGAGUUGUAUAAUGUCCUCUUGAUAGUUAGUGUCAUAUAAGGUUUCACAAACUACAAAUACUGACCUAGACGAUAUUUGUAGGAGAAUAGUUAAAAAUGAAAUAGAGUACAGUUCGUACGUAUUGAUAAUUAAAAGAUGAAGAAUAAUGAUGAAAUGGUGGGGGGAUUUUCUAUUUGGCCUAUUACUGUUCCUUUUCAUGGAAAAGUCUAUAUUGCCCUUAACGAAAUUAUUCUAUCUAUAUUGCAACAUAUAUCUCAAUCUUUUUAAAUUAUAUUCUAUUUUUAAUUUUUGAAUAUAAUUUCAUUCUAUGAUCUAAUAAAUUGGAAUAAUUUGCAACAUGUUGUUCACAUUUAUUAUGUAAUAUAUUAUAUUCUUUAGAAGAUGCAUCCAUAUGUUCUAAUUGGAAAUAAAUAUUUUUUAUUUCUUCUAACAUUCUUUCUAAUGAAUUAUCUAAUCCUUUAAUUGUACAUCCUGACAUUUAAUCAUACAAAUAAUCAUCAAAUCAUGCAAUUAAUCCAUUUGAUUCUCUAAGAUCUAAAAAUAUUCAUUCUAAUUUUAGCAAAAAUUUAUUAGUUUUACCUUAAAUUUGAUCAGGAUCUUUAUUCUUAGAAUCGAGUGACCUUUAAGCUCUGAAUAUGUAAACUGCUUUCUUCAAUGGCCUUCUGCCUUCACGAAAUCUUUACUAUUUCAGUUUCUUGCUCUCAUUGUAUCAACUCUAAAGAUUAAAAUUUUAGACUUCUAUCAAAAAAAACUUUCUUUUUGCUAAAAUAAAAAGAAAACUUUCUAUUAGAUCCUUCAAGAAUCUAUGGGAAUCAAGAUUUAGAAAUUCAUAUUGAUAUCAAAAUAUUGGAAUUUUAUUUUUAUCAGAAUUUAUAUAAGAUUUGGUACAAAGGGAUUUCUAGAAAAACUGAUUUUGGAAAUGUUGAUUUUCCACUACAAAUUGAGCUUACAAUUUGAGAGAAGAUACUUUGAUUUCAAGAUGAUUUUUCUCUAUUAAAAUGUCUCUAUUUAUAUAAAUACAUGAGACUCUAUUAUUGAUCUAUUACAUCAGCAAAGACACACUUGCCUUUCUAUUAUUGUCCUCCUUGGACCUAUAUCUUCACAUGCAGCAUUUGAUUUUUAUUAAAGGAACUUCUAUAAUUGUCCUCUUUUUUUCUAGGUCUCCACAUGCUUUUUCAACUUUUUAUCCAACGAGCAUCUUUCUCUAUUAUUGUCAUCUAUCUUUUGUCUUCACAUGCAGUUAGGGCACUCCCUGAGCUGACAUGAUUCUUUUAUAUUAGUAGGACAUCCUGAAAAUUAAUGUAUUUCGAAUUUUGUAAUGUAGUCCUUCAAGAUUUCUGAUUUUUCAUUUCCUCCAUUUGAUACCAGCAUCCAGUUUUCAUAUUAACACAAGCAUGAGAAUUUUUUAUCAAACAGAUUUUUAGCAAUAUUGUAUAUGACUUUAAUUCCAAGUGCUCUUCUAUGUCUGAUCCAUGACUUUGUCUCUGAGGGAACUUUUCUAUCAUUCUGUGUAACAUCUAUUUGAAAAUUGGCUGCAAUAUAUCCAAUUGAGAUUAUGUGUUCAACUGGAUAGUAAACAACUCCAUCAUGUUUAGGACUUAUUGAAAAGAAUUUCAAAUAUAUUCUUGGCUCUUGACAAAUCUGGACACUUCUUUUAUGAAUAUGUCAUUAAAUUUUGAAAUUUCAAUCAGAUCUUUUCUUGGAUAUAUCAAAUCCAUAAAUCCAUAGUUUGCCAUAAUCUUUAUAAAUGAAGGAUCUCCUCCUUCUAUGGUUGUUAUUUUGGGAUAAAUAUUAUCUUCCGGAGAGAUAAAAUAUGAAUCACUUAUUUUUAUUUCAUAAGCAAUUCUGACUAUUUUGGCAUACUCUUCUUCUUUUUGAUCUAAAGGGAUUGUAUCAUCUUGGUCUAUAAUGCUGAUAGUUUUGGAAUCUCUUUUAUCUCCAUGUAUCAUCACUUUUUUGAUUGAUGAUACAGAAAUGAAAUCUCAUUUUUUAUCAAUUGGCAUGUUGUCACGUCUGGGUCCACUGCUGCUUCUAGCUGUCCCUGUAUGGUAUUGAAUUGGAAAACUCAUUUUUGAGCUCUUUGGUAUAUCUGUCCCAGACAGUAUAUCUUUUAGUUGCGCUGCAAUAGCAUCAACUUGUUUUUGAGUUCUAUGGCCUCUUUAUGAUGCUCAGUAGUGAUAUUUAACAAUAUUUUUAUAUUUGAGUUGAACAUCUCUGAGAUCUGUGUUGCUCAAGUAUUUACGUCUUCAAAUUCUUCUUUAAGAAAAUCUGUCCUUUUUGUAUAUGUAUGAUAGAUUGGUAUAGCUUCAUGACCUUGGCUUAUCUAUCAGCAAAUUCUAUGUUUCUGUUGAGAAAAUCUGCAAAAAAAUUAUUAACUCCUUUAAUAUGAACUAUAUUAAAAUUAUAAAAUGCUAAAUAAGCUUGCCAUUUAUGGAGCCUUCUGUAUUGAGGUUCUGAUGAUAAUUUAUUCUUGACUAAUCUUGCAACUUGAGAAUUAUCAGUUUCAACAAUAAAUUUCUUGGAUAAUAAAAAUAAUGAGAACUUUUUUAUCCCCUCUAAUUAUUACUAGUAGUUCUUUUUCAUGAAUGGUAUAAUUUAUUUCUACUUGAUUAAAGGUUCCACUUGAAUAUUUACAAAUUUCAUUUAAAUCUGUUUUUAAUAUUGCUGCACAAUAUUUAUUUGAGGUAUCUGUAUUCACAUUAAAUUAUCUUUUUCAUCUGGUAAUCUUAGUUUUGAUAAAUUUUUACAUUCUUCUUUUAAUGAUUUAACUAUUUCUGUAUGUUCUUCAUUCCAUCCUUUAGUGUUUGUUUUUCUUAACAAAAUUUGUAUUUUAUGCCUUUUUUUAGAAAGAUUUUCAAUAAAUCCUUUUACAUAAUUUAAAUAUCCUAAAGAUUUUCGUAUUUGUUCUUUAAAUUCUAAUUUAUCUGAAAGACUUUCUAUCUUUUUAGAUAAAUUAGUUUGCAAUUUUAUUCCUCUUUUAUCUAUUGAUAAUCCAAGAAAAUCUAUAUCUUGCUUUUUAUUAUAGAUUUUCUUUUAUAAAGUACAAUUCUUUCUUUUUUACAUUCAUUUAUGAAUUGGAUUAAAUGAUUCUUAUGUUCUUCUUUACUAUUAGAACAUAUCAGUGUGUCAUCUAUAUAAACAAUUAGAAUUUCAUUAAAAUUUUUAAAUAUAUUAUCCAUUUUUUUGAUAUAUUUGUGGUGUAUUUUUUAAUCCAAAUGACAUUACUGACCAUUCAUAUUUUCUUUGAGGUGUACUAAAUGCAGUAUAUUGUAUACUAUCUUCUUCCAUUUUUAUUUGUCAAAAUCUUGAUUUACAGUCAAAUUUAGAAUAAUAUUAUUUUCCUUUUACAAUGUUUAUUAAAACUUCUUUAUUUGGUAGAAAAUAUCCAUCAAAUUUAUUAUAUUUUUUUAAUUUUUUAUAAUUUAUAACCAUUCUAGCUUUUCCUUUAACUUGUUCAGAAUGUUUCAUGACUAUAAAGAUUGGACUACUAUGAGCUCCAUUACUUGGUUUUAUAAGUUUCUGUUCUAAUAAUUCUUUUACUUGAUUUUUGAAUUCUUGUAUAUCUUCUAUAGUAUACAUCAUUCUCCAUAAUUUUUUUAAUUUUUUCUAUACUUUUUUAUACAAUAUUCUUUUAUUUUUUAUUUCAUUUUCAAAACAUUUUUAUACAAUAUUUUUUUUAUUUCAUUAAAUAUGAUUAGUUUUUUCUCCCAUUUAUCACCACGUUGGGCUAAAUGAACUCUAUAAGGUCUAAAUUCUCUUGAAAUUUUUAAUAAAUAUCCACAAGGUGUUUGUAGUAUUAUCAUAUAAUUAUUUUGCUUAUAAUAUUGAAAUUGUUGUAUAAAGUCAUUUCCUAAUAAUAUAUCACGCUAUAAUUUAUCAUAUUUAUAUACUUUAUUUAUUAUAACUUGUUUACUUCCAAGAAUUACAUUAAUUUUAUCACCACUAUUUAUUACCUAGGUACUUUCUCCUGUAAAUCCAGUUAUUUUUAUAUUAUUAUUAUUAUUCCAUGAUUUUAUUAAAAAAAUUUUAAAUAUUGUUAUAUCACUUCCUGUAUCUAUUAAAGCAUAAGUUGUUGUGUUUGUUUCUAUAAUAGUAACUUGUAUAUAUACAACUAAUGAAAAACUUAUCUGAUUAUUCAUUUAAUUCUUUUUACAUAAUAUAGUUGGUCCAUUAUGGACCAUAUAUAAUCCUUCUCUUUUUAUAGUAUAAUCUUCUAAUUCAUUUAUAAAACUCAUUCCUAAAAGUAUAUGAGGGUUUAUAUCCAUACUUUUAUCUAUAUAACACGGUACUAAAAGAUCCAUUCCUCCUUUUUUAUUGGUAUAUUGACUUCCAAAUCUGUAAUAUGUACCCGUCCAUCAAAAUUUACAUAUCUAUAUGGAUCAGUUUUAUAAGUUAUUAAUCCUUUAUUUCUGAUUGAAGUUAUAUUACAUUCACUAGCUCCUGUAUCCAUUCAUAUAUUUGGUCCAUUUAUAUUUUCUCUUACAUUAUAAUAUUCUUCUUCUAUUUUCAUAUUUCCAGCAUUCCUAUAUAUUUUUAUUUCUUUUAUAUUAUUAAAUUCUUCUAACUGGUUUUUGUUAGGUAUUCUAAGACUUUUUGAUCUUUUGAUUAAUUUUUCAUCCUUAAAUGUUAUAUUAUUAGAACAUUCUCCUUCAUUUAAUUUUGUUAUUUCAGGUUUAGUUUUUGUUAUACUGAAUUCAUAUUCUUCCGAAAUUAAACUUAUAUAUUUAUUUGCUUAUAUUAUUUUGCUAAUAUCUUUGCAUUCUUUAUGUACUUCAAUAUAAGGUCUAUUGGAAUAAAUAUUUUUAUAAUUAGAAUGGAUAAAUGUGUAUAAAGCUCUAUACUCUAUGGUAUUAAUUUGAUAACCUGAUUACAUAAUAUCAUCUCUAAGCAAUUUAAAGUACAAUCCUAAAACUUCAUUAAAGUUUCUAUAUUUCAAUGAUACACAAUAUUUUGGGUAACAUGUAAACAUUAUUUUUUGAUAUGCCAUAUUUCCUUAUAUUGUUCCUAAAUGACUAUCUUUUAAAUUUAUUAUUCUUCCAUCAUGUAAAGUUAUAGUUAAUGGUGAAUCUAUUCCUUCUCUAAGUAAUGAUUUAAACAUUAUUUGUAUUCCUACUAAAUAAAUAUAUUGGAUUUUUUCACUUUGUUUUUUUACUAUCUUUUGUUAAUAGUUCUUCGACUGUAUUUUUUGUUAAAAGAUUUAAUUUAUGUUGUCCAUAUGUUGUUCUUACAUCUAUGGUUUUUUCUAUUUUGUGAUAUUCAUUUAUGGCUAUUUUUUCUCUUUUCCAAAUUCUAUCUAAGACUUCCCAAUUCCCUAUUUUUAAAUUUAAAGAUAAUUUUUGUAAUUUUCUAAAUUUAUUUUUAUCAAAGGUAAUUUUUAAUUCAUAUCAUUUUAUUCCUUCAUAUUCUUGUAUAUUUAUAUUAUUACUUUCUAUUUCCUCUAUUUCUUUAUCAGAUUCUGAUUCAUCAUCCUCUGUUUCACUUAUAUAAAUUGCUUGAUUAUAAUAUUCUUCAACAUCUGAUAUUUCAUUUAAUUCAUCUUUUAUUUCCAAGUAUUCUUUUUGUAAUAUUUUAACUUUCUGUCUAUCACAAUGAGAGCUUAUAUGACAUAUUUCUGCACAAUUACAACAUUUACAUUGGCUUUUAUUUUUCUGUCGACUAUAUGAGAUAUUUUUUCUUUUAUAAUAUAUUCUUCUAGGUUUUAUAUAUUUUUUUUAUUAAAAUUUCUAAAUUUUUUAUUUUUAUAUUUUCUUUUAUUAACCCUUCUUUUAGGAUUACAUUCCCACUGUAUAGGAUUUUCCAUAUCUUCACAACAUAUUCUAGUUAAUUUUCCUGAUUUUUUCAAUAAUUAUUUUUGUUGACAUAUAUAUGCAAGUCUUUCAAAUAAAAAAUUUAUUUUUGAACCUAAAGUUCUAGGUGUUCCAACAUUGUCUCUAACAUAUUUUUCAAAUUCUAUUUUAAAAUAUAUUCCCAAUGAACCUGAUAAUUUAUUAUAGUAUAUAUCUUUGUAUACUUCUUGGUUUUUAUUACUAUAAAAUUAAACAUAAUAAUAAUUUCUAAAUUCACAAGAAUAUUAUUUAAUUUUACACAUAUCACAUAUUGUUAAAUUUAUUAAUUUAAUUCUAGCAUUGUGUUUUUCUCUUAUUGAUUCUCCUUCAGCAUUUCUUAUCCAAUUUUCUUCUAAAAAAUCAUCUGAAAUAUAUUGUACUAACUUUUCUAUACCUUGUCUAUCUGAUUUUUUUUUAUUUUUUUUAUACAUUUCUUUUUAUUAAUGUUUUGUAUCAUUACUUAUUCAUUCCCACAAAUUUCUAACAUUUCAUUCAAAGAAUGCUAUUAAGAAAUCUAUCAUUCUUUUAGAAUUUUCCCACGUGUCAUCUUUUUAUAUAAAAAGAAUAAUAUCAUUGAAUUUGCCCAAGUUAAUAAAGCUUUUUUUAACAUCUAUUUUAAAAUUUAAAUCUAAUUUUGUUCUUCCAUGGCUAAUAGAUUUAUCAUAAUUAUCAUUUAAUUCAAAUCUAUCUCUAUAUUUAUUUCCUUUAGGUGGUUGUGUAUCUCUUAUUUUAUCAUAAAAUUGUAUAUAUGGUUUGUUAUAUAUGGGUGUAUAACUUUUAUCUGAUUCCUGUAAUUCUUGUUUAGAGGUUCAUAUUGGAUUGAUCAUUCUCCAGUAUUCAUUAAAAUUUGGUAUUCAUUUAUAUCACUUAAACUUAAUUGAUCAAAAUUUUCUAUAAGUAAUUCCAAUUCCUCAUUCAUCUUUAUUUUCUUGAUUUUCUUCUAUUUUUAAUUUUCCUAAUAUUUCUUUCUCUAUAUCAUUCUUCCUCUUCUAAUAUUUUAGGUAAUAUAUUUUUUCUAAAUUCAUCAUCCAUACUUUCUGUUCCUAUUACUAUAUUUUCUUUCUCAAUAUGAUUCUUUCCUAUUCAGAUCAUUUCUUUUUUUAUUAAUUUUUUUAUCUAUUUUCUUUUCUUUAUUUUUAUUAUUUUCUUUUAUUUAUCUAAUUUCAAUUUUUAAUAUAUUUAUAUCAUUUCUUGUUUCUUUUAUUUCAUUUCUUAAAUCUUGUACAUCAUUUAUUAAAAUUUUUAUUAAUGACUUUAAUUCUUCCAUAUAUUCACUUAUUGACAUAUUAAAUUUUUCUGAUCAUCUUUCUAACAUAUAAGUUAAUUUAUAUCUUUUAUCUUCUUUUUUAUCUAUUAUUAUUCCAAAUAUUCGAUUAGCUACAUCUGUAUUUGCCAAUUCUUCUUUUACUAAAUUAAAAUAUUUAGUCUCAAUUCUUAAUCUUUUACAUUUUAAUUUUAUUAAUUGUUUUUUAUUUGAUACUCUUAUUCCUUAUGGUAUUAACAUUAUAUCUUGUAUUUUUUCCAUUUUUAUAAGUAACAUAUUCAAUUUCAAAUUUGUAUUAUUAUUUACACUCAUACUUCUCUUUAUAAUAUAAAUUAAUCUCUUCGUCUUCAUAUUCUUUAAUAAUUUUUUCAUAUAUAUAUAUAUAUAUAUUUCUUUUAUCAAUCCUAUUAUUAUUUUUUCUAAUAUUUGUUCUUUUAUUUCUUUGGUUAAUUCUUUAACUAUUGUUAAUGCCAUUAUUUCUAAUUUAUUAGAAAUGGGGUUUAAAAAUAUAUAACUUCCUCUUCUUUCUUCUAAUUUAUAAUAAUUAUCUAUUUUUCUUAUUUUAAUUUUCAUAAUCUCUAUGGUUCUGAUACCAAUUAGGGGUGCUACUUUGAGCGAACAAAAAUCAAAUAAAUUUGUAGUAACAAUAAAUCUAUUAAAAUUCAAGCAAUGUUUAAUUUAAGGACUAAAAUGGAAGAUUUCUAUAUUAUAUUAACUUGUUAUGCAAUAUUCAAAAGGAGGGGUAUUUUAGGUAUCCAAAUUAGUCAAAUGUUAUUUUGGAAAAAUGACAUUUUUGUUUAGAUCAUUUCCAUGUAUUUCCCGAAAUGGUGAUAUAUGAUCAAGAAGUCAAAUUCCAAAACUAGUAGGAACCACAAACAGUAAAGGAUAUGAAUCAUAUGAUAAUUUGGUUAAAUAAAGAGGCUUGUUGAAUUGAAAGAGUAUCCUCUGAAGGUGUGAGUACAUUGACCUUAGUUUGGGAAUAUGCAAAUGGGCGUGGUUUUGGGAAAAUUUGACACGAUUUUUAAGGGCUCUAUUAAAAAAUUUUAAAAAAAUAAAAAACAAUCUCUAUAUGAAAUUAGUGUUCUAAAACGUGUAAAGCAUGACUAAGCUUGAAUGUUGAGUUUCAAACUUUACGAGUCUAAGCGUAAAAAUGAAUUUUCUUAUUUUUAAUAUUAUUUUGAAUUUUUAAUCAUUCUAGAAAAUAUUUAAUAAUUUAAAUAAUACAUACUGUUAUAUCAAAAAAUUACGUGACAUACGCAUGACGGAGAGGGUCCACAUUGGCAGACAUGGCAUCGUUUAUUUGACAGCUUAUAUUUCGAAGUUCGAUCCGCAUAUGAAUAAUACGACUCAAGCUUGGGGACUAUUGUUAUACAUAUAAAUGAUUGCAUUUUGGGCCUUACUAUUGGACUUGGACGAGGCCCAUUAAUAGACACAGCCCGUCUCCAUUUUCUAUAUAUAUGUGGUUUCAUUUCAUUCUGAGGUAAGUCAUGUUAAUCCAAGCCAAGCCCCCUCUUCCAUCUCUUGCAUUUUUUAUUUUCUUUCCAUCUGGCCGUUGACUUGAUUGUCGGAGUGCAAACUAUCGUCAGACCUUUUUCUCGAUUGACGACCUUUGCCUCCUAAUGGGGAGCUCUAUAUGCAGGUGAUGAGAGAAUGAGAUCGGAAUUCUGUUGGCUUAUAUAUUUUGGUCAACAGAUUGGCGCAGUCUAUGAAAAACGGUACGUUAACCAUGUUAUACCACAUCCCAAAAGCCACCGAAAAAAUAUAGUUUUUCAGGCAUAAUUUUCUACCAAAAAAGGGGCAAAGACAGCAUCAACCAGAGAAAAGAAGAAAAAGGCAGUUACCGAAAAGGAGUGAUUUUUCUUAAUAGUUUCCUCCAACAAAGACAAUAUCAAAAAUGAAGAAAAACUUGGACACAACAAACAGAUUAGAAAAAUAACCACAGCAGCAAUUGCCACUGACUUAAAGUUGCCAACAAGAUAUAUAUAACCAGAGAGCAAGAAGAAAGGAAAAAGCGGCCCUAGAUCCGGGCGGACAUAUUCAAGGAUCCACUUAAAUUCAUGCUAUAUAUCCAUCUCUCUCUGUGUGCAUAUGUAUCGGAUGUAAACAUACACACACACACAAGGGUUGUUGAUUUGGAAGUUAAAGGAUGAAUCAUUGGGUAAACGGGAGAGGCAACUACCCUUGAGAAAUCCCAAUCUCCCUUCACCCCCAUUCGUUGUAAGGUCAGAUAGCAAGAAGCAAUUAACAACCGUCGAGGUAGGUGAAGCAUUUCAUGGUCUCUUAGUACUUUCUUUGAGGUAGCACUGCAUUCCAGACCUCCAAACAAGGCUGCUAGAGCAAUCGCCGGCAUUAGGAAGAAGCAGCCGGUAAUAUACUAUGGGUUCUCACGUUUGUUCAAUGGGUUAGCACGAAUUUGAUUGAGACAAGAUAUGAUAGUGGGGUGUUCGCAUAGAAAUGAAUUUUUCAGUUAGAUUUUGCUACUUGUUUUAUUUGGCAGAAGAAGAAAAUGACAUUUACAGCUCCCUAUUGGUAUUUUUGUUGACUUCUUGUAAAUUGAUCUCAUCCCCUUAAACAGGUUGUAGAAGAUACUAGUUAAUCAUUGGGCCUACUGGGAGAUUUAAUGGCUAGAAAUAUGGGUUAGUUGAUAGGCUUCAGUGAAUUGUCCCAAUAUUUAUUUAAAAUUUGGCCAUUAUUAUUUUUUUGGUUCAAAGUGAUCAGCCCUUUUACAUUCUAGAAUGGACCACCUUUUUUGGGCCAUUACAAUUGCAUACCAUGUGGCCUAUUCUUUCGGUUUAUGUUUAUUCGGGUUGCGACGUCUUUUUUAUCAAUUACAAGAGUUGUGACUCAUGGGGUCAUAAAUUGGAAUUUGGACCUCAUAAUUUCCGAACUUGUGUACUUCAAUUUAAAGACAAUUGCUCCUCUUAGCUCUUUUUUGAGCCCCAUUCUUUUUAAAAUUCAUUUUUUCAAAACUCAUUUUUUUCAACCAUACAUUUUUCAAUAAAAUAAUAUUACACGCAAACUCAAAACUUUUCCUUAAUUUUUUAACCACACAUUUUCCAUCAAUCACUAUUUAAAAAUACAUUCUUCCCCUCAAAAUGAGGCUCAAACAAAGGCUUAAUUCUUUUUGGGCCAAGGCCAAUGACCGCUUCUCCAAAUUAUAACGUAUUCGAAGGGGCAAUGACUACAGGCUGGCACUAUGAUAUAUGGAAGGAAGAUGGUAUAAAUCUUAAUUUACAUCUUUUCAAACCAAAAUUGUUGCAUGGUGAUUUGGGGCUGCAUUUAUCAAUUUUCAAUUUCUAUUUUCUACUCUCUAUUGAUUUUAGUAUUAUGAGGAACUCAUGUCAAGUUGUGGAUGGGUUACAAAUCUCACUCUUGUAAGAGUGCAUACAAGCAAAUUGUUCGAUGAAAUGCUUUGCUCAAAAUUAAAGUUGCUUGGUGUUGGAUCAUGUGAUGGAUGGUCAUAUUAUUCCUGUCGGUUCAUUGAAUCUUGUGAAGGAGUUGCUCAAAAUUAUUUAUGAGGCAAACGCACUUAUCUUGCUUGGCCUAAUAUCAAAUUUUGAUUAAUAAAGGCAGUUUUCAUCAUUCCAUACACUCUGGCUAAUGGAUUUCUUAUUUACUGAUGGCAAACAGUAGCUCAUGGCUUUCUUAUUCAUUAAGGACGAGCCCUAGCUGAUGGAUAUCUUAUCAUCAAAGCUUCAUUUUGGUGACCUCGUUCCUUGAAUAAAGGAAGAGGCAAUAUUUUUGGAGACCUUAUUCCUUGAAUAAAGGAAGGGGCAAUAUUUUUGAAGUCCUCAUUCCUUGAAUAAAGGAAGAGACACAUCUUUUGGGAUCCUUGUUCCUUGAAAAAGGAAGAGGCAAAUUGUCAGACGUGUGUGCCCUUGAAAAGGAGCCUUUCCUGGCUCGACGAAACUACUCCUUACCUUGAACUAUCAUUGAGCUUAGUUGUAAACUUCAUUUGUCCGACGCUGUUUAUAAGACUCCAAUGUUUGAGAGAGAUUCACAGCAACUCCAUUUUCUACUUUGCCAGAUGUUUAUACUUGGUUUUCCGAGAUGUAUAUUCCUUGCCUUUCACUAUCGUUGAGCUUAGCUCUAACUCCUCAUCCAUCUGAGGUCAACUUAUGAAGCUCCGAUAGUUUGACAGUUAUUUGUGGGAUACCUUUUUCCCACCUCACUUGACAGUUAUCCCUAGCUCGACGAGAUUAUUCCUCGCAUCACUAUCGUCGAGCUUGAUUCUAAGUCCUCGUCAUUCCGAGGCAAGUCACCAAAUCUCUGAUAGUUUAACAGUUAUUCAAGGGAUGCCUAUUCCUCGCCUCGCCAGACGCUUAUCCCUGGCCCGACGAGAUUAUUCCUUGCCUCACUAUCGUUGAGCUUGAUUCUAAGUUCUCGUCAUUCCGAGGCAAGUCACUAAAGCUCCAAUAAUUUGACAGUUAUUCGCGAGAUGCCUAUUUCCCACCUCGUCAGACGCUUAUCCCUGGCUCAACGAGAUGUAUAUUCCUUGUUUCUUACUAUUGUUGAGCUUUAUGGAGCUCCGAUAGUUCGACAGUUAUUUGUGAGAUGCCUAUCCCCCGCCUUGUUAGAUGCUUAUCCCUGGCUCAGAGAGAUUAUUCCUCGUCCAUCUGAGGCCAGCUUAUGGAGCUCCGAUAGUUUGACAGUUAUUCGCGGGAUGCCUAUUCCCUGCUUCGCCAGAUGCUUAUCCCUGGCUCGACAAGAUUAUUCCUUACAUCACUAUCGUCGAGCUAAACUCUAAGUCCUCAUCUAUCUGAGGCUAGUUUAUAAGACUCCAACAGUUCGACAAUAUGCCAAAUGUCUUUUUCUAGCUAUACAAGAUGUUUAUUUCUCACCUCUCGUUGAGCCUACGUAAGACCUUAUCAUUCUGAGGCCACUUAUAAAACUCCGAUAAUUUAAAAGUUAAUUUGUCUAUGGAAAGCUCAUAUUCUCUCCAAUUUAUUAUUUAUAUGAUGAGUUCAUAAUAGUGCAAAUUACUUCAAUCAAUUUGUCUAUGACAAGCUCGUAAUUUUCCUCGGAUUAUUAUUUAUAUGAUAAGCUCAUAUGCUGCAAAUUGGUUAAGUAAUUUGUAUACGAGCCCAUAGCCUCUCCAAGUUAUUAUUUAUAUGAUGAGUUCAUAUACUACAAAUUACUUAAGUCAAUUUAUCUAUGGUGAGCCCAUAGUUUUCCUCGAGUUAUUAUUUAUAUGAUAAGUUCAUAUACUACAAAUUACUUAAAUCAAUUUGUCUAUGGCGAACCCAUAGUUCUCCUAGAAUUAUUAUUUAUAUGAUAAGCUCAUAUACUGCAAAUUACUUAAGUCAAUUUGUCUAUGGUGAGCCCAUAGUUCUUCUCAGAUUAUUAUUUAUAUGAUAAGCUCAUACAAUGCAAAUUGGUUAAGUAAUUUGUCUAUGGCGAGCCCAUAGCCUCUCCAAGUUAUUAUUUAUAUGAUAAGUUCAUAUACUGCAAAUUAUUUAAGUCAAUUUGUCUAUGGCGAGCCCAUAAUUUUCCUUGGAUUAUUAUUUAUAUGAUAAGCUUAUAUACUGCAAAUUAGUUAAGUAAUUUGUCUAUGGCAAGCCCAUAGCCUCUCCAAGUUAUUAUUUAUUUGAUGAGUUCAUAUACUGCAAAUUACUUAAGUCAAUUUGUAUAUGGCGAGCCCAUAGUUCUCCUUGGAUUAUCAUUUAUAUGAUAAGCUCAUACACUGAGAAUUACUUAAGUUAAUCCAUUCUAUGGAGAGCCCAUAAGCCUCCUUUCUUUGGAGCCUCUCCUCACGACGUUGCCUCAUAAAGUAGGCUCGCCUCUCUCAUGGCAUCGCCUCAUUAGUAGGCUCGCUUCUCUUUCAUGACAUCGCCUCAUAAAGUGGGCUCGCCUCUCUUAUGACAUCGUCUCAUCCAAUAGGUUCGCUCUCUUCACAGCAUCGCCUUAUAAAAAAGGCUAGCCUAUUUCAAGGCCUUGCCUCGCCUCUAUGAAGCCCCAUCAUGGCUUCUUCUAAUUACAACAGACUCGCCUCUCUUCAUGGCAUCGCCUCAUAAAGCAGGUUCACCUAUCUCACGACAUCACCUCAUCCAACAGGCUCGCCUCUCUUUUACGGCAUCGCCUCAUAAAGCAGGCUCGCUUCUCUCACGGCAUCGCUUCAUUCAGCAAGCUCGCCACUCUUCACGGAAUUGCCUUAUAACAUAGGCUCGUCUCUCUCAGGGUAUCGCCUCAUCCAGUCAGUUCGCCUCAUUCAGCAGGCUCGCCUCUCUUCACGACAUCGCCUUAUAACAUGGGCUCGCCUCUCUCACGGUAUCGCCUCAUCCAGUAGGCUCGCCUCUCUUCACAGCAUUGCCUUAUAAAGGAGGCUCGCCUCUUUCAAGGUGCUGCUUUGCCUCUAUGAAGCCCCAUCACAGCUUCUUCUAAGUAUAGCAGGCUCGCCUCUCUUCACGAUGUCACCUCAUAAAGUAGGCUAGCCUCUCUUCAUAGCAUCACCUCAUAAAGCAGGCUCGCCUCUCUUACAGCAUCAUCUCGCCUCUAUGAAGCCCCAUCACGGCUUCUUCUAACUACUACAGGCUCGCCUCUUUCAUGGCAUUGUCUCAUCCAAUAGGCUCGCCUCUCUCACAACAUCACCGCCUCUGCUACUUUCGUUCAGAGCAUCAUCUCUACAUCAGGUUAACAUAACGGCUUAUUUAUUCAGUAUAUUUUGAAGUCCAACUUACAUAUAAAUAAUACCACUCAGACUUGGGGGACUAUAUUGUGAUACUAGUACCUUAGCAUCACUACAUAUUACUGCUAAAGUACACAUCAUAUUACUACUUCCAUGUAUGAAUGCCAUAUCAUUGCUAGCGUGUCAUACAUUAUUUUCGUUAUAGCUAGUACGUAUGCCAUGUUAUCAUCAUUUUCAUUUUAUUGUCGACAUCAUGUUACUUGCUUCACUAUAGCACUAUUGAUACAUUGAGCUGUAUGAGCAUAUGAUUUACUGUAAUACAUGACAGACCUUCUGCACACAUCUUGGAUAAAUGUGAUGUCAUUAUUUACUUUAUAGUUAUGAGCAUUUUAAGGGAGAAAUGGAUCUUAAAUUUAUUAGGUAUAUGUGUUGGGGAUAUAUUGUAUUAUAUUACAGGUUGGUUUAAUCCAUAUUAUGGAGAGAUGCUGUCGAAAUUUCGACAAAAUAUUUGCAGUAUCUAUCUUUCGAGACAAUCCAUAAGUCCUCGCUUGUUCUGAGUCACACACGUUUUCGAAGCAGUUUGUAAGUCCUCUCUUAUUGGAGCUACGCAUAUUUCUGAGGCAAUCUGUAAGAUCUCAUUUGCAUGAUAGCUUAUACUUCGAAGCUCGAGUUGCAUAUAAAUAGUACGACUCAGAUUUGGGGGACUAUUGUUAUAUCCAAAGAUUACGUGGCAUACGCAUGACGGAGGGGGUUCCAUAUUAGCCAACGUGGCAUCAUUUAUUUGACAGGUUAUAUUUCAAAGUCCGACCCGUCUAUAAACAAUACGACUCGGACUUGGUGGAUUAUUGUUAUACAUAUAAAUUAUUGCAUAUUGGGCCUUACUAUUGGACUUGGAUGAGGCCCAUUAACACACUCAGUCCGUCUCCAUUUUCUAUAUAUGUGUGAUUUCAUUUCAUACCGAGGUAAGUCAUGUUAACCCGAACCAAACACCCCUCUCCCGUCUCUUGCACUUUUUAUUUUCCUUCCAUCCAGCUGUUAACUUGAUUGUCGGAGUGCAAACGAUCGCAGGACCCUUUUCUUGACCGAGGGCCUUUGCUUCCUAACGAGGUGCUCUGUGUGCAGGUGAUGAAGAGAUAGGUCGGAAUUUUGUUGACACAUUUUUUGUGGUCAACACAUACUAAACAUAUAAAGUUAUAUAAUACUAUAUUUACUUAAUAAUUUUUUACAAUUAAUCAAUUAUAGAAUUUUUCAAAUUUUCGAAAUGUGAAAACUAGAUUAUUUUUCAAAAUUUCAAUUUUCAAUUAGACAAAUUCCACUUAAUAGAUUUAUCACACUUUCGAGGUUUUCAAUGAAAUAAAAAGUAAAGAUAAUAAUUACAUAAUGCAGAUAGAAGCUUACCUUAAAUCUUAUCUAACUCUUUUAUUGCAUAAAGUCUUUUGGACUUUCAUACAGGGAAAGUCAUUUAAAAAUUUGAAACAACAUUCAACUAAAAUGGGUUUUCAAAAAGAAAAAAAAUAUGAAGAAACUAAAUUUGAAUAAAAGACAUUUAAAAAAAGUAUAGUUUAUUUCUAAAUAUUACUAUUAUAAUAGUAAAUAAGGAAAAUUGCAGCAGCGAUUCAAACCUUUUCAUUUUAAAUAAACAUUAUUUUAACUUUCAUUUUGUGCCAUCAGAGGAUUCUCUAACCUUUCAUAAAUAUGUAGCUAGAGUCCAUCCGGAUGGAAAGCAUCCGAAACACCGUCAAUUGACCUGAAAAAAAUAAAAAAUGAGCUAGUUUAACAGUUUAAAAAGUGACAAUUUCAUCCAUACAUUUUUAAAAAAAAAAAAAUUUUAAAUGAGGCUUUACAUUUCUCAAUUUCCUUUUUUCACGUAAUAGAAAGAAAGAAAUGAAACUGUUAUCUUUUACAAUUUAUGAAAAAGCCAUGAAUCUGACAAAAAAGUUGGAAGAUAUUGCAUGACACAUAAGAGGCCCACUUCCCAUACCUAUGUAUAGUGAGUAUUAUUGUGCUUUGAAAUUUCAAAAAAUAUCGAUGCUCUUUCUUAUGCACUGAGCAUUUGAAGUGGUCACGUUUAGUGCAAAAUUUCAUAUAUUUUUUACUAUUUUGUUGAAAAUUGUGCAAUCUCUAUGGGUUUAUAUUAUGCAUUCAUGUAAUGUGAGACUAGAGUAUGGGCUUGAUGAUCAUUUGCCUUGAAUUUGUUUUACAGGGGAAAAUCUACUUAUUCAACCAUAAAGCUACACCAUGAUAGUAUAUUAUUCGUCAAGAUGUGAAAUUUUUGUGUGUGCGCAGCUAUCUUGACUAUGUAAAUCUUGGCUAAUUUAAUAGAUUUCUUCUAGACAAUGCUUUGAAGGUAUUGGGAUAUUUUGAGAAAAUGAGGUACAUCUAUAAGGUUGAAAGGAAGAGAUUGAGUGAGGCAUCAUUUUAGUUGAUGAAGGAUAUAGACUUUCUGAAUGCAAUGAAUUGCUGGUAGGAAGAGGAUGCGAACUUGCAGUGUUUACCUGCAGUUGACGUGUUCGAAUUUCCAUGGAAUGACAAAGUAGGGCAUGAUAUUUCAGUUGUUGAUGCUGGCACGUGAGAUUUUGGGUGAGGUUAAAGAAAAAGGAAAAAUAGAGGUUGAGGGACAAGUUCAGCAGCAUACAUACUAUGCUGUUGAGGUCUGUGACGAAUGCGUAGAAGGUGUGUAGCCUGUUUUUAACCCCAACUUGUAGAGGGUAGAAUGAAAAAAAAAAUGCAUUUUUUUUACCCAAAGCCAAAAGAAUUUGUAAUGAAUACUCAUAUUCACACCAUGAUUUUUGUUUAAUUGCAAUGAAGGUAGUCAAUAUUUGCUCAUUUUCUUAUCUAUGUUCUCAAAUUUUUUUAUCAUCAACCUUAUAUUACAAGCCGAUAUGGAUUGUUUUGUGGAUGAUGGUAGAAGAUGUUGUUUCCGGAGUACAAGUUUCUCCUUCAAACAAUCUGAAUAUACUGAUACUGAUAGAAUUACCAUAAUGUAAUUGGCACAACUUAACAACAUGAUCUGAAAAUUAAUUCGAGGUGCUAAAGGUGUUCAACAAUCAUUUUUCAGGAUAAAACGAAUUUCAUCUUCUACAGAAGCAGUACGACAAUUUGUAGGAGUUCUAACGAACUCAAUGAAGUGUUUUACACUUCGAGAACAAUAUCAAAAUGAGAGAAAGGAAGAAUGAGAUUCAAAACAGAGAAUGUUUGAAUGAAAAACAAUGUUAUUAUUUUGCAACGGGGCAGGCUAUUUAUAUACUUGUUCGUGACCAUUAGAACAUAGUCCAAGCCCUAUCAGAACAAUCAUACAGUUCAGACAGCCUCCAUACUCGAGCAGAUAACUUAGGGUUCGUUUGAUUGCAAAGAUGGAAUUGAAUUGCCUAGAAAAUGAAUUUCAGGGAAUUGAAUUGUCUAGAAUUGAUUUCCUAGGAAUUGUAAAUUAUUGUGUUUGAUUAGUAUAAUUUUUCACGUGGAAAAUGUUGAAAUAAAAGUGUUUUUUAAUGUUCAUUUGGUUUUGUUUUACAUGAAAAUUGUCAAUUAAAGGAAAAUAUUUUUUUACAAUAAUUCUUAGAAUUGGUUUUCGUUACCAACAAAAAAAAAAAAGACGAAAAAAAUAAUAGUAAUAAUUGCUACAGUAGGGUGGAAUUUGAAUUCUCACCAUAUAUUGUGAGAAUUCAAAUUCCACCAAAACAAGGAAAAUUUCAAGUUUCAAGAAAUCCAAGAAAUGUAAUUUCAUUGAAAAUAUAAGGUAUCAAACAUCAAAAGUUAGAAUUUUCAAUUCCAAUUCUAUCUUCUUUUUUUUUUUUUUUUUUUUUUUUCAUUUCCAUGCUAUCAAACACUCCCUUAGUUUAAUACUGUGUCUGCUAAGUCAGUUAACAGUCAAAUGUUUAGUCGAUUAACACAUCGUCCAAACCAAAAAAUGCUCGAAAAUAAGCCAAUCAAAAUAAAUUUCAUGAAGUACCCAAGAAUUUGAUUACUUACAACUUGGCUAAAAAAUUCAAAUAAAUUUUGUCGAAAAGUUAAUCUUGAACAUGAGCUCGUGCCGUGCCGGCCGGACGGGCAGUGGUGGCGCACGUGUGGAUUAUGAUCGAACCCAAUAGGAUAUAAGUCUCCUCCCAUUCAAAGACUAUUGGUACCCAAACCCCAUUCCCAAACAUCUACCAUAUAAAUCACACCAAAGUUUCCUAAUUUUCCUAUGUGAGAUAAGUGUUAAGCAAAUUUUUAAUAAAUCAAAUUCUUCAUUAAUUCAUAGUUUCAAGUGGGUUACUUUGACAUUAAAUAUUUCAUUUAAUUUUAAAUGAUUUUCGAAAAAUAAAUAUAUCACCUUAGUCACAUCACGGAGUAGAACGCGAAUAUGCUAGGUCCCUUUAAAAUUACAGUACCGGUCCCACUGAAAUUUGAGCUCAAAAUUGACCAAUUUCACUAAUAAUAACCAUUUUCCAACAGAAGACAAUGUCUUCUUUCUUUCUUUUUUUUUCCUCGGACUCUCUAGGUGCAGUUGGCCAUUGUAUGGAUGUUAGCAAAGGUAAGAAAACUGCAAUCCUUUAAGUUUUUAAGUUACUAAUUUCUGAAGCCCCACAUAUCUUGGCUCUUUGAGAGAUGAUUUGCAAUGUGACAUCCAAGUUGUCUAAUUAAUAAAGUAAUUUCUGAAAAAGCAAAGAAAAGGGCACGAAACACGGUCACAAAAUUCUGGAGACAUGUCAAAUUAAAUUUUUAAAAAUUGUGUAUUAGUACAUUUUUGUUUUAACAUCUUUUAUUUGUUAAUAAAGUCGACAUUUUUUAGUUUUUGAUUUUUGUUGGUGAUAUCUUUUGAAUCAGAUGAGUAAUAAUUUGUUAUUUUCACAUAAAUUUGAGUUCAACUAUAUAUUACUAGUAAUAUAAUCAAAAAAAUAAAUAAAUAAAAAAAUACAUAGUAUCCUUGUUUUGUUUAAACAUUUAACAAUGAAGAUUAACAGAUAUAGCACUAUGUAAAUCUUUUAUGUUAUGCUAUGAAGAACUUGUUGAAUUCAAUUAGUUCACCCUCUCCGUUUUCUUGUACUUUCACACGGUUCAAUGGCAUCUCGACUCAUUUUCCUCCCUUCAUAUAGGUGAGAAAUUUUCAUACACAAGGUAAGAUUAUCCUAUUCCUAGCCAAAUUCCCAUCUCCUAUCUCUUGCACUUUCGUUAUUUCUUGUCCUAUUGUUGACUUGAAAGAGUCAUCGGACAUUUUUCUCGACAUGUGGCAUUUGUCUCCUAACAUCAUGUUCAAGUGUGCAUGUGAUGUUUAUGUAGAGAGGAGGUGGACGGGAUUUGUUGACCAUAUAUUCGAAUUUUGACAUCAACAAAAACCAUAAAAAGCACAAGCUCUCAGAAAAAUUUAUCUGUUGAACGAGAUUUGGGGAUGAACUUGAUUCAAUAUUUCUUCUCUCUUUAUAUCAUAUUUUUCCGAUUGGUGGCACACGCUCUUCCCGGUUCACAUUUACAGAAACAAGUUCUGUUAGUUCAAGUGCGUACAAAGUUGUGUUUUGCCACUUAUCACCAGACGGUAAGCUUUUUUCGGUGGUGGGCACCAUAAAAAGGUAAGUAUCAACAAAGUUAACUGAAUAAUGUAAGAGUUUUAUAAAGCUGUUGUGCAAUGCAUAAAAGUAGGUCAUGUGGACCUUUAUGUUAAUAUAUUUUGAAAAUGCUAUAUAGGGAAGGCAAAACGAUCCACGAGGACAACCUCGCGGGUGACCACGCCCUCACAUGCCCUAGCGUUGGUCCCCCAUGAAUAAAAUAAUCUCGACCCCCAUUUGUGUGUGUUGUGUCAAUCCCGCGAUCAUCCAUACGAACACUGUAGCACGGCUCAUGCUAUAUAGUAUCAGUGGUUCAAUUUGAUAUAAAAUUAUGAAAUUCAUUUAAUAGUAGUUUAAUAGUAGUACCUUUCAUUUAAUGGCACUCAGUGACAUAUGUACUAGUGUUGUAAUACUAAUGGUGAUAAAUAACAUUACUAGUAUAUUUUUAACUGACAGAUAUUUUCUAGAAAAUAUGUAGUGAAUUACAUUUUAAAAAGUAAGUUUCAAGAACAACCAAAUGCACAUAUCUAAUUUACAGUGUGUGACCUAAUGUUUAUGAAAUUAAGUUUCUAGCUCAUGCAAGUGAUGAAAUUUUUAUUGAGAUGGUGCAGGCUGUUUUGUGGUACACAGAUACUUUGAAUCGAGAAGGAACAGUUGAAGAACACUCAGUGAUUUAUUAAUGAUGGUUGCUUCAGUCCUAGCUUGGCCUGCCUUGCAAUGUCAUCAUGUGACAAAACUGAGUUUGUGAUGCUGAAGAUAAUUUUAGUUUACGAUUAUUUUUAUGUAAUUGCAAUUUUGUUCUCUUUUUUGAUCUUCCAUUUCCUAUGUAAAAAAAAUUCAUAAAUAUUUACCACUAGCAUCAAUAUUAUGCAGAAUGGUGCAAAAACUAGUUAAUUCUGAAACAUUUUGAAAUGGGAAGAAAAAUGUCCCUUUAACCACCUUAUGAAUGAAUAACAAUGACUCAUUAUUUUAGAAAUAUUUUAUAGUGAGAAGCAAGGACAUCAUCCAUUUUACGUAUUAUGCAGGAGUGAUGCACAAAGCUCAUCGCUUAAAACAUUUUGAAAUCAUUAAAUUUGUUUUGGUUUUGUACGUAACCGAUACAAUCCAUCUCAAAUCAUUCUAUUAUAUUAAAGAGUUUUUCUGUAAUAUAGAAUAAUCUCACCUAAAAAGCAACAAAUUUUCCCAUAUGAUAUAUAAUACAGAAAAUAUAUAUCAAUGACCUUUUCAAGCAAAAAUCCUCAAAUACAUGUAGCCUGCCUAUUGGACUAAUACAAAUAACUCAAAAUGGCUUAUUCAAUUUGUUAAGCAAGUACCCAAUAAGAAAUAAAAACCAAAUAAACAAACAGAACGAGUCAUACAAUUGAUUAUUAUAUGUGGCCUGACUCGGUGGAUCAAUAGGCUCCAAAUGCUACUCAACUCAACUAUUAUCUGAUAAGAAAACUGGUGAAAAAAUAAAUGAGCUUGUAAUCCAGCGUUUCACAAAAAUAUGCUUAUUUUUCAUUUAUCUAUAUUUAUUGAAAAGUCUUAUUUAUUCUAUUUCAAUUUUAAGAAAUUCUAAAAUUUGAUAAUCACAAAUAGGAUGGAUUCAUCAAUCUCUUAUUCUUUAUUGUAAUUAUAAGCAAACAUAAAUUAAAACGAAUAUAAGUGAUUUUGAUACCAACGAAAAUUUAUAUAAAACCGUCAGAUCAUAAUUCUAUUAGCUAAAUUUUUUUAUUCUGUGAACGAAAUAAGUUAUAAUAUAUUGAAAAGCCACACCAAAAUGUUACCACUGAAUAACUGUACACAUUCAUCGAUAAAUCUCAAAAUACAUUGCAAGCUAUUUAUAAUCUAAUGACUAAUAAUUUUGAAAUCCUGGUCAUAUAUGCACCUAUAAUUUGGUCAUAUACUAUAGAAAUAUAUUCAGAUUAGUGCAAAAAUGGGUAAAACCACCAUAUAUGAUCUCACAUUCUGGAAACACAUUCAUAACAGUGCGAGAACACGUAAAGUCACCAUACCAUGAUCUUACACUAUAGAAAUGCUUACACCAGUACAAAGCAAGUAAAAUCACAUGGGUAUUUUUUGGUGCUUUUAAAAAUAAUUUAUAUACAUGCGGCCAAUAAAAUAAUUGAAUUGAAUUUAUCUUUUAAAGAGAAUGGCUUCUUUAUAAAAAUCUAUUUUAUUUUAAAAUAAUGCUUGUCUAAACCGUCCAAAAUAAUUAACCUUUGCAACUAAUAUGAUUUACCAUAUGGUGAAACAAGACUGUGACUCUUCCACGAUAUAAAUGAUUGAUGGCUUCAUUGGCUAUUUUACUUUUGGAGGGUUGGUUGCUUCUGCUAAUCAUAAGAAAUUUCUUAAAUUUUGAAAGUGAUAACAUUAUACCUUUACGUCCAUGCAACUUAUGGUUAGAACGAGAUUUUCUUGUUUCUGUAACUUUCUUAUUCAAGUUUUGUGUAAUCUAAAAGGAAAUAUCAACUGACUCUUGACUCUUAUCUUUGUAGAUGUUAUUAGGGCAUCUCCAAUGAGGAACAUCAGAUUUGGUGUAAUUUUACAUUAAAUUAGGUGUAAAAGUUACACCAAAUUUGGUGUAGACAAUUGGAGAUGGUUUUUAUUUAAUUAAGAAUUAUAUUAUUACUAAAAUUUUUAAAUUAAAAAUUAUACUUAAUGAACUAAAAUAUUGUAUUUAUUAACAAAAUUUAAAAAUAAAAUAAUUCCUAAUAAGAUUUAUUGUCUCAAUAAUUACUAAUUACUUGAUUAGAUUUAAAAAUAAAUAUUAAAUAAAAAUAACUAUCACAUUAAAAUAAUUAUAAAUCAAUUAAAGUCUAAUAAUUCUAAAAUAAAAAAGGGAUAUAGAUAAUAAAUAUUUGUUAUAAAAAAGGUGGGGGUGUGGGGGCCAAAUGAUGAUCAUUGAGAAUUCUUAAAUAUGAUGUAAAUGAAUAGUGUUACACACCAAAUUUUACAUUAUAUAUUUGGUCCCUCGUGGGAGAGCAUUUUAUACCAAACUUCAUUAGGUAUGGUCUUGGUUAGUUUCAUAUGAAUCUGGUCUCUUUUUUCUGAGAUAUGUUUGCAUCAUUCUUGUGCAGGUUAGGUGCAAGGUGAAAAGGGGCAUCUUUUGUCCAUUUGUGUGCGAACUAGGUGCAAGGAGAAAAGUGGCCACUUUUGAGGUUAAAAUAAUACUUGCAAACACAUGCAUAUGGAUGUAAUAUGACGUCAUCGAUUUUGGGGAAAUCAUGAUUGUGUUUAGCCACUAAGACAAACAACUUAUUUGAAUUUAUUUUUUCAGUUUCAAAUAGAAAUGCCAUUUCGUCUUGAGUAGCCGCAUAUUCAUUUUUUGAACUCUCGAAGAAGCACAUCGUGAUAGUAUUAGAAAAGAAUACUACUAGUUUCUAAAGAACUUGACAUUACAAUUUCAAUAUUUCUAAAAGAAUAUUGACGUAUUAGUCUUAAAGAAGCAAUUAAAAUAUAACAUGUUCUUAAUUAAUACAUUUCUCGAAAAAUAUACAAUGUAUGUAAUUUAUGAAUUAAUGUUCAUCCGUGAAGGAAAAUAUAAAAAUCAUGCCAUGUUGACAUUGAUUAUUUUGACUACUUGAUUGAUUAUUAUAUGAUUAUUAAAUGUUUAAUCAUAUUCUUUGAAAAUUAAUUGCAUUUUCUUUGUUUCAUUCAUUUUUAUACUCUACAUGGUGUUAUUUGGUAAAACAAAUUUGACAUCCUAAUACUAAGUUAGCAUAAAUACUAUUAUUAUGUUAAAAAAUCGUUUUGUUUCUUUCUUAAAUUAAUUAUCAUUACGAUGCAUGAUUACUGUGAUACACAACUUUUCAUAUACACAAGAUUUUUUUUAUUAUAGACAGACUAUUGUUUUUAGGAUGUAACAAAUUUUCAAUUCUUAAACAACAUAUGUUUUAGUUGUAUUUUUCUGAAAAAUACAAGUUUACAAUUAUAUUAACAUUCUAAAAGAAUACUAUGCCUAUGUUUUUCUUGAAUAAAAAAGUUUAGAUUAUGGUAUUACAUACUCCUAAAAAGCAUAAUUUUGUAAGAUCUUGCAGUUUCAAAAUAUAAUGCUAUUGCUUUUGAAAAGCAAAUCUUUGUACCAAUUCAUUAUUGUUCAUGAAGAAACAUAAAUUUACGUCAAUAUUUAUAAGAAUAUUAUAAUGUUUGAAAAGAAGUACGGGUUACACAUACAAUUAUUUCAUAUAUAUAUAUAUAUAUAUAUAUAUAUAUAUAUAUAUAUAUAAGUUGUUAUUCUUGAAGAAAAAUACGUUUUCCACAAAGUCAACUGAAAAUGAACAUAGAGCUUCGGAUCUCGAUCAGAAGUUAUAUAUCGAGGAACCCAUGUAGCCUGACUAUCUCUUGGAAGAUCAUCUUCACCACAUGUGGUGCAUCAUUAGUGCUGAGACAUGGAAUAAAAUGUGCCAUUUUGGAGAACAUGUCCAGCACAACAAAAAUAAAUUUUACCUUGUUGAAUACAAAGUACUCCUAUCACAAAGUCCAUGGGAAGAUCUUUCCAGGGAUGCUCCGAAAUAAGAAAAGGUAUAUACAACCCAAUGUUUUGCUCAUAUCCCUUUCGCGUUUGACAAACUCAACACUUCUUAUGAAUCUACCAGCAUCCCUUUUCAACUGUGGCCAAUCAUAAUGCUCUUCGAGACUACUGAUCAUCUUAUGUCAUUCUAAAUGACCAUCCAGUCCCUCAACAUGCAACUCUCUUAUUAAUUUCUCACACAAAGAGGUUCACAGAAUACAUAAUCAAUCACAUUUAAAUAAAAACUCAUCAUUCACCAAAAAAUUGCCAUUAAUUUCUUUGCAAAAUAUUUCGCCCACAACGACCAAAAGUCUUCAUCUCCUUCAUAAAGCUCAUGUAGGAAUUCUAAUCCAACCACCUCAUUACUUAAAAAUAAUCAGCAAUGCAGCUCUCCUGUUCAAAAACAUCAACCCACAACAAGUAGUUGUCUCCUUCAUAAAGCUCCUGUGGGAAUUCUAAUCCACCCACCCCAUUACUUACAAUAUUAAGCAAAACAGCUAUUUUGCUGAAAACAUAAGCAACAUGCUUGGUGGCCUAGAAUUUUUAGAUCCUUACUUGAGAGGUUUAGACCUAAGAUCACAGCUAUUGAAGAGAGCAAAAACUUAGACGCGGUUAAGAUGGAUGAACAUGUUGGAUCCUUCUAAGCCUACGAACUCACCAUAUUUCAACUGAAGAAGAACAAGUCUAUGGCCAUAAAAAUUGUUAGGGAAGAAGAGUACGAUUCUACUGACCAUUAAUGAUAAUAAGAUAGUUUAUUUCGUUAGAAAUUUCAAAAACAUCUGAUUGAAAAGAAGAAACCUCAAGAGAGAUAUAUAGAGGUGCCCCUAGUUAGUUUAAAAACGACAAUCAUGAGAAGACCAAUACUAGGAUGUUUCAAAAGAAAUCUCAGUCUAUUAGAUGUCAUAAAUGUCAAUGUUUUGGUUGCUAUAACAAUGAAUGCUCUAAUGGAAAAAAUCAUUAGUAGAGCUAUGAAUGCUACUAUGACUGAUGACGAGUCUAAUUUAGACAAUCAAGUGAAAAGUCCAAAUUUGAGGAUUUUGACUACAUGACUUUUGUUUCUAGGGCUAGGAGUGAAUCUGAUGAUGAGAGUUAGAAGGUUGAUGACAUAGAUUGAUGUCAAUGCUCUAAGGAAGAUUACGAAGAUAAAGAUGAUAUUCGUGAGUCUUAUGAAUAACUGUUCUACGAAAAUCUUAAGGUGAAAAAGAUCCAUAGAAUCAUCCUUAAGAAGGUUAACGAACUUCAGCUAGAGUGAGAAAAACUUACAUCUAAUCUUUAGGAGUAUUAAAUGCCUUAAUAAGUUGAACGCUGUGAAUGAAUCCUUAAAGACUAAGUUUAAGACACUUAUGAGUGAUCUUGAGAAGUCUAGCAAAAGCCUUAAUAAGUUAUGAUUAGUCGUUGAAAACUUAGAGUCUCUAACAAGCGACCUUGAGAAAUUGAAAACUUAAUUUCGUUCCUUCUUUAGUGGAUCUCACAAAUUUGAUAUAAUCUUUAAGGGUUGAACAAGCUUGCUAGAAAUAUGAGAGGUCUAGUACAUAAUAAGAGUGAUCGUAAUAUUGCUUGUACUUCUAAGACCACUUUUAUUCCUGUAACCAACAACCUAGGCAUGUUACAAAUCUUGAACCUGAGAACAAGUGUAUCUUAGGACAAAGACCUAAUAGGCAUAAUAGGACCAACCAAUCCAAAAAUUAAUAACAGCAACCACGUAGAUUUGGACCUAGGUUUAUCCCUACUUGUCAUAAUUGUGGUGAGUGAGGACACACAAGGCCUAUAUGUCACAAACUUUUGAAUAGGAAUAGAAGUCAGAAUAUAUCUAGUUGGGUUGACUUUCUUACUAAUCAGGUUAGUUACUUGACCAAGAUGUUGGUACAAUUGAAAAGGAUUAAUUCUGAGUCCAGGAAGUCUAGGUUAACAAGAGUGAUCCUAAUGAAGCUGAUCCUGGUGCUCUUAAAGGUAAGGGCAUGUUUGUACCUCAAUUAGUAGGUUUUUUUGUGUAUGCAUGUGCUAGUUCACUGUGUUCAUUCAUUCUUGUAUGUUUCUCAUUCUUUGUAUGUUCCUUUUGGUCUAUUUGUUUUAAAAAAAUAAAAAUACAAAUAAAAAAGGAGAGAAUUUUUUAAAAUACAACACAUUAUAUGAUUUACUUGAACAUGCUAACUGUGAUCAAGUAUGAGUACAACUGAUGAUAUGUAGCAUAGUUUUCAUUACUUUGUUUAGGUUUUAUAUGGAGUACUUAGUGUAGGUUUAUUCAUGUACCAUCUAUAAUGCACACACUAAAAUCUUGUGAGUAAGUCUUGACCGCAUGUGUGAGACUUAGGAUGACAGUCAUCUGUAUAUGAUGAAUUAAAAUUGAACAUGAUUUGACUUUUAACUAGUUGACCAAAGCAUUUUUAUAUUUCCUAAAAAGAAAAGUUGAUUAAUCUUAUACUAUUCUUUGGAGUCUAUUUGACUUGAGCAAUUGAACCUAAUAGGUUUCUCAAAACCUGAUGCCCUAUGGCCAUCUGCCAUAGAGUCAUCGGUCCAAAUCUCAUUAUAAGAGUUAUUUUAGCCACUUAAUGGAGAAGAGUUUGCAUAUAGCAUGUGAAAAAAAUUACAUAUGCUUAAACUUGGGGGAGUAAAGAAAAAUUGAUACAUGAAAAAUGAGUUUCAUUUCAUUGUUUAAAAGGUUCUAGUUGUUAUGGGUUUGACUUUCACCAUUAGAGGAAUAAACUCAUUCAUUAGUGAUUUUUCAGCAUAUCUUUUCUCACAAAUUUAAGGUUCGGAGUUUUGCUCACAAGGAAUUAGUGAUACUUUUGUGAGUGUUGUCGUAGACAUCCCAAAUUAAAAUCGAUACUUCUUAAAAUUAAUGUAGUGGCAGAAGUAAGGAUCGAUCCCAUGAAGAGUGUUUAGUCUAUUUUCUAUGUUUGAUUAACUAAAUGGGGGAUUUUGAUUUUGAAAUAAUUAAUUCAUAAGAAAAAUAAUUAAUAUCAAAGCAAAUCAAGGAAUUAAAUGAAAUCAAUAUAAUGAACUUUGGUCUAAGUCAACAUCCACCAUUGAAAAUUUAUAACCAGUCAUUGAUUCACAAAUAAUCAUUAAUUCACAAUUUUAGCAUUCAAUGUGGAAAACAAUUUCCUAUUUCUUCUUAGUGUUAAUUAAGUAGAAAUAAGCGAUCUAAUUAAUCCUAAUUAUCGAACAAUCCCAGAUAAGCGCGAAGAUUUAAUUCAAUAAUUGCUUUAUGAACUAGAAAAAUCAAUAAACCAAAUAAAACAAUAUCACGCGGUUGCAUUUAGCCUAAAUAAAUAUUCUUCUUAAGAUUCAAUAAUUUCAAAGUGGCAAAUCAUUAAUCCUAAUUGCUUUACAAGUUAAAUUUAUUAAACAAUUACGGAUUUGAAGUUUAACUUAGCUAUAGAUUGUGGAGAAUAAUAAACUAAUAUGCAUCCUAGCAAUUAAAUACAAUAACCAUAAAAAUACAGGCAAACGAAUAUUUAAUACUAAACAUAUGAAUUAACCAAUAAAAACUAGGUAGAUCUCACAGUUAUAAUUAUUUCGAGGCUUUUGUCUCCUUCAGUCAAGCACAAGAGCUUAGUUACACAUCAUAAAUCUAGAGCACAAAAAGAGAGAAAAGUGGGUUGGAGCGAUCUCUAGGUUUUGGAUGAGUUCUGGGGCUUAUAUAAUGUGUAGAUGAUUUGUUUUCAUGAGAAGUUGAAUGAAAUUAGGAAACUAAAAAUCGCAUCUCGAAUUUAUUCUAUGAGACUGCAAAGAGGAAACUUGCACUAUCGCAAGGAUGAAACUUUUUUGGCCAUAGAAUUCUCUGAAUGCUUGUGUGCAACUGCAUGUUUCAAAUGUCUUACCUGUCAGACAUUUUUUAGUAUUUUAGUCAUAACUUUCUCUCCAAAUAUUCAAUUGAGGCAAUCAAAGUGCAUUAGAAAGCUAAUAAAAAGGGAUACAAUUUUGGUUGAGAUAGACAUUUUCCAAUUCGGACGUUUACUAUGCCAAAAAUGAGUCUCAAAUACAGGCGAGAAAUCUGUAGCGUAUCUUUUUCGCCUGAAAGUUAAUAUUUGAUAAUGUUUCGAUUAUAUUUCACAUUUUUCACUUCUUUCCGCAUCCGAAUGAUCCAUAACAAUCUUGAAUCUUUAUUCCAUCGCCCAUCUUAUCUAUGGAUUAUUUGCAACUUGCUCCCUAAACUUUUGUUUGCUUCCAUUUUGGUCCAUUUUCGCUCUUUUUUCCCAACUUUCACGGCUUCCAUCCAGUUGCAACCUAAAUCAAAAUAUAAGGGUAUUAAGUAAAUUUAGGUAUCAAAUAAUCACAAAAGUGCAAGUAUUAAUGGAUGAAAAACAUGACAUUUCAUGCCUUGUCAAAUUUCCCCAUACUUAGCUUUUGCUUGCCCUCGAGUAAAAUUCAAAUUGACUGUCACAAAGAUAGUAAGGUUGCAAUGCUUCAAGAUAGAGUAAUCAAACUCUUCAAAAUACAUAGCACAUCAUGAACAGAUAAUUUCACACAACUUUUAAUCAAUUAGCAAGUAUUCUCAUAUAAAGAUAGAGUAAACCAAACAUGUAGACUCUCAUAGGAUACAAGCACUUAACUCUCAUGUGUUUAAAGGGUAAGUAUUUCGCUCAAGUUCAUUCCAAUGGACAUGAUCUACCAUAAGCUUGCAUAUCUUCUCAUUCUCCACCAAUUAGAUUACAUGCAUUAUACAAAUCAUAAGAUCUUUUUCAUGGUUUGUAACGUGGCUUCGGGUUAAGGUGGGAAAUAUUUGGGUAAGUAACUUAAAAACCAUUGAAACUAAUGGAGUAAAGAUGAAUUAACUCAACCUCAAAUGUACACAAAAUAUGCAAGACCAUUUUUUUUCCACUUAGUAGUUUCUUUGCAUCUAUUUCACACAAACCAACCAUUUCUUGUGACGUUAGGAGGAGUCAUGAACAUAACUUCAUCUCUUCUUUUCUUUUCUUUUUUCAUCUUUCUCUCUCUCUCUCUCUCUCUCUCUCUCUCUCUCUCUCUCUCUCUCUCUAUCUUUUCCAAAAUAUCACUAAUAAUGGAACUUAUGAAUUGUAAUUGAGAACAUGUUCCAUUCCACCAUCAUAAUCCUACCAAAAUUUUAGACACUCCCACACUUAUUUCUUUCGCACUCCCAUAUGUACCAAAAUGAAGAACAAUAUUACACUAGUUCUACGGCUUGUGUAAAGACAUUAUUUUUCGGGGUUUAAAAUUUGUAACGUGGGUUCACAAAAGAAAAGGCUAUAAGGCUCAAAGGGGUUCAACAAAGGGAAAAGUUAAUUACAUGGUAGGGUAUUUGGCUAAGAUGGCUAACUUAUGCAACAAAGAUGGCCUUAAUUAUGUUCAUGCAUACAUGUAUCAAUAUGGCCUCGAAGAGAAUCAAGGCAAGUUAUAGAGAAGUAAAUCCAUGGAAGAAAAUCACUCAUGAAAGAAACUAGUGAGACUAGUAUGGAUGUGUCAGUCUAAAGACGCAAAAUCUCACUGGCUUUUUGUCUACAAAAUUUAGUUACUACCAUCCUCAAAAAAAAUAACUAAACUAUUAACUCUAAUUUGGAAGAUCAUUCAUUCAAUCAUAUUAUGACUCUGUCAAAUUCUAAUUGAAUCUAGCAGAUAGCUUAUAUAAAACCAUAGCUUUUCCUCAAAUUUUCUAAAGAUUUUCUCAAAAAGUGCUUGUGAAGCGGAAACGUUACCUAAAUUAAAAUUUUAAAAACAAUCUAAAUUUCCUCCCUCACACUUAAAACUUAUAUUGUCCCCAAUGUAAAGUGAAAUGCAAAGAAGAGAAUAAAAUUAUCUUAAUAUAUGAAUGCCAAAAAAAAAACAAAAAACAAAAAAAAAGCAAAAAAAAAAGAAAGAAAAUGAAAACAAAAAUAAAAAUAAAAAGUAAAGGAACAAACUCCUCUGGUUUGCCUCCCAAGCAGCGCCUUUGUUUAUUGUCUUUGGCUCGACUUAUUGCUUUCUUUCUUAAUCGUCAUAAAUUCGAUCUUCGAGUUUCAACGUUGUCAUGUCCUCUGCCUGGAAACCUUCAUAGAAAGGCUUGAGCCUAUGGUCAUUCACCUUGAACACCUUUGAAGUUGCCGUGCUUUGGAUUUCUACUAUACCAUGAGGAAAAACAUUAAUAACAACAAAGGGUCCAAUCUAAUGGGAACGCAGUUUACCUGAAAAUAGCUCGAAGCAGCGAUUAGUAUUGGAGGACUUUCUAACCAACUUCUAAAUCUUUCCUAUAAAUCAUCUUGUCAUGGAAUGCCUUCAUCUUUUCCUUGUAAAUUCUUAUACUCUCAUGAGCAUCGUUGCAAAUUUUCUCCAACUCUUAAAGUUGUAGCUUCCUAUGUUUUCCAUUCUCAUCCAUCGUCAUGUUGAAGUUCUUACCAGCCCAAUACGUUUUAUGUUCAAGCUCCACUGAAAGAUGGCAUGGUUUCCCAAAUAUUAAUCGGUAAGGUGACAUACCAAUAGGUGUCUUAUAUACAAUCCUAUAUGCCCAUAAAAGCGUCAUCUAAGUGCAAAUUCCAAUCUUUUCUGCUUGGACAGAUCGUCUUUUCAAGGAUAGACUUGAUUUUCUUGAUUUGGUACUUUCACUUGUCCACUAGUCUGCGGAUGAUAUGCAGUUGACACCUUGUGGGUUACAUGAUAUUUUCUCGACAAAACUUCCACAGUUCGAUUACAAAAAUGAGUGUCGCGAUCACUGAUGAAAGCUCUUGAAAUCCCACACCUGGAGAAUAUGUUAGACUUGACAAAAUAUGCAACAGCUCUUGAAUCCUCAGUUUUGUUGGCCUAAGCUUCCACCCAUUUCGACACAUAAUUCACAGUAAGCAAAAUAUACACAAAAUCAAAAGAUACAGGAAAUGGCCUAUGAAAUCAAUGCCCCAAACAUAAAAAAUUUCAAAAAAAAGUAUGGUUAUUGUGGCAUUUCAUUUCUCUGUGAUAUGUUACCUGCCUUUUGAUAAUCUCGCAUGACUUACAGAAAACAUAUGCAUCUCAAAAUAAGGAUGGCCAAUAGAAACCGCAUUUAGCACUUUCCUUGCUGUCGUCUUUGGUUCAAAGUGUCUUUCACAGGCAUAAGAAUGACAGAAGGUGAGGAUAGGGGUAAUUUCAUUUUUCAGAAUUAGGGAUGGCAAUUGGGCUCUCGGGCCACCUGUGGCAAGGCCCGGGAAAAGCCUGAGUCGACCCGUGUGGCUCUUCGGUUCGAGCUCACAGGCUUUAAUUAAAAAAAAGAUUAAAGGGCGGGUUGUUGCAGCCUUUUUUCAAGUUGCCCUUUUUAAGGUAGCCUUAAAAAAUGGCAGCAACCACCUUUAAAAAAGGGCAUCAUGCUGCCUUGAAAUAGGCAGAAAAAAGGGCCGAGCACCCGCCUUUAAAAAAUGGCAGCAGGCUGCCUUUUUCAAGGCAGCAAAAAAAAAAAUAAAAAGAAAAAAAGAGGGAGGAGCCUGACUCUACUCGGUAUAGCCCGAGCCUAAAAAUCUUGAUUGGGUAAAGCUCGGUUCGACUCGACUCGAUUUCGCAAAAAGCUCGAACCAUCUUCAAAUUUCGGCUCGCGAGCAGGCUCAACUCUGCUUGUUGAUACCACUAUCUAGAAUGUACUUUCUAAUCACUUGAAUUGCUCAAUGCUUCUACCCAUAUAGAUCAUCACAUACAUAAUAUUUCACGUCCUUCUUUAUCUUGUCCUUUUGAGCCCUAGAGAAAUGAGGAGAAAGUAUGUUGAUAAGUGUGUUUUUCCACACUUAUUUAGGUCACAAACAUGACUUAAUAAGGAGCAAAAUGAUUGAAUUGUGACUUAUACUCGUACAUUUGUAAAUUGUAGGAAACAACGAUGAACAUGAUGAAAUUCAGGAGAAAAGACACGAAAAGGACUAAAAUGAUGCAAAGUGAAAGUUCAGGGACCAAGGUGCAAUUAUCUAAAAGUUGACCCGAUGAACAAAUCGAGAAAUUUAUUAAGCCAAUUUCCAAUUGACAAUAUCUUGGGAUGAUGGAAUGGAAAGAAUGAAGAAAAGAUGCCAAGAAGUGAAGGAUUCAAGUAGGAGGACCAAAAUGAACAUUUUUCAUAGUUGGUAGCACUAUGCAACCCCUCUAUGCAGUCGCAUAGAGGCAUACCGAAGAUAAAGUACCCCAAAAACUUUACUCUAUGCGACCGCAUAGAGAUGCUCUAUGCGGUCGCAUAGAGCAAUAUUAGGGUAAAAUCGCUAUUUCCUUUUUCCGCCAAAACUCUUGUGGAAACAAUAUUUUUAGGGUCCUAUAUAAACAAAAACUCGACCAGAAUGAUGGGGACGCCAUUUUUAUAGGUUUUUGAGAGAUUUUGAAGGAGAAAUGAGGAGAGAACAAGAAGAUAAUAUCGCGCCAAGUGAAGAUUCGAUUGAAGAUUGAUUCGGGUGAUGACGUUUCUUCAACUAUUUUUAUGUUUUCUUCUUUUUAGCAUGUUAGGCUAAAUUUAUCAUUGCUAGGAGAUCGAUGAACCUUGUAAUACAACGUUUGAUUGUUGAUUUGGAUUUUUGACGUAUUUAAACGCAAGUUCCGGAUUUGAUUGAUUUAUUACGUUUUUAUUUUCAUAUGAUUAUUGUGCAUGUAAUUAUAUAAUUGUUGUGGCCUAUUUUAUGCAUUCAAAAGAAGGAAAAUAGGUUCAACAUAGUAAAAAUCAUCAUAGGGUCAGAUAAGGGAUAUAAAUAUACCUCUAUGCCUUGUGUGAAUCAUUGGAUAUUCAUGAAUUUAUAAUGUAUUUCGGUAUGUUAGUAUUCGUCAUAGAAAUAUAGUCGAAUCAUAUAGUGGGAUAGGUUUGGCAUUGCUCGAGAGAGAUUGCUAAAUUAAAAUAGGAAUAUUGAUUCGUCUUUUGUGGGACCGUGUGUCAAAUUUGUAUAAUUGAAAAUUGAACGGGUAUUGCUUGGGGAUUCGUGAUCCUAGUACGAUAGUAUAUUCAUUAAUUCCAUAAAUUUGAGUUAAAUUGCAUCCAAGUUAUUUUGCAUUUAGUAUAAUUUUUCAUUCAUACAUGCAUCAAAGUUUACAUCUUUUUAGUUAAAGUGCAAAACAUCAAUUUGAUUUUCAUGUUUCGGUUAAGGUCAUAAUAGGUUAAUUUGAACUAAUUCAAUCCUUGUGGGAUCGAUACUUGGACUCAUAGUCCAUUUUACUACUUGUUAACGAACCGUACACUUGCGGUGGAUUUUAAAUUGGAACAAAUAAUUUCGUGAACAAGCUUUUGGCGCCGUUGCCGGGGAUUGAAAUUUAGUUUUAAUUUUAUCUUUUGUGACACUGAUUCGAACUUAUCUAGAUUAGUAGUAGUUAGCUUACUAUGUUUAGUUUAUUAUUCACUUCAAUUUAAUUUUGUGUUAAUUUUGCUAUCUCAAGGCUUGUAUGCAAGGAGCACCUGAUCGAGACUUGGUUCCCGUAGAUCCAGAGAUCGAACGCACAUUUCAUCACAGGCAAAGAGAAGCAAGAGCGGCACAACAAAUGGCUAACGAGCAAAAUCGAUUGGCAAUUCACUCAACGAAGGCAUAGUAAUUGAAGAUGACGAGAAUACAGUACUUGGGGACUUCAUGGCACUGUUGGUGGUCCAAAGUCAAUCUAGCAUUGUGUAUCCUCUAUUUGGGCAACCGAACUUCCAGCUAAAAACAAAUGUGAUUCAACUAUUUCAGAAUGGGCAUCAAUACCACGGGAUGUCUAGUGAGAAUCCACACACACACAUAUCCCGAUUUCUAGACAUGUGCUAACACUUCAGGUACCAGGAUAUCUCAGAUGAUGCUAUAAGACUGCAUUUGUUUCCACACACCUUGCGGUAUAAAGCACUUGAAUGGCUGGAUUCACUUCCCAUCGCAAGCAUCACUACUUGGAACGAGCUAGACCAUAAAUUCUGCACCAAGUUCUUCUCGCCGGCUAAGGUAGCUAAAAUGCGGCAUGAUAUCUCUAUAUUCAACCAAUGUUAGUUCGAAUCAUUUGAAGAGGCAUCGAAUCGUUUCAAAAAUAUGUUAAAGAAGUGUCCUCAACAUGGCUUUGAUAAGAAGACACAAAUCCGAUUUUUCUACACUAGACUACUUCCAUCCUUCAACAGCAUGGUGGAUUCAUCAUCUGACGGGUCCAUCUCUACAAGAACAAUUGACGGAGCAUGGGAGCUGUUUGAGAGAAUGGCUACAAUGUUAGCCAUGUGGUCUAUAGAUCGAGUGGUUCAGAAGAGAACGCUGGGGUUUAUGAAGUAGAUACUUACUCAGCAUCGUCUGCAAAGAUAGACUCUUAUUUCCAUAAGAUUGAGAGCAUUUCACAGACCGUCACUACUAAACAAGUCAAGCAGUCAAGCUGUGAAGAAUGUGGAGCAGACCACAACACUGUUAAUUGUCCAAUUCUUGUAUAAGGGGUUGAACAUGCAGAUUUUGUGCAAUGGGGACAACGCCAACAGAACAACCCACAUUUGAAAACCUUUAAUCAGGGUUGGAAAAAACACCCAAACUUCUCAUGGAGUAAUUAGAAUCAAAACAGACCACAAGGUCAAUAUCAGCAGCAGGAUAAAAAGCUACCAUUGGAAGAGAUGUUCGAGAAGUUCAUGACAACAACCAAUCAGUAUAUGGAAGCCAACAACCAGUUUAUGCGAAAGAUAGAUGCAACUCUUCAAGACCAAAGUGCAGCAAUCAAAAAUUUGGAGACACAAAUGUGACAGAUGGCAAUCUCCAUGACGGGUAGAGCACCAGGAAACUUACCCAGCAACACUGAAAUCAACCCUAAGGAGAACACAAAAGCUAUAACAACCAGAAGUGGAGUACAACUACCGGAGAUACACGUAAAAAAUUGGUAGCUAGCAAGGAAUCAGCACCACCUCAGAUGACGAGAUUGUGGAGCAGACUGAACAAACAACAGGGGAUGUUGCCAAGAAGAAUUCCAAUACAUCACGGGGUAAAGUUACCAAUCCUAUCAACCCUCAUGAACCACCUAUUCCAUUCUCACAGAGGUUGAAAAAGCACAAAUUGGAUUAGCAAUAUAGUAAGUUUCUUGAAGUUUUCAAGAAAUUAGACAUCAACAUCCCAUUUGCAGAGGCACUUGUUCAGAUGCCGAGUUAUGCAAAAUUUCCAAAGGAUAUCCUCUCCAACAAGUGAAAGAUAGAAGAAAAUGAAACAUUGAUGCUAACUGAGGAAUGCAGUGCUAGAAUCUAGAAAAAGCUACCUCUAAAACUAAAGGAUCCAUGGAGUUUUACUGUACCUUGCACUAUUGGGAAUUGUCAUUUUGGUAAAGCGUUGUGUGAUUUAGGUGCAAGUAUUAAUUUAAUGCCUCUCUCUAUUUUCAGGAAACUCAGCUUGGGAGAAGCUAAAGUCACAACAGUCACCUUGCAGUUAGCAGAUCGAUCCCUUACACAUCCAAAAGGGAUCAUUGAAGACGUGUUGGUAAAAGUGGAGAGGUUCAUAUUUCCAGCCAAUUUUCUCAUCUUAGACAUUGAGGAGGAUAAGGAUGUUCCACUCAUAUUGGGGUGACCUUUCUUAGCUACUGGAAGAGCGAUUGUCGAUGUUCAAAAGGGACAGCUUAUAUUGAGGCUUAGCGAAGAGCAAAUCUCUUUCAACGUUUUCAAGGCAAUGAAAUUCCCUACUGAGUCAGACAGCUGUUUCCAGAUCAAUGUAAUUGACAGAAUAAUUCAAGAUACAUUUCGGCUACAUCAUCCUUCCGAUGCAUACGAGGCAUGCAUUACACAUUAUCAAUCCACUCACACUGAUUUAAGUGAGAUUGAAACAUGUGCUCGAUUUUUGGAAACUAAUCCACCAUACAUGCGCAAACGUCACUUCAAAGAGCUGUGAAUUAGGACUACAAAGUCAGUGCCAUCUAUUCAGCAACCUCCCAAGUUAGAACUCAAGCAAUUGCCACCACACCUUUGAUAUGCUUACCUGGGAAAUCUUCUACACUUUCGGUUAUUAUUUCAAAUACUGUCAGUGAAAUGGAGGAAGAGAAACAACUUCGGGUGCUAAGGGAGAAUAAAACAGUCAUUGGAUGGUCAAUUGCAGAUAUCAAAAGGAUCAGCCCAUCACUAUGCAUGCACAAAAUACUCAUGGAGGAAAAAUUCAAGCCAAGUAUUGAUGGUCAGCAGAGAUUGAAUCCACACAUGAAGGAAGUGGUUAGGGCUGAGGUAUUGAAGUUGCUCGACGCAGGCAUCAUCUAUCUAAUAUAAGAUAGUGCAUGGAUCAGUACAGUACAGGUUGUUCCUAAGAAAGGGGGUAUCACAGUGAUAGAAAACGAGAAAAAUGAGACUCCUACACGAACAGUGACUGGAUGGAGAGUUUGCAUCGAUCACCGCAAACUAAAUGCUGCUACUUGAAAGGAUCACGUUCCACUACCGUUCAUUGAUCAGAUGUUGUAGAGACUAGCAGGGCACUCGCAUUACUAUUUUCUGGAUGGGUACUCCGGGUAUAAUCAGAUUCCAGUAGCACCUGAUGAUCAGGAGAAGAUAACUUUCACCUGUCCCUACGGUACCUUUACAUACCGUGGGAUGCCGUUUGGUUUAUGCAACUUUUCUACCACUUUUCAGUGCUGCAUGAUGGCUAUCUUCUCAGAUAUGAUUGAGAAAUUCAUCGAGAUAUUCAUGGACGACUUCUCGGUGUUUGGGUCUUCGUUUGAUGAGUGUUUGGAGCAUUUGAGUCUUGUGUUACAGCGGUGUACAGAGACUAACUUCGUAUUGAAUUGAGAGAAAUGUCACUUUAUGGUACAUGAAGGCAUCGUGUUAGGACACCGAAUCUCAAUAAAGGGUAUUGAGGUGGACAGAGCUAAAAUUCAGGUGAUCAAGAAAUUACCACCACUAACUUCAGUGAAAGGUGUUCAUAGCUUCCUCGGGCAUGCCGGGUUCUACAGAAGGUUCAUCAAGGAUUUCUCAAAAAAUUACCAAACCACUGUACUGUUUACCAGGCAGGGGGCUGAUCAAAUCGUUGGUCGCUGCGUACCUGAGGAAGAAGUGCCUUUGAUAUUAGAACAUUGUCAUUCAUCUACAUAUGUAGGGCAUUUUGGUGCUUCAAAAAAAGUGGCGAAGAUCCUUCAAUCAAGUUUUUACUGGCCUACACUAUUUAAGGAUGCUUUUGAAUUUGUGAAAAGGUGUGACCGAUGUCAACGCACCGGUAAUAUAUCCAGGAGAAACGAAAUGCCUUUGAACAAUAUCCUGGAAGUGGAACUAUUCGACGUCUGGGAGAUCGACUUCAUGAGGCCAUUUUUCCCAUCCUUCUCUAAUCAGUACAUAUUAGUGGCUGUGGAUUACGUAUCGAAGUGGGUAGAGGCCGUUGCAUUGCCUACCAACAAUGGGAAGGUGGUGAUUGACUUUCUAAAGAAAAAUAUUUUUACCCACUUUGAAACACCGAGGGCUAUAAUCAGUGACCGGGGCGAACAUUUCUGCAAUCGCCAGUUUGAACAAUUGUUGACUAAAUAUGACGUUAAACAUCGUGUAGCCACUACAUAUCAUCCCCAAACCAGCGGAUAGGUCGAAGUGUCCAAUAGGCAAUUGAAACGAAUGCUCGAAAGUCACAGUAAGCUCGUCACGAAAAGAUUGGUCUAAGAAACUAGACGAUGCCUUGUGGGCCUAUCGGACUGCAUUCAAGACCCCUAUAGGAAUGUCACCAUAUCGACUGGUUUUUGAGAAAGCAUGCCACUUACCUCUUGAGAUAGAACAUCAUGUUUAUUGGGCAAUGAAGAAAUUGAAUUUGGAUUUGAAGGCUGCAGGUAAAAAUGUCUACUACAACUUAAUGAGUUGGAUGAGCUCAGAAUGGAAGCCUAUGAGAAUUCAAGACUUUACAAAGAGCGCACCAAGAAAUGGCAUGAUAUGCACAUUCAGAGGCAUGAAUUUAUGGUGGGGCAAAAAGUGCUACUCUACAACUCUACGCUUAAGCUAUUUCCAGGAAAGUUGUGAUCGAGAUGGUCUGGCCCGUAUACUAUUACAUAGGUAUUUCCACAUGGGACAGUCGAGAUCACUCACGACAGCAAGGGGACAUUUAAGGUCAAUGGACAGUGUUUGAAGCACUAUUAGGGUGGCGAUUUUUCAAAGGAAAAGUCUACCAUUCAUCUUAGACCACCAUAAUGACGCAAUACGGUAAAGUCGAGCUAUCGACUAUAAUCUAGCGCUGGGUGAGAGGUAACCCACUGUAUCCUUCUAUUAGCUUACUUUUCAAUUAUUUUUCGAAUCAUUUAAUAUUCGCAUUUGCAUUUUUCUAGGUCAUCGUUCGUACAUGCAUGUUAAUAAGAUCAAAUUAUCAUCCCAAUAAUUUCCUAGGCAUUAUACACAUGGUCGAUGAGUUUGAAAUGAUUUUGGGUAUUUGGGAGUAUGGUUCACCCAUUUCUAGAUAGAAGAAAGUUUUUUUUAUUAUUAACAAAAAAAAAUUUUUACGAGGAAAAUAUCUUUUUUGCUUUUCAGUAUAUUUAAAAAAAAAUUUGGUCUAUGCGAUCGCAUAGACACCUACCGAACGUUAAAAGUGGGUAAUUUUCAUUACUAUACGACCGCAUAAUAGACCUCGGUCAUGGUUUUAAACCAUGACUGAGCCAUUUCCUUCCCCAUAUUUACAUCAUACCCUCCACACUUCUCUCACCACACUCCCAUACGAAUCACACCCAUCUUUCACUACAUUCUUUCCCCCAUUGACACCAUCAAUUGAUACUCCGCACAUUCAUAGUGAAAUUCAAAGUAUGUUUUUAUUUCCUUCUCCCUCUAUGUGUUUUUUGUUUUUUGCUUUUCCUUCAUGUGGUUUGUAAUGUGACAAGAAUUUUUGACCUUGAUUGUGGAGAAUGGGCAAUAGGUAGUCGUUGGAUUUGUGUAUGUUGCACUUGGAUUGUGUUGUGGAUUGGUAGGACACUUUCAUAUUGGUAUCUUUUUGGGUUUAUAAAUCAUGCAUGCUACAUGUUCGAUACAUUGCCUAAGUAACAUUUGUAGUGCAUUUUGAGCAUUCUUGCAUUAGACAAUAUGAAUAUAAGCAUUCCCAUAUACGUGGUGAUCCAAUGCCUUAGCAAUUGAACUCGAAACACUCCCGUACCAACACACACAUGUAGGCACACGUGCUAAGCUCACGUCACCUCACAACACCUAAUUCGUCCCUUGCGUUAGUACCCGUACGACUUCCAAUGAGCUUGAAAUAUGAAUAUGUACCACUCCUCGCUACGUACUUUCAUAUGCCUGGAGGUUACUCGGGAGAAUUUUGAGUUUUCACGAUGAUGUCCGGGGGUGAACGUGCUCACUUCCUCACGGGUCACUUGACACAUUUUUGGAUGUUUUGAGCUUCAUUUUGUGUGUGUCUUAUUAUUUUGCCUUCCUUCUAUGUUCUUGAGCAUGUUUUCUUAAUGUUUGCAUAUGCCACAUUCAUAAACACAUGUAAAACAUCACAUCCAUUUUGCAACACGUAGGCACAUGGCUAGGUCACGGCACCUUACGUCGCCGACUUUCCACCAUUAUUUGGCAUACCAAACAAAGUUCAUUUGCUUUGAAAUUUGAAUAUAUGGUAGAUCUCAUUUCAUAAUUUCAUAUGGCUAGAGAUUGCUUGGGAAAUUUUGAUAUUUUUCGAUGAUGUCCGAGUCCGAACGUGCGCACUCGGUCAUGGGUCCAAAUUUUCAAAUGUGCUUGUUUCAGCCUAAAUUUCCAGUUUUUCAUCUUGGCAUUCUAUUUACACUACCUUGAACGUUAUAUUUUGUUAAGUGCGCACUAAGGAGUUCUAUAUGCAUGUUGAAGCAAGUUUGGGGGAUUUAUGAAAUACUUGUCUUGCUAAUCUCAUUUCCCUUAUCAUUUUUCAAAAUGCAGUUUAAUGACUGUUAUUUAUAUACCUUUGCAGGAUGCCUCCAAAAUGAACAACAAAAGGAAAGGAGAAGGUUGGUUCCACAUCUGGCACAGCCCGAACUAGGGAACCCGAAGGGAGUGUCGACCAUUUUCUAUCUUCAGACCAAGCAGUCCGAUAUGCCAAUGUUGUCCGUGAAUGGGCACUCAUCCCUGAGAGACCAGUUAAGUUGGAUGGUUUCCCGAGUUUUGAAUUGGUUUAUUUAAUCCACAACUGUGGUUGGGAAAAACUGAUCGAAAAACCACAACCCAUCUAUGAAAAUUUGGUACAGGAAUUUUAUGCAAACUUCAAUGCUGAAAUAGACACACCUGGAUCCGAUCAUCUGCAUCAAACAUGGGUUCAGGGCAAAUGGAUCAUAUUUUCACCUGAAGUCAUUCAUGACUACUAUCAGCUCACCUGGACUAAUGUAGCCCCACUCCCACAUAAUUUCAACUAGGUUGAGAUUGCAUAAGUGUUUUUGGGACGUGAAAAUGCUUGGCCUCUCCCUACUGCUGAUUGGUAUCAGAUUGACCUCACUCUUUCUAUAGCCAUUCUAUGGUUGUUCAUCUGCCACAACAUCGAGCCCAUCUCCCAUAGGACGACAUUCACAAAUCAGAAGGCGGGGUUCAUCUAUCACUUAGUUCGCGGUAAUAAGAUUGACUUAGCCACUUAUAUUUACAAUUAGAUACACAUUAUAGGCGCAUGGGGUGACAGGCACACCUCACUGAUUUUCCCGAGCUUGAUAAGUGGGGUUUGUAGAGUUGUAGGCAUACAAGUUCAGCCAUGGAGGCACCGAAGAAACCAAGUCCAUUUAUCAAGCGCCUCACACUCGAGGCCCAGGACCGAGUCAUAAUUAAACAUCAACAGAAGUUAGAAAAUGAGUGCCGACGAUAGCAACAGGCUGAAGAAGGGGAAGCAGUUGAGGACUUUGAAAUGCCACAAGCUCCACCACCACCGGCUGACAUGGACACCCAGUUAUUGAGGCAGAUGUUUGCCACUAUGACUGGACACAGUCGAGACAUGCAGCAGCUUUAGCACUCCUUUGGAGCACUGAGUACCACCAUCCAGCAGGUGCAGACAGAUAUGGCAUCUGUGUGAAACUUUACUUCCACUGCUAGUAGUGAAUCCCUUGCGGCACACCGACAGAUAAGUACCUUUGAUGGGCGAUUGGGCAUGUACGUUGGUCGGAUGGAUGGUAUACAGUGGCGGGUAAACGAGACUUGAGACCAUCUAGGGAGUUUGGAGACUAGGGUUCAGACCAUGCAGGCGGAACAGACCCAGCAAUCUUCCAUAUUGCGAAAGAUUUUAGCCCACCUGCCGUCCCCUCCAGGAGAUGAUGCUGCCGGACCCAACUUCCCAUCGCCGCCACCAUUUUGAUCAGGGGAGUACUGUUUACCCCAUUUUGAUUUUUCUUCUUCAUUUUGUUCUUAAAAUUAUGUCUUUAAGCUUUUGUUAAUCUUACAUUAAGGACAAUGUGUUAACUAAGUUUGGGGAGGGCGACAUAAUUUUAAAUCUCUAUUUGUGUUCAUCAUUAUUUAUUUUCCACUGAUUUACAUUACUGGAUAAUGUGUGCAUGAUGACUGUUAAAAAAAUUUGCAUUUUAUUCAGUUGUUUUAAAUUCUCUUCAUGCAUGCUUGUGUGGACUUGAUAACCUUGUUAGCUAUGAUGAUAUUAUUGGACUAGUGUAAACUACAAAACUCUGAAUCUGGCGUUAAUUAGACUAACUGAUUCUUGUUGAUGCAACACUUGACAUUAUCUAUGCAUGCUAUUCAUGCUUGCAAUAUUAGGAGAAUGACUGGAUUUUGAGCAUAAAGCAGGAAAAGAAUGAUAACCCUCGAUUGAAUUAACCCAUGAAUUACCUUAAGACAGUUUGGUGAUAAUUGAGUUAUUAUAGGAAAGCAUUGAGAUGAGUGGACGCUCCGUGCAUGAAAUUUAUUGUGUGGAUUGCCUAGGCCAGUGGGAUGAAGAGUAGGUGAAAAUCUUAAAUUGGGGGUUGGUUUUGGAAACUAAAUGUCUAGAAAAAUAACAAAGGGCACAAAUUUAAUAUGUGAGAAUAAAACACUUCUUUUCAUGCCUUUAUGACUCGAGCAAAUAAGCCUGUAAGGAUAUUUCAAAAUCCGGUGCCCUAAAGCCAACUGGCCUGGGAGUCACCGGCCCAAAACUCGAUACAUGGGUCAUAUAGAAAGCAAGCGGAAAAGAAGUUAAUAAAAUGUCAUCUUAUCGAGCCUUUAUAACUCGAGUGAGUAAGCCUGCAAGGGUUUAAAACUUGGUGCCCUAAAGCCAACUGGUUUGGGAAUCACCGUAUAAAGCUGAUUACCUGGGUUAUAUAGAAAGCAAAUGAGAAGAUGACAAUCAAUCAGAAAUUAAAGAAAGGUGAGAAAAACAUAAGAGAUACAAUGACAUGACGAAAAGCCUAGAAUUUGGUUGAAGAGACUAGACCUCUGAGGCGAGGCAAGUAAUCUAGUUUAAUCUUGAGUGUCGAAGCAAUCAAACUUAAGAGAGCCUUCACUUGUUGAAAUGUAAACUUGUGAUAGUAAGACUAAUCCAAACUACGAGAGGGUGAUGACUACAGCUAUGUAAAUUCCUAAUUUUAAGAUACAACCCCGGGAUAAUUGAAUGAAAAGAAUAAGUUUGGGGGGUUGUGCAUCUCUCGAGCAAGUAAGGAUACAUUUGACCACUUGGGAUCGGGAUUUAAAUUCAUCAUGAACCUGAUAUGUUGGCAUGAAUUCACACACACACGUCAAUUUGCAUUUAACAGGUAAAGGUUGAUGUCAUGUCUACACUGAUAAAUUUUCAUAAAGUCAAAUACUUAGACCAAUCCUGAGCCAUAACAUGGUAUUAAGCCAUGUUUGUUCAGAACUAAGUCACUAUCUUGUUUGAGGACAAACAAUAGUUCAAGUUUGGGGUGUUUGAUAAGUGUGUUUUUGCACACUUAUUUAGGACACAAACAUGAUUUAAUAACGAGCAAAAUGAUUGAAUUGUGACUUAAUCUCGUACAUUUGUGAAUUGUAGGGAACAACGAUGAACAUGGUAAAAUUCAGGAGAAAAGACGCGAAAAGGACUAAAAUGACGCACAGUGAAAGUUCAGGGACCAAGGUGCAAUUAUCUAAAAGUUGACCCGAUGAACAAAUCGAGAAAUUGAUUAAGCCAAUUUCCAAUUGACGAUAUCUUGGGAUGAUGGAAUGGAAAGAAUGAAGAAAAGAUGCCAAAAAGUGAAGGAUUCAAGUAAGAGAACCAAAAUGAACAUUUUUCAUAGUUGGUAGCACUAUGCAACCCCUCUAUGCAGUCGCAUAGAGGCAUACCGAAGAUAAAGCACCACAAAAACUUUACUCUAUGCAACCGCAUAGAGAUGCUCUAUGCGACCAUCUCUAUGCGGUCGCAUAGAGCAAUAUUAAGGUAAAAUCGUUGUUUCCUUUUUCCGCCAAAACUCUUAUGGAAACAAUAUUUUUUGGGUCCUAUAUAAACAAAAACGCAACCCGAAUGAAGGUGAAGCCAUUUUCACAAGUUUUUGAGAGAUUUUGAAGGAGAAACGAGGAGAGAACAAGAAGAUAACAUAGCGCCAAGUGAAGAUUCGAUUAAAGAUUGAUUCGGGUGAUAACAUUUCUUCAACUAUUUUUAUGGUUUCUUCUUUUUAGCAUGUUAGGCCAAAUUUAUCAUUGCUAGGAGAUCGAUGAGCCUUACAAUACUACGUUUGAUUGUUGAUUUGGAUUUUUGACGUAUUUAAACGCAAGUUCCGAAUUUGAUUGAUUUAUUACGUUUUUAUUUUCAUAUGAUUAUUGUGCACGUAAUUAUAUGAUUGUGGUGACCUGUUUUAUGCAUUUAAAAGAAGGAAAAUAGGUUUGACAUAGUAUAAAUCAUCAUAGGGUCCGAUAGGGGAUAGAAAUAUACCUCUAUGCCUUGUGUGAAUCAUUGGAUAUUCAUGAAUUUAUAAUGUAUUUCGGUAUGUUAGUAUUCGUCAUAGAAAUAUGUAGAAUCAUAUAUUGGGAUAGGUUUGGCAUUGCUCGACAGAGAUUGCUAAAUUAAAAUAGGAAUAUUGAUUCAUCUUUUGUGGGACUGUGUGUCAAAUUUGUGUAAUUAAAAAUUGAACGGUUAUUGCUUGGGGAUUCAUGAAAGUAUAUUCAUUAAUUCCAUAAAUUUGAGUUAAAUUGCAUCCAAGUUAUUUUGCAUUAGUAUAAUUUUUCAUUCAUACUUGCAUCAAAGUUUACAUCUUUUUAGUUAAAGUGCAAAACAUCAAUUUGAUUUUCGUGUUUUGGUUAAGGUCAUAAUAGGUUAAUUUGAACUAAUUCAAUCCUUGUGGGAUCGAUACUUGGACUCAUAGUCCAUUUUACUACUUGUUAAUGAACCGUACACUUGCGGUGGAUUUUAAAUCAGAACAAAUAAUUUCGUGAACAUAUGUUAGUAGCCAAAAAAUUACAAUAUCUGCAUACCAAGGUAGUGUUACACUUGCAGAGAACAAUUGCUUGUCCGGAAAGCUUUUGGGCAAUUGGAGUUCAUCAUCCAUGUGAUCUGGACGGCUCAAAUGGUCUAUAGCACUAUUCUUUGUUCCUCUUUUACUCUUGAUCUCCAAGUUGAAUUCACUGAAGAGAAGUAUAUACCAUAUUAAUCUUGGUUUUCCUUCCUUCUUUGUCAUCAAAUAACACAGAGCUGCAUGAUCAGAAUAAAUAAUAACUUUAGUAUCAAUUAAAUAUAGACGAAAUUUUUCUAAGGCAAAAACAACAGCUAAGAGUUCUUUUUCGAUCAUGGAGUAAUUUCUCUGGGCAUCAUUUAGAGUCUUGGAAGCAUAAUAGAUGGCAUGUGAAGCGUUUCCAAUUCUUUGACCCAACACUAUACCUACUACAAAGUUGUUUGCAUCACACAUUAUCUCAAAGGAAAAGUUCCAGUUAGGAGGUUAGAUAAUCAGUGCAAAUGUCAGCAGAUCCUUGAUUGUAUAAAAUGCCUUCUUGCAAUCCGCAUCAAACUCAAAAGCCAUGUCCUAUUGUAAUAAUCUGCGUAAGGUCAAUGCUAUUUUAGAGAAGUCAGUAAUAAACCUGAGGUAGAAACCUGCAUGUCCAAGGAAAGAAUGAACUUUCCACACACUAGCGGGGUAAGGCAAUGAUUGAACAAUAUCAAUUUUGGCUUUAUCUACCUCAAUACCCUUGAAUGAAAUGAUAUGCCUAGAACUAUACCUUGUUUAACUAUAAAAUGACAUUUUUCAAAAUUUAGUAUAAGAUUGGUUUCCAUGCAUCCUUUAAGGACUAGUGCAAGGUUAUGCAAACAGUUAUCAAAUGACUCUCCAUUGACUAUAAAGUCAUCCAUAAAAACUUCUGUAAUAUGCUCAAUGUAAUCUGAAAAUAUACUAAUCAUACACCGUUGAAAAGUGGUCAAUUGGAGCAUUACAAAGGUUCCAAAUGGGCAUGUGAAGGUUGUCUUUUCUUCAUCCUCCGGGGCAAUUACAAUUUGGAAAUAACCUGAAUAGCCAACAAGAAAGCAAUAGUAAGAAUGACCAGUUAACCUUUAAAGUAUUUGAUCAAUAAAAGAUAAAGGAAAGUGAUCUUUUGUGGGUUACAGCAUUUAAUUUCCUAUAAUCUAUACAAACGCGCUACCCAUUUUGAACACGGGUGGUAACCAAUUCGUCAUUUUGAUUCUUCACCACCAUUAUCUUGGUCUUCUUAGGAACCACUUAAAUGGGACUGACCCAACUGUUGUCAGAGAUAGAAUAAAUUACUCCAACAUCCAGAAGCUUGAGAAUCUCUUGCUUUACUACGUCCAUCAUGGGUAGGUUUAAUCUCUUUUGAGGUUGGCAGGUAGAUUUUGCUCCUUCUUCAAGCAGAGUGUGAUGCAUACAGGAUGGACUGAUUAUUUUGAUGUCUGCAAUUGUCCAUCUAAUAGCAAUGCGAUAAUUCUUGAGAACAUGCAUUGGUUUUUCUUCUUGUGUUGCAUUCAGUUCAUUUGAGAUGAUCAUGGGCAAUGUGUUUCCAUCGCCAAGGAAUACGUAUUUAAGGUGAUUGGAGAGAGGCUUCAAAUCUGAAGUAGGAGCUUGCAAUACAGAAGGUAGGGAUUUUUCAUUAGAAACUGAUAAAGCAGCAUAUGAAUUAUUACCUGUUUGUUGUAACUUUGGAAGACUGUUCAGUGUUGCAAUAGUUUCUUGCAAUUCAAGGAUCAAAGUCAAUUCUCCACUCUCAUUUUCAGCAUGAUUACUAAUAGCAACCUCUAAUUCAUGCUUUUUAUUAAGUUCAAAAACAUCAUGUACCAAACAAUCAAUCAAAUCAAUAGAGUAAGAAUGUCUUUCCUAGCAAGAUGGGACUAGUUUGGUUACCAUUUUCCAUGUCAAGCACAUAAAAAUUAGUAGGAAAAAACAAUUCAUUAACCUUUAUAAGAACAUCCUCAACCACUCCUCUAGGAUAGGCAUUUGAUCUAUCAGCUAAUUGAAUGACUACACUAGUUUUAACUAAGGGCCCCAAUUUCAAAGAAGCAUACAUGGAAUAUGGCAUGACAUCUAUAGAAGUUCUUAAGUCUAGCACAGCCUUUUCAAACUUAAUGUCACCUAUCAUGCAAGGAAUAUUAAACAUACCUGGAUCCUUACAUUUUGCAGGUAGUUUCCUUUGAAUGAAUGCAGAGACAUUCUUCCCAACUUUCACGUUCUCACACCUUUUGAGUUUCUAUUUUCUUUAAAGUGUACACAAUUCUUUCAAAAUUUUAGCAUAGCAAGGUACUUGUUUAUUAGAAUCUAACAAUGGAAUAUUUACUUCAAAUUUAUGAAAAGUUUCAUAAAAUUCGCUAUUUGGUUCAUCUUUCCUAGAUUCUGCUAAAGCCUGAGAGAAAGAGAGUAUUAGUUUAUACUUAGAAAAGGAAGGAAACUUACGUUUUAGUGUAUCAUCACCGUUGGAAGUACCUUUGUCUACGAUGACAUCUUUUUUCUUUUCUUAUUCUGACGAUGUGGAGACUGCCUUCAUCAGUGCCUAAACCUCUUUGGCAUUUCUUAACACAAUUGCACUUGCAUUUUUCCUUGGGUUUCCAACUGGUUGAGAAGGUAAUUUUCCCAAGUUUUGGGAUCCCAGCUGGUUGAUUGCAGUUUCUAUUUGACGCAUCUGAUUCUCCAAACUUUGAAUGCUUGCCCUUGUCUUCUGUUGCAAUUGUAAAGUGUUAGUGGUAAGAGACUUAACAAUAUCUUCUAAAGAUAUAUCAGAGUUAGAAGUUGGCAUGUUGCUGUUUAGGAGGAUAUGGCUGCUUAUUUUGCUGAAAAUUUGAGCGAUUUUGAGGAGUUGGGCACAUGUCAGUUGGAUGCCUUGUCACCGAACAAAUACUACACGCAUUUACUAUUUGCAUAUUACUUGCAACUAGUUGUCAAACUAGGGUAGUUAGACUCGAAAUCUAUUGUUCAAACGAUGAGAAAUUUACCUUAUUAAUAGGUUUAGAUGGACUGUCAAGCCUAGUACCAAAUUAUUGAGAGUUAACUGCCAUGUUUGCAAUCAAACUCCUUGCACACUCAAGAGUUUUAUCAACCAAAGCUCCUCAACUUACAACAUCAAUCAUACUCCUGUCAAUGGGCAAAAGGCCUUCAUAGAAAUAUUGAAUGGGAAGUUGUUCGCUAAUCUGAUGGUAGGGGCAACUUGCACAUAAUUUCUUGAAUCGUUCCCAAUAUUCAUGAAAGAUUCUCUGCUGUCCCGCCUUAUGCCACAGAUCUCUUUUCGAAUGUUAGCUGCCCUUGAAGCUGGGAAAUAUUUUUCUAAGAUCAUCAUCUUCAUCUCUUUCCAUGUUGUGACACUUUUAGAUGGUCGAUUGUAGAGCCAGUCCUUUGCUGAGUCCUUCAGGGAGAAUGGAAAGGCUCUCAAUUUGAUUUACUCUUCAAUUACUCCAGUGGGUUUCAUUCUUGUGCAAACCAAAUAAAAUUCCUUUAGAUAUUUGUGGUGAUCCAACAUCUAAAGUAUGAAUGGUUAUGCAGAGAGGUUGUUGAUUUAAGUUUGGAGCUGCAACCUCCUUCAAAGUCUUAUUUCCAGCCAUGACUUCCUCUCUUUCUGAAUCAGAAUCAUUGGUAAACAAGGGGGUAUGAAUGAGAUUGUGUCCUUCAAAUUCCUUGGAAUUGUCACUUCUCAACCUAAGCAAAGUUUUUUCAAUGUUCGGAUCAAACUGCAAAUUGCCUUGGUUAAAGGAUUGAGUUGCGGGCAUGAACAAUUAAGGAAGCUGUAUAAAAAAAAACUAAAAAAAAUAACGAAAUAAUCAAUUUUUUUAAAGAAAAACUAAUGAAACAAAUACAAAGCACAAAAAUAAACUAAAUCACUCCCCGACCAUGAUGCAAAAAUUUGGUGAGUGUUGUUGUAGACACCUCAAAUUAAAAUCUAUACUUUUUAAAAUUAAUGUAGUAGCUGAAGUAAGUAUUGAUCCCACGAAAAGUGUUUAGUCUAUUUUCUAUGCUAGAUUAACUAAAAUGGGGGGUUUUGGUUUUGAAAUAAUUAAUUAUUAAGAAAAAUAAUUAAUAUAAACACAAAUCAAUGAAUUAAAUGAUAUCAAUAUAACGAACCUUGAUCUAAGUCAACAUCCACAAUUGGAAUUUAUAACCAAUCAUUGAUCCACAAAUAAUCAUUCAUUCACAAUUUUAACAUUCAUUGUGGAAAACAAUUUCCCAUUCGAAACGAUUUCCUCUUUCUCCUUAGUUUUAAUUAAUUAGAAGCAAGUGAUCCAAUUACUCUUAGUUAUCGAACAAUCCAAUACAAGCUCGAAGAUUUAAUUCAAUAGUUGCUUUAUGAACUAAAGAAAUCAAUGAAUUAGAUAACACAAGCACACAUGGGUUGCAGUUAACCUAGAUAAAUAUUCUUCCUUAGAUUCAACAAUUUCUAAAGCGGCAAAUCAUUAAUCCUAGUUGCUUCCCAAGUUAAAUUUAUCAAACAAUUACGGAUUUGAUGUUUAACUUAGUUAUAGAUUGUGAAGAAUAAAAAACUAAUAUGCAUUCUAGCAAUAAAACACAACAACCAUAAAAAUACGGGCAGAAGAAUAUUUAAUACUAAACAUAUGAAUUAAAUAAUAAAAACCUGGUGGAUGUCACAGUUAUAAUUGUUCCAAGGAUUCUGUCUCCUUUAAUCAAGCACAAGAGUUUAGUUACACAUCAUAAAUCUAGAGCACAAAAGGAGAGAAAAGUGGGUUGAGGGUAUUCUUUAGGUUUUGGACGAGUUAUGGGUAUAUAUUGUGUACAAGAUUUGUUUCCAUGAGUAGUUGAAUGUAAUUAGGAAACUAAAAAUCGCGUCCCGGAUUUACUCUAUGCGACCUCAAGGUGAAAACUUGUGCUGUUGCAAGGAAAAAACUUUUUUGACCACAGAAUUCUCUGAAUGCUUCUUUGCGACCACAUGGUUCAACCAUCUAUCUGCCAAAUAACUUUUAGUAUUUUGAACAUAACUUUCUCUCUCGAUGUCCGAUUGUGAUUAUUCAAACUGUAUUGAAAAGAUAACAAAAAGGGUUAUAAUUUUGGUUGAGAUAGAUGUUUUCCAAUUCGGACAUUUACUAUGCCGAAAAUGAGUCUUAAACAGAUAUUAGAAAUUUGGAGCGUAACUUUUUCGCCUGAAAGUUGAUACGUGAUAACACUUCGACUGGAUUUAAUCUUUAUGACUUCUUUCCUCAUCUGAUUGAUCCCUAACACUCUUGAAUCUUCAUUCCAUCGCCCAUCUUAUCUAUGGAUUAUUUGCAGCUUGGUCUUUGAACUUUCACUUGCUUCCAUUUUGGUCAUUUUUCGAUAUUUUCUCCCAACUUUCAUGGGUUCCAUCCAAUUGUAACCUAAAUCAAAAUAUACGGGUACUAAGUACAUUUAGAUAUCAAUUAGUACAAAAAUGCAAGUAUUAAUGGAUAAAAAACACAAUAUAUCAUGCCUUAUCAUACGUCACGCACAUGGAUCAUUUAUAUAAUUUACCCCAUUUAGACUUGUCGAAUGUGUGGGAAAGUUUAUAGUUUUAAUAGAUUCGUCGAAAAAGUGCAAAGUAUCAAUUUUUUUGCAAAAAAUGCUAUUUUUGUACUAAUGAUGAGGAGACUGAUAAUAUGGUAACUUUUCCUCUGUCAUUUGUGCAAAAAAUGGGGAGAGAUAGACAGUGUUUUAACUCUAUUUUUGAGACAUUACAUUGGUUUUCCAUAUCAUUUUGGACUCCACAUAUUUGGUUUGUUGUCUUGAGUUUUGAUGUCUUGUGAAAUUAAUGUUGUUGGUGUUUUGACUAAUAAUGAUAUUGCAUCUUAAUCUAGCUAACGUCAUCAAGAUCUUAUGUCUCAAUUGCUAUACAUCCUUAGUUGUUUUAUGUGCUUUUACACUUGGUAUUUAAGUUGUUGAUUUUCGGGAAAUAUGUUUAACAAGGAAAGCAAGUUACAUUUGAGUCAAUUGGAUUUUGGGUAGAUUAAUUUUGUUUACUUUGGUUUGUAAUACUUAGUUUUGUCACACAAUGCCAAAGGUGGAAUUUGUUAGGUGUUACUGUAAUUGGCUAUUCUUUAGACAAAAUAAAAUAUAUAAAAGAGUUAUAAAAGUCAAAGAGUUAUUUGAGAGGUUUUAUAAGUCAAUUAUGAGUCUUCGUGUUCGAGUAUUGAACAAGGAGAAAAAGUAGCAAAAAUAAUGCUAGUUGCACGUUCCUUCAGCGCUUGUGCACCGCUUUGGAGAAAUCAACUGAGCAUCUGUCAUUAGCCUAUUGCAUGCCUAGCUCUCGAGCAGCAAUGUUAUUUAGAAAGAUUAUGUUCGUGAUUUAAACAACUUUUUGAGUCAUAAACAAUUCCAAACAGCUUCUACUAUAUAUAUAUCCAAGUCCUAUUUCGUCCAUAUUGGUGGUUGAUCAUCAUAUUCUUCCUAUAGAAUACCUUUUGGAGAUCCUACAUCAAUUUUAUAUUUUGAGAUCAGUCAAUCGCACUUUGUAAAACAUCAAUCCAAAUUUUCAAAACACCAAAUCAACAAUCUCCGUAUAAUUUGUCAAAGUUUUGAAGAUUGAGGAAGGAAAUCGGAGUUUUCGAUAGGGCAAGAAUCAAGAGUUCUUCGUGAUCCAUAAGAGAUGGACGAUUCCAAAAGGUUGGAGAUGAUACAUGAGCAUGCAGUCCAAGAGAGCCUUGGUGAUUAUAGGUAGUAGGUCAUAGAGUACUAGGAGUUAGUCAAGUCUAUAUCAUAUUGUAAUUCAUUCUGUCUAUAGUGAAUUUAUUCACUUGGCCCCAUAGUUUUUUUCGUCCUUUACGAAGAGUUUUUUUGUUUUUUUUUUCAUGAUCAAUUAUUGGUGUUUUUUCCUUUAUACAAAUUAUAAACUUUGGCAAUUCGACAUACGAUAGACUUACAAGUGAAUUCAUAUAGAUUAAUAAUUAUUUGUGACUUGUUGCUUAUAAUAAUUGGUAAAUUUUAAUUUCGCAUUAAUCACCUAUUCACCCCCUCUCUAGAUGUCAGUUGGGCCGAAUUUCAUUAUUUCAACUACGUUACUUGAACUUCUCUUUAUUUAAGAAAUUAAAAUAUAAAAUUUUCAAACUAUAGAAUUUUAAAUAUCACGUAUUUUAGGUAUUUAUAACUGUUUCUUAACCCUUGUUUUGUAUGUGGAAACAUAAACAAUAAGAAAAAUGUUUUGUUCAUAACACAUGAAUGGAUGUUGCUCAAAUUUUGUAUAGAUGGACAUGGAAGAAAUAUUGAACUUCUCCAAUAAAUGAAAAAAUUGUAAUAUAUUGAUCAAAACAUAUGUUGGAUUUUCAAACCUUUUAACACAUAUUUAUAGUCAAAAUGAAUCAUAAUCAAAGAAAAAUCCCAAUCUGUAGAAAAAUCUGAAUAAAACAAAAAAAUUUGUUAAAAUGGCGAGAAUAUUCUUAAACUGACUUAAACAGAAAAUUACUCAAAUGGACCCGUACACAAUGAAAUUUACCUUGAAAGUUUGACCACAUCAUUUGAAAAUUUUGCACAAUUGUAAAAUGCUUUGGAAUGCAAGCUGAAAGUCAUAAGUGUUUCGUAGCUCCUUAUUUUUCCUCUUCUUUAAUUAGUUUAGUGUUAUCAUCAAGAUAUGAAGAUUUAUCAUUACCUAAAAUAUAACUCAUAAAGAUCUGUAUCAUUAAAUGUUUCAGAAAUCAUGAUGCUCUUACUAAGAUUAAAGUUUUUAUGCAAAAUCUGAAAAGACCCAUUCUUCUUUUGAUCUAGUCUCUUCUGACUUCCAUCAUGUUCUUUCCCUAGAAACACCAUAAAAUAUAACUCAUAAAGAUAUGAAGAUUUAUCAUUACCUAAAAUAUAACUCAUAAAGAUCUGUAUCCUUAAAUGUUUUAGAAAUCAUCACUUACUUAUUAAGAUUAAGGUUUUUAUGCAAAAUCUGAAAAGACCCAUACUUCUUUUGAUCUAGUCUCUUCUGACUUCCACCAUGUUCUUUCCUUAGAAACACCAUAACCAUGUCAUCCACCUGAACCAUUUUAUGGUGCCUAUCCAUAUCAGCAGCCGCCUUAUACUUUGCAUUGGAGCUUCUAACUUUUUCUUCUCCCGUUGAAUCACCUCCAUAUGUUGUUUAGCUAGUUGUUGAAUUGUUGCAUUCUGUCAUAGUUGUUUAACCAAACUCCUUUACAUUGAAGGAAAACUUACUCACUAAAUUUGUAGCAGUCAUAAAAGUUUUCCCUUCCACUUUAAAUUUUUUUUGGCAUGUCCAGUCUUUUUAUCCUUCCAUUUUAACAUGUAGGUGUUCUCUAUAUCCCAUAUGCAUGACAUCCACAUUAAACUAUCAUGAUUUUCCCAAUAGAACAUAACAUGCAUCAAUCUCAACAAUGUUGCAAAUAAUUUUCGAUUUGUAAAGGUCCACAUCAACAAAAGGUAACCUAGAAAUUCGAGUCACUUGAAUAGACAGCCCUUCUUAAUCCAAUCAAUGUGAUAAAAAGUUUGAUGUUGUUCAGUUGCCACCUUUAUGUGAUCUACUGACUUCUUUGUGAUCACAUUCUCGCAACUAAACUAUCUAUGAUCAGACUAAUUUUGUUUAACAAUCACUGACUCGACACUUGGCCAAAAAGAUCUUCCACGUUGAGUUAACUUUUCCUGUUUGGGCGAUUAUAAGAUUUCAUAAGAUUUUUUGCAUAAUAAUAAUAAUCAAUCUUAUUCGUAAUACACGAAGAAAUGUUGCUAAAAUUUUGUUCAAAUGGAUGUGAGAAAUAUUGCAAUCCACCAAUUAAGGAAAAAAAAACUAUGAUAUUAUUAAUCAAAGUGUCUAUAGGUGAUUUUAAACCCUUUAACACAAAUUUAAAGAGUCGAAACAAAGUCCAAUCAAUGCAAAACUCUAAUUCUGUAGAUAAAUCUAAUAAAAUUAAAAAACUAUAAAAAUACGAAAAUAUCCUUAAAUUCACUCAAAAUAGAAAAUUGCUAAAAUGUACUCCUAAAUAUUGCAUGCCAUCCACGUGUAUGCUCUUUGUAGUGUAUGCUAUCCAUGUAUAUGCUUUUUGUUUGAUGCCAUCAGAUGGAAAAUGUUGUUCAAUAAAUCAAUAAACAUAAGUGUGGAAAGAAAGAUGAGAUGGGAGCCAAUACUUUGGCCUAUGUGACCGCAUAGCCUAUUGCAAAGGAUUUUCGGCUUGAACCUUGCAACUGCAUGGUUUUGUACCAUUCGGUCACAUGGUUUUAAGUUUCUAGCCAUUGGAGGCCGUUUCAACUUAAAUUUUGGAGGUUUUUGGAGGGAACAUUGCAACCCUUCAUAAUGCUUUGGCACCAAUUCGUGGAGUAUUGAUUCAAAUCUAUAAAUAGGUGAUAGUGGGAUCAAUACAUAAUAUUGAAAUCAAAUUACAAUAUACAAUAAACAUUUUUUCAUUCCAUAAGAAAGUAAAACUCUUUCUUCUUCCAUAUUCAUAAUUUCCUCCUUGUAUUCUUGAGGUUUUGGAGAAUCACACGUGGUUAAGUGUUUGAUUCUUUACAAGGCUUGUUAUAAUCCUUCUUAUCAUUUGCCACAAGACCCUUUAAGCACCAAAAUUAUAUUCGAGAGGUGACAAGUAUCGUUUGAGGACAAUGAUCAUGUGUUCGAGCCUUUAUCAUUGUUUUCAUCUUCUUGAUAAUCUGGUUUUCUGUUUCUUCUCCAACCUCGGUAGUGAUAAUUUGCUAACAAUCUCAAACGAUAUUUUGCGAUGGAGAACGAAAUCACUUUGGCGAAGAACAAGUUGAUGAAAUCCAGACCUUGUUCGAUUGUUCAAUGGGACGAGAUUUUGCAAAAGAAAUCUGGAACAUGUUGGAAAGAAAUGUUUCCAUUGAAGAAUGAAAAGAAUUGAAUCCCAUUUGGUAAGUCGAAACUAUGUUUCUAUUUUGUGAACAUAAAAGGCACGUUCUUGCAAAUAUAAUGUGUGCACAACAUCGGUAUUAUAUUACAAUAAAUUUAAGAUGAAUAUUGAUUCUAUUCUCAUGCAUAUUAUAUUCACUUUCGAGGAACUGCAUUGUGCACUGUUGAUUUUAUAUAAUAUGCAUCUUGGAAUUUGUGCAAACAUAUAGAUUUAUGAUUAGUCUAAUCAUUUAUGGUUUAUAGAUCCCAUGCAUGAUUUAUGUUGCAGGAUCAGUAAUUCCGGAAUUAACAGUAUACAAAUUUCAUAUGUUGGACAUUUAUUUUCUGGCACUUCUUAACCCAACGGGUGCUUUGAAUCAUAAGUUGCCUAAGGAAUUUUGGUAUAACAUCAUUAAUGGUUUGUAAUUAAACGAAUAUGCUUGGAAUGAUGUAUCCUUUAAAGGCAGUUUAUUAAUCUCUGAAACAGUGUGAUAACAUUUUGUUGUCGGGACUGCAUUAAAAAAAAAAGUUGCCAGGAUCAUUACCUAAAACUGCCUCAACUCAUGUUUACCCACUAUUAUGAUGUUUACAUGUCAUUUGUUGUAUAUUUUCUGGUCAACUCAUGCCAUAAAUGUAGAAAUUGCAUAUAAGAAUUUGUAUAAUUCAUUCAAUAAUUGGUAGAUAAUGGAUGGCUGCCAAUGCCUGUGGUCGAUGACUGUUGAAUGUUCUGUCCAUCCAUAUUACAUUCCAGUCGACUUAUUUCUGAAAAGGUAUGAUCUUGAAUAUGCAUAAUUGUGGAUUCCGAUAUUACCUGCAAAGUUUAUAGAACUUAGAAAUAAAUGUGGUUAUUUUUUUGUCUCUUUCCUUACAUUCAAUUUAUAUGAAUUUUACGAAGAAAUAUGAACCUACCCAGAAGGCCAAGGCAUAUGGACAUGAUACAUAUGGGAGAAAUCUAAAGUGUUAGAUUUUGUAAAAUAAAUUACAUGAACUUUCAUAACGAUUUCGUUAUUGGAAAAUGGAAAAUUACAGAUGAAUUAGAUGGUUGAUUCCAUAUCUUGUUGAAUUAUUUAACUUUGGUUAAUGAUAAUGACCUCAAUUAAUUUGAUGAAAUUAAAUGAGAUGACUAAUGCAAAAUUAUAUUUGCAUAAAAGUAUGAUAAAAUGUGGUUUUGUCCUAAUUAUUUUAAAGUGAAAAUUGCUUGCCUAAUUGUUGGGAUAUGGAAACAUUUUAUGAAGGAUAAAUGAUGUCUAUAGUUGGCGGUGAUGCCAGUAUCUUUGAAAACUAAUUGUAAAAUGAUCUUAUGCAAAAUUAUAUUUGCAAAAUGUGCUUUUGUCCACAAGUGAAUAAGGUAAACAUAUGCCUUAUUAUUCUAUAUGAUAUAAUGUUAUCUUGAGAAAGUGACAAAGUGCAAUUCUUGUAAAUCAAGAUUUUUGGUCUUACUCGUUGAUAAAUUUGACUUCAAUUAUGGAACCAAUUGAGUUGGUUUAUAAGCAUUAAUGUCUAUGAGAUGACCUUGAUCAAAUUGUGUAAUAAAAGAUAAAGAUAGUUGGAUUGAAGGUCAUUGUGACUUAACGACCACUAAACUUUCACGGGUAUUAUCAAAGUGAUAAAUGAACUAAACAAUGACAUAAUCAAUGAACUCUAAGUUCAAGUACAAUCCCAAAUGUGGGGGUUAAUAUUAAAUGCUUGUGGGAGAAGUUCAAAGAUUUGUGGAUGCUAAAAUACUAGAUUCAUAUAUAUUCCUAAUUGAGGAAUUGUGGGAAUAAUUGAAUAUAAAAGUUAAAGUUCCCUAUACCUUUUAAUCAUAGAAAUGUAUCUAUGAGUGUGGAAAGGUAGAAAAUCCUUAUAUUAAUUUUAAGGAUGAUAUGUAAGUCUAAAGUGGAUGAAAUGGAUGAAAAUCGAUUAUGGCACUUUUGGAGAAUAUGCAUGAAUUGAAGGUUAUUGUAAUAAUUCAAUGAUGAGAAUUAAAUGCAAAUCCACUAGUAAAAGUGAUUGACUGAAUUAAAUGCAAAUCCACUAGUAAAAGUGUACUAAGUGUAAAUGAUUUUAAGAAAAAAUCAUUCAAUCGUGUUUGAAAAUCUAUAAAGCUUUUAAUAAAGCUUAGGAGAAGCAUGGAGCUUCAUAAAAUGAUUUCUCGUUGGUGACAAGUUGUAUCUAUCAAAUAUAUCGAUAUUUGGCUAGCUAUAUUUGAUAAGAUACUAAAUCAUAUAAAAUGGAAAGAUAAGAUGUGACGUAACUUCACAAGGAAAUAUUCAAAGAUGGAAUAAUUUCCUUAGAGAAUUUAGCGGAUCCUUUAACUAGACUACUAAUUAGAGAUUUCAUGGUGUCUAUUUCAAGUUGGAUGGGGUUGAAACUUUUAAACUAAAAAGGUCCACCAAUGGCAAAAGGCCUACUUGUCAUUGCUCAAAAGGAAAUCGAUGGGUUCAAACGGUAACAACGAGUCAUUCGAUAUGUGGAUAAUUGCUGCAUUAUUCAAAUCCAUAAUAACCCUAUCCUAAUUAAAUAAUGCUAGUUGUUACUAAAGUGAAGGUUGAGCUUAAGGAUCUUAAUGAAAUUUCGUGCUAAAACACAAGUAUCUCUAAAAGUAACAGAAAUACUGGAAGAACUUCACCAAGACGAACUUCAAUGUGGUGCCACCUCAAUAGAGAAUUGGAGUUUCUCUCUUAAAAGUUUGUUGAAAAGGAUAAGCUCAAGGUCAUAUUAGUGAUAAGCGAGGUUGAGGAACUUGAGAAAAUGUAAUGCUCAUGUGUGUCCUUAUUGGUAUCGUCAUGUGGAAUAAUUGGUUCAAAGUUUCACGCUACCUUUGAUUCCGACUUUACUUUGUUUAGAUUACACUAUGGUUAGAUUUGAAUUGAAAGAUAUCUAAUCCUUAUGCAUGAGUCUUGUUUACUUUGAAUAUGAGAUUUAUUGAAUUGUGAACAAGUGGGGAAUUGAUAAAAAAAUGUAAUUCAAUAAAUCAAUAAACACCAGUGUGGAAAGAAAGAGGAGAGGAGACAAUAAUUUGGCCUAUGCGAAUAGGCCAUGCGGUCGCGUGGCCUAUUGCCGCGUGGCCUAUUGCAGAUAAUUUUUGGCUUGAACUAUGUGAUCACAUGGUGUUGUAACGUGUGGUCGCAUGGUUGUAAGUUUCUAGCCGCUGACGGUCAUUUCAAUUUAAAUUCUGGAAGUUUUUGGGAGGGAACAUUGCAACCCUUCAUAUUGUUUUAGCACCAAUUCAUGGAGUAUUGAUUCAAAUCUAUAAAUAGGUGAUAGAGGGAUCAAUACAUAAAAUUGAAAUCAAAUUACAAAUAUAUGAUAAACAUUUUUUCAUUCCAUAAGAAAGUUAAACUCUUUUUUCUUCCAUAUUCAUAUUUUUCUCCUUGUGAUCUUGAAGUUUUGGAGAAUCACACAUGUACUUAAGUGUUUCAUUCUCUACAAGGCUUGUUAUAAUCCCUUAAAAUGUUUGCCGCAAGAUCCUUUAAGCACCAAAAUUGUAUCCGAAGGUGGCAAAUAUUGUUUGAAGACAACGAUCACGAGUUCGAGCCUUUAUCAUUGUUUUCAUCUUCUUGAUAUUCUAAUUUUUUGUUUCUUCUCCAACCCUGGUGGUGAUAAUUUUCCAACACCAUCCACAAUUGCUAAAGUGAUUCACCAUCUGACCCGUUCAAAUAUUGCAUACCAACUACUUGUAUGCUCUUUGUAGUGUCCAUUGCCAUGCGUAAAACUCAUAUAAUCUACCUAUAUAAAGGUGGGACCAAUGCAAUUGAAAGUUAAUCGAGAAAAGAAGAAGAAAAAUUGCAUCAAAUCUGAAUCCAAGGUAUGCAUACACGGUGGUUUAUAUUAGAGAUGUAGCCAAAUCUGUAGCAUUUUACGCCAAGGCAUUUGGUUAUCAAGUGCGCCACUUAGAUCACUCUAACAGAUAAAUGACAUUGAAUAUUAUUGCAAUAAAUGACAUUGAAAUCGCAUGAUUAUUGUUACGUUAGAAUCUCAAAUUCUUAGUGCAUGUUUAGGAACACUUGUCAAGUUUUAUGAACUGUCAAACAUUAUUUUUAUCUGCAGAUUUUAUAUGAUUCAUGAUUUAUAAUCUACUACUACACUCAUAUCAUAAUUAUGUGCAAAUGAGUCUAGCACCGUAGAAGUAGAUUGGUGUCAAAUAGACUCGGCCAUGAGGAUGGUCGUGUGGGAUUACCUGUGAUUAGUGCGAAUAAAAAAGUUAUUGUAGUUUUAACCCAUCUUUGGUCCAAUUGAAAUUAGUUUUUUGAUAAAUUUCAAUAAAAAUUGAUGAAAUGAAUGAAUGAAUGAAAAGUUACGAAUCUAACGAAAUGUUAUUAAGGUUAAUUAUCAAUUUUAACUUAAAAUUCAUUUCAACCUAAAAGUUUUAUCAACUUUUUAAUCUAAACCGAGAAGGGUAUUAAAUUCUUUUGACAUACAAUAAAAAAGAAUAAUAAGGAUAUAAAAGGCCAUGAUUGAAUUGGAAGGUGCUUUCUUCUCUUUUUCUAAUAAUGCGAUAUGACUUCAAAGAUUCAAAUGAUGAAGCCUUUGUUCUUUCAGGAAUAGAUAGCUCUGUAAAUGACGGAGAUCACUAUAUCUGCCGAGCUUUGUCCCUAAAAAUCACAAAUCUAUUAUUGUUUAAGCAUAGCACACAAAAUUUCUCAAUGGAAAACAUGGAUGCAAAAAUAGUUGAUUUAUUUAUUUAAAAGUUAACUGAAAAGUGGAACAAAGCUAACCUUCUUGAGAAAUAAUGAUCUCUAGCAAUGAUUGACAUGAGUCUGGGUAGACUGUGUGGGUUGACAAAUCUUCAAAAUUGCUGUGUCUAUUUUUCUUGUUCUUCCUCUCUUUUCUUUUAAGGUAUUCGUGGCCUUUUGAAGUUUUAAAUUUUUUUUACAUUUUUAUCAUUUUUUACAUGAUCAAAGGCCAUUGUAGUUAGAUGCCAUGAUCAUCUAAGCACUAAUUUCUCAUCUAAUCCAUGUCACAUGAUUUACCAAGAGAGUUAAAAUUCAUUAAGCACCUUUUGAAGUUUUAAAUCCCCCCCCCCCUUUUUUUCUUUUACAUUUUUAUCAUUUUUUUUACACGAUCAAAGGCCAUUGUAGUUAGAUGCCAUGAUCAUCUAAGUACUAAUUCCUCAUCUAAUAUGUGUCACAUGCUUUACCAAGAGAGUUAAAAUUCGUUAAGCACCAUUUUUUAUUAGAGUAAACUUGAGAGGCCAUUUGUUUAAAUUUGUGGUAAAUUUACAAUUUUACUGAUUUUAAAAUUUAAUUUUGUGCAAUUUGUUUUGUUUUUCUAUUAACACCUCCUAAUUUUCAUGCUUUUUGCUUAAUCUAAUUCAAAUUCUUCAGAUCUGCUUAACAUUGUAUUACAAAUUUCAACUCAAGAAUACAAUUAGCCACCUUUUUUUUAAAUUUUUUUUCUCUCUCCAAUUUAAGAAACCAAGUUUAGUCAUACAAUCUUGAAUGGAAGGAUCCAAAUCUAAACAACUUCCCAAUUCCCUCCUAUGUCAUGGCCAAGAUUCCGAGCUUUAAACAUACUUUCUUCGCUACUACUUCUAUUGUCGUUGUUGCUGCUGUGAGCUUUGACGUCGAAAAUCCAUCGUUGUGGAUGUUGUUCAGAGACCAAGAACUUCAAUUUGAGCUUACCAAGGAAAUGCCUCACCUCAAUAACCUAGAGGUCAUCUUGCUCAGACUCGAUCUUUGCUCCAAGACUUUGGGGUUUGCUCGGAUCACGAGACUGUUAGAUCCAUUAACGGUAUUUACGUUGUUUAAUGAAGGAAAUGUACAUUUCAUGAAUUUUCAAAAUAUCCCCAUGCAUAAGGGCAUUUAUUUAAGUUAUUUUAAUUGGACAGUAUAUGAAUUGGUCAAAAAUCAAUAGAAGAGUUCGGUUUCAAUAAAAAUUCAUACGAUCAUCUCAACCCAAACUGACCCAUCAUUCUUUAUACACUUAAAGUAUAAAAUGUAUGUAGAUACGAACUCGAGAUUAUGUAAUGUAAUUUAUUGUUUAAUAAUGCUGUUAGGGUUUAUAGGAAUUAGCUAUUCUUUGGACAAAAUUAAAGUUAUAAAAGUCAAAGUGUCAUUUGGGUGGAUGCAUAAGUCAAUUACGAGUCAUUGGGUUCGAAUAUGGAACAAGGAGAAAGUGUAGUAGGAAAAAUGUUAGCUAGCCAUCCCUUCAACGCUUGGGCGCCACCUUGGAGAAAUCAAUAGAACCUCUGCCGCCUACUUGUUACUUGAGCAAGCACCUAUCGGUCCCUUAGCACCAAGCAGCGAUAUUGUCUGAAGAAUUUAUAUUUCAUGAUUUAAAUAGCUUUUUGAGUCCUAAACAACCUCAAACAUCUUCUACAAUAUAUUUUCAAGUACUAUUUCAUCCAUAUUGAUGGUUGAUCAUUGUAUUCUUCCAGAGAACACUUUUUGGAGAUCCUACAUCAAUUCUAUACUUUGAGAUCAACCAAUCACACUUUGAAAAACAUCAAUUUCGCAUAAUCCGUUAAAUUUUUGAAGAUCGAGAAAGGAAAGUGGAGUUUCGAUAGGACAAGAACAAGAAGUUCUUGUGAUCUACAGGGGAUAAGCGAUUCCAGAGGUUGGGAGCUGAUGCAGGAGCAUGCAAUUUAGGGACCCUAGUGAUUAAGGAAAUAGGUUAGAGAAUACUAGAAGUGAGUCGAGUCUAGACCAUACUAUAAGUUAAUUUUUCUACAAUGAAUUUUUUUGGCUUGAGCUCAGAGUUUUAUUAUCCUUUUAGAAUGGUUUUUCUCCUUAAUUAGUUAUUGGUAUUAUUUACAUUUUACAGAUUAUAUAUCAUGACAGUUCAACACAGAAUUAUUAUUUCUAGUUUGUUGUUUGUAAUAAUUGAAAAUUUUAAAUUUUGCGUUAAUCAAUUAUUCACCCCUUCUCUAGGUGUUAGGUUGAACUUCGUUAUUUCAAUUGGCAUCAGACCUUAAUUCAAUCCUAGGCUCACUUUAUAUAGAUGAGUCAGUCACUAAACAUUUCUCCAUAUUUUGAUGGAAGCAAUUAUGCUUAUUGAAAAGUGAGAAUGGGAGAUUUCUUAAAAUGUAUACGAGAGAAUUUGGGUUUCAGAAAAGGGAUAGACCGUCCCAACUACAACUAUUGCAGGUAUAGUUACCCUAUUGAGUUUGCCAAUUGGUCUAAAAUUGAUCUAGAUGAGUAUAACUGAAAUAGUAAAGGACUUCAUGCUUAUUUAUAGCUUUGUCCCUUUAAAAGUUUAGAAGUACACAUAUGUGGCUGUUAAAGAGGUUUGGAAUAUCUUAGAGACGACACAUAAGGGAACCAAGAAUGUUAAAAACUCCAAAUUAAAGAUGUUGACAAUGGAGUUUGAAGAAAUUAGAAUGAAAGUUGAUAAAUCAUCUGAUGAUUUCUAUACGAAUUUUAAUGACAUAGUUAACUCUAGCUUCAACUUGCGUGAGAAAUUUUUUGAAACUUAGAUUGUUUGAAAAGUUUUUAGAUCCUUACUUGAGAGGACAGUUAUUGAAGAAAGCAAAGGCUUAGAUACUAUCAAGAUAGAGGAAUUUGUUGGAUCCCUCUAAGCCUAUGAACUCACCAUAUCUCUACCUAAGAAGAACAAGUCUAUGGCCCUGAACACCGUUAGGGAAGAAGAGUAUGAUUCUAUUGUUAUUGAGACCAUUAAUGAUAAUGAGAUAGCUUAUUUUGUUAGAAAUUUCGAAAAAUCUUUAUGAAUAAGAAAAAACCUCUAGAGAGACAUAUAGAGGUGCCCUUAGUGAGUUUAAAAAAGACAAUCAUGAGAAGAUCGAUACUAGGAUAUUUGGAAAGAAAUCUCAAUUUGAUAUAUGUCAUAAAUGUCAAGGUUUUGGCCACUUUAGAAGUGAAUGCCCUAAUGAUAAGAAAACUUUUGUUAAAGCUAUGAAUGCUACUAUCACUGAUGACGAGUAGAAUUCAGAAAAUCAAAGUGAGAAGUCCAAACCUGAGGGUUUUGACUAUAUGACUUUUGCUUCUAGAGCUAGGAGUGAAUCUGAUAAAGAGAGUUAGAAGGUUGAUGCAUAGAAUAAUGUCAACACUCUAAGGAAGAUUACGAAGAUAAAGAUAAUAUUCGUGAGGCUUAUGAACAACUAUUCUACGAGAGUCCUAAGGUGAAAAAGAUUGAUAGAUUCGUCCUUAAGAAGGUUAAUUAACAUAAACUAGAGUCAGAAAGACUUACAUCUAAUAUUCAGGAGUGUAGGAAAUGCCUUAGUAAGUUGAAUGAUGUGAAUGAAUCCUUAAAGACUAAGGUUAAGACACUUAUGAGUGAUCUGAGAAGUCUACCAAAAGUCUUAAUGAGUUAAGAUUAGUCAGUGAGAACUUAGAGGCUCUAACGAGUGACCUUGAGAAAUCGAAAAUUUAAUUUAAUUUCUUCUUGAGUGGAUCUCACAAACUUGAUGUAAUCUUUAAGGGUUGAACAAGCUUGUUAGGAAUAUGAGAGGUCCAGUAUAUAAUAAGAGUGAUCAUGAUAUUGCUAGUACUUCUAAUACCACUUUUAUUCCUGUCACCAACAGCUUAGGUAUGUUACAAAUCCUGAACUUGAGAACAAGUGUAUCUUAGGACAGAGGCCUACUAGACAUCAUAGGACCAACCAAUCCAUAAAUCAACAACAACUACUACGUGGACCUAAGUUUAUCCUUACAUGUCACAAUUGUGGUGAGUGAGAACACACAAAGCCUAGGUGUUAUGAACUUCUGAAUAGGAAUAUAGGUCAGAAUAUAUCUAGUGGGGUUAACUUCCUUACUGAUGAGGUUAGUCACUUGACCAAGAUGUUGGUAUAGUUGACCAGGAUUAACUCUGCUUCUAGAAAAGUUUGGGUUAAAAGGAACAAUCUAAGAGAUAAUGACACUGGUCCCAGUGCUCUUAAAGGUAAGAAUGUUUGUGUACCUCAACUAGUAUGUUUUUUGUGUAUGCAUGUGCUAGUUCAUUGUGUUCAUUCAUUUUUCUAUGUGUCUCUUUUUUUUUUGUAUUCCUUUUUUUCUUUGUUUUAAAAAAGUUAAAAAGUACAAAAUAGAAAAGGGGAGAAUUUUUGAAACUAUAACACAUUAUUUGAUUUACUUGAACAUGCUAGUUGUGACCAAGUAUAAGUACAACUAAUGAUAUGUAGCGUAGUUUCCAUUACUUUGUUUAGGUUUUAUAUGGGGUACCUAGUGUAGGUUUAUUCCUAUACCAUCUACAGUGCACAUACUAAAAUCUUGUGAAUGAGUCUUGACUGCGUGUGUGAGACUUUGGAUAACAGUCAUUUAUAGGUUGAAGUAAACUUGAACAUGAUUUGACUUUUAACUAGUUGACCUAAACUUUUUUAUAUUCCUUAAAAAGAAAAGUUGAUUAUUCUUAUACUAUUCUCCAGAGUCUAUUUGACUUAAGCAAUUAAACUUGAGAGGUUUCGCAAAACCUAAUGCCCUAUAGCCAUCUAACUUUGAGUCAUCAGUCCAAAGCUCAUUAUAAUUUUAACCACUUAAUGGAGAAGAGUCUGCACAUAAUAUGUGAAAAAAAUUACAUAUGCUUAAACUUAGCGGGAGUAAUGAAAAAUCUAUAUAUGAAAAAUGAGUUUCAUUGUUUAAAAAGUUCUAAUUGUUAUAGGUUUGACUUUCACUACUAGAGGAAUAAACUCAUUCAUUAGUGAUUUUUCAACAUGUCCUUUCUCACAACUUUAGGGUUUGGAGUUUUGACCAUAAAAAAAUAGUGGCACUUCACACACAUGAGUCAUUUAUAUAAUUUACUCCAUUUAGACUUGAACUAAGUGUGUGGGAAAGUUUAUAAUUUUAAUAGAUUUAUUGAAAAAGUUCUAUGUAUCAGAUUUUAUUGCAAAAAGUGAUUUAUUUAUUUAUUUUAUUUUAUUUUUACUAAUAACAAGGAGACUGAUUAUAUGGUAAGUUUUCCUUUGUCAUUUGUGACAAAAAGGAGGAGAGAUAGAGAGUGUUUUGACUCUAUUUUUGAGACAUUACAUUGGUUUUUCAUGUAAUUUUGGACUCCACAUAUUUGGUUUGCUAUCUUCAGUUUUGAUUUCUUGUGAAAUUGUUGUUGUUGUUCGUGCUUUGAUUAACAUUGAUAUUGUAUCUUAACCUAAUCAGCACGAUCAUGAUAUUAUGUCACAAUUGGUAUAUUUCCUUAAUUAUUUUAUGUGCUUUUAUACUUCGUAUUUAAGUUGUUGAUUUCAAGAAAUAUUUUUAACAAAGAAAGCAAGUUACAAUUGAAUCAAUUGGAUUUGGAUAGAUUAGUUUUGUUUGCUUUGACUUGUAAUAAUUAGCUUUGUCACACAAUGACAAAGGCGGAGUUUGUUAGGAGUUACUAUAAUUUUUUUAUACUUUUAUAUCAAUCAACCAAUCCAAAUUUUCAAAACACGAAAUCACCAACUUCCUAUUCUGUCAAAGUUCUGAAGAUUGAGGAAGGAGACCGGAGUUUCGGUAAGACAAGAACGAAGAGUUCUUGGUGAUCAAUAGAAGAUGGACAAUUCUAAAAGGUCGGGAGCUGGUACAUGAGCACGCAGUCCAAGAGAGCCUUGGUUGUUAUAGGUAGUGGGUAGGAGUUAGUUGAGUCUGGAUCGUACUGUAGGUCAUUUUAUCUAUAGUGAUGGCUUGGCCACGAAGUUUUUUUUGUCCUUUACGAAGAGUUUUUUUCCGUGAUCAAUUAUUGGUGUUUUUUUCCCUUUAUGAUGCAAAUUAUAAACUUUGGCAAUUCGACAUAUGAUAGACUUGCAUGUGAAUUCAUAUAGAUUAAUAAUUAUUUGUGACUUGUUGCUUAUAAUAAUUGGUAAUUUUAAAUUUCACAUUAAACAAUAGUCACCCCCUCUAGAUGUUAGUUGGGCCGAACUUCAUUAUUUCAAUUAUGUUACUUGAACUUCUCUUUAUUUAAGAAAUUAAUAAUAUAAAAUUUUCAAACUAUAGAAUUUUAAAUAUUACUUAUUUUGGGUAUUUAUAACUUUUACUUAACCAUUGUUUUGUUGAACAAACAAAGUUUAUUAAAAUCUAAUCCAAAGUCAACAAUUAAUUUUAAUCAUAAGUUUCAUGGAUGACACAUGAUGGAGACGUAAAUGAUAAGAAAAUUGUUUUGUUCAUAACACAAGAGUGGAUGUUGCUCAAAUUUUGCUCAAAUGGACGUGGAAGAAAUAUUGAACUUCACCAAUUAACGAGAAAAUUGUAAUGCAUUGAUCAAAAUAUAUGUAAGAUUUUCAAACUAUUAACACAUAUUUAUAGAGUUAAAAUGAAUCAUAAUCAAAGCAAAAUCCUAAUCUGUAGAUAAAUCUGAAUAAAAAGGAGAAAAAGAUAAAAAUGACGAGAAUAUCCUUAAAUUGACUUAAAAUGGAAAAUUACUCAAAUGGACCGAUACACGAAGAAAUUUACCUUGAAAGUUUGACAACAUCAUUCGAAAACUUUGCGAAAAUGCUUUGGAAUGUAAUCGCUCGCGUAAAUGUGACACCCGAGCUGAAAGUUACGCAUGUUUUUUUGCUCCUUAUUUUUUCCUCUUCUUAGUUUAGUGUUUUCUCUUCUAAUCGUUUCCUUCCACUUUAGAGCAAUUCAACCCUAAGUUGUCAUCAAGAUAUGAAGAUUUAUCAUUAUCCAAAAUAUACUCAUAAAAAUUUGCAACAAAACAUUUUAGAAAUCAUCUUGUGCUUAGUAAGAUUAAGGGUUUUUUUUUUUUUUUUUUUUUUUUUUUUUNNNNNNNNNNNNNNNNNNNNNNNNNNNNNNNNNNNNNNNNNNNNNNNNNNNNNNNNNNNNNNNNNNNNNNNNNNNNNNNNNNNNNNNNNNNNNNNNNNNNNNNNNNNNNNNNNNNNNNNNNNNNNNNNNNNNNNNNNNNNNNNNNNNNNNNNNNNNNNNNNNNNNNNNNNNNNNNNNNNNNNNNNNNNNNNNNNNNNNNNNNNNNNNNNNNNNNNNNNNNNNNNNNNNNNNNNNNNNNNNNNNNNNNNNNNNNNNNNNNNNNNNNNNNNNNNNNNNNNNNNNNNNNNNNNNNNNNNNNNNNNNNNNNNNNNNNNNNNNNNNNNNNNNNNNNNNNNNNNNNNNNNNNNNNNNNNNNNNNNNNNNNNNNNNNNNNNNNNNNNNNNNNNNNNNNNNNNNNNNNNNNNNNNNNNNNNNNNNNNNNNNNNNNNNNNNNNNNNNNNNNNNNNNNNNNNNNNNNNNNNNNNNNNNNNNNNNNNNNNNNNNNNNNNNNNNNNNNNNNNNNNNNNNNNNNNNNNNNNNNNNNNNNNNNNNNNNNNNNNNNNNNNNNNNNNNNNNNNNNNNNNNNNNNNNNNNNNNNNNNNNNNNNNNNNNNNNNNNNNNNNNNNNNNNNNNNNNNNNNNNNNNNNNNNNNNNNNNNNNNNNNNNNNNNNNNNNNNNNNNNNNNNNNNNNNNNNNNNNNNNNNNNNNNNNNNNNNNNNNNNNNNNNNNNNNNNNNNNNNNNNNNNNNNNNNNNNNNNNNNNNNNNNNNNNNNNNNNNNNNNNNNNNNNNNNNNNNNNNNNNNNNNNNNNNNNNNNNNNNNNNNNNNNNNNNNNNNNNNNNNNNNNNNNNNNNNNNNNNNNNNNNNNNNNNNNNNNNNNNNNNNNNNNNNNNNNNNNNNNNNNNNNNNNNNNNNNNNNNNNNNNNNNNNNNNNNNNNNNNNNNNNNNNNNNUCAAAACAGAAAAUUGCUAAAAUGGACUCCUAAAUAUUGCAUGCCAUCCACGUAUAUGCUCUUUGUAGUGCCCACUGCCACACGUAAAUCCCAUACAUCUCCAAUCCAAUGUAUAAAGAUCUGACCAUUGCAAUUGAAUGUUAACCGAGAAAUGCAGAGGAAAAAUGGCAUCAAAUCUGAAUCCAAGAUAUGCAUACACUGUAGUUUAUGUCAGAGAUGUAGCCAAAUCUGUUGCAUUUUACGCCAAGGCAUUUGGUUAUCAAGUGCACCGCUUAGAUCACUCUAACAGGUAAAAGACAUUGAAACAUUAUUACAAUAAAUGACAUUGAAAUCGCAUGAUUAUUGUUAUCUUAGAAUCCCAAAAUCUUAGUGCAUGUUUGGGAAUGCUUGUCAAGUUUUUUGAACCGUCAGACGUCAUUUUUAUCUAUGCAUUUUAUAUGAUUCACGAUUUAUAAUCGUAAUUACGUGCAAAUGAUUCCAGCAUCGUAGAAGUAGAUUGGUGUCAAAUAGACACUGCCACAAGAAUGGUCUUGUGGGGUUCUGUGUGAUUUGCACGAAUUUCACCUAUCUUUAAUCCAAUUGAAAUUAGAUUUUUGGUAAAUUCUAAUAAAAAUUGAUGAAAUGAAUGGUUGAAAAAUUAUGAAUCUAAUGAAAUGUGUUAUUAAGGUUAAUUAUCAAUUUUAACUUAAAAUUCACAUCAACCUAAAAUUUUUAUCAACUUUUUAAUCUAAACCAAGCACGUAUUAAAUUUUUUUGACAUACAAUAAAAAUCAAUACUUAGCACAUCAGUGGCCAUGAUUGAAUUGGAAGGUGUUUUCUUGUCUUUUUCUAAUGAUACAAUAUGACUUCCAAGAUUCGAAUGAUGAAGCCUUUGUUCUUUAGCCAUAUCAUGCUACUUAGCCUCACCUAUAUAGCACUAAUAUAGCAUUAAAUGACAUUUUAAAUGGAAGGUAGAAUUAGAUUACUUAUUUCAUUAACAUAUUAUUUAAUCAAUAUAGAUUGGGGUUAUAAUUUCAGUAGGGUUAAAUAACAUUACUCUUUCGUGGGUCUCUCUCGAGAUCACUAUCAAUCUCAAUCGGUCUUAUGAUGGCAGGGAAAUUUUACUUAAAAAUUAUCUUUCAACAACGUCAACAACAUCACGAAAAAAGUCAACUAUGAUCAAGCUGAAUCAAGACUUGCAUCCUACAUCUCUAUCCUGAUUUUGCGGAUUGGGUCCAUUAAAACUGAAAAAUAUAACCAUAUGAUCUAAUGUUUUGCACGUGAAAAUAUUUGAAUCUUGUUCUAAUUUCUAGGGAAUUACAUAUGUUGAAAGAAAUACGUUUAUUAAUUUUGUUGAUUGGAUUGGUGUAGAUGGGGUGAGCUUGAGAGUGGAGAGACCACAAUAGCAUUAACACCUGCGCACCAACACGAGACGGAUGAUUUGAGUGGCGAGGUGCGUAUGCCACAAUCUAGCCAUGAGAGGAACCCGAUCGAGGUCUGUUUUGACUAUUCAGAUUUGGAUUCUGCCUACAAGGUAUGGAAUAAUUAUUUCCCCCUUGUUCAAAAUAAACAUAACUUCCUUGUGAAGAUUUUCUAGCAAGUUUGGCACACUAUGAUGUUUUGAGAUUGUUAUUUGUGGGUGGAUCAGAAUGCUGUCGAGAACGGUGCCAUACUAGUUAGUGAGCCAGAGGAGAAGGAAUGGGGACAAAAAGUAGGGUAUGUUCGAGAUAUUGACGGGAUUGUCGUGAGGAUGGGGAGCUACGUGAAUUCGUCCAAAGCCCAUCAAUGAACAUCAGCCUGUAUUCUGGAUUUAUCUCAUCUCUUGGCUUUUAUUCCCUUCCUUAAUGUUUGUACCAAUUAAAGAUCAUUUACUUUUGGAAGUUGCAGCUCAUCAUUUGAAUUAAUCUUUGUAGAUUGAGAUUAUAAUCCUCUAUAUGCAUAGUUGGGUUGAUUUCCAGCCGUGACAAAGUCGUUUAUAAUGUGGUUCUCCUAGUUCAUGAUUUGGACCUAUGGUCUUUAUAUAAUUCUUGAAGCUUGGGAUAAUUUUCUUAUAUUUAUGUUUGAUUGUAUGUACGAAAACAUUUAAAAUGUGUCUAUUUAAGUGUUCAUAGUCAAGGGUGAAAAUAAUUUUAAUAUGUAUUCAUUAUUCAUUGGGAUAGUCAAUUAGUUAUUUGAAGGCCAUGAACAAUAUGUUUUGCACAAUGGAAGUCUCAACUUAUGCAUUGUAGAUUUAUUAUAGUUAGAGAAUCUCGUAUAUAUGGAGUUGUCUCAAUUGAUUAUGUAAAAGUUAAGAUAAUUUUGCGGUUUCACUUAUACAACAUGAGCAUUACUUAAUGAACACGUUGAUCGAUCAAUUAUAAUUUUUAUUGACGACAUUUCGGUACCCUCAAAGGAUAAGGAACAACAUUAAAGGCAAUUGAGGAUUGUAUUAGAGAUGCUCGAAAGAGAUGAAUUACAUGUUAAAUUUAAGAAAUAUGAAUUUUAGUUCGACCUAUAAAUUUUUUCGACAAGUACAUCAUUGCACAAGGAAUUGAAGUGUAUAUGACUGGGGUUGAAGCCAUGGCUAAUUGGUCUAGACCAUUUAAUGUUGAUGAGGCCUGUAGUUUCUUGUGAUUUUUUAAAAUAAGGGACAAAAUAACUCUACUAUCUACUAUUGUGUAUUGCAAUUUCUAAAUUAUUAUAUGAUGAUUUUUGAACUUUUCAAAUAGAAAAGAAAUAGAAAGAGAUAGAUUAGAAACAACAUCUAUUAUAACUUGUCUCUCCAAACUUUACAUUUACAAUUAAGAUGGUUGUAUAGGGCCACAUGGGUACAACCAGCAUAACCAUUACAUUUAAGUCUCAUUAAGAGAUUCAAGAUAUCAUACAUAUUAUUUUUGGUAGUUUGAAAAUUUUCACGGAUUCAGGUUAUAAAGUAACAUCAGUGCGCAAAAAUAGGUUAAAUUAAUAGGCUUUUUAUACAAUGCAAUCAAUUUAAACUGGGGCAAAUUGUAUAAAAUAAAAUAAAAAUGAGUAGCUUUAUAUAAGAUUUAUCAUGAGGAUGGCUAUAUAGUCACAAUUAUAUCUCUUUUACUAUACAAAUUUUUAAUUGUAUUACAAGAGUCUAAUCUAAUUGUUUCUUUUUUUGCAUUUAUGUUCCUAUCAUUUCUUCAUCACACAUCUUCAAUUUUUCAUUAAUUAGCAUAUUUUGUCCACUUUAAUGGUUUACGUUCAAAUAUUCUAUUAGCUUGGUUUGAAAUGGAGACAAAUGCUAUGUUUUACUUUUAUAUUGGUGAAGGAUUGACCCACGCUUGACGAUUAACAAGGUGGGCACUUCGUUUUAGUGUCGUGCAAAGAAAAUAUGGGCUGAGUCAUAAACGAAUGGCAACUCCGUCGCAUUUUUCGGUUCCAAAUGAUGAAUGGGACAAGGAUGAGUAACAUGGUCACAUCCCCAAUUUGUCUCGAGUCAUUUUAGCCAAUAAUGGUGUUAUACGUUACUCAUACCUUUAAAUUAGAAGGUGAAAAAAUGGGGCAAAAAAAAAAAGUUUAUUUAACUUUUUGUUUUAGUUCUAUAAUUGAUUAAUAAUAUUUAUUUAAGAUAUUUAUUGUGUAAUAAUAAUGUUUUCAAAAUCAGAUAUUAUUGAUUUGUUCAAUCUUGAACUGGUUCCAAAGUCGAUCGGGCUCAAGUCAAAAACUGUCUAAGAAAAGGAAGGAAAAGUGGUCAACGAUGGAUUGACAGCAGACAUGGCAUGGGUUUACUGGUUGGAUUCCUUAAAAAAGUGACAUUUCUUUUAUGGUAAAUGAUUCUAUUUUUGCAUUUAAGAGAUGAUGAAUGAAGAUCAGGCUUGAAGAUGAUAAAAUAAUAAAAGAAAAAAGAAAAGUGGCUCUGCCGAAAACUUUACGUCCGUGUUUCAUUAAUGAGGACUCACAAAAGUAUGGCUGGAUUCACGGGACCUGCAAUAGAGUAACAUGGAUUAAAAAUGCACAUUUUGAAUUAAAUAAUUAGCAUGUUUGACUCAGCUAAAAUUGGUCCAUUAAUAAAUUUUAGAAAAAAAAAUAAAAUUACUAAAAUGUUCAAAGGUAUAGUUUUUCCUGACCAACUACUGUGGUCAUCCUAAUAUGGUCGCCAAUGUUUACCCAACUUAAAUUGUUUGGUCGGCAAAGGUAUAGCUUUUCCGACUUCAAUUCUUUGGUUGGCAAAGGUAUAUUUUUCCCGACCAAAAAAAGUAGUCGACCUAUAUUUUACUGACUUUGUUUUAAGCCUUCACCGACCCAAAUUAUGGUAAAAAAAUCUCUAUUGUUCCCGACCAAAUUCUUGUUGGCAACUAAAAGCCUAUAUAUCUCCCGACUAAAAUGUAUUAUUGUUGGUAAAAACUUUUGUUGGCUGGCUUCUGGGAAUCGAAAAUACUGACUAAUAUUUGACAUUUAGCAACUAGUCUUUGGGUUGGCAAAAAUCAUAUUUCUUGUAGUGUGAGUUGCUCAUUAUCUUUAGAGAUAAAUGUAGGAUAAUUUGUUAUCUUUAAAAUCACCGGAUCUUCAUGUUGGAUCAUCAAGAAAUUUGAGAUGUACAGCAGAAGCGUACCUGAAUUAGAAUGAUUGAUGCAAUAAUUGAAUCCUGAGGCUUAGUCUUCCAAAUCUACACGUAGUCUCAUUUUCUCUCUGUAAUGGGAUGCAAAAGAGAAUGAACAAAUACGUACUCUCUCUCUCUCUCUCUCUCUCUCUCUCUCUACGUGUGAUUCGGGGACCAUAAUCAUUUAUAUGUAUAUGCGCUUUGACCAAAUUCGACCCAUCAUAGAAUUAGGGACUUGGGCUCGGUCUCUACACAUAUAUAAACAGACACUUUAAUUGGAUGCAUAACGACCCAAAAUCGAAGCCUUAUUAGAUCAAUUUAAAUGGGCUCAACCGAAUUCGAUAGCUUUUAAUUUAAUACACAACAAUUUACACAUAUAAGCCCACACGAUCGUUUAAAAUUCCUUACAAUCUCCCGCUUGGGCUAUAUAUGCUACUUUAUAAUUGUGCAUUAAAUAUAACCAUAUGAGUACUCAGAAUUUUACUAUCAUUACUGAAUGCAUCCCCAAACAAUUCGGUCCAUCAAUUAUGUCAACAUAGGAUCAAAGCGGCUUUCAUUACUUCAUUGUAAUUAAACUCAUCAAUGGUUACGUAUAUCGAUAUAACUGAAUGACAUGGAUCAAGCAUGAAUGUGUAGCAUGGAAAUUACAUGUGAUGUGAUCUGUAACAUGCCUAUUUCCAACUAAUCCACCUUAAUACCUUAGUGAAAUCAUUUUAAACAAGUUCACAGAUAAUAAACCAAAUAAAACCUUAUAACCGAAAAUACUUUAACCUUAAAUAGUAUCCAAAAUGACAGUAUAUGUAUCUAGUACAAAAAUGCAAACUCUCACUUAAAACUAACUAUCCUCAAGAGACAUUAGACCCAUAUGAGCAGUGCGCUCAUGAAAGACAUCAAGUAUUAAUCCCUUAGUAAGCGGAUCCAUGACCAUGGAGUUUGUCGCAAUAUGCUCUAUUGACACAUGUCCACUUUGAACUCUUUCUUUAAUAGUCAGGAAUUUGAUCCUAUAUGUUUUAACUUUGUUAAGCCCCUGUUGUUAUUGGAAUACAACACUGCUGAUUUAUUAUCACAAAAUAUCUUGAGCUUCUUUCUAUAUUAUCCACAAUGCGCAGCCCAGUAACAAAACUACGUAGCCAUAUUCCAUGAUUUAAUGCCUCAUAAUACGCUAUAAACUCCGUUACCAUGAUAGAAGUAGCUAUGAGUAUCUGCUUAGCACUCUUCCAGAAAAUAGUACCUUCAGCAAGCAGGUAAAUAUAGCCUGAAGUGGAUCUCCUACUAUCGUGGCAUGACGCAAAAUCGAAAUCAAAAUAACCGAUAAUCUCCAAUUGAUCCAAUCUUCUAUAUGUGAGCAUGUAGUCUUUUGUUCUCUGUAAAUACCGCAUGACCCGUUUAGCUGCUUUCCAGUGAUCAAUUCCCGAGUUACUUAAAUAUCUCCCUAUCAUCCCAAUAAUGUACGCUAUAUCCAGAUGCGUAUGAACCUAAGCGUACAUCAAACUCCCUAUAGCUGAGAAAUAAGGAAUUUUCUAUAUUUCUUUAAUUUUCAAGUCAUUUUUAGGGCACUGACUUAAAUUGAACUUUUCUCCUUUAGCUACAGGGGUGUCACCUAGUUUAUAAUCUUGCAUGUCAUAUCUUUUAAGAACCUUUUCGGUAAAGAUCUUUUGUGAUAAUCCAAUAAUACCUCGAGAACGAUCUCGAUGUAUCUAAUUUCCAAUACAAAAGAGGCAUCAUCAAGAUCUUUCAUCUCAAAAUUCUUUGCUAGAAAUCUCUUAGUUUCGUACAAUAAGUAUAUAUUGUUACUGGCAAGCAAUAUGUCAUCGACAUAUAAAACCAGAAAAAUAUACUUACUCCCACUGGAUUUGUGGUAUAUACAAUCAUCGACCAAAUUCAUCUCAAAGCCAAAUGAGAUGAUCACUCGAUGAAACUUGUAAUAGCAUUGACGAGACGCCUGUUUGAGUUCAUAAAUAGAUUUCUUUAAUUUACAAACCAUUAGCUUUGUAUCAUCUGAUACGAAGUUUUCUAGUUGUACCAUAUAAAUUGUUUCAUCAAUUUCACCAUUGAGAAACGCUGUUUUAACAUCCAUAUGAUGUAACUCAAGAUCGAAAUGGGCUACUAAUGCCAUUAUAGUCUUGAAAGAGUCUUUCGAAGAAAUCAGAGAGAAAAUCUCUUUAUAAUCAAUGCCUUCUUUCUAUAUAAAGCUCUUUGCGACAAGAUUAGUCUUAUACCUCUCUACAUCACCUCGAAUCCUUCUUGGUCUUAAAUAUCCAUUUGCAACCAAUGGGUUUCGCACCUUCAGGCAAUGGAACAAAGUCCAAUACGUCAUUAUCCUUCAUGGACUUUAUCUCUUCAUUCAUGACAUCGAGCCACUUUUGAGAGUUAGAACUUUCCAUGGUUUGACGGAAGUUGAUCGGAUCAACUUCAACCAUUCCAAUGUCAACUUCAUGUUCUUGGAGAAAUAUGAUGUAAUCAUUCGAAGUCGUACUUCUUCUGUCUCUAGGGAUCUUUUUAAUGGCAUUGGUUCUUGAGGCUGUAGAGUUUGUUCUUCUGGAACAAUUUGUUGACCUUGAGAGAGAGAUAUGGCAUUGUCUUGAUCUGGGUUUGCUUCCUGAACAAUAUCAGUGAUAGAAACCUUAUUAUUGUCAAUGGCAAUUGGAGAAAUUUCAACAUAUUCCUCCUCAAAGACAAAGCCUGUAACCCUUUCUCUCCCUGUAAACUCAACAUCCUCAAAGAUCUUAGCAUUUCCUAUCUCAAAAAUUCCCUUAGUUGUGAGAUCAUAAAACUUGUAACCCCUGGACCUUUCAAAAUAUCCAAUAAAAUAGCAACUAAUGAUCCUUGUGUCCAGUUCUUUUCAUUUGUCUUAUAGGGCAUUGCCUCAGCUGGAUACCCCCAAAUGUGUACGUGCUUCAAGCUAGGCUUAUUGCCCAUCCAAAGCUCAUAAGAGGUUUUAUCAGUGACCUUAGUUGGAACUCGAUUGAGUAUAUAUGUUGCGGUUUUUAAUGUUUCAUUCCAGAGGGAUUCUGGUAAGGUAAAAUGACUAAUCAUACUCCUCACCAUGUUCUUAAGCAUUAUGUUUCGUCUCUCGAUAACACCAUUCAUAGUGGACAAACCAGGUAUAGUACACUGUGGGAGGAUACCGCAUUCCUUUAGGAAUUUAGCAAAUGAUCCCGGACGUUGUUCACUUGAACCAUCAUAACUGUCAUAGUAUUCACCCCUACGAUCAGAUGUGACGCUUUUAAUACUUUUACCGAGUUGAUUCUCAAUUCAGCUUUAAAUUUUUUGAACACCUCCAGUGACUGUGAUUUUUCAUGAAUGAGAUAUAUAUAGCCAUAUCUUGAAAAAUCGUCUAUGAACGUUAUAAAAUAUUGUUAACCACUCCAAUAACCCAUGGGGAAUUGUCCAUAUCCGUAUGUAUAAGUUUUAAGACGUCUAAAGUCCUAUUUGCUUGAAAUCUCUUUUUAUUAGUUUGUUUUCCUUUUGUACAGUUGACACACAAAUCAUAAUCUGUGAAAUCAAGAGGGUCAAGAAUCCCAUCAAACACAAGUCUCUCAAUUCUCCUUUUGGAGAUGUGACCUAAUCUCUUGUGUCACAAUGAGACAGAAUUCUCGUCGAUUAAUUUUUGCUUUACAUCUUGAGUACUUACGUGUAAUGAUUCAUUAAAAGAAGUAAUUGUAUCAAUUGAAUAAAGAUUAUCGUAACCUAAUAAAGAACCGAAACCAAUUAAUUUUGAAUCAUGAAACAACCUAAAUUUUCCAUUUCCAAAUGAACAAGAAUAAUCAAAUUUGUCCAAAAUAGAAAUAGAAAUCAAAUUUUGUCUAAAAGACGGGUACAACAAAUGUCUCAUGAAGAUCCAAAUAAAAUUCAACCUUUAAUAAUAAUCUUAAUUUUCCUAUUACCUCUACUUCCACCUUCUUACCGUCAAUAGCAUAGAUGUAUCUUUCACCAUCACUUGAUUUUCAACAACUCAGGCAACCCUGCAUAGACAUAUUGAUGUGAGUUGUUGCACCAGAAUCUAUCCAUCAUGUGUGUCUAGAUACCGAAGUUAAAUUAACCUCAUAACAAACCAAAUGAAGAAAAAUACCUUUCUUCACACGCCAUGCGUGAUAAUUGGUACAAUUUUUCUUCUUAUGACUUGCAGCUCCACAAAAAAAAACAAUCACCUUCAGUUGGUUUCUUAAGCUAUUUCUUUUGCGAUGUUGUACCCGCAGCUUCCUUAUCAAUCUUUUCUUUUCCUUUAUACUUCAUUGAGACAAGGUUUGCCAAAAGUGUACUUAUUUCAGCCUUUUCAUUCUUAGCAAAUCUCUUCUCAAGAUUCUCAAGGAAACCCUUAGCCCUAGUCACCUUAUCGGACAUAGUGCCCUAGAAUGCUUUUGGAAUAGCAAGUUUCAUGACCAUUAAGCUUAUGCGGUUCAAUUGUUCCCAUUUUUCCAUCUCCCUCUUGUCAUCAGAGGUACUCUUAUCAGUAAGUGUAGCAGGUUGAUCGACCCGUAAAGCAAGGUCCAGGUUCAUGACUCCGAGACGUUCUCUUGCCACGCCCUGAACUUUGUGCCAUUUAGCAUUGGAAUUGAAUUGAUGCUAGCAGAGAUAUUAGAAGCAGAACCUGAAACUGAAUUAGAGAAUGGUUACUACGAAUAGCUCACACGAAUAUCUUUAAUAUGAAAAUAAUAAUAAUCUUAAAUAGUGGUAGGCCCAUCACAAGAUAUUUAACACAAUAUCAGUAUCUAGUCUUUGGACAGAAAUAUUGAUUUGUGAAUGGUACUCUUGGCGUAAUGAUCAAACAUUGACAAUAAAACAAUGUGUCAAUCAAUAAACCUUUUUUUGGAUCGAUUUAUUGAUUACACACCAAACCAAAAAAUCGUCACAUGUUUAUAACCACAGGUGCACGUGUAUUCAACUAAAUAUUGACCUUCCUUUGGGCCAAUCAAUAUUCCCAUGAUUAACACACGCACAAACAUAUUUUAAUAUUUUAAGUUAGUCAAUUUCCAUAAGAGAGGUUUCUUUGACAAUAUGUUGCUUUGGCAACAUGUUGCUUCGGCAACAUGUUGCUUCGGCAACAUGUUGCUUCAAUUAACUAACUUUCAAACAUUAUAUCUGUUAAAAGAGUCCUUAGUACCAAAAUUUGAGAAAGAGAAUCACCAAUUUUGUAUAUAUUAUUUAGUUUUAAACUUUAUGGGUCUUAGGAUUAAUAAUUCAAAAAUUUAAGGGGGGCAAAAUUAAUUAAUUCCAAACUUUAGCGGUUGAAAUUAAUAAAUUUGAAACUUUAAGGACAAAAUUAAUUAAUUCAAAACUUUAGAGGAUCAAUUAGAGCAAAUUUACAACUUUAGGGGCCAAUUUGAAUUAAUUAUUAAAGUUUGAGGGCUUUAAUUAUAAAAUCCAGAACUUUAAUGGCCCGAAUUAAUUAAUUUUUAAACUUUACGAUCUGAAUUAUUAAAUCCAAAACUUAAAGACCCAAUUUGGAUGUACUUUAAAAUGUUAGGGACUGGAACCUUAAAUUAAAAUACUAACCCUAAUUGCAAGCAAAGGGCUUCAAGUUACCUAAUUUGCAAGACAAGCUCCCGCCCCCAAAAUCAUCCGAACCAAUUUGAAAACCCUAGGAAAAAUUUCUCUUCCUCUCUGUCUUGGCAAUGCCGACAUUGCUACCCAGCAGAAAUUUUUUUUAUUUUUUUUUUAACUUCAUAAAUCUGCAACCUUAAAUCUAAAUCCAAAACCAAAGAAUCCAUAAUCUGAAAUUCCUCAACUAAUUCAUAUAAUCUGAAAAUUCCUUAACCAUUAAUCCAAAUUAUAAAACACAAUAAGUAACAAUAUACCGCAAAAGUGUUCAAAUUCAACAAUAUAAAUUCAAAAUUGUCAAUCUGAAAACUCAAUAAAAUAUAUUGCAAGAACCAAAUAAAUUAUUUGAUUCUCAAUGAUUCAACAUGAAAGGCUCUGAUACCGCUUGUAGAAUAUUUUUUUACCUUUAAAAUCACAUAAUCUUCAUGUUGGAUCAUCAAGAAAUUCGAGAUCUAUAGCGGAAGCGUACCUGAAUCAGAAUGGUUGAUGCAAUAAUCGAAUCCUGUAGCUUAGUCUUCCAAAUCUACACGUAAUAUUAUUUUCUCUCUAUGAUAUGAUGCAGAAGAGAAUGAACAAAUACGUACUCUCAUUACGUGUGAUUCGGGGAUCAUAACCAUUUUUAUAUAUACGCCUUUUUGACCUAAAUCGGCCCAUCAUAGAAUUAGGAAUUUGGGCCCGGUCUCUACACAUAUAUGAACCCACACUUUAAUUAGAUGCAUAACAGUCCAAAAUCGAAGCCUUAUUAGAUCACUUUAAAUGUGCUCAACUGAAUUCGAUAGCCUUUAAUUUAAUACACAACAAUUUACACAUAUAAGCCCACAAGAUUGUUUAAAAUUCCUUACAAAUGUAGUUGAUAUUAUUUAGAUUUUCAAAUUACAUUAGAAAAGUUAUUCCUUUAAAUUUUUUGUUGAUGUCAAAAAAUGACUAGAUUAAUUUUAUCAACUUAAUUGAUGAUUUGUAAGGGGUAAUUUGAGCCAAAAUAGUAAAAUUAUGCUGAACAAGUGGAAUUGAGCUGAAAUUGUAUCAAAAUAAAGUGUUUGUAUUAAGUAGAGAAAUUUGAAUUAAAUAUGGAUUACAUAUGUGAUUUAAUUUCAGUAAAUAAUAUUCACAUUUGUAGAAUUCCGUUUUCUUUUUUGGUUAAUUUACAAUGGUACAUAUUAAUUCUUUCCUUUUAAAUUCCUUAUGUGGUGGAUUUUAUUUAUUUAAAUGGCAUUUUUUCACAUUUAUCCACAAACAAGUGCAUGUGGUGAGGUGCUUGUUCACUUCGUCUUCUCAUUUGGCAUUUCCGCAUUGUUUUUUUAUUUUUUAUUUUAUAAUGUCUCGGCCAUAACUGAGUCAUAAGUAAAAAUUGUUGAUUUUGCAAUAUUAUUAAAUGGAUGCCCGCAAUUUCCAUGAAAGUAUGUCAACUUUCUUGCGAAGUAGUAUUUAAGGACCUUUCUGUCUUUAAUUGCCCAUUCGUUGACUCUACUAGAAAUUGAUUAAAAUGAGAGACUCGGAUGCUGAUUUAUAGUGGGUAGAGCCGGAUGGACCGCCGAAUCGGAAUGGAACCAAACCUUCCCAAGAGAACAUAGUCGAUAUAUGGCAAUUCAAUGUUUGCUACAAUUUGUAUAAAAUACUUUAGAUUAUUUAAAUGCAAUAAUCAGUCAUGAAUUUAUUUGAUAUCACUAAUCGGUGCAUGCAAUUCUCUAUUCUAUUUGAAAGUGCAUGUGUUUUCUUAGGGCAGUUUUUAUGAUGGCGCCUCUUCAUUUUUUAAAUAUAUUAUCAAAAUCAAUUGUGGUAUGAGAAUUGGGAGUUUUUUUUUUUUUUUUUUUUUUUUAAAAAUAUAUAGAUUGAGAAGCCCAUCUGCCAAAAUCAUUCCAAUUUGGAUGAAGUCAAUUGGGAAUUUUGCAUCUUUAUUUAGCUUUUAAAAAUUUUGACCUAAUGAUAUUUUAUCACGUCAUUUAUAUAUAAAUAAUUGUGUAUAUGUAGCACAAUCAUUGGUGCAGAGGGGUCUAUUUGACCCAAACAGCAUUAUCGAAUAGUGACAACAUUCACUCUUGAUGCACUGACUGUCCUUUUAAAAGGCAGCUUGUGCAGGUCAGUAUGUGAAAUUGACCCAAUUCGCAACAAGUAGUUGGACCAUUCGAGACCCCAGUUUGGUCCAAAGCCAAAAUUAAAAUAUUGGAUCAUGUGGAGAUCUAGGGAAACAUAAAAGGGUGCAGUUUGGUCUUGAUAAAAGACUAAUUACUUAACAUGGAAUCACUAUUUCAUCCUGAUUAUGGGAUUAUGGCAAGAAAUUGAACUAAUUCAAUUCUUUGUGAAAAGUGGAUUGCAUUGUUGCUAACAAAGUAGGUUCAUCCUUUGAAUAAAAUUUUCCAUCCAUAAAACUUUAGAGUGGCAGCCAUCGCAUGAGGUUUCUGCAUCUUAUUACAAAAGUUAACUGAGGAACACAUAAUACCUAUGUAUGUCGAUAGCUGUUGAUGGCUACUAUGCCAAUAUCAUGUGUUAUAUAUUUAUAUGAAUCUGAGGCUAUUGUACCAAUACCUAAAGUUGACAUUCUAAAGUUGGUUAGACUGCAAUACACACAAUAAGGGAUGGGGUCACAUUUGGAAAUUUUUAUAUUCAAGCAGGACCCAUGUGCAUUGUGAGAGGGAAUUCGGUACAAAUAGAAUUAUUCAUGUUAAACUAGUACUAAGUAGUUUUCAUUCAAAGAGAGGCAAUUUUUUUUGUAAUCAUCCAACUUAUGAUUUUAUUUCAUAUUAAUUAUCCAACUUUAUUUGUUACAAUUUAAUCAUCCUACUAACAUUCAUGGUUCAAUACUAUAAUUUUGUCCGUAAUUAUGACCAAAACCAUCCAUUCCCACAAUAACCAACAAAAUGCACAACUCUACACUUCCUCAAUUCUUAAUCAGCAGUUAUUCGAGAUUGCAUAAAGUCAAAUUUAAAGUUCUUGAAUUCUCUCAUUUGAACUUUAUGACCAAAAAGUUUCGAUUUCCACAUUCAUGUAGGAUUAAUCAUUAUCUUUGAGCACAAUUACAAAAAAUAUGCAGUUGAAUUACAUGAUGAAAAUUGAAGUGAGGGACCAAGAUGAACUUCCUCUAAAUAAAUCAAGGAUCUAAUUCCAUUAUGUAAUAUAAAUGUCCACUGGUUUAUAAAUUUUCAUCAUCCUUCUAAAAAAACUAUACAUCCCUCGCGUUAAUCUUAGGCAGCUCCAUAUUUCUCUCUCUACCUUCGCGUUAGAACUAAUUUUUUAGGUAUAUCUAUAGUCUCUAAAUACGUAUUAUUGGAUAUGCUUUACCGAGAGGUAAAUUAUUUUUUAUUUAAUAUUUCUCUUCAUAUAUUUUGAAUUUUGCUUGCUGAUUAUAUAUAUAUAUAUAUAAUUUUUUUAUUCUUGAGUUGGAAGAAAGCAGCUUUUGAUAAUAUGAUUUAAAUUUGUGGAACAAGGAUACGAGUAAUUGACUCUUUUUUUUUUUUUUUUUUUUUUUUUUUUNNNNNNNNNNNNNNNNNNNNNNNNNNNNNNNNNNNNNNNNNNNNNNNNNNNNNNNNNNNNNNNNNNNNNNNNNNNNNNNNNNNNNNNNNNNNNNNNNNNNNNNNNNNNNNNNNNNNNNNNNNNNNNNNNNNNNNNNNNNNNNNNNNNNNNNNNNNNNNNNNNNNNNNNNNNNNNNNNNNNNNNNNNNNNNNNNNNNNNNNNNNNNNNNNNNNNNNNNNNNNNNNNNNNNNNNNNNNNNNNNNNNNNNNNNNNNNNNNNNNNNNNNNNNNNNNNNNNNNNNNNNNNUUAUGAUCUGAUCUCUAGAUUUAGCAUUCAAACCUUUUCGACCAGUGGAAAAUUUCAAUUAUUUAAUGUGAUUGUCUAUUUACUUGAUUAAAAACAGUAUUUUUGAGAAUGGAGAAUUCGAUUAUUAUUAUUAUUAUUGUUUUUUUGUGAAAUAAAGCACUAAAUUGAAAUAUGUUUUUUAAAGAUAAUGUAAAUUAGAGAGUGGGAAGUGAAGUGACUAGAUAAUAUUUGAAAAAGGGCUAUUGGGGUCCUGGUAACAAAGAAAAAGUAAUUUAGACAAUGAAGAUUGGAUGUUUAAUGGCAAAACAAAAUCUCAUAAUAACUUUACCGAGAGAAAGAUGGAAUAAUUCGGCAAGCACUAAUUGGAAGAAAAAGAAAAGUAAGAACUCAAUAAUAUUACAAACUAUCCACCUCACAUAAAGUAACCCACCUAUUGCAUGUAUAAGCGAGGAAAAAAGAAAAAGGGCACAAUAUUAAGAAUUCACAAUUAAAAAAGGUAAUAAUAAAAAAAAAGUAAAGGUACAGGAUGCAUGUAGUCUAUUAUACCAAGGUAAUUGGUGAGGAAUCGGCCAUUGUUCUACAGGUUUUCCGAGAAAGGUGGUACGAUUUGGUUCCUUCCAAGAGUUUGCUAAAAACUUCCUAGCAUCCCCUGUAUCACAGUCGAUUUAAACAGUAUAAAGAUGGAAUUUAAAGUUCUUAAAGUCACUCAUUUGAACUUUUUUUAUGACCAAAAAGUUUCGAUAUCCACAUUCAAGUAAGAUUAAUCAUUAUCUUUGAGCACGAUAUUUUUGAAUUACAAGAUGAAAAUUGAAGUGAGGGACCAAGAUGAACUUCCUCUAAAUAAAUCAAGGAUCUAAUUCCAUUAUAUAAUAUAAAUGUCCACUGGUUUAUAAAUUUUCAUCAUCCUUCUAAAAUAACUAUACAUCCCUCGCGUUAAUCUCAGGCAACUCCAAAUUCCUCUCUCUAACUUCACGUAAAUUUUUUUAUUUAAUAUUUUUUUAGUUAAUAUUUCUAUUCAUAUAUUUUGAAUUUCGUUUGCUGGUCAUUGAUGUAUACAUUAUUUUUUUUAUUUUUGAGUUGGAAAUGUUUGUAUAAUGAAAGCAGCUUUUGACAAUAUGAUUUAAAUUUGCGGAUACGAGUAAGUGAGUAUUGCUACAUUUUAUAUAUAUAUUUUUAUUUAUUUUAAUAUUAUUAUUAUUUUUUUUUUUUUUUUAAUGAUCUGAUCUCAAGAUUUAGCAUUUAAACCUUUUCGAUCCAGUGGAAAAUUUCGAUUAUUUUAUGUAAUUGUCUACCUGCUUGAUUAAAAACAGUAUUUUUGAGAAUGGAGAAUUUGAUUAUUAUUAUUAUUAUUAUUAUUAUUAUUAUUAUUAUUAUUAUUAUUAUUAUUAUUAUUAUGAGUUAAAGUACUAAAUUGAAAUAUGCUUUUAAGAUAAUGUAAAUUAGGGAGUGGAAAGUAAAGUGACUAGAUAAUAUUUGAAAAAAGGGGCUAUCGAGGUCCCAGUGACAAAGAAAAAGUGAAUUAGACAAUGAAGAUUGGAUGUUUAAAGUACUAAAUUUUUAAUGACAAAACAAAAGCUCAUAAUACUUUAUCGAGAGAAAGAUGAAAUAAUUCGACAAGCACUGAUUGGAAGAAAAAGAAAAGUUAGAACUCAAUAAUAUUACAAACUAUCCACCUCACAUAAAGUAACCCACGUAUUGCAUGUAUAAGCGAGGAAAAAGAAAAAGGGUACAAUAAUAAGAAUUCACAAUUAAAAAAGGUAAUAAUAAAAAAAAGUAAAGGUACAGGAUGCAUGUAGUCUAUCAUACCAAGGUAAUUGUUGAGGAAUCGGCCAUUGUUCCACAGGUUUUCCGAGAAAGGUCGUACGAUUUGGUUCCUUCCAAGAGUUUGCUAAAGACUUCUUGCAUCCCCUAUAUCACAGUUGAUUUAAACAGUAUAAAAAUCAAAGAAGAUGGAAGUAUGCCCAAAUCUAUUGAUCAAAUACUCGUUGAUUCCAUCGAAUUUUCAAAAUUGAUUUAAGAUUGUGAUGUAGUUGACUCUAGACAAAUACCGUGUUUGGUUGAUUUCCAAAAAAAUCUAUAUCAGAUCCAAAAGAACUGGACAAAUCCAAACCCUUUACAAUUACUCAUAUUUUCUUCAUUUAAACACAUUUUCUGGAAGUUCAAAGGGAAAUGUCAACAAAAUGAAGGACAUCACAAUUCUCAAACAAAUUAAAAGACUUAAUUCAUAAAUAAACUAAAAGAUAACAUUUGAACGCGUGAACAAUUGAAUGUUGUACCAAGUUCUCAUAACUCAUGGCUGCAUCACAAGUUCAUAAAUAUAGUUGGCAUUUUAAAUCAAGAAAAGAUGAAAUAGCGUUAAAAGUCGUUCGACGUUUCUUUUUAUUCCAUGCACAAUAAACGAGUCACAAAGCCUUAGUAUAUCGAAGGAAAGAGACAAAGAGUUGUAGUAUACCUGCAAAACUCAUGCUCUGUUUAUUCUAUUUGAAUCGCCUGUGAGAGAUGAUAACUUUAAGCUCUUCAUUUCCCAUUUCUUCUUGUUCUUCCCGAAUUUCCACAGCAGAUUUUGCGAUAGAGUCUCCGCAUCUAUAUACCUCAAUCUUCUGUAAGGUUAAAAUAUAACCUAAACUGGAAGGGAUCUUAUUCAAACAGUAGCAAUUUCGCAACACUAAUCGUUCUAGUUUGGGGUAAUCAUCACUUGUGGGAUUCCAUUCUGCACAGUCAUACCGGCUUGCAAUUUUCACAUUAUUUAGCUCGAAGAAUUUGAGUUUUUGGAAUUCACCUACUUCUGUGUCCCAUUGCUUUUCCUUGAAGGAACCAUUACGUAAUUUGAGAACCUCUAAGUUUGGCAAUCUCCCAAUCAUCCGAAUUUUUUCCCACGACGAAUCAAACUGCAAUAGGGUCAAUUUUUUGAGAUUCAAGGGAAAAUCGGGACCUGAAUCUCUCAUCAAACUGAUCUCGAGAGAUUCAAGUUGAUUGGGGAAUUGGAAAGGCCAUUGAGACACGAGCUUGCAUUUCAAUUUGCGGAGAUUGGGAGCACAUCCCAAAACUUUUGCAUCUAUUUCAUUAUGAAUAAGAAGUGUAGAAAUAGAUUGUAGGUUAUUUAUUUGGAAGCUUCCAUCCGUAGUUGCUCUUAAAUGAGAAGAUUCACUGAAGCGUGCACCACCUCCAAAAUGCAGACGUUUCAAAUACUUCAUGUUAAGAACAAAAUCAGGUAUUUCAACUUCAUCUCUGUUCUCCACGUGAAGAUAUUCUAGUCUGUGGAGUUUUUCUAUUAAUGGCAGUUUAAGUUCUUCUUGAACUUUCAAGUACCUCAAGUGAACCAAGUUUUCAAUUCCUUCACGUACAUCUUUAAAUGAACAACUGAUAAAUGAAUCCCAAUAAGGUCCUGACAAAUCCAUGACCCUGCGGCCUAACUGAGAGUGAACAUAUGGAUCAAAUGGUCUUAGGAAACAAAGACGCUGCAUAUCCAAGAUACUCUUAUCUUUCUUGCACUUCGAAUAUCCGCUGAAGAACCAAUGUGGCGACAACAAAAUCACAUCCAAUCAUCAUCAGAAGCAAAAACAUCGUUAGUGUAACCAUCAAAGGUAGUUACAUUAUCAAUAAUCUAGAUAGAAAGUGAAGAAAGUGAACAAGGAAAGAACAGAGACAAAGAACUUACUUUUCGAUCCCUCCCAUAAAGUUUUCUUCUUUGGCUAUCCUCAAGCAUAAAUCAUGCAGUAGAUCAUGAAUCCUGCAAGCUUUGACUCCACCAUUUGAUCUUUCUUCAGCAACUAGUACCAGACCCCUAUUAAUUAGAUCCACUAGAUAAUCGAGUGCCACAUCCUCUGAGCUCCUGUGGGUUUCUUUGUUUAUAAACCCUUCGGCAACCCACAGAGAUAUCAACUUCUGUACUGGGAUUACUUCAUCUUCUUCAAAUACUCCAAAAUAUAGAAAACAUAGUUUCAAAUGAACUGAUAAAUGCUGGAAACUAAGUUUCAGUAUAUGGACGCAAUUAUUUGUGCUGUCAAAUAUGUGUGCAUUUAAAUGUCGCGCUAUUUCUCCCCAUGAGCUCUCUUUCUUCUGCAUAUUUGCAAGAAUGGAAGAUAUCAUAAUGACUGACAUCGGUAGACCGUGACAUCUUGAGGCAAUAUGCUGACCAAUCCCUUGCAAUUCUGGAGGGCAAGGUUCUGUUUGGAACACUUUCCGCUGUAAUAAUUCCCAACAUUCAGCACCUGAUAGGAACGGAAGUUCAUUAACAACAUUAUCGAAACCCAAUUCUUUGUUCCGAGAUGUGAAUAAGAUUCUACUUCCUGUUAUAUCAUCUGGAAAAUAUCUUCGCAAAUCAUCCCACGGUCUAGUGUCCCAUACAUCAUCCAUGACAAUAAGGUAUCUCAUUCCUUUUAAACUUUUGUAAAGCAUUUCAGCCAACUUUUCUUCCUCCAUCUCCUUGAUUGUUUGUCUGUUAUGGUUUCUUGUCGAUGUCAAAAUGUCAAUCAAUGCAUUUUUCUUCUUAUAUGUUUGAGAAACCACACACCAAGCACAUAUGUCGAAAUGAUGGACAAUGGAAGGAUCAUUGAACAAUUUCUUUGCUAAAGUAGUCUUACCAAGUCCAGGCAUUCCAACAAUGGAAAUAAUUUGUUGCUUUAGUGGUCCACUGGUGAGUUGAUCAGAAAUUUUGGUUUUCUCAUCCUUGAAACCCACUAAAUCGUCUUCCAAAUUGUUAAGUUCUUUAGCUUGAGGCUGUACUUGCUCACAUGGAUAUUCUUCUUCAGGUAUUCCAGCAUCAAUACUACUGCUCUUCUUUUCUUGUAUUGCCAUCUUAACAAGAUGAAUCUUCUCGAGGAGUUGAGAGAGCCUGAGGGUGAGAUAUGAGGCAGGAGUAACCGAGUUGAUAACAUAUGAAAUUUCAUAUGCUAAGUAUCUGGUUUUCAUCGCAAGAUCCUCAAGUUGUAAGUGCCGUUCCACGGCCAUAUAAUUGAGGGUGGAUCUCAACGAUGACAUCUUCUCAUAGAGCGUUAUGAUUUGAUCCUUCGCGGGGACAAUCCUGUCAGCCUUAUAAUUGAUCAGGUCCUCGAGAUCAUCAAGGAGAGAAUCCACAGUGAAGAACGAAAUCACACUACUCUUUGUAGCGACACAACCUGGUAACUUUGGGACUGUGGUGCAGUGCUCCUUGAUCUUUGUUUUCAAGAUCUCAAACUUUUGUAAGAAAUCAGAAAGAGAAAAACUCAAUCUUACAGUCUCCAGGACUCUGUCAUCCCUUGUUGAAAAUAAUGAAUAUAAGAAACUUCCAACCUCAUUGACAACAACUUCGAUAUCUGACAAUAUAUUCUUUGUUACGUCCACCUCAGUGUGUAACGGUGCAUCUCCAAGAAAGCUGAUAAGAAAUUCAAGUUCUGUCUGGAGGUUUUUGAUUGAACCCUUGACUGGAACAAUGAAAUCUGGUUCAAGGCGCAUAAUUUCUUCUAAAAGUUGGACGAGAAAGUCAAUAAACACCAUGACAACUUCAUUCGGAUGGGGAGUAGGAGUAAUCUUGGACAUUCGCUGCUUUGGGAUUGUGAAGACUACCCUCAGAUCUUGCACAGUUGACAUCAGUAACUCAAAGAAUGCUCUGUAUGCUUGAGGAGACCUAGAAAUUUUGCAACUGAUUGCUGAAAGCUUGAGUUCAUCUGGUAAAUCAAUUUCUAGGUCAUAACGGACGCAUGGUUCCAUAUAUACAGGGAUAGUUGAAACAAGUAUUCUCUGUAAAACAAAUGUUUCAAAUUUUUCAUCUCCUUUGAGUGAAUUUUCGAUGUGAUUACUGAAUUCUCUAAAAUUCAUAUUCUCCAAUGCCAAAUCCGAACUAUUCAUGUGAGACUCGUGUAGCAUUUCAGUCAUACAAUACACAUGAAAAUGAUACCUUUUGCACUGGGAAACAUAAGACCAUCCCGGAACAUUGUUCUCAACACGAGGAAUCUUCUUCUGUCCGCACAUUCCACACUUUGAUGAAAGCUUUGCCUCUAGAUCAAAUAUCAUACCAUCAAUCACCAGUUCCUUUACCAAUUUUCCACAACAUGGGUGUAAAUCCAAGUUCUCUUCUUCACAGUGGUAGUUAAAACCGCAUAUGACCUUUCCACAUGCAUCGCAGAUCCUUGAAAACUCUCUGCGAUAUUUUUUACCCAAUCUGGUGAAUGGCUUAUAGUGAAAUUUGAAGAUGGAGCCACCAAAAUUCUCAUGGGAAACUUUAGAUUUGGGUUGCCUACAGUCCUUGUGUAGUCCGUGACCACAGAGAUUGCAAGUGUACCAUUCUCCGAACCCGUUCAUCUUGCAGCCGUCGCACCAGAACAACUUUUCAUAUGUUUUCAACUCAUAGUGCUCAUAACAAUCAUGGAUUUGUGAUCCAGUGGUCAACAUGUUGUCUCCUGAAAAUUUUUGGUACAUUAAUUAAUGAACUAAAUACACAGUAUAAUAUCAGGAACUCGACUAGAAUGAACAAUAGAAGAAAGGUUCAAAUAUAGUACCUGAUUUGCUCAUGAAGAUGAAUGCUAUUUCUUCAGCCAAAUUCAAACAAAAGAUUUGUAAAGAAGGAGGGUCUCUUUAUGGAAAAUACGGGGGAAACAAUCCUAGUUAUGAUUUUUUUGAGAGGGGAACAUCUUCCUAUCUCACUUUCCACAUUUUCUUCAAUUUUUGAGGUUUCUUUCAAUUUCUUAGUUUGAAUCAGUGUCUCUUUAUGGAAAUUAUGGGGGAUGGACGAAUUGCAGGGGAAGAUGUAUGUAUGAUUGUAUUCUACUCAGAAAAUAUAUAUAUAACAAAAGUCCAAUUUUCAUUACAAACUCUAAACAACUAAAAUAUUGAAUUCACGGUUUCUCAUAGGAUUAAUAAUCAUAGAAUAAUUGCCGACAACUGGAGACAGCAAUGAUUGUAUUAAAAUGAAGAAAAGCAGAGUUCAAAUGAGGAAUCUUCCAAUGUUCACACCAUGCGGUAGGUGUAAUAAGUGAUUUCAGUAAGUCAUUUUUUUUUUCAAAUAAUAGAAAUAAAUCAAUAAACUAUAUGAAGGAGAAAAAACAUAAAACAAAAAUUUAUGUGAACACACGGUUUUCAACUUUCACGUUCAAUAAUUAGGUUUAAACUUAUUAAUUCAAAAAUCAUGUCAUAAUUCAAUUUUUUAAUAUUAUUAAACCUCUGUUUGCAGCCCAUUUUAGGCCUAUUUUUAGACAAUUUCGGAUCAUUGCACAAUAAUUUUUUGCAUUCAAUUUCUACUGUUUUCGGCAAAGAAAUGACUAUAGCCUGUCAAAAAAAAUUCUUUUGGCCUUUAGCUUUCCCUUGUGUUGCCCCUAACACUCCCAACUAGUAAAUCAAGUAAAACAAGGAAAUGAGGGUAAAAUUGGAAAUUUAAUUUUUAUAUACCAAGAAAAUAUCUACAUCGAUUGGACCCUCUUGAUUUGACAUGAAAAUGCAUUCUCCAUAACUAAUGGCGCUCCCAAACAUUUAUGUUUGCAGCGUGUGGACCCUCUCUCUCUCUCUUUCUCUCUCUCUCUCUCCAGACCCGUCCGACCACCGUCGCCAGAAACCUCGCACUACCUUCUCUUGUCGUACCUAGUUUAGAUCAAUCAACGAGGGCUCCUCAUUGUGUAUAUACAUAUAUCCAAAAUAUAUCGCUUCUUCCCAAAUUAAUAUAUUACUAUAGUCUUAUUGUUGGGCAAAUCUACACUUGACUGUAUUAUGCUAAAAUGGAAGAUAUCGAAUACUAAAUACUAAACACAAAACUCAAAUAUAAUUUAAAAAUUAUUUUGACAGAAUUUAGAGAGAAUGAAUUAAAAAUCAAUUAUUUGAAAUUAAUUUGAAAUGAAGAAAAUGGAAUUAGGAAUGUCAUAUUUAUAAAUUUUCACGUGUCAUUUCAUAUGGUCGAAUCUUUCGUCAAAUUUAAUUUUAACGAUUAGAUAUCACCAUUUCAAAUUUACUGUUGUAGAAAGCAUCCUAUCAAAAGGUCACAACCAUUCUGAAACAACAUGAUUCUUUGAUACGAGUCCUUUACCUAAUAGUUAUACGAGGAUGAUCUUAGGUUUAUAAAGGAAUCAAACUGCUUUACCUAAUAAAUUAUACUGAAGAUAAAUAUCUCACAUCGCAAAAAUGUGAAGUAAAUCUACAAUUUAAGAUAUUGAACAACUUCUUUUAACAAAGUUCAUAUUUUAAGAUGAAACUCUAAGUUUUGAUAUGAUAUCAAGACUCAUUGAGCCCUUGUUUGACAAUCAUUAUUUGUAGAAAAUAGAGUUUUGAAUAAUGAUCUUUAAAUGUAUGUGUGGUUAAAAAAUAUGGAAAAGUUUUGAAUUCAAGUGUUGAAUAAGUUAUUGUAUGAAUAUGUAGUUGAAAAUGAGCGUGUGAAAAAAAUGAUUUGAAAAUAAUAGUUGUCAAACAUGAGUUAGGUUUUAACAAGCAAUAUGAAUCAAAAACUUUUCCAUAGGAUUAAUAAUUAUAGAAUUUAAAUAUAGAAUUGCCGACAACUGGAGAUAGCAAUGAUUGUAUUAAAAUGAAGAAAAGCAGAGUUCAAGUUAGGGAAUCUUCCAAUGUUCACACCAUGUGGUGUAAUGGUGUAUAGGUGUAAUAAGUGGUUUCUAAUUUUCUAUAAGCCAUUUUAAAAAAAUAAAUAAAUAAUAGAAAUAAAUCAAUAAACUAUAUGAAGGAGAAAAAAAUAAAACAAAAAUUUAUGUGAACACAUGGUUUUCAACUUUCACCUUCAAUAAUUAGGUUUAAACUUAUUUAUUCAAAAAUAUUAACAAUCAUAUUCACUCUUUCAACUCCUCUCUACAUAACAAUUCAUCUUUUCUCCAUUUACUUUUCUCCAUUUACUUUCGAGACCCGCUUUCUCCAAUCUCUCUCUCUCUCUCUUCAUAUCCGUCCGACCACCAUCACCGAAAGCCUCCCACUACCUUCCCUCUCAUACCCCGUGUAGAUCGAUUAACGAGGGCUCCUCAUUGUGGAUCGAUAAAGCCCAUGCAUAUUCAAUGGAGAAGCUCAUGUGCAAGCAUGGGUACUUUCGUGCCAAAUGGGGACAGCUUUCCUCACAUAACUGAAACUCUUUUAGAAUUUAAUUUGGACUCGUUCUUGAUCUAAUUUUUGAUGGCUAUAAAUACAAAAUCAAGGGAUCUUUCUCACCUCUUACCUCUAAUAUACGUAGCAGUUUCUUAUUUAAUACAUGAGAUAGUAAAAAACUACUACAUUAAUACAUCAAAUAACAAACCGUCAAAUAUUCAAGUUUCACUUUCUGCUAGUUAAACCGUAAAACUUAUUGUAGGCUCAGUUUAAUUUUAACACUGUAAUGGAAGAAAUAAAUAUGUCAAAUUAAGAAUGCAAGCAUUAUUAGAGGUUCAUCGAAUGUUUCUAAGCAGAAUGUUAACAGUGAUUCAUGUGUUUCUAAGCAGAAUGUUAACAGUGAUUCAUGCACAGAAAUGAAAUAUAUAUAAAAUGAAAAAGAAUCCCUUUUUAGAUUGUUAGAUAAAUUGGUGAAUAACUUAUAUUUCACUAAUAAAAAAUACUUCCACGCAAAGGUGAUAAAAUCACGACUUAACAAACGAAAUUAAAACGAGGUAUGCAAUUGCAAAUCACCUUAAGAUGGAUUUCGUACCUGACACUGGUGCUAACAUGAUAAACUAGAUGUAUAUUUUCCAAGAUAUAACACUACUUUCAAAAUUAAUAUAGCAUAGUAUUCAUUUUGUUGGCCAACCAAAACUUGACCGUACUCUUCUAAAAUGGAAAAUAUCAAAUACUAAAUAUUAAAAAUAAAACUUAAAUAAAAUUUUUAUAAAUUAUUUUGAUAGAAUUUGGAGAGAAUGAAUUAAAAAUCAAUUAUAUUUGAAAUUAAUUUGAAGUGAAGAAAAUGGAAUUAGUAGGUUCAUAUUUAUAAAUUUUCACGUGUCUUUUUGUGUGGUCGCAUCUUUCGGCAGUAAUUAACUUUAACGAUUAGAUAUCACCAUAUCAAAUUUAUUGGUAUAGAUAGCACCUUAUCAAAAGGACACACACAUUCCGAAAUAAUGUGAUUAUUAGAUAUGAGUCCUUUACAAUUAGAGUGUUAUGUCUAGUAAUCACAUUCAUUGAAGACUUUAUAAUUCACACAUUUAAAUCGUAUAUAUGUUAAACUAUGAAUUCCAAUAGGACCAUCUCCACAUUCAGCAUCCACAACGCAUUCAAUUUAAACACCACGGGUCUUGCAUCACCAUCCAAUCAAUUGAUGAGAAUAGACUUUGUCAAACUAGUACACCAACUUCCAAUGAUGAAUUGAGGUGAACCUAAUUCUUGUCCAACUUAAUGUGUCAAAUUUUGACCUUCAGUACACCUUAAGAGUAAAUCAUGAGGGAAAACUCUAAAUAAGUGCUUCAUUUUAAUGAAAAUGUUUUAGCCAACGUUGUAACAACCCAAUUUUUAAAGAUUUGAAUCGUUACCAAAAUUUUUAAAAUAAUUUUCUUUUUUUAUGCAAAGCCCAAAAUUUAUAUAACUUCGUCAAUUUUUUUUUUUUUUUUUUGGGGGUAAUGUUAUGCGGAUUGCAAUGUGACCAGCACGUUGGGUCUUCUUUUUUAUAUGUCAACUUAACUUGGAGUUGUCAUCUUUCUGACAAAAUCCAUGUGAUGGUGGAGUGGUUCUUUCUUAUUAUUUAAGGACCCCCCCUAACACCCUCAAUGUAAAAGCCCUUACCGUCGACUCCAAGCAUCAGUGUAUAUAUACAAGCACCCCUCAAAAGUAUCCUAUACCAUAUAAUAUUGCAUAAAGUGCACAUCCAUCUAGCAUUUUCGUGAAUAGUGAAAAAAAAUACUGUUCACAUCGGUUUUUGUUUUUAUAGACCGCUCACACCGUGAACAGUAACAUGGGGUACUUGGUCAAUCGAUUUAUGGUAGACCGCUAUUCCUACAUAUUUUUUUAGAAGGUUUUUGAUCUAUAACCGACCGAUUUUAUACCAAUUCAAGAUUUGUUGUACUGAAUUAGUCGGUUAGAUCUGAUUUUCAGAACAUUAAUUAUUACACCCUAAAUAUUUAAUCAAAAUAAAUAUUAUAAUCAAUCAUAAAACCCAAAAAAAAAAAUAAUAAUAAAUCACCUUCCAAUUAAAAGGUAUGAGUGAUGUAUGACACUAUGAUUGGCUAAAAUGAUUUGGGACCCAAAAAAUUCGGUUGAGCGCCAUCCCUAUGCGGUUUAGAUACAUUUUUAUUUUUUAGAAUUUUGGACUAAUCCACUAUCGGUUCAGAUAUUCCUAUAUUUCAGUUCAAAUGAGGGAAUCUUCUAGUGUUCACACCAUGCGGUAUAUGGGUGUAAUAAGUGAUUUCUAUAAGCCAUUUUUUUUAAUAAUAGAAAUAAAUCAAUAAACUAUAUGGAGGAGGAAAAACAAAAACAAAAAUUUAUGUGAACACAUGGGUUUUCAACUUUCACAUUCGAUAAUUAGGUUUAAACUUAUUUAUUCAAAAAUCAUGUCAUAAUUCAAUUUUUUAAUAUUAACAAUAAUAUUAUUAAACCUCUGUUUGCACUUUGCAGCCCAUUUUAGGCCUAUUUUUAGACAAUUUUGGAGAGUAAUUUUUUGCAUUCAAUUUCUACUGUUUCUUUCCACCUUUUCUUCAAUUUUUUAGGUCUCUUUUUGGAAAAUACGGUGGAUGGACGAAUUGCAGGGGAAGAUGUAUGCAUGUAUUCUACUCCAGAAAAUAUAUUUAUAACAAAAGUCCAAUCUUCAUUUACAAACUCUAAAAUACUAAGUCAGUCAUCCAUUUUUUCUCAUUCUUUUUUUAUAUUACUCAUUUGUAAUCAUACAUUUUUUCAUUAAAAUAAUAUUACACUCGAAUCAAAAAAAAAAUUCUUCUUUUUUAAUCACACAUUCUCUAUCAACCAUUAUUCCAUUAUAUAUAUAUUUUUUUCAAAUUAAUGGGGGCACAUACAGAACCUAAAUAUUGAAUUAUUAUUAUUAUUAUUAUUAUUAUUAUUUAUUUUUUGGGGGUAAUGUUAUGCGGAUUGCAAUGUGACCAGCACGUUGGGUCUUCUUUUUUAUAUGUCAACUUAACUUGGAGUUGUCAUCUUUCUGACAAAAUCCAUGUGAUGGUGGAGUGGUUCUUUCUUAUUAUUUAAGGACCCCCCCUAACACCCUCAAUGUAAAAGCCCUUACCGUCGACUCCAAGCAUCAGUGUAUAUAUACAAGCACCCCUCAAAAGUAUCCUAUACCAUAUAAUAUUGCAUAAAGUGCACAUCUAUCUAGCAUUUUCGUGAAUAGUGAAAAAAAUUACUGUUCGCAUCGGUUUUUGUUUUUAUAGACCGCUCACACCGUGAACAGUAACAUGGGGUACUUGGUCAAUCGAUUUAUGGUAGACCGCUAUUCCUACAUAUUUUUUUAGAAGGUUUUUGAUCUAUAACCGACCGAUUUUAUACCAAUUCAAGAUUUGUUGUACUGAAUUAGUCGGUUAGAUCUGAUUUUCAGAACAUUAAUUAUUACACCCUAAAUAUUUAAUCAAAAUAAAUAUUAUAAUCAAUCAUAAAACCCAAAAAAAAAAAUAAUAAUAAAUCACCUUCCAAUUAAAAGGUAUGAGUGAUGUAUGACACUAUGAUUUGCUAAAAUGAUUUGGGACCCAAAAAAUGCGGUAGAGCGCCAUCCCUAUGCGGUUUAGAUACAGUUUUAUUUUUUAGAAUUUUGGACUAAUCCACUAUCGGUUCAGAUAUUCCUAUAUUUCAGUUCAGAUGAGGGAAUCUUCCAGCGUUCACACCAUGCGGUAUAUGGGUGUAAUAAGUGAUUUCUCUAAGCCUUUUUUUUUAAUAAUUUAAAUAAAUCAAUAAACUAUAUGAAGGAGAAAAAUCAUAAAACAAAAAUUUAUGUGAACGCAUGGUUUUCAACUUUCACAUUCAAUAAUUAGGUUUAAACUUAUUAAUUCAAAAAUCAUGUCAUAAUUCAAUUUUUUAAUAUUAAAAAAAAUAUUAUUAAACCUUUGUUCGUAGCCCAUUUUAGGCCUAUUUUUAGACAAUAUCGGAUCGUUGCACAGUAACUUUUUGCAUUCAAUUUCUACUGUUUUCGGCAAAGAAAUGACUAUAGCCUGUUAAAAAAAAACUCUUUUGGCCUUUAGCUUUCCCUUGUGUUGCCCCUAACACUCCCAACUAGUAAAUCAAGUAAAACAAGGAAAUGAAGGGUAAAUUUGGAAAAUUGAUUUUUAUAUACCAAGAAAAUAUCUACAUCGUGUGGACCCUCUUGAUUUGACAUGAAAAUGCAUUCUCCAUAAUUAAUGGUUCCCAAACAUAUAUGUAUGCAGCCUGUGGACCCUCUCUCUCUCUCUCUCUCUCCAAAUCCGUUCGACCACCAUCAUUGGAAGCCUCCCACUCCCUUCUCUUCUCAUACUUGGUCUAGAUCAGUUAACGACGACUCCUCAUUGUGGAUAUAUCUUUCAAGAUAUAACGCUUCUUUCAAAAUUAAUAUAUUAUUGUAUUCAUUUUGUUUGACAAACUUACACUUGAUUGUAUUUUUCUAGAAUGAAAGAUUGUAUUCUUCUAGAAUGAAAGAUAUCAAGUACUAAAUACUAAACACAAAACUCAAAUAUAAUUUAAAAAUUAUUUUGACAGAAUUUAGAGAGAGAAUGAAUUAAAAAUCAAAUAUUUGAAAUUAAUUUGAAAUUAAGAAAAUGAAAUUAGGAAGGUCGUAUUUUUAAUCUUCAUGUGUCAUUUCGUAUGGUCGAAUCUUCUAGCAAAAGUUAAUUUUAAUUAUUAGAUAUCACCAUUUCAAAUUUACUGAUGUAGAUAGCAACCUAUCAAAAGAUCACACCCACUCCAAAACAACAUGAUUCUUUUAUAUGAGUCCUUUACAAUUAGGGCCAGUUUGAUUGCAAUAAUAGAAUUUUGGUGAAAAUUGUCAAUUAAAUAGAUAUAAUUUGUUACAAUUGACGAUAAAAUUUGUUUCAAAAAAAAAAAAACCCACCAAGCCCAUGGGAAAACCAAUACCUCAAAAAGAUGAAAAAUGGGAUGUUGUCAAGAAAAUUUGAUCAAUCAAACAUGCAAAAAGGUAGAAAAUGAAUUAAAAUUUCCUACUUUCGUGAAAAAUUUCUACAAUCAAACAAGGCCUUAGAGUAUCAUAUCUAGUAAUCACCUCCAUUGAAAACUUUAUAAUUCAUACAUUUAAAGCGUGUACUAAACCAUUAAUUCCAAUAGGACCAUCUCCACAUUCAACAUCCAUAGUGCAUUCAAUUCAAACACCACAGGUACUCUUGCAUCACCAUCCAAUCAAUUGGCGAGGAUAGACUUUGUCAACCUAGCACACCAACUCUGACCUAUAAUGUUAAAAAUAUACAAGUUUUCCUAUUGCUUUAAUUGGUUUAAUAACUAAUCUUAUCUAAUACAGGGUUAGCAUUAUCCAGUUCUUCCUAAAAUCCGUGCUAAAGAUGUGAAUAUUUAAAUGGAUAACAAGCCUUUCAAUUAAUUGUGCAAAGUUUCAUUUAAUUGUGUAAAGUUUUCACUAGCAUAUCAUUUUGGUAUAGGUAUGAUAAAGAACUCUUGCAAGCCAAUAUGGAUUGGUUUGUGAAUGAUGGUAGAAGAUGUUGUUUCUAGAGUACUAGUUUCUCCUUCAAAUAAUAUGAAUAUACAAAUACUGAUAGAAUUACAGCCUAACUAUACGAUCAACGAGAUCUAAAACUUAAUUUGAGCCCACUGACGGGUGUUAAAGGUGUUCAACAAUCGUUUCCCAAGAUAGAACGAAUUUCGUUUCAUACAAAAGUAGCAUAGCAAUCUGCAGGAGUUCCAAGGAACUCAAUGAAGUGUUUUACACUUCAAGAACAAUAUUAGAAUGAGAUUCAAAGCAGAUAACGUUUGCAAUGAAAAAUGGUGUUAUUAUUCUAGCAAUUGGGCAGACUAUUUAUAGACUUAUUCGUAGCCACUCAAACAUACUCCAAGCCCUUUCAGAACAGUUGUCACUAUUCAGACAGCCUCCAAACUCGAACAGACAGCUUAGUUCAAUACUGUAUCUAUUAAGUUGGUUAACGGUCCACUGUUUAGUCUGCUAACAAACCAUCUAGAACAAAAAAUUACCCGGAAAUAAGUUAAUCAAAAUAAAUUUUAUUAAGUACCCAAGAAAUUGAUUACUUACUUACAAUUUGGCCUAAAAAUUCAAAUAAAUUUGGUCUAAAAGUUAAUCUAGGACACGUGCUCGUGCCAUGCCGACAAGACAGGCAACAGCAGCGCGUGCGUAUAGGCUUAUGACCGACCCAAUAAGAUAUAUGUCUCCCCCCUUCCAAAGAUAAUCAGUAACCUUUGGGGCCCAAACCCAAUUUCCAAACUUCCAUCAUAUAAACUAGACCAAUAUUUCCUAACUUUCUUAUGCGGGAUGAAUAUUUGGCAAAAUUUUAAUAAAUCAAAUUCUUCAGUAAUUAACAGUUUCAAGUGGGUUACUUUAAAAUUAAAUAUUUCAUUCAAUUCUAAAUGAUUUUUGAUAAAUAAAUAUACCAUGUUAACCACAUCGUGGAGUAGAACAUAAAUAUGCUAGGUCCCAUUAAAAUUAAGGUAAGGUCCCAUUGAAAUUUGGGCUCAUAAUUGACCCAUUUCACCGAUAAUAAUCAUUUGUUUAAACAUUAAACAAUGAAGAAGAUUAACAAAUAUAGCACUAUGUAAAUCUUUUAUGUUAUGCUAUGAAGAACUUGUUGAAUUCAAUUAGUUCAUUCUCUCAGCUGAUUAUCAUAAUGUAAUUCAACUUGUAUAAAAGUUUUAUAUUUAUAAAAUUAUAUGGCAUAUGCGUAAUGGAGGGGUUUAACAUUGACCGACUCAACAAUCAAUUAUGUCAAUUAAAUUGGGUCCAUUAAAUCAAUCAACAUUUUCUUAUACUUCCACAUGGUUCAAUGGCCAAUCUUACUCAUUUUCCUCCCUUCAUAUAGUCUAGAAAUUACAGCUGCAAUAAGUAUUUCAUCAUGAUCCAGUUCUUUAUGGGAGGUUAUCUUAACGUGUAUCAUUCAUCGUAUAUAAUUUGCCACUAGGCUUCUGCUUCUCGUUUAAGUUUGUAUGCAAUUAUUAACCUUAUGCUCUUCGUCAACCUCCAUUGAGCUUGAAGAAUAAAAUGGCCAUGUUACUUUUGGAGAUGCAUCAAAGGUUGAAGUCAAGGGAAAAUGUAUAAUUCUUAUUCAAUGAAAAAUGGAGAGUCAAUAUUUCUAAUGUCUAUUAUGUCCUUCUAAGAAAACAAAUAUUUUGAGUUGAGGCCAAUUUUUAGAGUUGGGAUAUGACAUCUGAAUGAGAAAUCACGAGAUGACAAUUCAAGAACAAAAUGGAAAUUUGCUAGCUAGAAUUCGAAUGACAAAGAACCAAUUGUUCUUGUUGAAUAUCCAAAGCAAAGAAGUUAAGUGCUUGAAGGCAUGUAUCAAAUAUCAACAUGGCUAUGACAUUUGAGACUUGGGAAUCGAAAUUUUGACGGUUUAAAUCUCUUGGUGAAGAACAUGGUAAGGGGACUGGCACAUAUUCAUCAUCCAAAUCAACUUUGUGAAGGAUGUCUAUAUGGGAAGCAAUCCGGAAGACUUUUCCAAAAGAAGCAAGUUACCGAACAACGAAGUAUCUUGAAUUGGUGAAUACGGAUCUUUGUGGCGCAAUCAAACCAUUGAUGUCAUUUUGUAAAAAAUAUUAUUUCAUGCUAUUUAUUGAUGUUUUUCUCUCACAAAACUAGGGUUUAUUUUCUUAGAGAAAAGUCCAAUGCAUUUGAGAUUUUUAAGAACUUCAAAGUGACGCUAGAAAAUCGAAGUGGCUACAAGAACAAAGCUUUACACUCGGAUCAUGGUGGUGAAUAUAUUGGGAACAAAUUCAAAAAUUCUUGUGAAGAAUGGCAUAUCUCAUUCUUCAACUGUUCCUACAUCACCUCAACAAAAUGGCUUAGCGACGAAGAAAAACAGGGCAAUCAUGGAAAUGACUAGACGUAUUUGCUUAAUCUAUGCCCAACAAAAAGAAUUUUGUUGACGACCAAGCAAUUGCCAAAAGAAUUUUGGGCUGAAGCCGUACAAUGUGCUGGCUGUGUAUUUGCUUAACUUUGCCCAACAAAAAGUGUAUACCACAUGAAGCUUGUAGUGGAUUCAAACCAAGUAUGUUGCACCUACGCGUUUUUUGGAAUAUUGCUUAUUUUCACAUUCCAAAAGGAAAGAGGAGCAAAUUGGAUGACAAGAGUGAGAAAUACAUCUUCAUAGGCUAUGAUUCAAGAUCGAAAAGCUAUAAACUCUACAACCUAGAAUGCGAAGAUGAUCACUAGUAUUUGAUGAAGGAAUUUGAGAUUGACAAAAUCAGCAGCAUAAUUUCUUUCAUUUUGAUGAUACUGAAGAAGAAGCCGGAGUGGUUCGCCUCAACUAGCACCAUCAUCUCCUCCACACCAAGAUAUGGUCAAGAUUCAUCUUCAGCUCCUCAAGUGAAGGGCCACAACGAUAUAGGAGUCUUCAUAAGAUUUAAGAUAACACCAAGGAGUUAACUCAAUAUCUUGAAGAAUUAACUUUUUCUUUUUCUUUUUCACUUUUUUUUUUUUCGCCAAUCAUGCAAUUGUAGGUUUUGAUGAUGUCGUUCAUGGCAAGAAACGAAAGAAGACAUGGACGAAGAAAUCGAAGCUAUCAAGAAAAAUGAUACUUGAGAAUUAACCUCACUUUUAGAUGGUCAAAAACCUAUUGGAGCUAAAUGGAUUUUCAAAGAAAAGAAGAACGUAAGUUGUGAAGUUGAGCAAUACAAGGCAAGGUUAGUAGUUAAAAACUACAUAAAUUAUUGUUUUGGAAUUUAAAAAUAAAUACUCUACUAAUUUUUCUAUAAAAAGUUUCAUUAUUUUAUUUGUAUUUUUGUAUAGAUAUAAAUAAAAUUAAUGUAUUCGUCGGUUAUGGAGGCAAAUAUCAAUUUGUUUGAAGGAACUUAAAAAAAAAAAUAAAAACAAAGAACUGUUAAAGAAUAGCAUCAUCUCAUUUCCAUCGUCAUGGCCCUUCUGAAUACAACUGUCUUAGGAUUGUUGUUUCAAGUUCUUGCAAAAAACAGUGCGGAUAUUCAUAUACAAUGUUUCAAUAAAACUUAAUGUCCCUAUCUUUUCACAUAAACUCAACUAGACAACAAAUUUUUUAAGUGUGUAUUAACCCCCCCACCCCACCCCACGGGGCCCCACAAAAAAAAAUGGAAAAAAAAAGGUGAUAUCAUAGAAGGACAAUAAAUUAACAAUUUUUUUCAUUUUAAUUUCUAUUUUGUCAUUAACUCUUUUGGCUUAUUUACACACUAUGUUUUUCGAAGUAUUAACAACAUACUUCGAAAUACAUCUCUCAAAUUUAAAAGUUGAUAAACGACGAACCCAUAAUAACAAGUUAAAAAUGAUCUCAAAAAUGGACUUGAUAAUCAUGAUUUAAAUUUAAUAAUUUUUUUACAUAGAUGUCAAUAAGUAAAAGAAAUGAAAAGAAAAUUUAAUACUAUAAAUUUUGCAUUCAAUAUUUUAUACACACUAGAUAAUCUUCAAAAUUUAAACUUUACCCUAACCUAUUUAUCAAAUUCACGUUGCUAACUUUCUCACAAAUUUUGAGUUGCUCAAACGGAUUAUGUAACAUAAAAUAUUGCAACAAAUGAUUUUUUUUUUUAAUAAUAAAAAUUUCAAAAGUGAAAAAUUCAAAUGGGAGAGGAGGUUUGUCGACCCCUGCAUUUGGGGUGAAGUUGAAAUCUAUUGUCUAAAAUUGACUAUCCAACUUAUUGUUCACCCAAUGAUUUAUCGACACAUCACUUUUUAAACACAAAUGGCAAUGAGAGAAAAUUGAAUGCGUUAAGUUAAAGUGUCGUAUCAAUAAAUUAUUAAGUAAAGAACAAAUUAGACAUUCAAUUUUGAACAACAAAUCUUAAUUCUUUGGAAUGAAGGGCUUUGCUAACUUUCAAAUUAAUGUCUUCAUAUUUUAAUAUGGCAAAACUAAUAUAUUAAUUAAAUAUUUAAUUUGUUCUAAAUGAAUUAAUUUAAUUUCUUUUUUUCUAUAGUAGUGUACCUAAGAGGAAGGCUAGCAUAGCCCUACUUGAUCCUUUGACACCCCUAAUUCAAGUACGGUUGACAGUAUUCAAUACUUCCUGCUAGUCGUGACAAUUAGAAUGACAUGCUAAUAAUUCAAGAAGUACGGUUCCGAGCAAUUUGUCUGUAUGAACAAUUAAAUAUUUCAAAAAAAUAUAUUUCAUAAUAAAUUAGAGAAGAGUUUCUCAUUCCAGAGUAAUAGAUUAUUUUUCUGAUGUUUUCACAGUUUAUGGCUGCCGAAGUCUUAAAAUUUCCAAAUCCUCCUGCGGAUUGAAUAUUUUUCCAAGAAUAAAAAGACCAAUUAAACUCCUGUUACAAGAUCUGAUCCAAGUUAGCAAAAGAUUGCAAACUUCCCCUUAAUACUCCUAUUCUCAACAAGCAACCGAAGUGUGUUUCAUUUAUUGCAAGAUGUACAUGCAUUCCAUUUUCCCUACAGCGACAUAAAACAGAAAUUUCGAGGCCCGUUAGACAGAUAACGAGCGACACCAUCAGCGAGAAACAAAAUAUCAUGGAAAGCUUGACAACAGAAGAGACCAAGGUUUGAUUUGAGAUCUAUCCACACUUCAGGUUUUCAUCAGAUCAUCAUUGAUAAAUGCAACCAUUAUUACCAAAAUUUUGCUAUUCAAAUUAACUUAUUCUGACCUCAUAACAGUAUUCGAAAAUCAAUUUCUUGAGCCAGCAAGCUUUCCCAGGUGAGCAAACGAUCAAUAUACUCAGGCCUUUGGGGGAAAUGACUCGAUUUCAUCAUCCAGCGUGUUCAUGUGAACUGGCCUGUAGGGGAGCCUAACUUUUUCAUUCUCCCAAUAGCUGCAGAUAACAAUAGGAGCUUUAUCAACAAACUGGCCUUCAACACAAGCAACUCAUCAAUAAUAACAGCAAUCAGUACAUGACUUCAACUUAUGCAGGGUGUUCAAGAUUACAAAACCAAGGUGAAAUAGUCGUUAACAUCAGCUGUGACGGCCCGAAUCCUUGACUAUUCGAGUGUUACCAAAUAAAACUUAAUUCUUUCAUAAGAAAUAAAAGAACAUGAAAAAGUUUUAUUUAUUUCUUCAAUAAGUAAAUAAAUUUUAGUUUUUAUCAUUUAGUUUCAAAACAUGAAAGAAAGAAAAUAAUUCUAAUAUAACAACUAAAUUUGAAAUUCAAAGUUAUGUUUUAAGCACAACACUAUUUAUUAAUUCUAGCCCUAUUGUCAUCUCCACAUUGACUGCCUCGAACCAUCAAUUGCCUGAAAGGGGGAAUUAUCAUAAAGUGAGAUUUAUAAAAUCUCAAUAAGUACGCCAUGAAUUAUUAUUGUGUAUAACUUAAAAGAGUAUAAUCAUAAUCAACAUAAUGAAGACACAAGAAUUAUACCGAGCAUAAAUGGUAAGAAUUCUUAUGUGUAGCACUACUAAACUCCGGUCCCCUUAACAUAAUCAUAAUCAUAACAUAUGGGAUCCAUAAUAAUUUUCUCGAAAUUCAUGACAUAAUAACAAUUCAACAUAGGCAGCAGUGUACUUACAGUGAUGUUUGAAAGAAAGAAUAAUAGAGACUUAAUUCCUCUACAAUUUCCACCUCGGCUUAUGAAUGUGUAUGUAUAUAUUAUUUGGACUAAAAAAAUAUAAUAGUGAGUGAUAACAUGUAAAUGUGAAUGAGUGGUUUAUAUAGGACAAGAUUAGGCAUGCAUCAUUAAGGAAAAAUUAAUGAUGGUGGAAAUUGUUCCUUGAAAUUUGUGAAAUGAGCAAGAAUCUCUAUCAUUCCUACAUUUAUGCAUUCACACUACACGUUACCUUAUGCUUGAUCAAUCAAGCAUAAAUCAAGAAUUUUACCUUAUAUUUGGUCAAUCAAGCAUAAAUCAAGAAUUUUACCUUAUGUUUUGUCAAUCAAGCAUAAAUCAAGAAAUUUCUAUAUAAGUGUUUGACCAAGAAUUUAAUCAAAACAUUUGAGAAUUAAAACUCAUGUUAAGUUUGCUACAAGGUCCUAUAAGGUGGAUUAACCCUCAAAUGAGUCCCUAAAUUUUCAAUUUUGAUAAUUAGACCUGGAAAUUCGGAUGUGGGUAUUAUAUCAGUAUGCAGCGGAAAAUAUUCCAAUGUAUCAACAUUGAAUGAUACAGAAAAUCCAAGUUACGAGGCUCGAAAAAUGGGUAUGUCCACUUCAAAAGCAAACACUACAGUGUGCAUUCAAGUUAAGAGAUGAGUGCAUUCUGUUAACCUAUAUCAGAUGUGUAUGUGUGAGAUGGACACGUGGAUUGGCUAGUACAAACAAGAAACUGCAGGAAAAAACUUACCCCAAAGUGUGUUUCAUCCAGUUUUCAUCAUCUCUUUUCUGCAAACAGAACAAAAUUUGAUUCAGUUGUGCCAGGCUAAAGGAGAAAAAUGAAAAAUAAAUUUAACAUUUAAGAGUUUUGAACGAGCCGUAAAAUCUUCAUGCGAAUGGGCUCCUCUACUUUAUUUCUUUGCUUCAGCAGAGUGCAUGGUGAUACAUGCAUUGAUUAAAUUGUUUUCCAACUCAAUAGUCUCUAUCAAGUCUGAGUUCCUGUAAACAUAAAGAGUCUAUUAAAAGGUUUUCCGACUCUAAGUCUGAGUUGGUUAUACAUGCAUUAAUUGAAUCUACUACACUGGGGCAAAAUAAGUAAUGAGAAAUUAUGGACUUCAGUAUAUGACUUUCCAUGCUAAUAAUCCUACUAAACAUACAUACCAUAUUAAUCUUCUGUCCUUCAACUUGACAUCAUGGAAGCUCUCCCAUGCUUUAUCAAUCAACUGACAACCUUUAAAAUAAAAAAAAUAAAGAAUCAGCGAGGUAGAGAAUUUAAAUAUAGUGAUCAAUGGAGUCUAAAUAGUAAGCCUGUUUCAAAAGCAGAGUCACUGCAAACUUGUCUGUGUAGAUGGAGACCAAUUAAGCAAGAAACUGAAGUACAUCCACCUUAGUAUCUAGUUCAUCUCUUAUACAACAAACUAAAAAAUGGAUGUCUCUAUUGCACACCUUCUUCUAAUGUUUCCUGCAUGUGAAACACAGCAGCAUUGCUUUGCAUAAUCCGCUGCAUGUUCAACCGGAUAUUUGAGGUGGGAAGGGAACCAUUUGAAUUCCUAGGCUUCUCCAACCAUGCAAUAGUCCUUUCUCCAUCAACCUUUUCAUGUGGUUUUUGACUCUGUCCUGCAUGAGUGCAAGACAUCUCAAACUUGUCAUACAUUGCCCAUGAAGCACCAAAUCCUUAAAUAAACAAACUUCUAUUUACCUGGUCUACGGAUCUCAUCAACCCUGUUUGCACAAGCCCGUCCAAACACAACAAUAUCAAGAAGCGAAUUUGCACCAAGUCGAUUAGCGCCAUGAACAGAUGCACAUGCAGCUUCCCCAGCAAAUAAGUCCAGGAGUCACUGCAUCAGGAUCAUCAACUUUGAUAGUAACUACCUGCAUAGUAACCAUUAUUUAAGGAGAAGAGUUCUAUAUUAUUUGAUCAAGAGUAAAAAUUUCAGCAUGAAUUUGUACCUCUCCAUGGUGAUUUGUGGGGAUCCCACCCGUGUUAUAAUAAACAGUAGGUAAAACAGGGAUUGGCUCUUUGGUAACAUCUACACCGACAAAAAUAGUAGCAGUUUCAGAUAUUCCAGGAAGUCUCUCCUCGAGGACCUCAGGAGGCAAGUGAUUUAAGUGAAGCUAGAUAUGAUCUUUCAAGGGUCCUAUCGGGAGUCAAGUAUAACCCGUUAAAUUAUGUACAAGUGGUAACAAUCAAUCCUAUUAUCUCCACUAGCUGCCACAUAUUCUCCAAUCGAUGUUUAUUCAUUUCUCUAAGCUACCAACCAUACAUAUAUAACAUUAAUUCUGAACAAACCACCACCCAAUAUCAUGUAUCGUUCACUUCUACACAAUAUAAAGGAACACAUUUAAGCUUAUGUAGGAUUAAUUGAGAAAUUCAGAACUUGUAAAAGUUGAAUAAAUUAGCAGAAGUAGCAGAAUACACACAGUAAAGAAACAACUAAGGGAAAAGAAGAAGGAGAGAAGGGGAAGGGAAGAGAAGAGAAGAAAGGGGGCGGUGGAAAAAGAGAACACUCCUGCAACAGUCAAUUCAUUCUAUCAUCAAUCUGUCCGUCCCUUACAAAAGGUUGCCUACAUAUAUAAAAUACAACACGAAAGAAAAAGGGCAUGGGCCAGCCCAAUACAUAAUACAAGCCCAAAAAUAAAAGAUACUAAACUAGCCCAAAAGUAGCCCAAAGCAAAGAUGCUAAACUAGCCCAAAAUUAGAUGUCCUCAUCACUUAGUCAAGGCAAACGCUAACUUAAGAAUUCAUAAGAUUUAUUAAUCAUACUACAACAAGAAUGAUUAAACAAGAUACUGAAUUCUGAAAUUAUAACUAGUAGAGAUUUGAAACUUAGGGAAACCAUCACCGUGUUCUGGAGGUACUGCGAUGAAGAUUAUGUGGAAGUAAAUUUAUUUCCUUUUCCUUGAAAAAUCAAAAUUAGUUAUUACAGGAAAGAAUAAAAGCCUUCAUAAAACAUGUUAAAAAGGGUGAAUGAAGUAUCAAAAAGUCUAUCCAAUUCCAAAAGAACUUUGAAUGUAUUGAUUAUUUCAAUUGAAAAUAAAGAGAAUACGAUACUCCAAGUUCUCCAGGAAGGAUUUCUACAUUUUGAAAGCCCUCUGCUCUCUUCUCCCAAAACAACUCACCCUAGACGUGGGAGUGACUUUUUGGAUACCAAAAUUUAACACAUUCAGAUAAACCAAAUUUUAUGGUACACCAUAGAUUGUGAAUGCAGCCAUACCUACACCACGCCCUUCUCGGAUCUCGGAUCUCCAUUGUCAUGGAUCUUGAGACAGCGUCUCUUGAUGCAAGAUCCUUAGCUGUUGAGGCACACCAUUCCAUGAAUCUUUCACCUUCACUAUUCCUAAGAAUACCAUUUUCACUCCCAGACCCUGAACAUGGAGAAACAAACAUUGGAAACGAAAGAAUCUGUUAAUAAAUAAAGUAAGAGCAGUAAGUUUAUAUAGAUCAGACCAAGAUAGAUAGACACAGACCUUCAGUAAUGAGACAGCCAACACCAUAUAUACCAGCUGGAUGAAACUGGACAAACUCCAGAUCCUGCAAAAAGAAAGUCAUCACAUUAAUGGUUGGAGACAUUAACAUUAGCACCUGUUUAUGAAAAUUCGCUUUAAAAAUAGAUUCUCCAUCCCCAAUACUCCUUAUUUGAAAAUAGAAAUACAAAAUAAAAAUUCAACAAUAAACACACCUCGAGAGGCAGUCCAGCUCGAGAAAGCAUAGCAUUGCCAUCUCCGGUGCAAGUGUGAGCAGAGGUAGCAGAGAACUAUGCCCUACCAUAGCCCUGGCAGAAGCAGCAACAGAAGUAGUUUUUCAGGCGAUAAAAAUCGAAAGAAGGAUUUUAUUGCAAAUGACAGGUUCAAGUCUAAAUAUGCUUCAAGAAUUAAUAGUUACCCCUGUAGCCAGAAUUGUUGAGGCAGCACGGAACCUGUGUAACGUCCCAUCUUCCAUAUUUAAGGCAAUUACACCUCGACAGCUACCUGAUAACGAAAAAAAAAACACACAAAAAGAAAAAAGUGACAGAUUUACACCUGUCCAUGUUUUAUCCAUUUGCAUGUGUACUGCAUGUCCUUUGUUUUUUUUUUUUCCCUCCUGGUUCAAUAAGCCAAGUAUAUUAACGUACAUACACUCAAAAAGAUAUUAAUCCACUCGCCUUUCAACCAGCGGUUCCAUGUUCCGUUCAGAUUUUUGCAUUAUGGUAGUUAAAGGACCGCAUUUAAAUGUAAAUAACAGAAUAACAGUCUGCUGAAUUUGAAGAUGAUGUUUUUGAAUUUUUAGAUUCCAGUUAAACCCUAGUAUAUUUUGGUUUUUCUCCCCACUUUUACUUUGUCUACAGAUACAUUUUUCCUGGCCAUAAACAUUUUAUUGUUGACUACAUAAUUCACAAAAUGAAUUUCUUAGCCCAAUGUUAUCACAAAACUUUGAGAGAUUUCGAAUAAUCCCAGAGGGAGAAAAAGAAAUAUUACAAAGCAAAAAUGAUUAAACAAAUUCCCAAUGUAAGAAGGAAGUUAGGGUAACCCUACCAUCACUACCCAUAAGUAAAUCCAGGGCAAAGUAUUCCACAAAAAAAUUGUGUAUUGUGCUUCAUAGCCUGGCCAUAAAGAGUAUGCAACAAAGCAUGCCCAGUUCGAUCUGCAGCACAUGCACAACAAUAUGCUUGUCCACCUAAAAGAAAUAGAGGCAAUGCAAAUCAAAUAAGUUCAGUUGAAAUCCUGUACUAUUCUUCCAUGUAAAAAUACCUUAACACCUUUUUCCAAAGUUUAGGCUUUGACCACCAAAUGCACGCUGAUAAAUCUUCCCAUCUUUGGUCCUAGAAAAUCGUAGCCCAUGAUUUUCAAGCUCUAUAACUGCUUUUGGAGCUUCCCUACACAUGUACCGAAUGGCAUCCUGAUCACCUGCAGAAAACAUAAUGCCAGUUACUUAAAGAUAGUUUAACUCCUUUUUGACUUACCUUGGAUCCUUUACUUAGAUAUAUGAGGAAUGGUGGUAAAAUCUGGUGAGUAAAUAAAAGAAAGAUACAAGACCCCAAGGAUUUCAAAAACAUUUUUCUCAACCAUAGACCCAAAGCAAACAAAUAUCUGGUGUGUAGGUGGUCAACAGCUCAGAAAUCUCUGAGAUUUGUAGAGAUUCACAUAAAAGACAAUAAAAACAUAGAUACUUGACCAAAAUUUUAAUAUUAUGUUGCAUAUGAAAGUGUAGGUAACAUCCAGUUCUAUAUCGAGAAAGAAUUUUAAACAGUAGUUUCAAUGCAUAAACUGUACCAUGUAAACUAUGAAAUUUCUAAUUAUGUUCAUUACACAUAGAAAAAUAUAUGUAUCAUGGAAUUCAAUUUCAAUUGGAUAGGGAUCUUGAGUCACUUCAAUAUACUUAUAUUACCCAACAGGAUCCAUACACUGAAAUUUUCAUAAUCUAAUUCCAAUUCAGGCGUUACUCAGAUCACAACACCCCAAGCUACCAAGCAUUUAGUGGUUAUAAUUAAUAUUAACAAAAUAAAAUGAAAAAAUAAAAAUUGCUUUCGGUGUUCUGACAACUAGAAGAAAGCCUUUGCCUUGUAUAAGUAGCAAAUACCUAGCCAGUCACUUCCCUUGACUGUAUCAUACAAGUGCCACCUCCAAUCAUCUUCUGUCAUAUUUCCCAAUGCAGCAUUUAUCCCACCCUGCAAAAGGAUUUACAGAGAUGGAGGUUAGAUGCACAUUUUACAGUGGACAAACAUUUUGGACUUGCAUUGGACAUUGGAGCACAGAACUUCGUGUAUUUAUAAAGAAGUCAAACAGAUAUUGACAUAAAGUAUAACCAAAAAUUGACACCCCCCAAAAUAUAUAAUAGAAUAACAACUACAGAGACAAACAACAGUCUGGUAUGUUUCAAGCCACCUAAAAACAGAGACUAAAAAAUAAAAAUAAUAAAAAAUAAUAAAAAAAGAGGAAAAGGAAAAGGGAAGAAGAAAAAAGAAAAGUAGAUUUCUAGCAAUGGGGAAUGGCAAGAGGCAGGUCGUCUUUGCUAAAAUUGAGUUAUUUGAACAUACAGCCAGGGCAAAAUCUGAAAAUUGCAUCUGGUAAAUUGAUCAAAAAUUUGAAAUGAUUUCUUGGUUUCAAUAACAAGAUGACAAUGAGUUUUAUCUGUGGAUGAAAAAAACUUGAAAAGGUGAAAAUAUGCCAGAGAAGGUGUAAUAAGAAUCAUUUUAAAUUAUUUAUGAACUAGAACAAACAGAAUACAUAAAAAUAAUAUUACAACUAAUGCGACCUUUCCUCCUCUAAUUUUCCAUUUUGGCCACUAGCAAAAUUAUAUUACUAGCCUCAAAACAUUUAAAUCAAUGUCAUAAACAUAAUGAAUACCCACUUACUGAUAGCAUCCAAGGAGAUGGGAAAAUAAAAACAAAAAGGGAGUUAUAGUCCAAUUCCAUAUAUCUCAAACAAAACAACAAUACUCAUUUAGUUCUUUUAACACUAGAUAUAUAUGAUAAAAUUGGCCAUGUGAGACACAGAUACAGAAGGAAGGAAGAAGGAAGAGGAAGAAGGAAGAAAUUAUUGUCCAUGCUUAUGGAAGUAGGAAACAAGAGCUAGAAUUACGGUACCUGAGCCACAACUCUAUGAGACUGAGUAGGAAAGAGCUUAGUAAUGCAAGCUGUGUUGAAUCCAUGAUCUGACAACCCUAUCGCCGCUCUCAGACCAGCACCGCCUGUGCCGACCACAACAGCGUCAUAGGUAUGAUCCACCACUGUGUAUGACGACCCUCCCACAUUCUGUUCAAAACAAACCACUAGUUCCAAAAAUGAAUAAAAAGAAAAAUUGAACAUAUACUAUUUCAAAACGAUAAUACAUAAUAUUAAAAAUCCCAUCAAGCUCAACCUAAGCCUGCAACCCAUCAGUUUAAAAAAAAAAAAACCCCCCAAAUCCACAAAAGAAUCAAAUCACAAAAUUAGAACAGAUUCAAAUCAACGACCCAAGACUUGUCUCCAGAUUUGCAACGUACAAAAUAAAAGCAACUUUGAAAAACAAAUAAACUUAUUAUAAGUUAAAAUUGUAAACAAGGAAUCUUACCGAUUGAGAUGAAAAGAGACGGCGGAGGGAGUCGCCGGCUGUAGAUUUCUUCGACGGAAUGUGGAUGCCACGCGACACGCACCGCUACAUCUCUAUUCACUUCUGUAUAAGGUAAGCGAGUUUUAAUCAAUGUUUUAGAAGGCGUAGUUCGUGGUAAUGAGUGGAGGCCAAAGCAUGGGCAAAGCGAAUUUAGGCGAGGGAUAGAGGGAAAAAAGCGUAAAAAUAUAAUUUUAUUUUAAUUUUUAAUAAAUCAAAAAAUAUUUAAUAAUUAAAAAUAAUACUUACUAAAUAUUUAAAACAGAUUUAUAGGAACGUUAUAUAUUUUUUUCAAAGUUUUCAAUAAAAAUGUAAGUUUCAAAUUUAAAUACAAAAUAGUAAAUAAAUAAUAUAAUAAUUUAAAUCAUAAUUUUUAAAUCUUAUUUAACUCUUUAUCGGACUCCAAUUUAAUAUCAUCUUCUUCAUCUAAUUCGUCAUCUAUAUCUUCCGAUACAAGUGGUUGUUUUAAAUUAGAGCAAAACAAAGAAAUUAGUCAUUGAAAAUUUUUUAACACCACAAAAUUAAAAUAAAUAAAUAAAUAAUAAUUAAAAAAGGAAGGUAAUGCAUGCAUAAUUGGGCCUAGGCCCGUCUUAAUGGUCAACAGUUGUUACUGUUGACCGCCAAAUAAGUGGCUUGGCAUUUUGGCUGAGCAUCAUGAUUAGACGCCGCCUUUUAGAAUACUGGUUCUUAUAUAAGAUUGUGAUUGUGAAUGAAACUGCGUGCAUCCGAGACUCUGAGUUUCGUUAUGGAAAAUGACAAUGUUUUUAAAAUUGGACUAAACAUCGACCCGAAAAGAAAAAAAAAAAGAAAAAAGGGUCAAGGUUCAAAAUGUUCGAUCGGAGUCACACCAGAAGUAUUAAAUAAAUAUUUUUAAACAUUUUGAUUUAUUUUGACAACAAUAAGUUUUGAACAAUGACCAAUGUUUUUAUUAUAUAAUAAAUUUUAAAAAAAAAAGUUUUGGAACAAUAAUAGGUACCAAAUUUAAAUAAAAAAAUAAACUCAAGUAUUAUAACAAUAAUAUAUUUAUUUUAGCGUUACUAAUUCAAAGUAAAUUUAAUCUACGUUUAUUAAUUAGAUGCAUUAUAAUAUAAUUUAUUUUAAAACUUCAAAAAUUGAAAUAAUUUGCCGUAGUCUUUAUUCAAAUAAAUCCAUUUGUUUGUUUUGCAAUUGGAAGUCUUCGUCCCACAUUGGUAAUUGAAUGCAAAUGUGGAGAGAGACAUGCCUUUAAAAGGGAGUGCUCGCCACCAACUUAAAAAAGUAUAGUAUGGGCUUGUGGCUGUAAUCCAUGAGCCCAUUAAAGGAGUUAAAUUUUUUUUAUAAACAUGGUGCAUGGGAAGCAGUCAAACUGUAAAUGAUUUUUCUGAUUUAGGGGUAAAUCGCCCAAUUCUAUGGUUUGUUGAUCGGGUUUUCCUCUUUCGAUUAUUGUAGUGUGCCCAAACUGAAUUUUAGGUCGAUUCACGAUUUUCUCGGUUGAACCUACUCAUCCAGUCGAAUUUGAAGAACAUUGGGAAAUGAUGAAGGAAAAUGGACAUUGGAAUUGGAAAGGGACUAAGUCAUAUAUAACCAAAAAUGAGGAUAUAUUUGCCACUGGACUUUCAAGAUAUAGGGUCUGUUCAAUAGUGAUUUUUUGACCGUUAAUAAAGAAAAGUGAGUCUCAUUUAUGAGUGAAGAAAUUAAAAAUGAAGGUUAAAAAAGUGAAAUAAUGGUUAAAAAACUGAUUUUUUGGGGGUGAAAUAGACAUAUACUUAAAUGCCAUUUCUUAAUUAUGAAAUAUUAGUUAAUUUUAAAAUUAAUAUUUAUAAAUUCUAAAAGUAUCUUUACUCAAACUUGUAAUUACUAAUUUAAUCAAUUAAGGUACCAUUAAAGAUUUAGAAAACGUAUAGUCUAGAUUUUCUUUUGUAAAAGGUAACUUUUUAAAAGUGAUUAAAAAGUGUGAAAAAAUUAUGAGUUCACGUACAAAAUUAUUUUAUUAAAAAAUAUAUAUCAUGAAAAAAAUGAUUUUUCUAAAAAAAUAAAAAUUUACAUCAAAUAAAGGCUUAGAAUACUUUUAAGGUGCAAAAAUCGACGAGCCAGUUCGAACCAGCACAGCUCAGUCCUAUCUUGGGAUCGGCCCAUGCCGAUUGAAGGGACCAAUUCUUACCUAGCUUGUAAAAAAAUCCAUAGACUCAAGGACCUACCCAUGAAAGGGACAAUGUUAAAAUAAACUAAGCUAAUAUUAAAUUUUAAAUACAAAAAUAUGAAAUAACUUUAAUUUAAUUACAAAAUAAGAAUAAACUAUCAAAAAUCAAUUCUUAAGGCUGUCAUAGCCUAAGGCUAUUUUAGCACCUUUUCUAAAGCUUUCCAGCCUUAUCUCAAGCCUUUUAACCUUAAGUGAUUUUUUAUUUUAUUUUUUAGUAUCAAGGAGUCAAGGCAUUUAGGCCAAAAUACCAAAUGAAAGUAGUCAGUAAUUCGUCCCAACAUGACUUUCUAGAACCGGUCUAAGUAGUUUGCUCAUUACAAACCAUUGCUCAACGAAUAAAAGUUACUCUAGGGAUAACAGGCUUAUCUUCCUCAAGAGCUCACAUUGACGGGAAUGUUUGGCACCUCGAUGUCAGCUUAUAAAAAUUAUUUUUAUUUUAUUCUUUCAAAUAUAAACAGGCUAGACUAUUAACUAUCUAGCCCAAUUAGUAAAAUCGGUUCGAACCAAUAUUUACAUCCAUGGGCCCUUGAAUCGGCACACUUGAACUACAGGCCAAUUCGCGGGCCAUUUUAAUUGGGCUAGCCACAUGGCCUACCCAGUUUGACACCACUAUUAAAUAGCAUGUUUUGGAGUGACUUACUAGUCAAAGGAAAAAAUUUCUUAACUAAGAGAUUAUGUAUCUUCCAUUUCAAAACUAAUAAUUCAAAUUUCAAAAAUCAGAUAUUCAUUAAAUUUUAUUUAUUAUUUAAUUAAUUAAUUAUAUAUUUUAUUAAUUAAAUAUAUUAAGAUCACAGAUUUAUGUAAUUUGGUCACAAAUUAAAGAUUUAAUUAGUCAUAUAUUAUUUUUCGAUCACAAGUUAAAAAUUUUAUAUGUCAUAUAUUUUAUUAUCACAAUUCAAAAGUUUUAUAGGCUACAAAUUAUUCAUCGGUCACAAGUCAAAAAUUUAUAAGUCACAAUUUAUUUAUCGGUCACAAAUCAUAAAUAUAAUAAGUCACAACUUAUUAUACAAUCACAAAUUAUCCAUCAUAAAUUAACAAUUUUUUAGGUCACGCAUUAUUUUUUGGUCAAAAUUUAUUUAUUUUAUUGGUCACAUAUUAUUUAUUGAUCAUGGAUUAACCAAUUUAAUGAUCACAGUCAACCAAAUAAUUUGUGACCACCACCAACACUUGCGACCACCAUCUCAUCAUUACCUCCAGCGCCACCAUCACUGCAAACGCCAGAACCAACACCACCACCUCCUCAAAAAAAUCAACCCAUUGAAGAAAAUAUCUCCACAUUGCCACCCACGACCACCACACAACACAAAAAUGCAAAAACAACCAUAACAAUGUCAUUGCACAACUAGACUCGAACUUCGUAGCGACCAUAGCACCGCGCCACUAAAUAUACUAACUCACCGAACUACCAAAGCACUACCACCUCGCUGCCACAGCCAACAACACAACCAUCACCAACUAAAUAUUGAACACCAAAAAUUAUGUCCAAACAUCAGAGAAGGAUGAAGCUAGUGGUUAGGAACUUGAUGCUAGAAGAACCUCCCAACGAACCCCCGUCAACCUACCACCAAACCGCAGAAAACGUCACCUCGCACGCGUGUGCACACCUAUACCCAGCCACCGCAUCCACAACACCACAACCAUACCCACAGUAACACAACCCCACCCACACUACCAUAGUCACACGCACGUGCACACUCAUACCCAAACACCGUACCACCAUCGCAUCCACAAGACCACAAUUGCACCCUCAACAACACAGCUGCACACACACCACCAUAGUCGCACACCACCAUCGAGUUUUACACCGCUGCAGUCGCCAUCUGGGUCGUUAUAGGCGCGAUCUGCAGUACCAUCACUGCGCAGCUAUAUCGCUACUACAGAUCACCACCAUGCAACACCAUGACGACAACAAGAGAGACGAAAGGUAGUGAAAGAAUGGGUUUGGAAAAAUGAGGUGGCGUGGAGGGAGGUGUGGUUGGUUUAUAAAUUAAUUUAAUUUUAUAAUAUAUUUAUCUAAUAAUAAUAUAUUAAUUAACAAAACAACUGAUUUUUGAAAUAGUGAUGAUUUAUGAAAAUGGGAAGUACCAAAAUGUAUCAUUUAGUUUUAAAUUAAAAGGUCCAUGAAAAAAUUUAAAUCAACAUUUAGUGUAUAUUUCAGGGAUAAACCAACCUCGACAUGCUCUAAAUUUAAUUCUUUUUGGUAUAUUACUUUAUGUAGAUAAACUAAUGUGAUCAACUUAAAAAUAUACUAUCAAAGGUAAGGAUAUGAGUUAAGUACUUAUCUCAAAAAUAAUAAUAAUAAUAAUAAAUAAAUAAUGGAGUUAAGGAGAUAUUAGAAUCAAUUAUAGACCUUAAUCGUCAUAAUUCACUUUCGCCACCUCAUCUUUUCUCUCAAGAUAGCACCUGUCAAUUCUUACUUGUCUUAACCUCAAGAGUGCAAAUCCUCUAGUAGCAUAUCCUAAGAAUAAACAGAGUAUUAUAGAAAUCUACCCUAUCAUCUUCAUUUAUCUUGUCUCCCAAAUAUAACUGAACAUGCUAUUAUUAUGUUAUUCUAAUACAGUCAAUUAAAGAUAAAGGUUAUGAUGGAGCAAGUAAUAUGGCACGUGAGUUCAAUGGCUUGAAAGCUUUAAUUUAAGAAAGAACCCAUAUGCUAUAUAUGUUCAUUGCUUUACUCACCAACUCCAGUUAGCAGUUGUUUCUAUGGCACGUUGGAACAAUAUGCUCGGCGAUUUAUUUAACAUGCUUGCCAUUAUUGUGAAUUUGGUUGGUGCAUCAUAUAAGCGUAUAGAUGCUCUUCGAGUACGUUACCAUUCACCAAGAGAUCAAGUAUAUUGCAUAUAGAGGGAAAUGUGCUUAAAAGCCUACUAUGUAAAGAUCAUAGCUAUGGGAACCCAACCUUGUUGACUCGAGAUCUUAAGAUUAUGGUUUAACGGAACAACUAAGUUACAAAGAUCCGUUAUAUGUAAUUUGUUUGUUACUAGCACAAAUGCUUGUGAUUAACAAGUUACUAAACUUAAAUCUAUGGACUCUAAUUAAUUUGAUUUGUUAGAAUAAUAAUUCAAUAAAAUAAUACACCUGUCAUAAAUAAAAUAUAUUAAUCAUAUUAAAAGUGUUUAUGCCAAAAAUUGAUUGAAUUUAGAACAUCACACUCACAAGAAGAAUGUGAUGUUAGGUGAUUCCUUCACGAUACCAGCACUUACAAAUUCGAUUUGAAUAUUUAUAUAAAACCGAAUAUACUUUUUAUUUCUAAAUAUAUAACUCGUGUUCGGUUAAGAUAAAAAUUAGAUUUUAAGUAAAUUUUGAUAAAAGUUGAGGAGUGUGAUAGAAAAGUUAUGGAUCCUUUGAAAUGGGUGGUAAAAGUUAAUUUUAAUUUUAACUUAAAUUUUUAAUCUACAUUUUUUUUGAACCAAACAAUGAUAGAUUGAGUAACUCAUUUGAAGUAAGAAAAAAAAAUAUUUUUCUAAAAUUUAUUAAGCCCUAAUUUGAUUUAGAAAGAUUUUAAGUGGAUUCUUAUAAAAAUUAAUAAAACGUGUAGUUGAAAAGUUUUGGAUACCAUGAAACAUGUGAUUAAAAUAAAUUGUUAACUAUAACUUAAGAUUUUUAAUUUGUUUCAAAUGAGGGCUAAGUAAAUAAUUUUGGAGGAGUCAAAGCCUAAUCUUCAUUUAUCAACUCUUAGAUGAAAAAAUAAAAUACAAUCAUUUAUCAUAUCUUUUUCUCAAUAAGGUGACAGCAAUGGAAUUUUAAUUUUUCUUCUAAUAUGUGUCAAAACAAUAAUUUCCUUAUAGAUCUCGUACUCUAACCACUUUCAUACUAGAUCUAAAGAAUGAAGCCUCAUUCGACACAAGAUCUCAAGACUUCCGUCCCUUGCAAUAGUAAUGCUCCCACUACUAGUUUUCUACACUGCCAAAGCUGUAUCAUUUGCUUAAACGAUAUUUCAAUUUUUUGAAGAACCCAACCAGUACACUCGUGUCCUUGGUCAAUCAAUUUAUGGUAGAUCACACUAUUCCUAUAUAUAUAUUUUUUAGAUGGUUUUUGAUCUAUGACCAACUGAUUUUGUAUCAAUUCAAGAUUUGUUGGACUGAAUUGGCUUAUUCGAUCUGAUUUUUAGAACAUUAGUUAUUACACAAUAACUAUGUAAUCAAAAUAAAUAUUAUAAUUGUUCGUACGAAACCCGCAAGCGUAUGGGAUCGUUGACAAGUAAUAUAUUUAGUGAGUUAAGAGUAUCGUCACAUGAUGAAUAAAACUUAAUUGAAUGCACUAGUAUUUAAUUAGAUUCAAAGUAAACGAAAUAAAAGUUUUUGUGAUUCUUAAUUAAUCAAAUGAAAAUUUAAUACAUGUAUGUGAAGAGUGUAUUGGAUUACGAGUUCACCUAUUAUUAUCUAUUUCAAUUUUUGACUACGUAACUAGUUUCAUUCUUGCAUUCUUGACAAUCGAUAAUUCGAUUGUAAUUAAUUUUUCUCCAAAACAAAUUAAAUAUGUCCUAUUCACAACCCGAAUAUAUUCCUAGUCCAAAUUUGAAUUAAUCGAACGCAUUCAAUUUCACAAUUAUCACAAAGAUUGCACACACGAUAAAUCUUAUUCCUAAAAUUUAUUGCACGCAUGUUAAUCGAGCAGUGUUCGGCACCUAUUGCUAGCCUCUCAGCAGUACAACAAGCAAUAAUAUAUUUAAUUGGUGAUCAAACAAUCAGAUAAUAAAAUUAAGUACGAAAGAUUAAUCAAGAAUUUCCAGAAUUUAACUAAAUCACGUGCCUUGAAUUAAAAAUAAAUAAUAAAGGGUUUCAUCUUCAUUCAAUACAUGAGAGGAAUUAGCCUAACACAAUCUUAGAACUAAACACGUAAAAAUGAAAAGACAUCACUAAGAAACUGACGAAAUGUGAUUAACAUCCAAAUUAAAGUUGCUGUCUUUUUCCCAAUAGUUGGCCAUUAAUUGUGUUCCACCAUCCUAAUUCUGCGUGUGUAUGAUAUAUAUAUCAAUCCCAAUCACAAAGCCCGUGUUUGUGUGUAUCUAUUAUUUUCCAAUUCUCAGCUGAGUGCACAUAGGUGUAUAUGUUCCCAACUAGGGCUGGGCAAAACUCCCAAACCGAAUUCGACGAUUCUUCUUAAAUUAAAUACCCUUACGGGUAUCUGAAUCGAGAACCGACGAAUACGGUUCGAUUCUUGGUUCUAGACCAAGUAUCGAAUCUUCUUAAUUUGUUUAUAUUGAAUAAAUCAAAUUAUGUUAAAUUUUUUCUAAACAAAUUAACAAAUUAAUUAAUUAGGUAAUUGAUUGAUACUUCAUCUCCCAUGCACAAGCCUAGCUAGUUUGACCCAACCCAACCAAUUACUAAAUCCAAUUUUUUGGCCCAAUUGAUGAUUAAAUCAAAUAGCUGGUAAGUAUUAGUAAUACUUAAAAAUAUUUUAUCUUUAUGACUUCUAAUUCAAGAAUUUUUUUUAUAUAGACUUGAAGGCUGAAGCAAAUGAAUUAUUGAUAUGAAUCGCCAAUAUUUUAGUAUUAUUAUCUAUUUUUUGGUAUUCGUAUAUGUUGGUAAAUUAAUCUUAUUGGAUAACUUGUUAUUUAUAUGUUUUUGAAUUGGACUUUGUUAAUUUGUAAAAGUUAUGAUUGAAUAUGUUAUUAGCUGUAUUUAUAUAAUAUUGUUGUAAAUGUUUAAAAUGUAAUUAUGGUACGGAACGGAACCGAAGCGGAUUGGUUCCAUAAUUAUAAUUGGACCUGACGAUUCCACUUACUAAAUACCCGAAAUUUUUGAUUUGGUUCGAUUUUAAAGAGAAUCGAACCGAAUUGAACCAUGCUCAACUCUAUUCCCAGCUGCCAUUUAUUGAUGUGUGUGUGUGUAUAUAUAUAUAUCAGCCUACUUCUCUGAUUUCUUUCUGCCGCCAGUUUGUAUGUAUGUCUCCCUAUAAAUUCCAAGUUUUUGCCUUUUUAUUUCCCUACUAGCUGCCGCCUCUCCUUCACUCCAAUUUGAAGUCCUCCCUUUUAUUUCCAGCCUGCCGUAUGUUGUACAUAUACAUAAUCCCUUAACCCCAAUCAGUUUUUGGUCUAAUUAGGAGUCUAAUUCCUCGGGUAAAUUACAAAAAACUAGAGUCUAGCCCAUGUUUCUUUUCUAAUCCAGCAAUUUGGUUGGAUUUAUUCCAAUUAAAAUCCAACUGCUUUUAAUUUUUAUUCCAAAUACAAGUCCAAACUUGAUGCCCAUCUAAUGUAUACUUUUCUUCAAACAAGCCCUUCACUUUCCAAAGUAUGAAAUUUGAUCCCCAAACUUUGCAUCAAAUAGCCAAUUAAUCCUCCAUCCUUUUCCAAAUGCUUCAAAUGAGUCAAUCACUAAAAGCACAAUAAAAAUUAACCUAAGUUAAAUAGAAAUUAAUAAAUUGAUGACAUAAAAGUUUAAUAAAAUUGUCUAAAUAAGUGUACAAAUUGCACUCAUCAAUAAUCAAUUAUAAAACAAAAAAAAAAAAAGAAAUUUUUUUUCCACCUUCCGAUUAAAUGGUAUGGCUGAUGUAUGACACUAUGAUUGGCUAUAAUCAUUCGUGAUGUGUUCGAGGAAUUGGGGACAAAGUCCCCCUCCUUGCUCCAUUCAUCAUUUGGGAUGAAAAAAAUGUGGUAUAGUUGUCAUCCCUCUAUGACACAAUCCGAAUUUCUUGGCACGACACAAUAAAACGAAGGGCCAACCGUGUUAAUUAUCAAUCAUGGGUCUUAUCCUCAAUGUUAGCUAUGCAUAUUUUUAAUUUCAGAUAAGUAUAAAACAAUCAAUAUAAAAGUGCAACAUAAUAUUUGACCCCCAUUUUAGACCAAGCUAAUGGAAUAUUUGAACAUAAGCCUUUAAAAGUGACCAAAUAUGCUAAUUAAUGGAAAAAUUGGAGAUAAAAGCGAUAAAGAACUUAUAGGAACAUAAAUGCGACAAUAAGAAAAAUUAGAAGCAUGUAAUGCAAUUAAAAAGUGGUGCACUGGAAGAAACACAUGUAUGAUAAUAUAACCAUCCUCGUCAUAAAUCUCAAAUAAAAUGAUUAAUUUUUUAAAGUAAUUUACCCCAUUUUAAGGUGAUUGUGUUCUAUGAAAAGCUUAAUACUUAUUACACUUACAAGUAAAUCAUGAUUUAAACCUAUUUUUGCACACUUAAUAAAUAUUCUAACUAAUCAAGCGAGAUACGGAUUAAAUUCUAGUUCAUUAAAUCUAUAAAUGCUACCAUCGCAAUGGUUAACCUAAAUGGCAUAAUGAUGAACUCAUAAUGUCCGUAACGAAUUCUCAAUGCUGCCUUUGGAAUAUCACAAUUCUAAUCUUGAGCUGGUGAUAACUGAUAAUUUGACAUUAAAUCUCUUUUAGAGUAUACAUCUGUACCACUAAGUUGAUCAAAUAAAUCAUCUAUUUCUAAAAAUGGGGCAAUUAUUCUUAAUAGUAAAGUAAUUUAAAUUUCUAUAAUCGAUGCAUAUCAUCAUCGAUUCGUACUUUUUGUUGUCAAAAGGCGUUGGACUUCUAAAGGAGACACUAUGGUCGAAUAAAUCUUUUAGUCCAGCAAUUCCUACAUUUUUAUUUUCAACUCCUGCAGCCCUUAGUAGCCAUUCUGUAUUAUGCUUUGGAUAGCCAUUCUAUAUGGUGUUUCAGAUACCGUUACACUAUGUGGAAUAAUUCAAUCGAGAACUUCAUUUGCCCAUUUGCCAGUGUGCCAUAGAAAUCAGUAAAGCAUGAACUUAUCUUCUAAUAUAAAUAAUUGCACGGUCUCACGAAAAUAAUGGAAAGGAGUUGCAAGAAAAUUCUCCCUGGUACUAAUGAGUCUUAAGAUUGGCUAUCAGUUUAAACUUACAUCUUGAUAUUUUUUGUUAAUCAAGUUAAGUUACACAUUUCAUGACUUUUAAAUGAUUUAUGGGCUGACUUUUAACUGAUUUAUAGUCUUUAAAUACAUUCUCCUUACGUCUCCCUAUUCAUGCAUUUUGUAAGUGAACCCACAAUAUUAUCUCUUAACUUUACAUAAUCAAUCGAUAUUGUUGGAUUUUUGAUACCUAAUAAAUCCCCGGCUAUGAUAUUAACGUAGGUUUAUAUAUUUCAUAGGCAUAGACCAAUGAAUAAAAUAAGUCCAACAACCAAGUCCAUGAGCUCCACCAAUCCAAUUGUAUUCCAUCUUAGAUGGCUUGAAUCUUGGUCAGUUUACCUCUUUCUUGGUCCAAUUAAAAAGCCAACCCUAGCAUGCUUAUAAGAAAUAAAACCUAGCCACUUCCUAGUAUGAUUUGUGCGGUUUUGUGUGUGAGAAAAGGAGAAUCCCAGUUGCCCCUUGAAGUGUGUGAAAAGGCCCCUAGAAGUGUCCAAAACGCUUGUUUACUUCAUGUAAUUGGUGGUUCCUUCAUAGCCUACCUUUGUAGUGUUUUCUCCUUACCUUUGUGGCCACAAAUCAUACUGUUUCUUGUCCUUCGUGGGUAAGAUUGAAUAGCAAUCGAGGUGAAUUAUAUUGGUUGUGGAUUGAAGCCGGUUGGAUUGGUUGUUGGUAGAGAAAGAUAUGUUGGACUUAGCCCCAAAAAUACCGAUUUGAAGAUCCUCGAAGAGAGCUUCUGCAACAUUUGGUGUAUUAGAGCUUCAAGGUGAUGAUUUUGGCUCAUGAAAUACACCAGAAAACGACUUGAAAAUUGGCAGAAAUGAAGCAGAAAUCAGAUCGAAGAAGAUGUCCAGAAAAUUGUGCAAAAUUCGAAUUUGUUUGUGUAAUUUCUGAACAAUCUAAAAGGAGUUUGAUAAAACGGAGACCACUGGUAUGACAUGCAGGUAAAGCUCCCCUGAGGCACAUGUGGCAACGCAUGAGGCCCACGCUUCGCGACAUACACAGAGACUUUGGACGGCACGUGAGGGCACGUCCUGUAUUUUCUGACGACGAGGUCUUCAGGCAGUUUGUUUCUCACAUUUUUUUCUGAGAUUUUGGUAUUGGAAGUUUUCUAUUUCAGGUUGUGUAGUAGAGUCUAGAUGAAGUUGUUCUUUGGAUGGUUGGGAUUCGAUCAUGGUUUGUUGGUUGUUACAGUUUCUCGAGACUUUAGAAUAAAUAGUAAUGGUCCUAAAAUGAUAAAUUCGCGUCUCUCAAAUUUACGGACUCAGAUUGGUCCGCUCUUAUAUAUUUGCUUAUCUUAAUUUAAAUUUCAGUAUUAGCGCAUCAUCGUGUGGGUGAUAUUAGGUUUGUGGUUAUUGUGAAGGGGUAACAUUGCGUGUGCAAGAAAUUUAGGAGUUGCUCGCCAUAUUUGAAGUAUUGAGUUUUGAUUGCAAGUUGGUAGUUGAUUUUGUACUUUAACUAUCAUAUAGUCACUGUGUGAAACUGUGUUGCGUGAAAAUUCAAACUUUUGUUUACAUACCUUAGUAUUGCAUUGAUUAUCCAGUUAGAAUGCUCGAACUUUACCCGUUCAAACAUUCCCUUGAUCUAAGAUCGUGAAUAUUACGAAACCUUGAGAAUCUAGAAUGGUGUAUAUUACGGCCUUAGGAUUACUUUGUGUGACCUAUCUGCGUAUUUGGUUAUUUUAUUUUCUUAAAAAUGUUUUCACACUUUAAAGUUGAAAUAAAAAUGUUUUCACACUUUAAAGUUGAAAUUUUUAAUAGGAAAUGAGAUUUUUCAAUUAAGUCAACAAAAAGUUUCAAAAGCCAUAGAUGGCAAAUUUUCUGCAAACUUAACAGAAGCACAAAAAUAAGAGUAUGAUGAACUUGCAUACACUUUAAUUAUUUUACUAUUUUGAGAAAAGCUGGAAAACUCAAUUUUACCAAAGAACUUUGGAAAAAGUUGGAAGACUUGUAUUUGCUUAAGUCUACUCAUAAUAAAUUGUACUUGCUUAAAUGAUUUUUUAGCUUUAAAAUAGAUCCUUCAAAGGAUCUUGAUGACAAUCUAGAUAUCUUUAACAAAUUAGUUCAAGACAUUGUUAAUUGUGAUGAAAAGGUCUCUGAAACAAAUAAGGAUAUUAUCAUGCCUAAUUCCAUGCCCGAUUCAUAUAGAGAGGUUAAGAAUGUAAUUAAGUAUGGUGGAGAAUCUUAACACCCGAAAUUAUCAUAGACUCACUUAGGAGUAAGGAGAUGGAGAUUAAGGCAGAAAAAGAGGAUAAGAGGUGUGGGGAGUUACAUAUGAUGAGGAGUAGGAUGAAGUUUAAGCAAAUGAGUCUGGGUAGAACUCAAGACAGUAGGGAUUCGAGUAGUGACUCGAGUGAUGAGGGUAGUAAGAAGAAGGGCAAGAGAUGUGACAAGUCUAGUGGUAGACGGUGUUAUAUUUGUGAUAAGUCUGGACACUUUAUUAGGGACUGUCCUAAGAAAAAGGGUAAGAUGAGAGGUGAGGCGAAUUUGGCUUUAGGGUCGAGUGAUGACCCUAGUGAGGUUUAUUGAGAUUAAACCUAGUUACUGAAUGUGCAUUUGUCUGUGAUCCUUUCUACAUGCGUGUGAUUGCCUAAUUCUUGUUGCAUGAUUAUAUGCUACAUUUCAAAGUGUUUGAUAUGUGCAUUUGCAUGAAUUUGAGGUAAUAUGAUUACUUGGUGUAAUUGUUUGCAUGCAUAGUGGAUUAAGAUGCAUCUGCGGUGUGGUGUAUAUCUUUCGGUGAGGUGGAGUAUAGAUGCCUAGAGGUACAUUGUAGUCUAUAGAUGUCGAGUGUGACAUUUGGAUCACGAGUGAAGAUAUGAUUAGAUGCUUGGAAUCCUUUAUCUGUAAAGAAACACUGAUCAGUUGGAAUGUGAGAGAGGCAUUUAUGUUACUUCUGUUAGGUGGAGACCCAUUAUCUAUGUAGGUUGGGAAAAGUGAUGUGGUAAUAGAGGAUUAUCCCAUGGACUAAGGAUCUAUUGUGACCUACCAGCUAGACAUGAAUUUCGUGAUCAGUCUAGUGAGCAUGGUGGGCGAUGAGAGGAGAUAUGUAUUCUCAAGGAGUGAGCAACAUGGAAUGAGAUAGGAUAAGUGUGUUGAAAUCUUUUCGUGGAGUCAUUUAUGCAUUUGUUGCAUAUCUAGUUGACCGUGUGUUUGAUUAACUUGGUGUUAAUCUGUGGUUCAAUGUGAACGUGUUUUUGAAAAGAUCUAUGUGUAACAUCUUAUAAUAUAUCAUCAUCACAUGUGUAUUUGCUCUUGAUUGUUUACUGUUGAAUAUUUGCUUCUAUUUGGCUAUUCUUGACCUUAACCCAGGUAAGUACAUGGAACAGGUAUGAUAUGUGUUUCAAGUUGGAAACAUGAGGUAAGGUUUGCGAUCCAAUUUUAUUGACUACCUUGAUUAUGCAAAUGAUAACUGUGUGUUUUGAUUUCUUGUAGAUUUAUUGGGCAUCAAGGUGGAGAUUUGUUAGGUUUUUGAUACCCAAUAAAUCCCUGGCUAUAAUAUUAACGUGGUUUAAUAUAUUUUAUAGGCAUAAACCGAUGAAUGAAAUAAGUCCAACAACCAAAUCUAUGAGCACCACCCGUCCAAUUGUAUUCCCUUUUGGAUGACUUGAAUCUUGGCUCGUUUACCUUUUUUUUGGUCCAAUUAAAAAGCCUAAUCCUAUCAUACUUAUAAGGAAUAAAACCUAGCCACUUCCUAGUAUGAUUUGUGUGGUUUUGUGUGUGACAAAAGGAGAAUCCCGACUAUGCCUUGAAGUGUGUGAAAAAUGGCCCUUAGAAGUGUCCAAAACGCUUAUUUACUUUGUGUAAUUGGUGGUUCCUUCAUAGCCUACCUUUGUGGCAUUUUCUCCUUGCCUUUGUGGCCAUAAAUCAUCACUGUUUCUUGUCUUUUGUGGGUAAGAUUGAAUAAUAAUCAAGGUGAAUUACACUGGUUGUGGAUCAGAGUCGGUUGGAUUGGUUGUUGGUAGAGAAAGGUAUGUUGAAUUGAGCCCGAAAAACAUCGAUUUGAAGAUUCUUGAAGAGUGCUUCCGCAACCGAGAUAAUUCUAUAUGAAGAGAUUAAGCCCAUGUUUGGGCUCAUAUUUUUAUGAGGUUUUGGGAAAAAUAUAUUUUGGAAUAGAAAUUUUUUUUACAAAGAACCACACUCAAGUUCCGUCGCUUUUGGUCUGCUGAAUGUGUGGUUAAAAAUUAAAAAAUUAGAUUUAUGUGUAAUAUUAUUUUAUCGAAAAGUGUUGAAUAAAAAGAAUAUAUUAAGGCCCUAUUUCAGUCGCAAUUUUCAAUGAAAUACAUUUUUAAAUAGUGAUUUGACAUCAUUUUAACCACGUAUUCUUUAUUAAAAUAAUAUUACACGCAAAUUUAAAACUUUUUCUCAUUUUUUAGCUACAUAUUCUCCAUUAAUCUACUAUUCCAGAAUACAUUUUUUUCAAGAUAAUGUGGCUCAAACACACACUAAAACUAAAAUAAAGCCAAAUAGAAGCUAAGUAUGAACAAUAUUAUAUCUACAGUGUGUAUUUGUGUUUCGAAAAGGAGUCAUAAUAAAUAAAGGAAAGCUGAACGAACAAAAAAAUAAGCACAAUGAGUGAGAACGUGGCCUUUCACGAUUUGCAAAACCAUAGCCUAGAUUGCUUAAACAUGGGUACCCAGCAAACCAUAAUUCAGCCACGGCUGCGAUUAAACCAAUAUCCCACAACUAUUAAUUUAUCUUUAUUUAGUUCCAAAAUACAGUUUUUCGUACGGGUUUGGUCCUUUUUUUUCUUUUUGUUCCAAACUUCAAUUUUGAUACAAAACCUUAAAAAUCUUCUAGUGGUCUCCAAAACUACAUAAUAGUAUGAAAUAGCUACUUAAAAAUUUCAAAAGUGUGCAAUUUAGUCCCAAAACUAUUCAAAAGUUCAAUUUCACUCCCAAAACCAUUUGAUUGCUCUAUUAAUACUUCUCACUCCCAUCCAAACCAACUAUUUAAUUUCUAUGAACCAACUAUAAAUUAGCUUAAAAUCAUCCAUCUUCACACCAAUUGUAUCAAAGUUCGAAUUCUACCAACAAUUAACAAAAUUACAUUAAAUUAAGUAGAAAUUUACACAAAUAUAUCCAAGUUUAAUAACAUAAAAUAAAUACAUAAAAACAUAUAGCAUAAAAUAAAUAUAUAAAAACAUACUUAUCAGUCAAUUGUUGAUAAACAUCGAAGACCCUAUUUAUAUAUUUUUUCCUACAUAAAGCCCUGUAGAAAUUAUGACUAAUCUUAAAUUAGAUCUUCUUUAACGGCUUCACCAAAAGUUUUCAAACCAAGUGAACACUAUGAAGCUGCCGGAACCUAUACUUUUGGGUCACAGCAUGACUAGGGAAAUUUCUGUUCAUCCAGAAAUCCCUACUGACUCAAUAUAUCCAUAUCUCUUUUUCUAUGUAUAUAUAUAUAUGAUAAGAAAGAAAGAAAAAAUAUGUUCAACGGAGUUUGAUCAAUUAGGAUACUACUCACAACGACAGCUUUUUUUUGGGGUGCAGAAACUCCAAUAACACAUGUUGAUUCCAAAUCGAAUUUUAAAGAACUAUAUUAUAUGACAAUAUUAAAGUAUACUAGAUCAACACCGAAAAACAAGGUUUAGAAGUAAAGAAAAAUACAAAGGAUUAAAGGCAAAGGACGAUGUUUAUUAAUUCAACACUAUAGAGAAUACAAAGUAAUUUAGCGAUUGGCUUCUAUCUGUUACACUACCUAAACUAACAAAGGAGGCUAAUAUUUAUACUACACGACCAAGCCCUAAGUAGAGUCCCAAAAGGUAAGAAAUUAGGUUACAAUUAGGAAUUUGAUCUCCGUUCCAACUCUAGUCAAAUUAUGCUUCUUUAAUUCUUAAUUUGAGUCACAUUCCUAACAAUCUCCAUCUUGACUCAAAUUUCGAUGCAACGAACGAAACUCCUAGAUUUUAAAUCCAUUUGUAACGAAAUGAACUGACCGAAUCUCCUCAACACGGUAACUACUCUAUAUAAACUAAACACUCCUCCUCUGUCCCGUAUCCACAAUCGAUGCCCAAACCCAAUAUCCGGGUUCCCAAUUCUACCAAGGAAUUAAUAUUGAUCACACAGUCCGAAGCACACCUUGUAGCAAGAACCAAACUAGAUGCUUGAUCAGAAGGCCAUUUGCUGGAAUUAUCGCCUUCAACAUUCCCAGAAGCAUCCCAGACAUUACUGACACCACAGUACUUACGCUCGAUGAGUCCUAUCCUACAUAGUGUACCUGCUGAAAUUAGUGGCAAAGUGGGAUCACCAACGCUCUCCCUAGCAGUGUUCUGAACCGACUUAGAGCCCAAUCCAAGAGGUACUGUGCUAAACUGAAAUUUCACCACGGUAUUAAACUUGUCCAAAUGUUUCCUAAUCGAUUUUGUACUCCCUGUAAAAUCUACAACUGGGAUCUCCUCCAUCUCUCCAAUGCAACUCAAACUUCCUUUCGGACCUUCAAGACUUCACCUCAUCCAGAGAAUUUAUACCCUUUUGAAUCCAGCGUACUUAGCGAAAUGAGAUUCCUUUUCAGGUCAGGAACAUGUCGAACCUGAUCAAUUGUUCUAAAUGUUCCAUCCCGUAGUCUCAAUCUGACUCGACAGAUCCCAGCAAUACGGUAAGAUUGGUUGUUUCCCAUUACAACUCCACCUUGCUAAACAACCUCAUAUAUCCGAAAUAAAUUUCUAUCGAAACACAUAUGUUGUGAACAUGCUGAAUCAAGAAUCCACUCCUCGUCAGGCCUAGACUCCACAUCAGAUACCACAGUCAGCAUCACUUUUUCCCCAUCUGAAUAAUUCUCAGCUACAUUGGUUUCGUCAGAAUUCAAAGGUUGCACCCACGAUUUGCAACUAAAUCACCUUUAGCCUGCAACAUAUCGCAAUCCUUCCGAAUAUGUCCCUUUCUUUUGUAGUAGUAACAAAUCACAUUGCUAAAUUUGACUCUCAAUCUGCCUCUUCGUCAACCACCUUGAGAUACAAGAGCUUUUCCAUCCCUUGAUAUAGUUCCAACCAAAUGCUUCAUCUUUUCCUUUGUGUGCAAAGCAUCAUUGACAUCUUCUAUAGUGAAAGUAUCUCGACUAUAAAAGAUAGUAUCAUAAACCGACACAUAAGACCCACCAAUGAACAUAAGAGGAUCAAGGCAAGAUCCUCUUCAACAUACUCAACCUCUAACAUCUCCAGGUCUGCAACUAUUUCUUUGAACAUGGCAACAUGGUCUUCCAACGACUCUCUUUUUGCCAUGAGAUGUGAAUACAGUUUUUGCUUAAGAGCCAAUUUACUUGUAAGACUCUUAGUCAUAUACAACUGCUCCAACCUCAACCACAAAGCAGCCACCGUUCUCUCCUUCAAAACAUCUUGGAGAAUGUUGUUGGAUAGAUAAAGAUGAAUCAAUGACGUAGCCUUCCGAUCAUUCCAUUGUUUCUCCUCCAUUGUCCAUCCAGCUGGAAUCCUGUCAAAACUCAGCAACGCAUCUUCCAAAUCCAACUGCGCCAUAAUAGCCCUCAUCUUUACUUGCCACAACAAGAACUUUGUAUUGCGAUCUAAUUGUGGAAUAUCAUACUUCAACUCGGCCAUCUAGGAAAAAACAUCUCAACCAAUCCACCGAAAAUCAACAACCUAGCUUUGAUACAACUUGUUGGGGCGCAGAAGCUCCAAUAACACACUUUGAUCCCAAAUCGAAUUUUAAAGAACUAGAUUAUACGACAAUAUUGAAGUAUACUAGAUCACACAUUGAAAAAUAGGAUUUAGAAGUAAAGAAAAAUACAAUGGAUUAAUGGCAAAGGACGAUGUUUAUUAAUUCAACAAUAUAUAGAAUACAAAGCAAUUUAGCAAUUGACUUCUAUUUGUUACACAACCUAAACUAACUAAGGAGCCUAAUAUUUAUACUAAAUGGCCAAACCUUAUGUAGAGUCACAAAAGGUUAGAAAUUAGGUUACAAUUAAGUAUUUGAUCUCAUUUCCCACUCUAGUCAAAUUAUGUUUCUUUAAUCUCCAAAUUUGAGUCACAUUCCUAACAGUUUUCUCCUCAAAAUUGCCAAAUAACAUGAGCAGGAGAGUUUGUGGAGUCAGAUUUGCACAAGUCAUGUUAGGGCCUAAUCAACCUCAGAGCACUGAGAAAAUGGACCAGUCUCAGGAAUCAAAAAAUCAAAGAGGGUUGGUUUUCAACUCUUGUUUUCUUUUUGUUUUCGUGUCAUAAAAUGAUGGGCUUUUGUUAAUCUUGGAGGUAUAGUUAGAUAGAUAGAUAUUUCACUUUUGAGGACGAAAAACUUUGCUAGGGUUGUCGAGGAAUUUUUUAAGAUAAAAAGUUUCAAUCCUUGCAAGUGAAAUUUCUUGUUGUGUAUAUAAAUAUGUACCAGUGUUUGAGUUCAACAAGGUUUCGAAAUUAGGGAAACGAUUGCCUCAUUUGGUGAAGGAUAUGCAAUGAGGUCUAAUGAAGAAGGAUUUGGAGGAAUCUAUGGAGGGAACCGGAUUAUUUCCAAGGAGGAUGAGGAAAAAAUUGUUCAUGGAAAUGUCCCGGGUACGUUCUCUUUCUUUCUUCAAUCACCGUCCUCCAGUCUCUAAACACUCCUUAUCAGAUUCAUAGUGCCGGAUUAAAAUCUAAAUUAUAAACAAUUCAUUUUAACUAAGUAUUUUAUGUCCAAUCAUACAUUGCAACCAUAAUUUUUCAACCACACAUUUCAUCACAUUUUAUCAGUGUGUGCUAAAAAUCUUAUUUUAAUUCCCGGGCUCUACUCGUAAAUUGGUAUGACAAUUCAAAAAAUUUUGCCUAAAUUUUUUUAAUUUGACAUUGAGAAAACUUUAGGAAAAAAAAAUUUAAUCAUUAUAUUUGGAAACUUGAAUUAAGAACUGAAUAUUAUUAUGAACUUUUUGUAGGUUUGGCUUUAGGAAACAAUUUACAUAAUUUCAGACUUAGUUCUUAUAUUGCAAUAAAAUUACUAAACUAUGUCAAACAUUUUUUUAUAAUUAAAAAUUAAAAAUUCAAAAAUAAAUACAAUUUUUGAGAUCCUUUACGCCAGCGUAUUCAAGGUUUUCUUUCCCAUUCUUUAGCCUAGGUUUAGAAAAAAUGUUUUGUGACAAAUUUGUCUUUGAUUAUCUUAAAAAUAAAGAUAUUUCUUGAAUUGAUGGCUGAAGUCUAGAUCUGGAUCAUUUGUUUAGGAUGAAGAAUACGACAAAUCUCAAGGGAGUGAAGUGAAGGAGAAGGAAAGAGUGAUUAGCCAGAACAAAGUUGAAUCGUAAAGCUAAGGGAUCAUUUCAGUUUAAUUCAAGGCCAAAAUUACAUUAAUUUCCUUUUAUUCUUUUUUUCCCUUUAAUGAUGGGCAUUUCAUAGUGAUAAAAAGAUUGUAAUGAAUAAGAGGAUUUUGGACGUCUAAUUUCCACUUGCACUUGGUCUUGAUGGGACACAUUCAUUUGUGUCAUUUUAUUUAUUUAUUUAUUAUUUUAAAUUCUUUGAGAAUGCUUGACAUUUGCUUUACAAGUGGUUAAUAUAACAUUUGUAUAUGUUAAAAUAUUUAACCUAGUUAACUGCAUUUUUGGCAUAUUAUAGUUUACUGAAACAAACGAUCAAAAGUUUUUUUUAAGAGUUUUGUAAGAACUAUAUGUAUAAUUUUACAUCAGAUUUUGAGAAGUAACAAAUUGCUGUUAGUUUCUUAACGAUCUAUAAUUAAAAUACUGAAUUUUACCUUAUAUUGAUUAUUUCUUUUCUACUGUUUAGUCUAUGUUUUAGUUUCAUAAUUGUACUACUAACGAUGACGAUAAUCACAAGUAUAAUAGAUAUCAAUUUUAAUAAUUUUAUACACACACGUUAAUAAUUCAUUCAUUCAUUUAUUUUGUUUAUAAAAGAUUAAAUGUUAAAUUUGAAAUAUAUAGUUUUUAUUGGAAAAUGUUUUCUAAGUAUUAAUUUAUUUUUGUAGCUAGUUAUAUGUGAUCCGCGAAUUUAUAGGCACAAAGCGAUGCGAGAGGAAAGAGAGCAUGCCAGCAUGGAUCUUUUCUUAUUUAAUUAGAAUGACGAGGCUUUUUCACGCAUUUCUAGGGUAAAGGCUCUUAGUAAUAAGAGAAUGAAUAAAAAUGUUGUCGGAUGUCAAAUUUCCACUUGCCACUUGGUACAGAAGGGACACAUUCAUUUGUGUGUGUGUAGUUCUUUGAAUGCAUAACAUUAAUAUAAAUGAACUUACGUCUAUAAGUUCUUAACAAGUUGUUAAUAUUACAUUUGUAUAUGUUAAAAUAUUUAACAUAGCUAAUUGCAUUUUUGCUUGUUACAAUAUUCAUUGUUUCUGAACAAUAAAUAGUGAUUCGUUGUUACACUAUUUAUUAAUUUGUUGUUUUUGAAGAGCAAUAAUAAAAUAUAACGUGCUCUCAAAAUAACACAUAUCCUAAAUAAUGUAUAUUUUAUUGUGUUCUUGAAGAAACUCAAAUUAAACAAUUCAGUAUUGGAUUGUAAUUUUAAAGAAAGUUAAUUUUCUAUAUUAUUAAUAUUCAAGAAGAAUAUUAAUUUAUCGCUCUUGAAGAGCAUGAAUUAUAAUUUCAAUAUUUUUGAAAAAUAUCGACAUAUUGCUCUUAAAGAAAGAUAAUAUGCUUUUGAAGUAGCACAUUUUCGAAAUAUAUAUCUUUUUGAAUUCAUGUUUAUCUCUGAAGGAAAACAUAUAACUAAUAGCAUAAAGACAUUGAUUAGUUUAACUAAUUGAAUGAUAUAUGAUUAUAUGAGCUUUAAUCGUAUUCUUCUAAAUUAAAUUGAAUUAUAUCUUAUAUUUAAUGAAGAACCAAAUGAUUCUUCAAUUUAAUCAUAUAUGACGUUUUUGAUGAAUUUUUUCUUUAACCAUCACUAGCUAAAAUAGGGAUUGAAUCCACUAUAUUUCUUCAAAUUAAUUAGGGUGAUAAAUGGGGGCCCAUCAUCCUUCACGUUAAUCAUCUAAAUAUUAUUUGUAUCUAAUCUAUUAGAUAUCUAAACCUAAGACAUUAUUGCUAAGUUAAACUUUUUGUUCCAUUUCUUUGGUGCUUGUUUUAAUCCACAAAUUAGGAUUUUAUUGGCUUGCAUACUUUAUCUUCAUAUUCGAUAGAAAAAAUCAUUUUGGUUGUUCCAUAUAGACUUCCUCAUUGAGAUUCCCAUUUAAGAACGUCAUUCUAAUAUGCAUUUGAUGUUUAUGCAAAUCAUAGAUUGAAGCUAAAGCGGAUAUAAUCCUGAUUGAUAUUAUUCGUACGACUGGUGCAUAUGUGUCAAAGUAAUCUUUUCCUUCUUUUUGUCAAUUUUAUUUAGCCACUAACCUAGAUUUAAAAGUAUUAAGAGUAUCGUCUGCAUUGUACUUCCUCCAAAAUACCCAUUUGCUGGUAUAGGUUUUGAUCCAAGUGGUAAAUCAACUAAUUUUCAAGUGUUGCUUGACAUUGUUGACUCAAUUUCAUCAUUUACACCAUCCUUUCAAAAGAUGCUAUCUCUAGAUGACAUUGCUUCUUGAUAAGUUUUCGGAUCAGUUUUCACUUGAAGAACAUAAGGAAUAGUUCCUGUGACAUUUUUCUCAUUUCCCUCAACUAAAUAAAAAGAAAUAAGUUGAAAACCUAAUUCAUCUGGUCCUAGCACUUUUCCCUUUUGAGGUCUUUUGCUUCUGCGAAGUUCACUUAUUUCUACAUCCUCUGAAGGCAUUUUUACUUGUGAUUUUGUAGAGCUAGGAAUCUCCAUUUGAGAUUAUCUUAGAGAAUUAUUAUCUGAAGAUAACAUAUUCUCAAAUAACGCCGCUUCACUAGAUUCAAUACUAACAUUGGUUUCCAAGUUUAAUAAAUGAUAUGCCAUAUUAUUUUGGGCAUAUCCUACAAAAGCAUAUUUGAACCCUCUAGGACUCAACCUAAUUCUUUUAGGAUUCAUGUUUUUACUAUAAGCAAGACAGCCACACACUUUGAAAUAACAAAUAUUCGUUUUUCUCCCUUUCCACAAUUCAUAUGGAGAAACCUCAAAUCUUUUAGAAGGAAUCUUGUUAAUCAUGUGACCUGCACUUAAUAAAGUUUCACUCCAUAAGUUAGAUGGCAACUUAGCAUUUAUAAAUAGCACUUAUAAUUUUAACUAGUAACCUAUUCUUUCUCUUAGCCAAAUCAUUUUGCUCGGUGUUUUAGGUGCACUACAUUCAUAUUAUGCCAUAUUGUUCACAAAAAAUAUUAAUUUGCUGGAGAAAUAUUCAUCUCCCCUAUCGCUUCUGUGAAUUUUAAUCCUUCUAUCUAAUUGAUUUUCAGCUUUGACUUUGUAUAUUUUAAAUAUGUUAAAAGGCUUUACCUUUAUGUUUUAUCAAGUAGAUAUAGCAAAAUCUAGAAUGAUUAUCUAUGAAUGUUAUCUAUAACCUCAUCUAAUUAUCAUUCCAUUUAAUUUACAUAUAUAGAAAUGAAUAAAGUCAAGGAAAUUAGAUUUCCUUUCAACACUAUGAAAAUGUUUCUUAAUCAUUUUAGACUUAGUACACGAUCACAUUUGUUAUAUUCUAUGUUUUCGCAUGAAAUCAUUCUGAUUUAAAUAUUUCUUUUUUAAAGUAGAAAUGCUAGCAUAUCAUAGUCUAUCAUACCAUAAAGAAAUUAACUCAACAACAUAAUUUAAAUUUAUUGUUUUAUUGAUAUUAUCGUUAAUAGUACAAAAUUUGACCAUUCCAUCAUUAGGAUAGCCUUUUCCAACAAAUACACAAUUUCAGGAAAGUAUAAGUUUGCUCGACUCAUAUAUCGACUUUAUUCUUGAUUUUCCCAACAAGUCAUCAUUUGCAAGAUUUCUAUUCAUAUCCGAUACAUGUAAUACUUUUAUUAAUGUGAUCUUCUUGUCGGAUGUAAAUUGUAAGUAUACGCUUUCUUUGCUAAUAACCUUUGAUCGAACUUCAUUCCUCAUUUGAAUGUCAUCUACUUCUUGAUAAAUAUUGAAAUGAGAUCUCUCAUAGCACACAUGUAUGGUGGCACAAGUGUCAUACCACCAUCCUUGAACCUUUUCUUUGACCUAAUUUAUAGUGCUCAUGGUAGCAAUGAUGUGUCAAUGGAGUUCACUUUACCUUCUUGCAUUAUUUGUUUACAAUGUCUACAAUUCCAAGCAUAAUAUCCAAAUUUUCCACACACAUUGCACAUAACAAGAAAUUUUAUAUUUCUUCUUAUUCUUGUUAUCUUUGUUGGGGUUUGUGGAUUUCAUCUUCUUGGAAUCUUAAUUUUAUUUGUUUGGUUGAUCCAUGGCAUGAUAUUUGGAAAUGCCCUCAUGAGAAUGCUCUUUUCCAUCUCAUGCCCUUGACUCUUCCUCAAUUUACAGAUGUUUUUUAAUUUCUUUCAGAAAAUAAUCAUUAGAAUUGUAAGGAUUUUCUUCAUUUAACAUUUCCAUAAAGAUGACAAUAUUAAUUUGACUGCACCAACUUGGUAAGUUUAAGGAAGAUCUGUCUUCAUGGCUUUAUUUUAUUGACAAUAAUUUGCAACCCAUGGACUUGUCCUAACAAAGGCAAGUUAUCCAAAUACUUGAAAUCAAAAUACAUAGAAAUAAAAAACUUUUGGUACCUUCCUCCUCGGCCUUGCAUUGGGUUUCCAACAAUUCACAUAUCUCAUUUGUCGAGGUGUCUCUACUUAUUCCUUUUCAUCCUUAUUUCAUCGAUGUCAUGUUGGGUUGGUUUUGGUAAUGGCACUAAGUCUUGAUCCAAGAUAUAGAAGACCUUUAAGGUUGUAAGAAGAAACUUCCACUAUUAAAAAUAGCUUUGAAUCCACGGCAAAUUACCAACGGAUUGCAUCCAUUGGUAAUUAGAAACGGAUUUUCCGUUGGUAAAAGUUAUUCACUUUCAGCUACGAUAAUCAGCAACGGAUUUUCUGUUGAUAACGAUGAUAUUUCUUUACCAACGGAUAUUUCGUGCCUCAUGUAAUCAUUUAAUAUUUGGAUCUUUCACCUACGGAAUGUCUGUAGGUGACGUAAACGGAUAUUCACUUUUAACUACGAUAAUCAUCAACGGAUUUUUCAUUGGUAACGAUGAUAUCUCUUUACCAACGGAUAUUUCGUGCUUCAUAUAAUCGUUUAACAUUUGGAUCUUUCACUACGGAUAUUUCAUUGGUAAUUAAAAAUGGAUUAUCCGUUAGUAAAAGUAAUUCACUUAUCCCAUAUCGAAAGUUCACAACAAAAUCUUCGGAGUUGCCACCUAUAAAUUAAUUUGUGGUCCAAUAAGUGAUAAAAAAAAAUCUUGGUUUGAUCUUGGAUUUUAGAUGUAAUGGAAUGAAUUUGAUGUUUGUGAUAUGUUUUUAAUUAUGAAAACCACUAAUAUAUAUGAAAUUAUAAUCACCAUGCUCGAAAAAGUGCAAAAACCAACCUAAAAGGAUGUAAAACUCUUCAAAAAGACACUGGAAUGCAAAAUGCCAAGGGCAAAUUUUUGUUUGGACCCUCGCCUAGUUCAACAAAAUGAUCACUAUAACUACGACACAAGAUGAAAGAUCAUUUUGGUGAAAUAUAAAGCCAAUUUGAGAUAGAGUGCAGGUGUUGCUGUUUACAUAGAAAAGAAGCAAAUUAAGGUUUAAUUAGGGGUUAAAAGUAAUUUAUCUUAUAUAAAUGGUUUCUUUAAUAAAUGUAGUUAUUAAAAUCAGUCUAGCUCAACCGGGUAGAUCAAAAACUUUAGAUUAAUACUAUUAAAAUUGAUUAGAACUAUAAAUUCCCGUAAUUAUUACGUCCAAAUUGAUUUUAUCAAUUUCUGAAAUUUUGCUACUGUUGGAGCUUUUUUGAGUUUUUGUAACUUUUUUAAAUAAUCACUUUUUAAAAAAAAAAAAAAUUCUUGUCACUUUUAAUUUAAUAAAUAGUAUUUCUUUUCAUUUUUUCCUUUUAUAGGAUUAAGAGUUAAUUAUAAUGAAGGAAUAUUGAUUUAAAUGGACAUGAUAUGUUACCUUUAUAUACUUUUUAGUAGGGAUAUACCUUUACGGUUUGAACUUCAUAAAAAUUGUUGUCAAAUUUAGCUUAUAUGUAAUACAAAGAUAUGUCAUGGAAUUGCAUAUCAAUGACAACAAUGCCAACUUAAUUUAUUUGUGAAAGUGUCAAAAUUCAACUUCUUAAAAAAAGUGACAUUUCAUAAAUUUUUUUUGUCAAAUUUAGCUUAUAUGUAAUAUAAAAAUACGUCAUGAAAUUGCAUAUUAAUGACAAUAAUGUCAACUUAAUUUCUUUGUAAUGGUGUCAAAAUUUUUAACUUCUUGAAAAAAGUGACAUAAUCAUAUGUAACUUUUGUUAAGAAAAAAUGACAUUUUCAUUUUACCCAAGGUUGUUGUAUGUGCCAUCUAUUGGAAAGACAAUUUCAGUCAUUUUGUUACUUAUAGAUUCAUUAUCUUGUCUCCAUAAUAAAUUUAUUCAUAUCAGCAAAAUGAAUACAAAUGAAAUAGUGUGAUUUUUUUUAUUUUAUUUAUUUUACAAAAAAAAAAUGAUAGUGUAUGUCACAUUUAAUUUUCAACAAAGUUCGGGGUACUUUUUAAGUUUUGCCAGGUCAACACUCCUAUUUUUCCAUAUAAGCCUAAGUUAUUUGUCAAUUGGCACAAUGACAUCUUGAUAAUUAAAAGGAAAAAUAUCCAUAAGUAUGUUAUAUAAUUACAAAAAUAUGGGUUUGUUUAAAAGAUAAUAAUACCUUUUAAGUUACGAUGAAAGAAUCAAACACGCCACACUUAAAAUUUCAAAAUCAAGUCACUUUUUUCUCUGUUUACUUCAGCAUAGAUAAAAACUCUUUCAUUUUUUAUCUACUUCAAUCUUAUAAUCUCACAAAUUUAUUAAACGCUCAAUUAAAAAAUAUUGUUUAUAUAAGUCACUUCAAAUCAGUAAAUAAUUUACAUUUAUUUAAUUUCAUUUUUGUUAAAUUAGAAUAUAAUUUUAAUUUUUAAAUCUUAUUUCAAUAUAGACAGAUAAUUUUUGCAUUUCUUAAAUAGAUCUACAUUUUUUAAGCAAAAAUGAGAAAAAUUUCAUCUGCGUGUAUAUUCUUUUGAACAGAUUCAUGACCAUCUGGGAUAAGGUGGACCUAGCCAUCUCGACACAAAUAAGAGUUGACCUAGCCAUCUGGGCAGGCUCUUAACAGCCGGUUCUAAAUAGUCGGCCCAAAUAUUUUUUUUUUUGUUAUUAUUAUCUAUUUUUUUUAAAUUCUGUCUCAUAAUGCAAAUGAAGGGAAUGAAAAUGAAUGAUGUACAUAAAAAUUGACAAGUGAAAGAUGUGGUGCUAUUGAAAUUGUGAUAACAUCGAGUACAGUAUAUGGAGAAAUGUCCCAUGAUUUGCAGAACAAGCUCAACCUUGAUCAUUUUCAGUACGAUAUGGAAUUAGAAUUUCUAUUCAACGAGCAUAUAUCCAUUUCAAUUCUACACAUAAAGGUUACUUCUGAAGUUGAAAUGAAAGUUCUAAUUGAAUUGAACAAAAAUCGCACGACUCUAAUUUGCUUAACUUUAGUGAGGAAGAAUAUCCCCGAGAGUGAGCACGAAAAUUUCGAUUGAGGGGAUCGUAAUGUGAAUCAUUUUUGGGACAUUGUGGAAAUAGCUCCUGAAGAUGAUGUUGUUAUUCUCGAGAAAGUUGUUAUUCACCAUGAUCUCACAGUUACGUGUAGAUUUCCUUCGAUAGUUUAAGACAAUGAAGAUUGCUUUAUUCCGUCAGUGACAUAAGUAGGGUGGGAACUCACAGACUAGAUGGAAUGCAAGAUAUCUAUGUGUUUGCUUAUGAUUCCAAAUGAAGAAUUGCAUAUCGAGUAACUAUUUGAAAUAAAGAGAGAUUUGCAAGAAGCUGUGUACCAUAUUGCAUUGAAACAUAACGUUGAAUUUAAAGUGAUGAAAUUAAACAAAUUGACCUACACAAUUAUAUGCAUUGAUGAUAGUUGUCUUUGGCACGAGUGAUAAAAAUUUACAUGAAUGAGUUCUUUAUAGUUUGCAAGUAUGCAUGAGAACAUAUUUAUGAUGUGGGUAUUCAUCGAAAUGAUCAUGGUUUAUUUGUCGACAGAUAAUGUACAAAUUUUAGGACCUAGAGACUAUCUACAGACCUUCAGAUAUCAUUAAUGACAUCUGAGGUGAUCAUAGGCUACCAGAAGACCUGGAAGGCCAAAUAAUGCUUGUUAAAUGAUUUAAUAGGUUUGGCCAAUGAGAGUUAUGCUUAAUUAGCUAGUUUAUUGCAAUAAUAAGGGGAUAACUAAUCAUGCCUCAACAAUUUUUAUUGAGGCAGAGCUCAGGACUCGCUUCAAGUAUUUCUUCAUGAUUUUUGGACAAUGUAUUUAGGGACUUUGAGAUGUGAUGCGAUCCCUAAUUUAUUCAACGAUACAACCAUGAAAUCUAGUUAAGUUAAUUAUUAUUAUAUGUCAUGAUACCAACAUCUAAAUUUACCCUCUUGCAUUUGCAUAACCGAUAGCAAGAAUGAUCUAUUGAUGCGUUAGUUCUUCACAAUGCUAAUGAAAUUAAUUGGGGAUUUUGAUAAUUUUGCAUUUGUAGCUGAUUAGGAACAAUAUAUAGUAAAUGGUACUAUUGAAGUUUUUCUUGAAGCACAUCAUGGGAAUUACAUGUACUAUAUACAAUGCAACCUAAAGAGUAAGUAUCAAGGCAAUUCCAUCAUUACAUUGUUUAUGAGAGCUGCAAAAGCUUACAAUUUUGAAAAUUUUAAUAAGUUCAUACUCGAAAUAGACAGUAAAUCACAUUUUGCAUAGAAGUAUCUAAAAAUAUGGGGAUUGAACAUUGGGCAAGCUCACAUUUUUCAGGAUAUUGAUACAAUAUAAUGAUAUCAAAUAAUGCGGAGACACUCAAUGCAUUAUUCAAGAAGGAUUGAGAGUUAUCAAUUUUCUCAAUGAUUGAGUAUAUUCGCAAAAAGAUAUAACAUUGGUUUCAUGAUCAACGUGUAAAAUCAUAGAAUUGCACAAGUGCACUAAGCCCAACUUAGGAAGAUAAAUUCUUUAAAACUCUAGAGGUGGGGAAAAAGAUACACAUAGAACUACUGGAUCAGUUGUGCUUCUCUUGAUAUUUGGACAUAAUAUUGUAUACAGUGGACUUGACCGAUAGCACCCGCACUUGUAGAAGAUUUCGACAGGAGAGUGUUCCGUGUGAGCAUGCAGUCGCAUUGGUUAUGUAAAAAGGCUUUGCAUCGAACACCUUAUGCUUUCCUUAUUACAAUGGCUAAUCUUUGGUAAGUAGUGUAUGCUGAGACUAUAUUUCCUCUACCAAACCAUAUUCUCCCAUUUAAUACAUUUUUUCCAUUCAAAGUCAAACCACAUGGUCCUGGACGUAGAUGUACGCCUAGAAUAACAUCUACUAAGAGUUUCCCCGAUCGCGUAGGUACAGUAGAUACGGCGCAAUAGGGCAUACUCAUUAAUUUUUUUACAAGUUAGAUCCUCCUACAUAAUAAUUCGACACAUGUAUAAUCUCUAUUGUAUUUAUAGUAAUUUAUUUGUAGCGUAAUUAUUGUCGUCGUUAAAUGUCAAAUGAUCUUCGUUGUCUUCGAGCCCGAUCAUGUAACAUUUUCAUAGCCAUGUCGAUAUGCUAUAGCAGAAAACACUAAUAAAAUAGAGAGAGAGUCAUUUAGUUAAAAACCAAUUACAUAAACAAAAUAAAUAACAAUGAAAAUACACUUAUAUCAUCGAUGUAUAACGCUGAUUUCGUUAUUACAUCUUCAAAUCACUUUCUAGCGUUCAAUAUCGUCUUAUCCCCUAUCACGAAAAGUAUCUCUAAAAAAGAAAAAAAUAUUACUACAAGCAUAGAUGAGUUAUUGUACUUUUUAGCAACAUCAUCAAAUACGUACUUGAACUUAAGGAAUUUGAACCAUUCAUCGAACACUUUCUAUCUAAUAAGGUUGGUCUCGUGGAAGAGAUUGGAGAACGCCCCAUCCACUAAUAUCAUUCUCUUUGCCUCAAUCGUGAAAGGAAAAAUGAUGUAAUUAGAUGGUAAUCUCAACCUCUUGCCGACCACCAACUCUGGCAUGUCAAUAGCACGCUUCGUACCCUUUCAUAACCUUCAAAGCCCCUUCCACAUAAAAAUGAUAUCUUCUAUAAUGUUGAAUGUACUCUUCUCCUUCGCCAUCCCCUCCGAUACUCCCUUUAUCACAUCAUUCCUUGAAGAAGAAUUCCAUUUUCCUGAUGCAAAAUUUUACAUGGAAGAUCAAGAGUACAAUUCUGUAGGGUUGACCAUGUCUGGAUUCAAAAUCAAAGAAGAUACAAACGAUCAUGAUACAUCUAGUGCUGCUCAAUAUCAUCAACUUAUCAAAGGCAAGUCAAAAUUUACAUCCGAAUGAUUCUCUAAAGGCAAAAAAUCUCAAAUAGAAUCAACCAAUGUUGAGGUAUUGAGAAAAUUAGCUCUUCCAGUACCUAAAAUUCCAAAAUUGCUUCUGUCCCAUCAACUCAUGGCGGUCCCAGAAGAACAUAAAUCUACAUUGAAAGCUUUGACAUCUAUCCGAGACAUAUCAAAGCUUUGUAUUUCUAGCUUGUCCAAACAAGAAGGAGCUCCUGAAUCAAAACAAACUUUCAAAGGACGUUACAAUCCUCAAGUUAAAAAGUUGUUCGACAAUGAUGGGUUUGGAAAAGGAAAGUCUUGUAAAUUAGGUGAUCUUGAUGCUAUUCUUUUAGGAGGGCAUGUCCCUUCUAAUUCUGAUAGAGCCUUAGUGUCCCGACCUAGGUAUGGUUUAGGAUAUGAUCCUAAUCUACUGAGGAAGGUUAAGGUCAAGAAUGUUUCCUCAAACCCCAUCAUGGUUCAAAUUUAUGAAGUUGCAGAAAAGAAAUCAGAAUAGUCGAGACCUUUAGUGUUCGUUGAAUUGAAAAUGAGAAUGCCAAAGUUUCGGUGUUUAAAAGGUUGAAAGGAGAUCCCUCCCAGUGGUCGACGUAAAAGGUAAAGUCUCUAUCUUCUAAAGAUUGCGUGAAGAUUCUUCUUCUUCUACCCAAAUUGAUAGAUAUGCACAAGCUCGCCAGAUGUCAUCACAAAGACAAUCUGUAUUUUCUCGACUUGGGAUUUAAAUUUCUAAUCCAAGUCCAAAACCACAACGGUCAAGACAAAGACAAAGACAUCAAAAAGUUUGCUCAUCCCUAAAAGGUAAUGAAGAUAAAGACAAAGUCUCUGUCAAUCACAUAGCCUUUGAAGAAGCUUCUGAUUCAGACUCCAAGUCUGAAAGUUCUAUCACAACUGAUGAACCUGAACUAGCCCCACCUACUUUUGAAGAAGGAGGACAAGCUGCUGUGGAUGAUUUGAAACAAAUGAACUUGGGGUCCGAAGAGGAUCUGAGACCAGUAUUUGUUCUGAGUACAUUAGUUUGCUUUAUGAAAGCAAAGACGUGUUUGCAUGGUCUUACAAGGAAAUGCCCGGGGUUAGAUCCUAAGAUUGUAGUACAUCAUCUUGCAAUAAGACAUAGAGUUCGACCUGUCAAGUAACCUCAAAGAAGAUUUCAACCAUAACUGAUCCCUCAAAUUGAAGUAGAAGUCAACAAAUUUAUUGAAGCUGGAUUUAUGCACGAAGUGAAAUACCUAACAUGGAUCUCGAACAUUGUUUUUGUAAAAAAGAAGAAUGGGCAAUUACGAAUUUACGUUGACUUUCAGGAUCUGAAUCAAGCAUGUCCGAAAGAUGAUUUUUCACUUCCAGUAACAGAGUUGAUAAUGGAUGCAAAUACCAGGUAUGAAGUCUUAUCUUUUAUGGACGGAUUUUUUGGAUACAACCAAAUACGAAUGAACCCCAAAGACGAGGAGCUUACAUCAUUUUGUAUCCCUAAAGGCAUAUAUUAUUACAAAGUUAUGCCUUUUGGAUUAAAAAAUGCGGGGGCAACCUACCAGCGGGCAAUGCAAAAUAUUUUCGAUGACAUGCUGCAUAAGAAUGUGGAAUGCUAUGUGGAUGAUCUUGUUGUUAAAACAAAGAGACGUGACAAUCAUUUACAAGAUUUAUGGGAUGUUUUCAAAAGACUUUGAAGACAUCAAUUGAAUAUGAAUCUGUUGAAAUGUGCAUUAGGCGCCACCUCUGGAAAAUUUUUUGGCUUCAUUGUUCAACACUGGGGCAUUGAAAUAGAUCAAUCAAAAAUUGACACCAUAAUCAACAUGCCAGAAUCAAGAAAUGUAUGUGAGUUGAAAAAUCUUCAGGGAAAACUUGCAUAGAUUCGAAAAUUUAUCUCUAACCUUGUCGGACGCUUUCAUCCAUUGAACAAAUUGGUGAAGAAAGAUAUACUAUUUGAAUGGGAUAACACUUGUCAAAAUGCUUUCCAAAGCAUUAAACAAUAUUUGUCUCAUCCACCGGUAAUCACAGCUCCAGUGCUAAGGAAGCCAUUGACUCUUUAUAUUGUAGCACAAGAAUAUUCUCUAUGAGCACUUCUUGUCCAAGUUAAUGAUGAAGGAAAAUAUAAUGCACUCUAUUGCUUGAGUAGAAUACUGUUAGGCACUGAAAUGAAGUAUUCACCUGUUGAAAAAAUAUGCCUUGCGUUAAUCUUCGCAGCUAAAAAGUUGAGACAUUAUAUGAUAUCACACACAAUCAAUCUUAUUUCGAAGAUUGAUCCGUUGAAGCACAUAGUGUCUAGGCCAAUUCUUUCUAAAAGGAUUGGAAAAUGGGCACUGCUGUUGUCUGAGUUCGAUAUCAAAUUCAUUUCACAAAAACCCAUUAAAAGACAAGCUUUGGCAGAUUUCCUGGCCAACCACCCAAUUCUAGCGGAAUGGAAACUUCAAGAAGAUCUUUCCGAUAAAGAAGUUCUAUUUACCGAAGUCAUAUAUUGGAGGCUAUACUUCGAUGGGGCAGCUCGAAGCUAUGGUGCUGAAGUGGGAGUAGUCGUUGUCACUCCCUAUAAUCUCGUCAUGCUCUACAUUUUUGCCUUAAUAGAGAAAUGUUUAAAUAACGUGGUAGAAUAUCAAGCCCUUAUCCUUAGCUUAGAAGCAGCGUUAGAUAUGGAUAUCCACCACUUGAAAGUCUUUGGAGAUUUAAAAUUGAUAAUCAACCACCUUUUGGCUAAAUAUGAAGUCCGUAAUUCAAACCUGAAGCCAUAUCAAGAAUAUGCAUCAAUACUUAUGAGGCAAUUUGAUUCGGUAAAAAUCAAAUUCGUCACGAGAAGUGAAAAUAAAGAGGCUGAUGCCUUAGCUAAUUUGACUGCUGUUUUAGCUAGGUCAGAUGGAGACUUCUCUCACUCCAUAUCAAUUGCUCAAAGAUGGGUGCUUCCGUCGUUGUUACCUAGUAAUUUGAAAGAAAAUAAUGGUGUCAAAGUAGCCGAAGAUGAGGAAAGAGAAGAUUGGAGACAGCCAAUAAUCGAUUUCUUUCAACAUCAAAAGCUACCAGAUAAUUCACAGCGAAAAAUUGAAAUCAAGAGGCGUGCCUCUCGCUUUAUCUUUUAUAAAUGAACACUUUAUCGAUGAUUAUUUGAUGGAAUUUUCCUUUGAUGCGUAAGUAAUGAUGAAGCAACACAGGUCGUGGAAGAAGCUCACUAUGGAAUUUGUGGUACCCAUUAGUCUAGACCCAAGCUCCAUUCUCAAAUACAGAGGAUGGGGUAUUACUGGCCAACUAUGUUAUAAGACUCCAUGGAUUAAGUAACAAAAUGUGAAGCUUGCCAAGCCCAUGCAAAUUUCAUCCAUCAAUCUUCAGAACCAUUACAUCCAACAGUAGCUUCAUGGUCUUUUGACGUAUGGGGUCUUAAUGUAAUUGGACUUAUAAUGCCAAAGUCUUCAGUAGAGCAUGCAUACAUCUUCGACGGGUCUGACUACUUCUCUAAAUGAGCCAAAGCCAUACUAUUGAAGGAAGUAAAGAAAUAAAAUGUCGCAGAUUUCAUUCAUAUCCAAAUCAUUUAUCGAUAUGGUGUCCCUCGACAUAUCAUAACAAAUAAUGGUAAACCAUUCUGCAAUAGCCAUAUAAACAAUUUAUGUACAAAGUUUGGGUUCAAAUAGUACAACUCGUCCAUGUACAAUGCGGUAGCUAAUAGAUUGGCAGAGGCGUCCAAUAAAACACUAUGCAAUUUGCUAAAGAAAGGUUGUCUCCAAAUAAAAAAGAGAUUGGCAUGAGAGAAUUGGUGAAGUCUUAUGGGCUUAUCGAACUACUUAUCGGACUCCAACGUGAGCCACUCCUUAUGCCUUAGUAUAUGGGGUGGAAGUUGUACUUCCUCUAAAGUGUCAAAUCCCGCCACUUCGAAUUGCCAUCCAAGAAGGUUUGAGAACUAAAGAAAAUGCCCAUCUUUGAUUGGAAGAGCUAGAAGCUUUGGAUAAGAAGGGUUAGAAGCACAAAUGAACCUGGAGUGCUAUCAAGCUCAAAUGGCGAAGUCAUUCAACAAGAAGGUCCGACCAAGAUCAUUUCAAGUUGGAGAUCUGGUACUUUCCAUGCGCAAACCAAUCAUAACUACAAGAAAAACAGGGGCAAGUUACAGCCUAAAUGGGAUGAUCCAUUUCUUGUUACUCAUGCAUUCACUAACGGAGUUUACAAGAUCAUCGACAAAGAUGGACUGCAAAUUGGACCUAUUAAUGGAAAAAUUUUAAAGCGUUUUUACACUCGAAGUUUUUUCUUUAAAAUUUUUCAUUAUAAAAAAAAAAAGGAAUUGGGUUCUUAUAAUGAAACUAUGUUUGAUUUAAUCUCAUUUGGGUACGUAGGCAGCUUGAAUAAACUAUAAAUUCAAGUUUAGUCACAAUUAAUAAAUUCAUUCAAUUUGUUUACCACUUGCUGUAGUUAAAAAAACAAGAAAUAUGAAAAAGAAAAGUUCAUCCAAAUAAAAAUAGCAAGUCAAAAUUCAUACAAUAUGGUCUUAAAAAAGGGAUAAAAAUUCUUGACUUCAUCGGGAUCACUCGUCAUUGAUCACUCUCAGGAAACUAUAUUCAAGGGUCUUUUUUCUGGUCAAUGGAUGCUAUGCUAGUGACAUCUCUGGUCUAUGCUUCUUCCAAUGCUGCCUUCUUAGUUCCAAUCACACUCUUUUGUUCCCGCCGGGCUUGAAGUUCAUCACGAAGUCUAUCUAGUUCAAAGUUUAACUGACUAAUUUUGCCUUCCAAUGAAGAACACGUGGAAUCUUUGAUAUCCAACUGAAUGUUCAAAAGUUUUAACUGAUUAGCCUUUUCGUCAACGGUUAGAAAAUCCAAGUGUUGUUUUCUUUACGACAAGGAAGAGUUAACUUCUUUCAGAAACACAUCAAUGUGCUUCGUCAAAGGCAUUAGGUCUACGUGGAACGAGUUGGUAAUCACGUUUUGAAGAAUUAAAUUAUUUUCAUCCCACCAAGAUUAAAUGUUGGAGAAUCCAUACUUCAAGACAUCCUUAAAACACUUUUGAAGGUAAUUAGUUAUGGCUUCUUGCAGAGCAGCUUUCAGAUAAUGAGACUAAGUAAUUUCACGCGGAGGACUGGAUAUGAAAGAACAGAUUUGUGCAACUCGAUGAUUAUUUGUCUGUGAAGGCAAGAUACUGACUAAAGCCGGCGAAGAUGAAACGACAGUUCCUAAAUUCACUUCAUCUUCAAUGUUAAAAUUGUCCAUGAUAAGCACCGAAGUACCUCCAUUGAUGGUGUCAGGAUAUUUGCAAAGAGGGUCAUGAGAAUCAUGAAUACCAUCUAUUCCUUGGAGGGCAUCGAUUUGCCCAUCAUUCUCGCCAGUCUGAUCUUGCAAAAAGUUUGUAUUCAUGGAGAAAUUUAGUCCUUCAGGGAUGUUUGGAAAACCUAAAGAAAAUGAAGUAUGAUUUCAAAAAAAAAGGUGCAGCACACAAAAAUAGGGCGCAUACCUGCGUUUCGAGUCCUAGGCGACAUGUCUAAAAAUCCACCGUUUGAUGGUGUGUUUGAGAGGCUGAUGUUAAUGUAAGAAGCUCCAACUUCACCUUUUGAAAGACUCGAAAUAGCUUGAAAUGGCCUCGGUUCUACUAGUCGUUUGAUUUUGUAUAUUCGAGAAAGAGGAGCAUGAAAUUGAAGAUUGUGACAAAAAUCAAAUACAAGUAGUACGUUAAAAAAAAGAACUAUACCUGAUCUCUAGAACUUUCAUCUUCUAGAGUUAAAGUCUUUCCCGAUGCUUGUGAUGCUCGAUCUCCAGAAUUGCUGUGAUCUGGAAUCAAAAUCGCUUUUGGUAACUUAUCAGCAGGCUCAGAGGUGGCAACAAUCUUUAUCGAGGGAACUAUAAUUUUGAUUCUCUUAAUACCUCUUUCAUUUUACUAGUUCAGAUCUCCCUUUCGAAAACCCUUUUCUGGAGCAAAUUUUGGAGGGUUUAACACUCUAGCUACAACCCUAUUCGGAGUCAGGCUAAGAACAAGUCACGACUUUCACUAGAAAAUAAGACUUGCACCUGGACCCUGGUCAAGAGUGGCAAUACUUCGCUAUUCUACCAAGCCUAUUAUUCAACAUCAACAUUUUGAUGUAUAUCCCUCACAUACUCUAGAAUAUGAAAUACAGACUCACUUUUCGUCCGAGUUAAUGACAACCAAACCCGAUACAUGUCGCCUAUGCUAGGGACAAUAGUCAACUUUCUUGGUGAAUCGAAAAGUUUCUGUCUAAAGCCAAAUUGUCUCGCAAACCUGUAAGGAUUAUACGCCUCAAGAAUGAAAGCUGAUUUUCCUCGAUGAUAAGAAAUAAAUCUAGAUCGAAUACUCAUCAUGAGUUCUAAAGUAUCUACAGACCUUGGUUGGUCAUUCACACGUACAUCAGGAUAAGACGAUGAGGGUAAUGGGUUCCAGCAAAAGUGAUUGGUCUUCAUCGCUCCACGGAUAAGUUUCCGACAAUCAACAACAUUUUUCUCCCAAGAUUGAAAAGCAUUCAAAGUGCCAACAUAUCUUCGAAUUAUAGGGCGAUAAUAACUCUUGUCCACAUGAGCAUAAGCACCUCGAACAAAAUAAGUUGCCACCCAAGCAUAAAGAAAAUGUCUAAGAAAUGAAUGUGAAAUUGAGCCAAGGUUUGGGUUUACCUGAUAAUUAGAUGUUCGUGUAAGUUCAUUAUAAAUGCUUGCCAAUAUAGGUGGAACUAGACUAUAAGUGUAUCAGCCUGCCAUCCUAGAAGAUGCUUUAAAGGUCCCAAUUCUUAUACUUUAGUCCCUAGAUGGAAUAACGAAGUGACAAAGCCAUAGGGAGAUAUAGGCUACUAUCUCUAAUUCCUCUUCUUUUUCCUUAGACAGAGAUACUGGUGAAUUGCUCCAAUGACGUCGAUCCCUACGAGUAAUGUCUCUAGACUUGUCUACCACCACGGGCCUCCACAUUUCCUUCGAUACUCUUUGAUGACACCUCUUAAAUGGAUUUAAAUUCAUAGUAUUCUUAUAAUUUUUGUGUUGUCGAGAAUUCUAGACACAACCAUUCUCGUGAAACCAAAAAUCAAUCCAUUGAUCGUGAGUAACCCUAUUAGAUUCAUUUACAUGGGCAAUCAAUGUGAAAAUAUUAAAGAGGUAUAGACAAGACUUGGGAAGGUGAUCCGUCAACUCUGAAAGGCUUGGGACUAUUUUCCCAUACUAAUGACCCAUGAUCGAAAGUCCGCUUAUCACACGAAUGUUCCAAAGAGAAAUGCCAAGUUCACCAUUGGUAUUCACAAAGGUGUUGGUCUCUGGACACCAAAUCUCACAAAGAGUUCUAUAAAUAGAGUUUGGGCGAUAGUAAUCUUUUAUUGCAGAACCAACUACAAAGUAGAAGUUUUUGGACCCAUAAAGACCACUCCCAAAAUUUUGGAAGAAAACAAAUCUCUCCUCGAUUGACCAGUGCGCCUCUCCAUCGUAUUUCUCUAUUAUCAAUACUCUCACAAAUCACAGCCUUUGGGAUGCACUCCAUGCUCUGGGAAUGAUGAGGCGGAAGACACAAAAGAAGAUGACUAUUAGAGCGGUUGGACUUGCCAGUAUCCAAACUCUCGUAACAUUCACUAAUAGUGGACAUAUGCAACUCCGACAAUGACUCCAGAAGAUCAGGGGAAGGAUUUGUCAUUGGCUUAUGUGCACUAAAUUUAAGUUCACCCCAUACGGCUGUCUUGGCAUGGUACUUCACAUCAGUAUCUUUGAAACGCAGAUAACUUUUGCCUUGAUUUUUAAGUUCAACAAUUUCUUGUAUGUCAAAAUACACUUUAUCGUCAAAACUUGUUUCAGCCAUGCCUGAAAAAAACAAAGUCAGCUAAAGAAAGAGGGCAGUGACCUCUUAAAUUGGUUUAUUGUCUAAAAUCACAAGUCUCCAAAAUAUGUAAGCGGCCUCUACAAAAAGUGCCUUGGAAGAUCGAAGGAAUAGGUCCUUAGUCCUCAAUACAAAAUGUUUUGGGCGGUCGAAUGAGCAAGUCCUUAGCCCUCAACACAAAUUGUUUUGGACGAUCGAAGGAACAGGUCCUUGGUCCUCAACACAAAGUGCCUUGAAUGGCUGAAGGAGCUGGUCCUUGGUCUUCAACACAAAGUGUCUUGGACAGUUGAAGGAACAGGCCCUUGGUCCUUAAAACAAAGUGCCUUGGACGAUAGAAAGAGCCAGUUAUUGGUCCUAAACAAAAAGUGCCUUGGAUGGUCGACGGAACAGGUCCUUGGUCCUCAACACAAAAUGUUUUGGAAGGUCGAAGGAACAAGUCCUUGGUCCUCAGCACAAAAUGUUUUGGACAGUCGAAAGAACAGGUCCUUGGUCUUCAACACAAAGUGCCUUGAAUGGUUGAAGGAACAGGUCUUUGGUCUUCAAUAUAAAGUGUCUUGGACAGUUGAAGGAAUAGGUCAUUGGUCCUUAACACAAAGUACCUUAGACGAUAGAAGGAGCCAGUCCUUAGUCCUUAACACAAAAUACCUUGGACGGUAGAAGGAACAGGUCCUUGGUCCCAAACAUGAAGUGCCUUGGAUGGUCGAAGAAAUAAAUCCUCGGUCCUCAACAUAAAAUGCCUUGUAUGAUCGAAGGAGCAGGUCCUUGGUCCCAAACAUGAAGUGCUUUGGACAGUCGAAGGAGCAGGUCCUUGGUCCCCAACAAAAAGUGCAUUGGAUGGUGAAAAGUGACGGUCCUUAGUCCUCAAUGUGUAUUAAGGUUUGCAAUUUUAAAUUUGUUCAUAAACAUAUAUUUUCAGAACUCAUAAAAUAAUUACAACAAAAAAAAAAAAAAUUAACCUCUACAUGAAGAAAAUUUUGAACCUCAAAAUUCUUGAUUCGCUCCAAAAAGAUUGAAUCCCUGCAGCAAUAAAAAAAAAUGUUAGUUUCAACUUUGUUAAAACAAAAAUACAAAAACAAACAUAAUAAUACUCACAAUAAUCAACAAAAAAAAGGGAUCAAAAUAAAAAUAUAAUUAAAAAAAAGGAGAGAAAGAAAUAAAGACAAGUAGAAAAAUGAAGAAAAGAGAAAGAAACUAAAAAUAAUUAUAAUAAUCAUAAAAAAAAUAAAAAAUAAAACGGGCUUCUGUCGAAAGUAGCAAAAACCAAUUGGAAUUGGCUCAGAAACCAAAGCCAAUUUAAAAAAAAAAAAUUAGAAAAAAUGUUUCUGCCGUUUUCCACAAAUUGGAAUUGAGAAACCAAAACCAUUUAAAAAAAAAAUUGUUUCUACCAUUUUCCACGGAACAAUUCCAAUUCCAAUUUGUUUAAAUUGGUUUAGAAACCAAAAACAACUAAAAAAAAAUAGUUUCAUGGCAGAAACCUUUAAUUUCAUUGAAUUUCACAAAAAAAAAAAAGAAAAAAAGGAAAAAAAAAGCAUAAUGGUUUCUGCCAAUUGCAGAAACCAAGGAAACUAAUAGCUGAAAUUGGUGCAAUUCACCAAUUCCAAGAAUCCAAUUAGUGAAUUUGUCUCCUCGGGCGGCGAAAAACAAGAAAAGAAAAUGUAAUAAUAAUAAAAAAAAAAAUGAAUGAGGUAAAAACCGUGGGAGAGAGAGAGUAAAUAUAUAUAUAAAAAAAUUCUUUAUCUCUGUUUACGAGAUUUAACAGACUUGUUCCCAAGUCUCACAAUUCCUUUGUAUAAAUAGGUGGGUAGCGGAUUUCACUUAAACCUAAUUUACAAUGAAACAUAAAAUGCCUGUUCAAAUCAAAUAUGUUAUGGGUCGUAUAAAAUAAAUAAAUAAUCGAAAUUCGACCAAAAAUAAUAAUAAUAAAUAAAUAAAUAAAAUAAAAAUUUCUUAUUCUCAAAUUUGAAGGAUAAGAAUUUCAUCAAAUUUAUAUUUUGUUCUCAAAUGUUCCACUGUAUGUUUGAAAUCAAAUCAAAUUAAAAAAAAAAAAAUCGAAAUCAAACAAAUCAAAAAUAAAACCGAAAUCAAGAUUUAUUAAGAUUUAUUUAUUUAGAAAUAAAUUAAUCUUAAUAAAUCUUGAGGGGGCAUUUGCAGGCAUAAAAAAAAUAAUAAAAAAAUAAAAUAAAGAAAACGGAUUGGAUCAAUUUAAAUCACUAGCCCAAUUAAAAUGAAAUCCACUAAAGUCCAUAAAAAACGAAAGGCCCAUGUCACAAUGUAAAUAUAUAAAUAAACAAACAAAUAAAUAAAUAAAAAUAUAAUUACUCAAUUAUUCAUUUUAAUUAAAUAUAAUUGAGUAACUACCAAAAUUAUCAUGAAUUCUGUCCUUUAAAUAGGACCAAUGGUCCAUGAGACAUGGACAGAAAGAAAGCAGAGAACUCCACGAAGUACUGAAGAAAUUCUAAAGUUGGAAGAAUGGAAGAAUUUUUCUCAAACCUAAACUCGGUGAACCUCAAGAAAUUAAAAUCUUCUUCGAAUCAAGCAGGUUCAUGCCAAGUCGAAGAAGAUCAAAGUCUUCUUCAAAUCAAAUCAAAUUCAAGUCCAAGUCCAAACCUCAAGAUUCAAGUUCCGAACAAGUCAAGUCUCGACAAAUCAAAUAUUCAACAAAUUCUCGAAGACCAGUAUUCAAGUCACGUGGCCUCUCGUCUUCAAAUAUUCAGAUUAUUAAUUAGAGAAUUCUUGCAACUUUGCAAUUACAAGAAGGUCAACAUCACUUGUAUUUUAUCAAAAUAAAAUUUGUAACGAUUUCUAUAUUUUAAUACACGAAAUUCAGUCGUACAGAUGGUAAUGCAAUAAGCUAACCAAAUAGGGUGAAUAUUGAAGCUUUGGAGACUCAAUAUGAGUUUUCUCUCCCUUGAAUAGUCAGAUUACCUUCCUCUGUAUAAAUGGACCAUGAUGGUGUUUGUUCUUCAAAUAGUGGAACACGUAGAUACCAGAUGGACUGAUUUAUCAAGAUUUUAAUGGAUGGUAGUUUUGGGAGUCUCGGAAGACUAAGCCAACUUUUGAUGGAGUAAGCAUAGCCAUUUGAAUGAGUGCUACUUUUGUCCCACAUGGUAAGACUUGGUCUUACUCAGAGCUCAUAGCUCUUUCGAAAAGAUGGAGGGAAUUGACCUGACUUGCACAUUGAGAAGCAUAUCCUUCGGACUCCACAUAGUAACAUUAGAUAGGUAGGACGCAAAGCAAGAUCGAUAAGUAUGUCAAGGAUGGGCAUGAUACGCAUGCAUAAGUUUAGGUGCGAGGAUACCCAAUAUACAUGGAUUAGUCAAGAGACCAAUGGACAAUUUUGUACCACCAAAAGUAUGGAAACUUCAAACAUCGACUUAACAAGUAAGAAAAAUUUAAUGUGAAAAAAUAAUUUCAUUUAAAUCAUAAUCAAAUAAAGACUAAUAAAAUACAGUACUUUGUCACUCUACAAUUACUAAUUGUGCGCUUCUAAACCAUAAAAGAAAUUAAUGAUAUGACAACAUUUAACUCCAGAUUACCAGUGGCGGACCCACAUGGGGUCAUGUUGGAUCAAAUGACCCCACAAAAUUUUGCCCAUGUUUUUUUUUUAAUAACAAUCUACAUUGAUGCACUCGUCAGCUUGUCAAAUGAAGUCAAAAUAUUAUAUUCUUAAUACCAUUUCGAAGUGCUCAUGACCUAGUUUUUCACUCAUUAAUGGCAUGCAAGUGGUCAACUAUAACAGAAGUUAUGACAUGUUAAAGUAGAGCAUUUAAAACUAGUAUUUUAAGAAUUUCGAUAAUAUCAUAACUUUAAAAAUUCGUUUGCGAUCAUGUGCUAUAUGAAUCCACAAAUCGUCUAUGUCAUGUAAAAGUUUCUUUCAAAAACUACAUCAUUUUCAUAUUGAAUGGUCCAAACAGAUAUCGAAAAUAGUUAAAUAUGUAUCAAACGUACGCUUCAAAAAAGACGUCUAACUCGUUUUUUCUUUUAAAAAAUUCAAUUAAUUAUUAUUUUUGCACGAUAAAUUUUUCAAUAUAAUUUAUAUCAUUUCAUUCAGAAGUCUUGCAUGAAAUAUGACGUAAAUUUUUUAGGUUCGUUACGGAUUAAAUAUAAUUUGAAUUACUUUCGAAUUAUAUUUGCUUUAAAUUUGAAUUUCAUUUAAUUUCUCAACUAAACUUGAUUUAUUUCAAUUUAUUUAAUUUCUAUAUUCAAUUUAAUUUGCUCAAUGUUAGCUCAACAUUUGCCAACAAAAUGAUAAACAAAACUAUACAAGUGGCAAAAUUUAUUUAAUAAUAUAAUAAUGAUGUAAUUAUACGACAUUUUUAAAGUGUCAAAAUACAUAUAAACUUAUUUUCAUUGAUAUUAUGUUGUUUAUUAAAAAAUUAUUUUUAAAAUUUUGACCCCACAAUACUAAAGGUCUGGGUCCGCCCCUUCAGUUUACCAUAGCAAAACUACCUCUAAACAAAAUAUCAAUGUUUUAAAAUGUGGCCCGGUCGGUUCAACCAAGAAAACUGGGAACGUCCCAAAUUUGGGCUGAUUCAACUUAUAAAAUCUCUAAUUAAAAACUGUCCCAAUAACCCGUUAAACUAGUUGACCUUUGAAAAUUCUGUGACCGCUCCCAGUUUAGCCGGGUUACACUAAGUUAAAACUUAAAAUCGAAAAAUUAAAACCUUUGACAUUUAAAGUUGAAAACUUAUUUUUACAACAAUCGUUUCGUCUCUACAAUGCCAUAUCAAAUAUUCAAAACACAUUAUUUCUUUCAAUUUUCUUUACUUCUUGAUUCUACAUUCUAAUUUUUAGGCUGAUUAUGUUGUUCAAGUAUUAGGUUACAAAGGUUUGUUGUUCCUAAUGUUGAUUUUCUCGUAGUACAAUUGAUCCAUGUAUUAAUCUGUAGGAAAGUGCACAAAACUUGUGUCUCUGCGUUGUAAUUGUUUUGGAAUUAAAUAUAGUUUUCACAUACCUCGUCUGAUUGUUCUUUACUCAACCUUGUAGAAUUAUUGUUGGAUAACCCAUUAAGAAAAAAAAUGAUUCUGUUGACACAUAAAAAUUCAGCCCAAAUCGAACGGCCCAAGGAAUGAAGCCCAAUUGGAGAAUCCCCAAAUCAGAUAGCCCAAAGAACGAAGCCCAAUCAAACAAUUCAAAUAGGGAGGCCCAAGAACGUGGUAACGCCAUCGCCCAAGAUUGCAAGUCGCCCAAAAUCUGAGCGAAUGGAGUGCCAUGCAGUCGUGCAGAGCUAUUACUCUAUUCUCACCAAAACCUUCAAGUCGCCCAAAGUCUUAACAAACAUAAAGCGUUGUGGUUAUCAAGAAGUACAGUUAUCAAAGCAGUUAGUAAAGCAGCCCCAUCACGUUCCACGAUUCAAGGAACUCAAUCGAAAACGGUUGAACGGCGAAGAGUAAUGGCAGCAGUUUUCAUGACAAGCAAGCCAUUAUAAGGAAAGUGGGCAGUUGCAGAACGAUCAAGCAGUUUUUAGGCGGUUGAUCACAAAGAGAUCGUUCAUGAAGUAUAAAAGGGAGAAAAGACAUAGAGCAAAAGACCGAAUAAAAAACUCUCGAACAGAGAACAUGUAAUUUUAAUUUCCUUAGUUUAAGACUUAAACACUUUUUUCAGUAACUCGUGUGCUUACGCCCCUUGGAGGCACUUUGUUUUUAAUUUCCAAUUGUAAAGUCAUCACCAAUAAAAGAACACCCCUUUUUGGGACUUUGUCUCAAGAGGUUUGUCCCUUACACAAUCGUCUGAUCCUUUUUAAUUGUUAGCGACUAACCCGCGCGAAACAAUUUGACACGCCCAGUGGGACAGUGGUGUUUGGUGUUGAAAGUACAAAAGGUGAAACAAUAUACCUCAGAGAUCCGAUAAGGAAGCAGCAAGUCAGGGAGGAGUCCAGUCUGUGAUCGAGCGAUAUGAGGAGCAACAUGCCUCUCCACGAACAGAUGGACAAAAUCAGAGCAGUAACAGUCAUUACGAACCAAUGACGGAGUUGAGUCCUCGAACCAUGCGUGCAUUACUGGGAGAACUCACACAAGACGUUAUUGAACAGGUAAAUCUUCGAAGUAUUCAUAAUAUGGAAAGAUUUAUCCAAAAUGGGAAUGCACACUAUGACAAUAUGGCCAAACAACUAAAUACAUUGAAUGAAAUAAUGAAUAAGUUAGUAGGCCAAAUAUGUCAACCGGUUAUACCUCUUGCAAAUCACUUUCAACUAGGACAAUUGUGGGACAUAAUCCCUCAGUCCUAAAUCCGAAUCAAGGGGUAGAACCACUUUCUGGUCCCUCUACUUCAAACUAAGGGGGUACUGCAGUGCCAAAUCAGAACAAUGGUAGUGGUACGCCUAACUCGGGGGAUAAUCCAAACAUAAGAGAUAAUGUCCUAAACAAUAGACAGCACACCCCACGUGUUAAUGAGGGAAUAGAUGUUCAGGCUAAUGGUAAUGGCCCUAAUUAUGGUAAUUUUGUUGUCAAUCAAAGACCAAACAUCAGGCCUCAUGCAAAUCAACCGGUUAAUCAGCCUGUAGGAAUUCCAUAUGAUCCCAACGUCAUGGUGAGGAAUUAGAUUAUGGAAAUCGUACAGGAUCAGAUGGCUUUUGGGGUGCGUCCCGUCAUUAGGCCGACGUACACAAAGCCAUAUCCUGAUUGGGUAGACCAAGCAUAUCCAUGGCCAAGAGGGUACAAAGUGCCAGAAUUCUUACUGUUUACCGGUUUAGGAGAGGUGUCUACUCUAGAACACAUAGGGCAAUUUACAUUGCAAAGUGGGGAUGUAAUCGAUUACCAUAAAAUGAGGCUUUUCCCUAGUUCGUUAACAGGAGUAGCUUUCUCUUGGUUCAUCAACUUGCCAGCGAACUCUGUUCAAACAUGGCAACAAUUGGAACAGUUAUUUCACGCUCAGUUUUAUAAAACUGAGUCUGAAGUUACUUUGGCUGAUUUGGCGAAUCUACGUCAAAUGCCAAACGAAUGGGCAGAAAGUUUUCUCCAAAGGUUCAAGACAGCAAGAAGCAAGUGUUUUGUACCUCUGCCCGAGAAAGAAUUUGUCAAAGUCGCUCAGGGCUGCUUGAGCUUUGAUUUAAAAAAGAAAUUCCAGGACAAGGAAUUUCCUAACCUUUUCCAGUUGAGUGCGAAUGUGAUUAGCUAUGAACGGCUGAUAAGAGAGGAAGAACAGAUGAAAAAUUCUAGUAAAGGGACUUAUUACAAAGACCCAAAUUUUGAUGUUCAUACCAUCGGUGACAAGUCAUACGACUAGGCCGAAAUGUGUUUGGCUGAAUUGGUCAAACGAAGUACAUAUACUUGUCCCAUAAUGGCCAAGCCUAGACCAUCGGGCAAAGAUGAGCCCAUAAAAGAUGGAAACAUAAAGGCUAGGACAUUCUCGUUUGACAUAACCGAAGCUGACCUUAUAUUUGAUAAAUUAUAUAGGGAUAAGCAAAUAAAGUUGAGCGAUAAGCACAAAUUGCCAAACCCUGAACAAAUUAAGGGUAAAAAAUAUUGUAAGUGGCAUAAUGCAUGGUCACAUUUGACUAACAAUUACUUAGUUUUUCGUCAUGUAUUGCAAGAUGCCAUUGAAUCAGGACGAAUUACGUUCGAUGAUAAGAAGAAGAUGGCAGUGGACGAAAAUCCUUUUCCACAGCCACUUGGAGUGAACAUGGUGACAUCUGGAUUCAAAAACAAGUUGCCAAAAUUCAAGUUGGUCGUAGAUGAUGGAGAAAAGGACCCUAGACCACAUCCCAGUGUCUUUGAACGAAUUAAGGGGAAAGAACCAAAAAAGGACGAAGACAUCCUGUGUGCAAGAUGUAAAAGAGAAAUGAAAGGCUAUACGGAGAAACCAGGGAUAUGACAGCAUCCCCAUCGCCCUACUUUCUUCCCAAACACUCAGCCUGGUAGAGGGCGAGGUACAUCAUUCUAUAUAGGACUGCCUUUUGAGAGGCAGUUUUGGCCAGCAGAUAAUGGAAGAACAUUCAGGCCGCAACCUCGUCAGCCAAAUGUAUGGCAUUCAUUCCAGUAUAAUGCAGGAAGGGCAAUACCCUUCGAUGAGAUAACUAAAACCCAACAAAGGCGUUUUCAACGAAACUAUGGACGGUUGAUGAGGCAGCAACAGGGGGUGCCACAUCCUAAAGCGUCUAAACUACUCAAGGUACUCAAUUAAAAUGUCUUCAAAGAUAGUGAAGAGACCGGUACAGAUGAAUCAAUGAAGGAACUGCCAGAAACUUCUUCUAGGAGAUCAAAGUUUGAGCGGGACAGAAGGGAUGGAGAAGAUCCAGACCAGCCCCUUACCAUCCAGUUCGGUACGUUACCUCCUGUCGUGGCCAAUAAUUACUUACUGGCCAAUGAAUUCAAGAAUAAAGAAAAAGAAGAAGAGAGGGAGAACAAUGAAGGAGAAGCUUACGUGCUGGUAUGUGAAGAAAGCCAGACUUCUAGAGAGGCCUACAACGAUGAAGAGGACGAUGGGAUGAUUGAAAUUGAAGAAGAAAUUGACCUAGAAGCAGAAGGAAGAAAGAGAGGAGUAUCGCGCAAUACUCUGUUGAAGCAGCUACAUCGAGAGGGAGUUCGCGAAGUAGACUUGUUGGGGGAACCAUCUGGGCGUCCUUUCAAUUUCUACGUACUGUACGGGACACCCAAAAGGAAGAAGAGAGUGCCUCGCUCUGAAAAGUAUGGGUCACCUCCAAGAAUAAUGCCCCCUCCUACAGGUUGGGUAACUGAUGAGGAAGCAUUAGAAAAAAGUAGGAAGGAAGUUCAGGAGACAGAGGAUCAGCGUGAUAUACUGCACGUCGACUUAUCGCAGGGGGAUAAUUCGAUAGAAAACAAGCAGGAAGUAGAAAUAAAGGCUGCCGAAAAGGUUAUUUUUAAACGGCCAGCCAUGAAAUUGACUAAACACUUGAGGCCAUUAUACGUUAAAGCUCUAGUUAACGGCGUCCCAAUGGCAAAAGUGCUUGUCGACAAUGAAGCAGCUAUAAACACCAUUCCAUCUAGGAUGAUGAGGAAGUUUGCAAAGACAGAAGGUGACAUGAUUCCUACAAAAGUCAUCCUCACGAGCUUCAAUGGAGGAGCAACUUCAGCUAAGGGAGUUAUGCCAUUGGACAUAACUAUAGGGACGACUACUAGGACCACUGUCUUCUUUGUAAUAGAUGGUCCUACUAGUUAUAAUGUGCCACUAGGAAGAGAUUGGAUACACGAAAGUCGUUGUAUACCAUCAUCACUCCAUCAAUGCCUGAUCUUUUGGAAUAACAAAGGCGAAGCAGAGGUGGUACAGGCCGAUCAUAGGCCUUUUGUUGCAGAAGCAAACUCAAUGAAAAAGUUCAUGUACGAAGGAAACUAUGAACCUGUCAGGGUAGUACAAGAUGGGGAAGAAACUCAGGUUGUCGCGCAAAGCGAAGAACCAUUCUCAGUGGACGCACUCACUGAAAUGUUCAAACAGAUGAGGCCAAAUAUAGUGGCCCCGAAAGAGCCAGUAAUUGGCAAAAGAAUAAUCAAGGAGUCUUGAAUGGAUUCUAAGUUACGAAGCAAAUGGCGGACAUUCAGGCCUUCAAAGCCAGACUGAUGGCUUUCAAUAAGGAAUGCAAUGACAAGGCGAAAGAAGAGACAGCCCUAAAAGCGCUGAAGGACAAGUUGGCAGUAUUCGAGUUAGAGCAAAGCAUUGGCCGAGAAGUCAACAAGGUGGACUGUUUAGAAGAGGAAGUACUACUUACAAGGGAAUUGGACGAUGAAGUGAUGUGGAUCGCCAAACCUGGAUAUGCUCAAGCACAAGACCCUCUGAUCAAAGUAAAUAUUGGCAAUGAAGGAGAAGAUCGCUCAACAUUCAUCAGCCAAAUGCUCAACCAAGUGGUUAGUAACAAAUUAAUCGCUUUGCUAAAAGAGUACAAAGAUUGUUUUGCUUGGGAAUAUGAACAAAUGCCUGGUUUAGAUAGAGACUUGGUGGAACAUAGGUUACCAACUAAGCCAAACUUUAAACCUCAUAGGCAGCCUCCUAAAUGUUUUGCUCCCAAUGUACUCCCUGAAAUCCAGAAAGAGAUAGAGCGAUUAUUGAAAGCAGGUUUUAUUAGAACAGUCAAAUAUGUCGAAUGGUUGUCCAAUAUCAUGCCAGUACUAAAAAAGAAUGGUAAACUAAGGGUGUGUAUAAACUUUAGAAAUUUAAAUAUAGCUACACCCAAAGAUGAGUAUCCAAUGCCCACGGUGGAUUCUUUAGUAGAUUCGACUGCCGGAGAUGUCAUGUAUUCUUUCAUGGAUGGGUAUUCAGGAUACAAUCAAAUUUAUAUAGCUGAAGAAAACAUACACAAAACUGCCUUUAGAUGCCCUGGGUCUCUAGGAUGUUUUGAAUGGGUGGUUAUGCCUUUCGGCCUAAAAAAUGCAGGAGCAACUUAUCAAAGAGCAAUGAAUUUAAUCUUUCAUGAUAUGAUAGGCAAGUUUGUUAAAGUGUAUGUAGAUGACAUAGUAGUCAAGUCCAUUAAAGAAGAGGACCACUUCGAACAGUUAAGAUGUUCGUUUGAGCGAAUGAAGCAAUAUAAGCUAAAGUUGAAUCCCUUGAAGUGUGCAUUUGGUGUUAAUGCAGGGAAUUUUCUUGGUUUUUUAGUACACAAGAGAGGGAUUGAACUUGAUAAAAAUAAAGCGAAGGCCAUUUUAGAGGCCAAACCACCUAGCAACAAAAAAGAAUUGCAAAGGUUCCUAGGUCAAGUAAAUUUUUUAAGACGCUUUAUUUCUAAUUGUGCAGGGCGAACUAAAGUCUUUUCGCCGCUCUUAAAGCUGAAAAAUCAGGACGAAUUCGUCUGGAGAGAAGAACAUCAAAAGGCUUUUGAAAGCCUGAAGACAUAUUUAUCAAGUCCAUCAGUGUUGGUGUCACCAAUCCAAGGACGGCCAAUGAAAGUGUACGUAUCGGCUGAAAAAGAAUCAAUAGCUGGAAUGAUCGCACAAGAAGACCAAUUUGGUGAAGAAAGGGCGAUUUACUACUUAAGUAGACGGUUAACGAAAUGUGAAUGUAAUUACUCUGCUAUCGAAAAAUUAUGUCUUGCAUUAUAUUUNNNNNNNNNNNNNNNNNNNNNNNNNNNNNNNNNNNNNNNNNNNNNNNNNNNNNNNNNNNNNNNNNNNNNNNNNNNNNNNNNNNNNNNNNNNNNNNNNNNNNNNNNNNNNNNNNNNNNNNNNNNNNNNNNNNNNNNNNNNNNNNNNNNNNNNNNNNNNNNNNNNNNNNNNNNNNNNNNNNNNNNNNNNNNNNNNNNNNNNNNNNNNNNNNNNNNNNNNNNNNNNNNNNNNNNNNNNNNNNNNNNNNNNNNNNNNNNNNNNNNNNNNNNNNNNNNNNNNNNNNNNNNNNNNNNNNNNNNNNNNNNNNNNNNNNNNNNNNNNNNNNNNNNNNNNNNNNNNNNNNNNNNNNNNNNNNNNNNNNNNNNNNNNNNNNNNNNNNNNNNNNNNNNNNNNNNNNNNNNNNNNNNNNNNNNNNNNNNNNNNNNNNNNNNNNNNNNNNNNNNNNNNNNNNNNNNNNNNNNNNNNNNNNNNNNNNNNNNNNNNNNNNNNNNNNNNNNNNNNNNNNNNNNNNNNNNNNNNNNNNNNNNNNNNNNNNNNNNNNNNNNNNNNNNNNNNNNNNNNNNNNNNNNNNNNNNNNNNNNNNNNNNNNNNNNNNNNNNNNNNNNNNNNNNNNNNNNNNNNNNNNNNNNNNNNNNNNNNNNNNNNNNNNNNNNNNNNNNNNNNNNNNNNNNNNNNNNNNNNNNNNNNNNNNNNNNNNNNNNNNNNNNNNNNNNNNNNNNNNNNNNNNNNNNNNNNNNNNNNNNNNNNNNNNNNNNNNNNNNNNNNNNNNNNNNNNNNNNNNNNNNNNNNNNNNNNNNNNNNNNNNNNNNNNNNNNNNNNNNNNNNNNNNNNNNNNNNNNNNNNNNNNNNNNNNNNNNNNNNNNNNNNNNNNNNNNNNNNNNNNNNNNNNNNNNNNNNNNNNNNNNNNNNNNNNNNNNNNNNNNNNNNNNNNNNNNNNNNNNNNNNNNNNNNNNNNNNNNNNNNNNNNNNNNNNNNNNNNNNNNNNNNNNNNNNNNNNNNNNNNNNNNNNNNNNNNNNNNNNNNNNNNNNNNNNNNNNNNNNNNNNNNNNNNNNNNNNNNNNNNNNNNNNNNNNNNNNNNNNNNNNNNNNNNNNGUACCUUUGAAAGAGAUCACCCAGAAGAACGUUAUAGAGUUUAUCCGUGAUCACAUCAUUUAUAGGUUUGGAAUUCCACAAACGUUAAUAGUAGAUCACGGAACAUCUUUGAAUGGGGAUCAAGUGAACAAAUUUUUGAGCGAAUUUGGGGUUAAAUUAGUAAACUCCACACCAUACUACGCUCAAUCCAACGGACAAGCAGAAUCUUCUAAUAAGAUUCUAAAAAAUAUCAUCAGAAAGAUGAUAGAUGAAAAUGCCAGAAAUUGGCACGAAUAUCUGAACAAAGCCUUAUGGGCUUAUAGAACAUCACCUCGAUCAAGUACCAAAGUUACUCCUUUCCAACUUGUUUAUGGGCAGGAGGUCGUUUUGCCUAUGGAAAUCAACGUGCAAUCGAUUAGAGUGUGCUUGCAACAUAAGUUGAAUGAUGAUGAGUAUGCCGAAUCACUAGUUCAAAAUUUAUUGGGGUUAGACGAAUUAAAGUUGGACGUCUUAGAUAGAUUGCAAGUUCAAAAACAAAGAAUGGCUAAGUUUUUUAAUAAAAAAGUCAUAGCCAAAUCGUUCAGCCUGGGUGAACUAGUUUGGAAGACGAUACUCCCUUUGGAUAGCAAGGAUCCAAAGUACAGGAAGUGGUCGCCCAAUUGGGAAGGACCAUACAAAAUAAACAAUGUGUUGCCCAAUGGAGCGUAUCACUUGGAAGAUUUAGAUGGCACCAAGCACGUGAGAUUCAUUAACGGCAAAUAUUUGAAAAAAAUAUGUUCCUUCUUUAUGGGAAUGUGAACAGAUAAAAAUAUAAUCAACAUAUGUUGAAUGAUUAAGGAUAACAAGGUCAGAGCAAAAUACGUUCAAAUAAAGUCCUUUAUUAUCAAACGUUCAUUACAGAGAUGCGAAAAUACAAAUAAUGGAUGCUCUACAAACUACAAUCAAAAGUAAGCUAAUCUCCCGGUCGAUUGCUGAGUAAGAGGGUGGACUAACCUCACACUGCCUUCCUAAAUGCAUCACUGCAAUGGUGGGAUCGCCGAGUAAGAGGGUGGACUGGCCUCACCACCUUCCGAAAUGCAUCGCUACAAUGGCGGGUAAAGAUGCUGAGAAGCACUCUCAGUAAGCAAACUGAGAAGCACUCUCAGCAAGCAAUAUGGCCCGCAAGCAUCCCAAAAAUUGCCUUCUAUCAUCGACUCUUUGUAAAGGACAAAGAGACGAUGGGAAGAACUUCGAUGGUAAAAACUUUGCUGCUGGCCAAAAAAUAUUUCCUAUACCUCCCACACCAAAGGUGACAUCAAGGCAAAUAGUAAAAUGGACGAACUAAACAAUCCAUUUUUAUAGAAAGGCGAAGGUUUCGGAUCGGAUUGAUUGUCAGAGUGCCAAACAAUGGCAGCAAAUUGGUUUUGAAGAAGAAAAUGAAGAUGAAGAUGGAAGAUGGAAAAUGCGAAGUAUCCAUGCAUUUAUAGGGGGGUGGAGAUGAAGAGACAGAAUAUGAACAGCCACAUUUCUGCCUAGUAAAUGGAAUUAAAUAACCCAAAGUCUUAGGAAAAGUGGUGGAAAUAUCAAAAGCAAAUAGGCAAGAUUUUUAGCACGAAGCAGUUAAAUGCUUGAAGAAUUGACGACUAAAAAAAAAAUAAACGUCAAAUAAAUGCAUAAGAAGUUAAUGUUCAUUAAUGAUGAACAGAAUUACAAAGGGAAAAUCAAAUUAUAAAAGAAAAAUGCAUCAUAUGUCUUAAUUACAGUCCACCCCAUACUAAACGAAUUCGUUCCCUAAAUUUUUCCCAAUCCUCGUUCUGUCGAGAGGAAGUGAUGUUCAAUUCGGCCACAACAUCAUCAUCAACUUCCAACUUCUUGUAUUGCUCGACCAAGGACUUAGUUCGCUCAAUUCCCUGGGAGGCGUUGCGCUUUUUAGCAGCCAUUCUCGCCUUGCAGUCGUCCAUUUUGGCUUGAAGUUCCCUCAUCUGAGCAGCCAAAUUAACCAUCAAAGAGUCUUCAAUCAUGACUUCGAAAGAGAUUUCUUUCAACUCGUCCUCAGCCUUGUUGAUCUCCAUAUGCAAAGACUCUUUUUUAGAUACGGCUCGAAGAUAUUGAGUACUUUUGGCCUUUAGUUCAGCAUUCUUGGCCAGCAAAGAAAGGACCUCGGAGUGGAUAACCUUCAACGUCGCUUUAAAAUCGACAGAAAGAUUGAGUGACGGAAACGUCAGUGCUUGCUCCAAAUUCGCAUUCAAAUGCUCAAGUUUAUCAUUGUGUCUGGCAGCACUAGCCCUACCAAUGUCCAUAUCCAUGAAGGACAUGUACUCAAAUAUCAACUGCUUGAGGAACUUCAAAUCUUCCUCUGAAGAAGCAGCAGGACGAUCAGAUGGAGCAGGGCGAGACGUCUUGACUUGCCCCCAGGAAGCGAACAAGUCUUGGAUAGAACGCACUAUCUUGUCAGCAUCCUGCAAAGAAAAUUGGCAAUAUUAAAGAUUCUCACUACAACGAACAAGAUAGAAAUAAAAGUGAAGCAAAGACUACCUCAUCAACAAUCGUGGAAGGUGGCAUGUCCUCAGCCAAGUCUGCCACCAAUGACUCCUCCAUUCGUGAGGACUUUCCCUUGUCUGAGCGAGAAGAUGUUGCCACAAUGGGCAAACUCAUAGGAGUAUCUGCAAAAAUCAAGAGCAACAAAUCAGAAACCAAUAGCACAAGCAACGGUAAGGCAUCAAAAAACUGAAUUACCUUCCGCUUCGAUGUUUGGGGGGUUGAUGCCCUGGGAAGAAGGUGGCUCAUCCAUGGGUUGUGAUGAGGAUUCUGGGACUGAAGAUGUCUCUUUAAGCAUAGUCCCCUCAUCAACCGGUUUGGAUGAAGCAGCCUCAGCAGAGGAUGAUGGAGCAGGAGCUGUCGAUGCAAAAGCCUUUGAAGGAGAGGCUGAACUUUUCUGAGAAAUCCAAAAAAUCAUCAACACACAGAAAAGUUUCAAGUAUGGAAAAGUAUGCUUGUGAGUAAAUCAAUUUAAUUACCUUCCUCCUGACGAUAAGAGGGGUAUCAUCAUCAUCAUCAACAUCAUCCUCCAGAAUGGGAGAUGCUGAGGCUGGCCGUUUGCGGCUUGGGGCACUCUUGGCUAUAGUAGGCUUGGCAGGGAGAGAAGAAGAUGGACGAGCAGACUAUUUAGUGCGACGAGAAGGAGAAGGACUCCGAAUGGACAAAGGAGUGACUAAAACAGGAGGAGGGGAAGAAAUGUUCGGCUGGUCUAGUGAAUGAAAGGCACGAUUGGCGUCAGUCGCAAAUAAUCUGCGCUUCACUGACGGCCAGAGCUGUUCAAAAAGAGGGUGAAUGGCGUGGCUAGAAUUGAAGGGGGCAAAUGAAAAAUGGCUGGUUAAAAGAAGAUUGCGAGCAUUUAUAGCCUUUGCCUCCGCCUUAUUAAUAGUAUGAAAACGGUCAAUUAAGUUCCUUGAAUAGCAAGGAGGAACAGGCCAAGUUUGGCCGAAACCAAUCUGGCGAGCAAAAAAUUGGAGAGCAUAAAUUUCUACCCCCGCCUUUGCAUUGGUCCCAGUUAAAAUAUCAUGAAAUAGCUCCCUCCCGGUUAAAAACUGGAUCCAAAUAAGUAGGGAGGUGCUCGCGCUGUCUAUAGUGGAGGGGGGAUGUACAUAGUUUGGAGUCAAAAAAGGAGGAAAAGGAAAAAAGGAAGAGAUUGAGUCCAAAGAAUAAAAAAAUGAAAAAAAUGUCACUUCUGGACAUAUUUACAGGAGCCAAGGGCUCCAUGGCUAGCCCAUAACAGCUAGCAGAGGAGCGAGAAAUUGAUGGAGCACCAAGCAAUGGAAAAUAGGAUCUUAACCACAGUUGAGUGAACCAAAGAGGUCCACUACCAGUGGGAGAUGUACCAUUCUUUAAUUGAGUUUGAAGAGAGGUCAUGCCUCUAUAAAGGGCAGCGAAAAAAAAAGAACAUAAAUUCAAAAACCUACCACGCACCAAUUCGUGCGCUAUAGGUAAAUAACUCAGGGAGGGCUUUAUGCUUAGCACACACAAAACAUAUUUACAAAGCCAAACUAGAAGGAAUGCCACUCGCUCAAUAUGGGAAGGCUCAGCGCUCGAAUGAUUGUGAAGGGUUUGCAGGCUUGAAUAAGAUUCGGUGUAGUUUUUACCAAACUUUGGGGCGCCACCAGAAACCAAGAUACCAGGAAAAAUGGUAUUGCCCAAAGGUGGUAGAUUCACCAGGGCCCCAACAUCCCUUAAGGUAAUAGACAUGGGGCCAAGAGGGAAAAUAAAGGUAUUAUACUCGGAAGACCAAAAACUCAAAGCAAUCGAAAAGAGUGCUGAAUCAAAAGUAGGCGGGCGAAUAGAGAUUUCUAACAAAUCAGAAAUCCUAGAGCUAUCAAAAAGUGCCUUAGUAGGACCAUGACCCACAAGGCGAGCAUGCCACCUACGGAAAGCUACAUCAGAUUUAGGUCAAGUGCGAAUACCUCUUUCGCGAAGUGGCCCCAGCGGCAGAGAGUUUAGAAAUGGAGGGCCUUGAGUACAAGGAAAUAGUUGACCCACCGCCGCCUGUUCAACUACCUCUGCAUUGUUGAAGAAAGGACCUAAGUAAAACUCAUUGCGUUCAACAUCGGCGGGCACAAGAAAACUCGGAGUUAUGUAUGGAUAACUCAGAAGUUUCUGAAAGUCAUCAAAACUAAAGGAGUCGCCAGCUUGAAAUUGUGAAGUAGCCAUUUGAGAUGGAACGAAGAUUUUCAGGGUUACGUAGCAGGGAAGCAAAAGAUGAACAGUAAAUCGUGGAGAGACGCGAAAAAUUUGAGGCGUGAUUUAGUGGUGCAGUGAAAUUGCGUGUUUGGAGGUUAUAAGGGUUUGCAAAACGACGCACCUUUUCAAGUUAUGGAAGAAAACAAUGAUUGAAAUUCUUGAAAAUCCCUAAUGUUGCUGGAAACACAAAGUGAAUAUGGCAAAAUUUAAUAAUUCUUAUUAAUUCUGCCAUAUUGGGGGGUAAUUAUUGACACAUAAAAAUUCAGCCCAAAUCGAAUGGUCCAAGGAAUGAAGCCCAAUUGGAGAAUCCCCAAAUCAGAUAGCCCAAAGAACGAAACUCAAUCAAACAAUUCAAGAUGAAGGCCCAAAUAGGGAGGCCCAAGAACGUGGUAACGCCAUCGCCCAAGAUUGCAAGUCGCCCAGAAUCUGAGCGAAUGGAGUGCCAUGCAGUCGCCUAGAGCUAUUACUCUAUUCUCGCCAAAACCUUCAGGUCGCCCAAAGUCUUAACAAACAUAAAGCGUUGUGGUUAUCAAGAAGUGUAGUUAUCAAAGCAGUUAGUAAAUCAGCCCCAUCACGUUCCACGAUUCAAGAAUUCAAUCGAAAACGGUUGAACGACGAAGAGUAAUGGCAGCAGUUAAAUAAGAUAGUUUUCAUGACAAGCUGGCCAUUAUGAGGAAAGUGGGCAGUUGCAGAACGAUCAAGCAGUUUUUAGGCGGUUGAUCACAAAGAGAUCGUCCAUGAAGUAUAAAAGGGAGAAAAGACAUAGAGCAAAAGACCGAAUCAAAAACUCUCGAAUAGAGAACAUGUAAUUUUAAUUUCCUUAGUUUAAGACUUAAAACACUUUUUUCAAUAACUCGUGUGCUUGCGCCCCUUGGAGGCACUUUGUUUUUAAUUUCCAAUUGUAAAGUUAUCGCCAAUAAAAGAACACCCCUUUUUGGGACUUUGUCUCAAGAGGUUUGUCCCUUACACAAUCGUCUGAUCCUUUUUAAUUGUUAGCGACUAACCCGCGCGAAACAAAUUCCAUCAUAAAAAAUUGAUUUGUAAUAAAAUUUUAUUAUUGCUCUGUUUCUUUUUAGACUAUUUGUUUGAUGAGUUUUAGGCCUACAAUUAGUACUUUGUACCGAGAUUCAUUGUUAGAAGACGGCUAGUGGUUUAUAUUCAGACUCUGACUCAAAAUAUACAAGGAUCGACUCUUUUUAAUUGUUGUUCUUCCUUUGAAAUUGGUUUCAACUACGUUAAUUUCACAUAAUUUGGACGAGUAUUGGAAGAGAAAAGUUACACAUACACCUUUUGGAUAUUACUAUUUGUACUUUUUCUCAGCAACAUUCUGGUUUUUCUCAAUCCAGUGAAGAAUAGAGAAUCUACGUAAUAGGCCUCUACAAUUUGUGAUCUAGUUCCUAUUGAUACUACAGUAUGUAAUUUAUGUAAGCUCUGUUGUCGAUUUUCCAACACGCAUAUAAGCAGCAUGUAAUUGCGUAAUUUUAUGGUUAGGAAGAAUCGUUUGAUGCUUUCGAAUUGUGUGUGAGGAGAAAUUGGAAGAAAUUUAUUGGUAUUGUUAAAUUUUGAGUUUAUGAACAUUUCUAUUGUAAAGAAUUUUGACUCCGGUCAUCUGAUUUUAAUCAUAUCUCCUUUUCACUAUUUUAUUAACUGAAUUUAUGCAAAUUUUUAAUGUGUCUGUUAAAUGAUUGAUGUAUGACUUGAUAAACUAUAUAAUGGAAUUUAUUUUUUAUCUAGUAUGUUUGCUUCAAAUUGUUUCUUGUAAAAUGUAAUUAUUCCUGCAACAAUGCUUAAUAUUUGAGAUUGUAAUACUAAUAUAACUAUAAUGCUUUUACUUAGUUUUAUUUAGGACGGAUAGCAAUACUCUAAUCUUUCUAGAAGCAAUUUAUAGGCUCCAAACACUCUACCCGUGCGAAAAUUGAUCACGCAUAGGAUCAGAAGAAUGUCCCUAGUCCGAAUUCAUAUGAUAGUCAUGCAUCUGGUUUAUAUUAUUAAUAAAAUUGCAUGCGUGAAAGUGUUGAUUUGACCGUGUUCCAGACUUAUUGCAAAUAUUCCUAUACUACAACAAGCAACUAACUGACAAUGAAAUAGUGCAACGAGUAUGUAAAAUUAAUCAAAUAACGUAAGAACUUCCUGAAUUAAUGUCUUGAAUUGAUAUAAAUGAAAAUAGGGUUUAAACACUCAUCCGAUACAAUUGAAAAACUAGCAUAACAUGUUCAGAAUUAAAUUACAAAAGUACAAUUGGAAAAUCAUCAUCCAAAAAGAAGAAAUAAUGAAGAAAUAGGAAAUUUUCACAUUCUUAAUGUGAAUCUUGAAUCCAAAUGAAGAAUCUUCAAUAUCUUUGCAAUUCACCUUGAUUCGAUGUUGUUAGCCUUAUUCUUUGCAUCUAAAAUUGAUUAAAAUAUAUGAAUUUUUAUGUCUAAGGUGGUUUUCAAUGUCUUGGACGGCUUAUGGUAUAUAUAGAAUGCCAAAAGAUUGCUUAUUAAAAGUUUCCAAAACAUAAUAAGAAAACACAAGACAUUCUUGAAUCGCCAUUUCGCAGUCUGACACAACUUUUGAAUUAUUGCAUUUUAGUCCCUAUAGCGUUGAUUUCGCCAUUUUUCUCAAUUUUUCAUUUGUUUUCUUCAAUUCUUUAUCAAAUCAUGAGUUUUACCUAUUAACAUAAUAUAACACAAAUUAUGCUAUAUUUCAUCAAAAGAACUACAAAAUGUUAUUAUUUAAAGCCCCGAAUAAGUAUAUAAAAGACACUUUUCAAUUACAUUUAACGCUUUGAAAUUUACUCUCAACUCACUUUAGAUAAUAUUUUAGCAAUCGAUGAAUGAUUUAAAGGUCCAUCUUACAUUAGAUUAGUGUUAAUUUGUUGAGAGAUUGCAAGAAAGAAUGUCAAUUUCUUGUUGAUACUUAUUGAAGCAAAAUGGAUAAAUCAUGGAUGCACAAUUAUGGCAAAUGGUUGGAGCAAUCAAAGAUAUAGGACUUUGAUUAUUUUUUUAGUAUAUUUCACUUUUGGGAUUGUAUUUAUAAAAUCUUAUGAUGUGUCAAAAAUAGUGAAAGAUGUUCAAAUAUUGUGUAAUUUAUUUUUCAAGAUAGUUGAAUGGGUUGAACCUUGUAUCUUGGUUCAUAUGGUAACUACUAAUGUAGCUAACUAUGUGGCGACCGAAAAAUUAAUGCAUGACAAAUAUGAUCAUAUUCUUUUGGUCUCCUUGUAUUGCACAUUGCUUGAAUCUAAUUUUGAAAGAUAUAGCCCUCAUUUGGCCCCCAUUUUUUGAAAUAAAAAUGGAUGGAAUAGUAUUUUCUUUUUUAAAAAAAUGAGUGGUUGAAAAAGAAGGAAUUUUUUUUUAUUUACGUGUAAUAUUAUUUUAUAGAAGAUUAUAUGGUUGAAAACAAGAGAGAGAAAAAUGAAAUGAAAUUUAAUGGGAGCCAAACUGGGGCAUAGUGUGCCUCUCAUACAUCCCAUUGCAUUAUGUAUUUUGAAGAUUAUAAUAUUUGUGUAUAAUCAUAAAAUUUUAUUAUUUUUUUUGUCU
rnacentral:lncRNA from 1 species